rnacentral:lncRNA from 1 species
UUCACAUUUAGAGACACUGAACCCAAAUCAAAAUUAAUCCUUCAAAUUAAUUUUCACCUCCAAACAUAGCUAUCCGAAAAACCCUAACCUCUGCCUCCUCUUCCUCUUAUCCCGGAAACCUAAAUUCCGUGACCCUAACCCCUUCUCUUUCCGAAAACCCUCCGGAAUCGGAAAAUUCAUAAUUCUUCAGAAUUAAUUUUCACCUCGAAGCCAAACCCUAACUGCCUCAUCUUCCUCUCAUUCAUAUCCCAAAAGUAGCUUCAACAGUCAGGCCUGUAGCCAUGAAAGCCGUAGUGAUCACUACUUCCGGUGAUCCCCAAGUUCUCCAAGUGCAAGAAGUCGAAAACCCUGAAAUUGGAGAUGAUGAAGUUCUAAGUAGAGUGGACGCCGCUGCCAUUAACCGAACAGAUACGCUUCAGAGGAAGGGCUUGCACCCUUCCUCAAAGGCGGCAGUCCCUACCCGGGUCUCGAAUGUUCUGGAAUCAUCGAAGCUGUUGGAAAAGCCGUCGUUCGAUGGAAGGUUGGCGAUCAGGUAUUUCAAUUGCCUAAUAUUUUGAUUUCGUUUCUGUUCCUCUGUUUUUCUCGGCUAUCAAACACUAGGAACGUGUAAAUAAGGAGGUUAGUUGAUUGCGAAAACGGGAAUUUUUUGUUCGUGUCUGUGUUAAGGAGUCUUUGUUGAGAAUUUUGGGGAAAUUUAUGAUAAGUUUGUGAUUUUAUGAUUAAUUUUGUGUAUCAAUAUAGGUUAAAUUAUUGAGCUUAUUGGUUUUCAAAUUUAUGGUUGUAAGAAAAUUGGUCAGUGUAAGGUUAUGGGAUCAUUACCAAUUUGCUUACUGAAAAUUUUUCCAGAUAUUGUGGACCGGUUUGGUAGCAGAAAUAAGAACUGUGUUUUGUUUUUCAAAACGGAAAUGGAUGCAGAAAACAUGUUUUUCUUUCAGAACUUGUUUCCGAAAAUAUUUCCUGAAAAUGAAUUAUUUCAGAACUUGUUUUAAAAAAAUUCAAACACUUUAUCAAUUUAAAAGGUUCUGAAAUGGACAUGUUCAUGGUCUUCAUUUUUUAAAAUUAAAGCUUUUAUGAAAAAACCAUUUUCCCUUCUACUAAACAAACAGGCUCUAUAUUGUAACAGAUCGAUUGGCCAUUUCCUUUGUCAUGUUUUGUGAAUCAUGGCAACACUGGAAUCCACUCCAUUACCAUCUGUUAGUGAUUAGAAGACAAAGCACCAAUUUUAAUGAUAUCCUUUAUGUGAUUUUGCUUCCUCCUGAGUACAAGUUCAUAGUAUACAUGGUACAUGGUGAAUCUGUAUGACAGUUCAUGGUAUACAGGUGUGUGCUCUUCUUUCUGGUGGAGGGCAUGCUGAAAAAGUGGCUGUUCCAGCUGGGCAAGUUCUCCCUGUCCUAUCUGGUGUUUCUCUGAAGGAUGCUGCUGGAAUUCCUGAGGUUGCAUGUACUGUUUGGUCAACUGUUUUAAUGAUGAGCCGACUGUCUGCAGGAGAAACAUUCCUGGUGAAUUUUUUGUCUUUUUUAUUUUCUGAUGCCUGAUAUAUUUACCAGCACAAAUUUACCCUGUUGCUGUUUAAUGUGUGUGCAUCAAUAUUGGAUUAGGGAGGUAGAAGAGCCAUGGUUCUAAUUAAAUCAUUACAUCAUCAUAUUCUUAUUUAGAUACAUUGUAUCCCACAAUUUCAUUGCAUCCAAGGCUAUGUUGUUUUUUAUUGCACGGUUUGUGUCAUGGUAAUUUCUCAACCCUUCUCUGGAAAAUUAUGUUGGAUGGCUGCUAUUAAUUACCCCAAAAGAAGAAAUUUUAUGUUGAAGUAAGAUGAGUAGCACAAAGAGUUACUUGUGGUUGAUCCUAUCAUCAAAUGGGCGAUUGAUGCACAAUCCAAAUGGUAAAUUUUUUUCCCCCUUUAUCCAGAUGGAAUUUUUAUGCAUGGUUGAAUAGUGAAAUGAGGACUGAUAAUAUUUCAGGUUCAUGGGGGUUCAAUUGGAAUUGGUACCAUCUAUUCAAAUAGUGAAAUACUGAGGAGCAAGGGUAUUUGUUACAGCAGGUUUGCCAUCACUGUUCUACCUCAUCUCACAGAAUGCUUAUCUCAUGGCACCAAUUCCUUUUCUUCACAUGUUUUCAACCAUUUUUUCCACCCAGGAACGAGGAAAAAUUAGCUGUUUGUAAGGAUCAUUGAGCAGAUGUGUGCAUCAAUUACAAGACUGAAAACUUUGUUGCAUGGGUGAAGGAGGAAACAGGAGGGAAAGGUAUAAUCUAUUGUAUCUUAACGAUAAUUUCAAUUGAAGGUGGAAUUGCUUUUUAAUUUUUAGUGCACCAAAUCCACUAGUCUGGAAUGUUUGAAAAGAUAAAUAGUCAUCUUCCACUUGAUACCGAUUGUGAAGAUCUAACCCCAAAAAUGUUGAAUGACAGGUGUUGAUGUUAUACUGGAUAAUAUUGGAGGGGCCUACUUUUGGGGAGACAUCAAUGGUUUAAAUGUUGAUGGAAGGCUUUUUAUUAUUGGUUUUCAGGGUGGAACAGUGGUACAAGUAAAUCUUUCAGGUUUACUUGCAAGGCGCCUUACAGUGCAAGGUACCGCUUUCUCUGUAGUUUUGGAGUUGAAUCAAUUUGAUUAAUCUCAUCCAAGUUCAGAACUGAGGUGGAUUCUGGCAAGCCAAGGAAAAACCAAAUUACCAUAAAUUCUUUUUUUCUUGGAAAUCCUGUUUCUCAAUCUGGUCAGUAUAUGGAAAUUCCAAGGAAAAUAUGUUUUACAUUUUCCAUAAGGCUCAAUGGGUUUUAACUCCACUCAGCUACUUUAUGUCUUGUAUUUAAUAUUGCAAACCAAAAUAAUAAUACGUAGAGAUUGAGCUUGGAGGCCAAUCUAGCAAAUGUGGAGAUUAGAAAUAGUUUACCAUCUAGAUAGUCAAGCAUAGCAAUUUACCAAACCCUUACCAACCAUCCAUACUAACCAAUUGUGGUUAAAUGUUUACAAAAAUGUACAUUAAAUCAAAGAGAAAAAAGAUUAAAAACGAACAAGAGAGAAGAAGUACGUCACCUAAUUUUGGUAAUAAAUGAAAUUAAAAUAAAUUCAUAAAUUUUUUAAAUUAAAAUGAAUUUGAACUCUAGAGAUUUGUGUAGAUAUCUUAUUAAAAAACCAAAAAGUUUGUUGCAUAUAUAAUUUCAACAAUGCAUAAAUAAUUACAACAUACGCAAUACAAUAAUAUUACACAACUAUAUUUUCAAAUAUAGUAUAAGAUCAUUAAAGUGAUAAAUUGUAGUUGUAUAAAAUAUUUAUACAAGUAAAGAAGAAAUUAUGAGAUUGAAAUGCUUGUUGGAUUCUAAGUAAAAAGGAAAUGAGAUAUAGAGAUUGUCCCAUCAGACAUAGAAUUUCAUAUACAUAAUUUUCCCUUCAAGAAAAUUUAGGGUCAAAUUGAAAAAUUUUCAUUCAUAGAUUUUGGUAAAACCUCUAUCUAGUCCUCCAAAUCUUGUAUACAAAAGGAAAUAACAUUGGUAUGAGGGGUUUGAAUGCUUAAUUUUAGAUUGAAAAUGCUUGAGAUAAUUUUUGAUCGACUUCACAUGUGUUUUUGAUAAACUUGGAACAUUCAAACUUGUAUUUGAAGAAUCUUCAAAUCUUCAAUUUGAUCUUAAAUAAUGUUGAAACCUUCGAAAUUUGAAUAGAAGAAUCUUUAAGCAUUUGAAUUUUGGUUUAAAGAAUUUUGAAAUUUGAGAUUGAAGAAUCUUCAAAUUUGGGCCUGAAGAUCAAAGGCUAAGCUUGAAGAGUUCUUGAAGCUUGAGUGGUAUCUCCGAUUUUGUUUUGUAUUUCAUAAAAACUUUUAAGUAUACUAUAUUUAUAGGUUUGAAGAGACAUUGAGAUUUUGUAUACAUGUUUGGAGUUUUAAACCUUGAAAUAUUACUCUUUUAUGAAAUUAACAUUUAUAAAAUUUGGAAGAACAUAAUUAGAUAAUAUUCUAAGUUAUUUUUAAUGAAAAUUGAUAAUUACCUUUUAAUUAUCAAAUUCACUAUUUCUAUUUAUUUUUGUAAUAUAUAUUAAUUACUAAAAUCAUUUAUUUCCUUUAUUUAGUUUGAAAGCAAUUAUAUAUCUUUUGUUUGUGUAGAGCUCAUGUGACACGACAAAUUUUAUUUUGUAACUUGCUCUGGAUGAAUGGCCAUUAUAAACUUCAUUUUAUCCUCAUCUGAUUUUGAGGUGGGAAUAGGAGAGAUGAGGAUUUGACAUUUGGACCUAAGCCUCAGAGGGUUUUAACUCCACUCAACUACUUUAUGCCUUGUAUUUAAUAUUGCAAACCAAAAUAAUAACAGACAUGAUCCUUUUCAAAAUUUUUAUAAUAAUAGAAGUGUAAAUAAUAUAAGUAAAAAUAAUAUAAUAUUUUUUAAAAUGAUAAAAUAAUAGGUUAUAUAAAUUUUAAUAUAUAGGUAAAAUUAAUUAAAUUUUAACAAAUACCUUCACACUUAAACAUUACAUAUCUUUUAUUUAAUAAAAUGUUAAAAUAUUAAUAUAUUUAAAAUUGUAUAAUUAUUUUUUAUUUUAAUACUAUAUAAAUUAUAUAUUUAUGAUAUUACUGGUUCAACUAUAAUUCAAUCACUGAUCCAACCAUUGAACCAUGAAUUAGUAAAUUUUUUUAUUCAAUGAUAGGUUUGAUUCUAAAAAUAUUAUGACUAUGUUUGGUUCCAGAAAUUUUUUUUUGAUGGAUUACAUCAAUCUAGAUAAUGACAAAGAUAUUACCAAUUUGAUAUCACCAAUUGAUAACACAAUUAAAAAAUAAUAUGCAUUUUAACAUAUUUGAAUUCAUUGUACUCAUAUCCAUGACCUAAUUUUACACAUCCUUAAAUCAUGGUUGAUUUAUGAAACAAAUCUAUACCAUCAAUAGAAAAUAAAUAAAUAAAAUAAUACAAAAAAAUAUAUAGAUAGUCAAGCAUAGCAAUUUACCAAACCCUUAGCCACCAUCCAUACUAACCAAUUGUUGUUAAAUGUUUACAAAAAUAUACAUUAAAUCAAAGAGUAAAAAGAUUAAAAACGAACAAGAGAGAAGAAAUACAUCACCUAAUUUUUGUAAUAAAUGAAAUUAUAAUAAAUUCAUAAUUUUUUUAAAUUAAAAUAGAAAUUCAAAUACAUGUAACUAUUGUUUUUGUCUUGUAAAUCAUCCAAUUUUUCAAUGAAUUUAAACUCCACAUAUUUGUGUAGAUAUCUUAUUAAAAAAAACAAAAAGUUUUCACUAAAAUCAUAAAAUUUAGAUUAGAAAUGAUUUACUAUAUUAGUUCAAAAUUCAUCUCCACAAAAAUUGAAAUAAAUUAAUUAUCUUGAUCAAUUCAAAUAAAAUUUCUCCAAUUAAAUUUCCAAAUAUGUGCCUUAAUACCUAUAAUGGAAUUAGUAAUUUUAAUUAAAAAAUAAAUAAAAAUAAGGAUUUGAUCUUUUUCUUACCAUUUGAUGAAAAUUAUAAAAUAUACUAAAAUGACAAGUGAUCAGACAUUUGAAAUUUGCAUCAUUUCUACCAUUGCAAACACCACCAACUCCAUAUUUCCCAUUUUUCUACCUACUGCCAAUUCACUCAUCUCUCUGGGAAGAUUUUUGAGGUUAUCGCCAUGCUUGAGAUAAUCCAGAAAGUUGAGCGGCAUCACUCUCUGAAAGGUGCCUUACAGCAUGGGUAAUGUAUGGGAUACAUCUGAUAGCUUGCCAUAUCCAUAAACCACUAUAUUAAACCAUGGUUCAUAUCCCCAACGCCACACGAGAAUCUGUACUCAUCCCAAGCAGCUUGGAGAUCAUAAAAUUAGGUUUUGAGGGCCUCCCGAGACAUGCACAGCUUCACCUUUGUGCAUUCCUUUGAUUUGGAAAAUUUCUUCUGUAAAAUCCCCCAUUAUCAUGCCCUGAACCAAGACAAUUUCACAAUAUCCAAUAGCAUAUCAUUUACUUCCAUUUUGUCAAUGGGAAUUACCAUUUUGCAUGGGAAGCACCAACGGAGAUAGGGGUUUUCAAAUUGGAUCACUAGCAAAGAAACCCACCGCAACGAUCUGAAUAAUUGAGCACAACAUCCACUUUAGAGAACCCCUCCUGAAGGCGAAAUCGUCAUCUUGGCUAAACGUAGUCAUAGUUGGGUUGUGAGAAAUGGAGAUGAAUCACAGAAGGCUUUCAGUUUGAUAGCAACGAAAAGGUAAAUGUACUCUAGAGAAGUUUUGACCUUGGGAGAAGCGCUUUUGAAUCCAAGUCAAGGUCUGUUCUGGAUCCCUUUUCGACUCUCUCUAUUAAAGGAAGAUAAUCUGCCCAGGAUUUGGAUGCAAGCCUACAAGGCCAUGUUUAGGAGACUUAUGCAAAAUAUUUAUCCAUAGCUCCCCGCCUGAAACAUCUACAUAAAGCGUCUUCCAAGUGUGAACCAUCGUCUUGGGUCCUUGAGAUGAACAAAAACUGAGACAUGUCGUGAGUUAGAUGCAUUGCCUGAAAAUGCCGAGCAGUAGUAUGGCCUUCUUUCUGAUCAACUGUUUUGUCAAAUUCUAGAGCUCUCAUUCCAAAUCCAUCAGUUUUCUCAAAUGAUUGGCCAGUGGAGAUCCAUGGAUAUAACAUAUGAAAUGUGCACAAUAAAAGUAAUCAAACGGUUGGUUGGUUUGGCUGAAUCCCACAAUCGCAAAGACUUAUCAUAUGAAACUGUUACCAACUGAGUUGAAUUUGGCCUAAAAAGGAUAUCCGUUACUACAAACUAGCGUUCUUUCGUGGUGCUCUCUCUUUGCAGGCUAUCCAUGUUCCAAAGAAAAACUCUCUUGUCAUGUCUGGCACUGGGCACUGAUUAGAGUGUGGGACGUUCAUUCUCCAUUAUCACCAAACACAUGCAGGAUAUAUAUAUAUCAAUUCAUUCAAAAUAUGCCUUUAUUUUAUGGAACAUACCCGAAUCCAUUUUGUUUGUGUUGAAGAGGUAUAGAUCUUCUAAGGCUAUGGAGGGCACCACCUUUUCUCAGAAUUCUCUCUGACGAUGGGAAGCCGAAGAGAACGGGUUUUGUUUUUAUUUUGAAAACGUUGUUAUCCUUAAAGAACAAACACUAUUCUUUGGAUUUAUACCCUCCUACCUUAGGGACCAUACCGUUUGGCUACUGGGCCUCACGAGUCUUAGGCCCAUCAUCUAAGGCCCGUGAUGGCACUGGGCUCUACACAUAAGGUGGCCCAUACUCUAGAACGAAUAGAAAUCAUAUGUAUAUAUAUGGAUAGCUAAAUCCUGAAUAAUGGUUAAUAUGAUGUCGGUCCACAUUUAUUCUAUCAAUCUCCCACUUGGACCACAUAUAUUACAAAACAAUGUUCAUGAUAGUACUUUAUUGAGCUCAUCUUUGCUAUCCUAUCUUAAUAUCCUUAAACAAUCUGGUCUACUAGUUAUGCUAACAUAGGAUCAAAGUGGCCUUCAUUAAUCAUAAUUAUAACUAGACCCAUCAAUGAUCACAACAUUAACAAAAUUAGCAACAUAGAUCAAGUAUGGAUGUGUAGCAUGAAAAUUACAUAAAAUGUGAUCUUUAUUAUGUCUAUUUCCAAUUGGUCCUACUUUAUGACUAAAAAAUAGUCAAAUUCCACUUUCAACACUUGAUGCUAAACUGCUUCUGAAAGUCAUCAUUUCAAUUCAGAGAAUUCAAAUACAAUAGUCUUUAAAAUCAAGGUUUGUUGCGUACAUUAUUGGAAUGUUCAGCAAAUAUUUGAGUAACCCAAGUAUGGAUUACUGGAAAAAGGCAAAAUAGGUUAUGCGGUAUUUACAAAGAACUAAAGAUUAUAUGCUCACAUACCGUAGAUCCAGUCAUUUAGAGAUCAUGGGAUAUUCGGACUCCGAUUUCGCGGGAUGUCUUGACAACAAGAGAUCCACUUCAAGCUUCAUCUUCAUGUUGGCUAGAUGAACAGUUUCAUGGAAAAGUGUUAAACAAAUACUUAUUGCUUCUUUCACCAUGGAGGCAGAAUUCAUAGCCUACUACAAAGCAUCAAACCAUGGGAUAUGACUGCGGAAUUUUGUCACUCAGUUGCGAAUCGUUGAUGAGAUUGAGAAAUCAUUAAGAAUAAAUUGUGAUAAUAAAGCCAUAGAAUUGUAAUUCUAAGAACAACCGAAGUUCGUCAAAGUCCAAACACAUUGACAUCAAGUUCUUGGUUGUGAAAGAAAGAGUUUAGAGUCUUCAAGUAUCAAUUGAACAUACAAGCACAAACUCCAUGAUUGCGGAUCCGCUCACUAAGGGUUUGCCACCCAAAGUAUAUCAUGAGCAUGUCACACAUAUGGGUGUUGUACAUAUUGAUGAUGUUCCAGUAUAGUGGGAGUUUGUAUUUAGAUUUUGUGUUUGUUUUCUUGAUAUGAUGUUAUAUUGUGUUAUCGUGUACAAACUUGUGCAUACAUGAGACUUCCUAUUGUUGAGGCAUAGGGAAACCUCUUCAUAUCCUUCUUUUUAAGUUCAUUUUUCGGACAUUGGUGCAAACUAAAUUUAUCGCCUUUUGCUACAGGCAUGUCUCCUGGUGUACAAUUGCUCAUGCCAAAUCUACUCAACACCUUAUCGAUGUAGGCCUUUUGUGAUAACCCAAGUAUACCUCUUAAACGAUCCCUAUAGAUCUGUAUACCUAGCAAAAAAGAUGCAUUACCAAGAUCCUUCAUGUCAAAUUUACUAGACAAAAAUAGCUUAGUUUCAUGCAAAAGUCCCACAUCACUACUUGCAAGUAGAAUAUCAUCAACAUAUAGCACCAAGAUAAUGAAUUUGCUCCCACUAAACUUGAGAUAUAUGCAUUGAUCAAUGGUGUUUUCCUUAAAACCAAAUGAAGUAAUCACCUGAUUAAACUUUUGGUACCAUUGUCAAGAUGCUUGCUUUAAACCAUAUAUGGACCUUUUUAAUCUGCAUACAAGUUGCUUUAAAUCAUUAGACUCAAAGUUCUCCGGUUGCAUCAUGAAUAUUGUUUCAUCAAUGUUACCAUUAAGAAACGCAGUUUUAACGUCCAUUUGAUGCAACUCUAAAUCAUAAUGAGCCACAAGUGCCAUGAUGAUUCUAAAGGAGUCAUUUGACAAAACCGAUGAAAAAAUCUCCUUAUAAUCAAUGUCUUCCUUUUGAGUGAAACCUUUUGCGACUAGACGUGCCUUAUACCUAACAAUGUUGCCUUUUGAAUCCCACUUGGUCUUAAAAAUCCAUUUACAACCAAUCGAUUUUACACUUUCAGGCAACUUUACUAGGUCCCAAACACCAUUAUCUUUCAUUGAUUUCAUCUCAUCUUUUAUGGCUUCUAUCCACUUUUCAGAGUCAGAACUUUGUUUGACUUGACUAACUGAAAUUGGAUCAUCUUCCAAACCCAUGUCAAACUCUUGUUCCUGGAGAUGUACAACAUAAUCAUCUGAAAUUGUACUUCUCAUUUCUCUAGUGGAUCUCCUUAGUGGCACUUGUAUUUGAGGUUCUUGAGGCUGUUGAGUUACCUCUUCAUAAACUUGAACCGGUUCCAUAACUUGAGCAGGAGGAAUCUCAAGUGUGUUUUGAAUCUCUGUUAUUGAUUGUACAAUCUGGAUAGUGUCAUCAAACAUAAUAUGACCAUGUCCAGUCGUAAUAAUAGGAAUACUAACAGAUUCCUCUUCAAAUACCACAUUUCUUAACGGUUCUCUCCCAUUUAACUCAACAUCCUCAAUAAAUUUAGCUUUGCCCGUUUCAAAAAAGGAUCUAGUUGAGGGGUCAUAAAACUUGAAACCUCUCAACCUUUUAGAAUAUCCUACAAAGUAGCAGCUCACUAUUCUAGAGUCCAAUUUCUUUUCAUUUGGUUUUUAAGGCCUAUCUUCAGCUGGACAACCCUAGACAUGCAAGUGCCUAAUACUAGGUUUCUUGCUAGUUCAUAACUCAUAUGAGGUUUUGGCUACUGCUUUGCUUGAGACUCUAUUCAAAAUAUAAAUUGUUGUUUUGAUGGCUUCGCCCUAAAGUGAUUCUGGUAAGGUGGAAUGACUGAUCAUACUUCUUACCAUAUCCUUAAGAGUACGAUUUCGCCUAUCUGCUACACCAUUUUGGAUUGGAGUCCCCAGCAUGGUGUAUUGAGGAACGAUACCACACUCCAUCAAAUAUUUGGCGAACAGCCCUGGACGUUGUUCACUAGAUCCGUCAUAUCUACCAUAAUAUUCACCUCCACGGUCAGAUCUGACGACCUUUAUUUUCUUGCUUAGUUGGUUCUCAACUUUAGCUUUGAAAUUCUUGAACACAUCUAAUGAUUGAGACUUCUCAUGAAUCAAAUAAAGAUAGCCAUAGCGCGAGUAAUCGUCAAUGAAAGUGAUAAAAUAUUAUUGUCCAUUCCAAGAAGGGGUAGGAGAUGGACCACAAAUGUCCGUAUGUAUCAAUUCAAAGACGUCACUGCACUUGUUAACAUCAUUUUUUUUCUCAUAUUUGUUUGUUUACCCUUAAUAUACUCUAUACAGACUCGAAAGUAUAAGAAAUUAAGUGGAUCAAGAAUUCAUUCUGACACAAGCCUUUGAAUACGUUGAUUUGAAAUAUGACCCAAAUGCCUGUGCCAUAACAUCGAUGAAUUCUCAUUUGUUAAUUUCCGUUUAAUGUCAUAAUUACUUGAAUUCAAGGUUUCAUUUUCAUUAGUGGUCUUUAUGUUUAAUUUGUAUAAUUUGUCUGUUAGAUUACCUGUACCAAUAACAUUUGAAUUUAGAUAAAGACUAACCAUUCCAUUUCUAAAUGAACAAUAAUAUCCAAAGUACAUCCAGAGUCUAACUGUAAUCUAAAAAGACCAAUAGUCUUGACUGCAACCUUGUUGCCAUUUCCCGCAUAGAUGUAUCUUUCACCAUCAAUUGGCAUUCGGCUCCUUAGGCAACCCUACAUCGUGACACUUAUGUGAGUAGUUGCACCCGUAUCUAUCCACCAAGUGUCAGUAGGCACUACGACUAAAUUAAUUUAUGAACAAACAAAGUUGAGAAGUGUACCUUUCUUUUCACGCCAAGCAGCGUAUUUGGUACAUGUCUCUUCAUAUGACCAACCUUCUUGCAAAAGAAACAAGUCAUCUCCUUAUCUUGUUUCUUCUACACCUUUUGCAUUGAUGUCCCAAAAAUUGCAGUUUGUUUUUCUUUAUUGUCCCUUUUUCUUUUCUUGUUGGUACCAAAUCCCUGAGAUGUGGAAGCCAAGUGAGCACUUUCUAUCUUUUCUUGUUUCAAUCUCUCAUCCUUUUGUGCACAUUGAGCAAUAAGCUCAUUCAAAGUCCAUUUUUCUUUUUGUGUGUUGUAACUGAUUUGGAAUGGACUGAAUUGUGUAGGCAGAGAGAUCAAGACCAAGUGCACGAGUAUGUCUUCUGAAAACUCUAAUUUUAGUACCUUUAGUCUAGUCACAAGAUUAGACAUUUCCAUAAUAUACUCCCUUAUAUUCUCUUUCCCUUUGUACCGCAUAGAGACAAGCUUACUAAGAAUAGUGCUUGUCUCAACCUUUUCAUUUGUAGUGAAUCGGUUUGCUAUCUGGUCUAAGAAUGCCUUGGCUCGAGUUUUCUCAGGUAUUGCACUUCUUACAGCUUUUGGAAUUGAGUGCUUUGUUAUCAUUAGAGUCAUGCGAUUGGAUCGCUCCCAUUUUUCCAUAGUAGAACUUUGCUCAGCAGUGCUGGCACUAGUAAGAUCUGGAGGGCGAUCCUCUCUUAAUGCAUAGUCUAAAUCCAUGCACCCGAGCACAAUUAUAGCGUGUUUCUUCCAUUUCUUGAAGUUUGUGCCAUUAAGUGCAGGAAUGUUAUUAACAUUUGCAGAUAUAGAAUAUGUUGAAUUCAUAAUAAUAAAGCUCACAAUCAGUCACAUAAAUAUCAUACAUACAUGAAAAAUAACAUCAUACAAGAUACUUAGCACAAACAUUAAUAUUCUGUCUUUGGACAAUAAAUAUUAACUUGUAAUUGGUAUCCUUAUUCAAAAUUAUUCAUAAAUAUUGACAAUAAAACCAAAAACAAUAUGCUUGUCUUUAGACUAACAUAUCGAAUGCAAGAUAAACUUUAUAUGUCACAUAUUUAUGACUACUUUAUUUAUUAUUAUAUUAAAAUAAUCUUCCUUUGGGCCAAUUAUUUUAAAUAAUAAUAAUAACAUGUUUAGAUAUUAUAAAAUAAAUAAAUUAUAUAAUAUAAGUUACUUUGACAACUAACAUACAUAAUUCAUUUAUUUUAAAAUAUUAAACACAAACAUAACAAGAAAUAAUAAAUUCAAUUAAAAUUAUUUAUUUAUUUAUGCAUAAACCCAUGUAUAUAUAUAUAUAUAUAUAUUAAUUGAAGCAUAAAAAACCAUCUACAUGUGUAUAUAUAUCAAUUGAAGCAUAUAUACAAGCUUUAGUCUAAUGGUUUAAGCAAAAAAUAGGCCAUGGUAAAGGGUUUAAGCCAACCCGCCCCUUUAGUUUGGUUUUUGUUUUUUUUUUUUUGUUUUAAUUUCUUUUGGGCUACUGACCAUGCAUUCUCUCAUGGCCCAACGACCACUUAUGGUCACUUACAAGCCAAGCCCCUUCCAUAUAUAUAUAUAUAUAUAUAUGUUUUUAUUUAUUUAUUUAAAUUUUGUCCAUUGCAGCCCAAAGCGACCAUCCCUUGUAAUGGCAUCAUCAACGGUGCCAGAGCUGUCCUCGAACGACACCGAUAGUGAAACGCUGCCACCAUCACCGGAACGGUGAUUUCCCAUCGCCAAACGACGGUGUCACUACCGGAAUGAUGCUGUAACAGCAUCGCUGGGAAGCAACCUAACUUGUGGCGUGACACCAUGACAAGCAAUGCCACUAGCAGUGAAACGCUGUCGCCAUCACCGAAACGGUGAUUUUCCAUUGCCAAACAAUGGCGCCACCACCGGAACAACGUUGAAACAACAUCACUGGGAAGCAGCCCUACCCGUGGCACCAAAAUGGCGCUUGGAUGGCAUUUGGAACACUUGCAACAACGUUCAAAUCAGCGCUUCUCACUGGCAAAUGACGCUUGAACGACAUCUGGAAAUAAUGCCUACAACGCCUAAAAAUUGUGCUAUUUUGAACUCUUAAAACAACGUUGAAAUGACGUCUACCAAAGUCUGGAAUUGCACCGCUGUCUAGAACGAUGCCAUGAUGGUGUCUCACUCGCCUUAAAUGGCACCAACCACCAUGACUUGCAACCUAAAAAAUGGCACUUGAACAGCGCCUGAAGCGUGCCUGGAACGACGCUACAAACGAUGCCUGAAAUGGUGCCUUUUGUAUGCCUGAAAACGACAUAGGAAUGACGCUUAAACUACGUCCAUUUUGAACGCCUGAACGGUGUCCUAACGGCGCCUGAAACGAUGCCUGAAUGACGCCUGGAAUUGGCCCAGAUUUAUUUUAUGUUGUUUCCUUCCUCUUGGAUCUUUUGUUUGUGUUUUAAAAAAAAAAAUGUUUUGGUGAAAAUGGGAAAUGCAACCAGGCUCUGAUACCAUUUUGUGGGACGUUCAUUCUCCAUUAUCAUCGAACACAUGCAAGAUAUAUUUAUAUAUAUCUAUCAAUUCAUUCAAAAUAUGCCUUCAUUUUAUGGAACAUACCCGAAUCCAUUUUGUUUGUGUUGAAGAGGUACAGAUCUUCUAAGGCUAUGGGGGGUACCACCUUUUCUUAGAAUUCUCUAUGACGAUGGGAAGCCAGAGAGAACAAGUUCUAUUUUUAUUUUGAAAACGUUGUUAUCCUUAAAGAACAAACACUAUUAUUUGGAUUUAUACUCUCCUACCUUAGGGACCAUACCCUUUGGCUAUUGGGCCUCACGAGUCUUAGGCCCAUCAUCUAAGGCUCGUUAUAGCACUAGGCUCUACACAUAAGGUGGCCCAUACUCUGGAAAGAAUAGAAAUCAUAUGUAUAUAUAUGGAUAGCUAAAUCAUGAACAAUGGUUAAUAUGAUGUCGGUUCACAUUUAUUAUAUCAUAGAGACUUCCCAUAUGAAGAAAAUCGACAGCAGGUAGCUUUGCCAUUCUUAGUCUGUAUACAACCAACCUUAGCAAGGAUUGAACCCUUUUAUGCUUAGUUGUGCCAUAAAGAUCCUUACCACUGCCUAUAACAUGUAAUCAAAAUGAUUCGAUAAUAUCAUCUAGUGAACCAAUACCUCCAAAUGAGAGACCAUUGCCUUGGUAACUAGGGCUCAUGACUGAGAAUUGCUUGAACCCCUUUGCUUGGGUUGGAGCUUGACUGAUGCACAAAAUAUUCAUAGGCCUCUUCCCAUAACUGGCACCUUGUGUUUGCAACAUAAUUGAACAUGUAUUGAAGUGAGUUUUUUUGCAUCUUUUUGUAAGAAAAUUCUAAACAACAGAGAUUGCUUAGUGUGCCCGGCUCCUCGGGGAAUCAAGGUUCAUUCCUGUAGGGCCAAUUUUUUCACAGUCGAACUAGAUAACAUGGAGAGUAUGUUGCAAUGCUUCAACGGGGUAUUUCUUAGGAAAAUCCACCUGAAGCUAGUACAAUUCGUUGGCGUACUGAGUUCCUGGAGCUCUAUUGACUUCAAUCACCCAUCUUUGUAGAUUAUCGGUGACUUAUGCUCGGAUCCUGUAGGAGGAUUGACCUGACAUUCCACUAGCUCUUUCUGGAAGGCGAUCUUGUUUAACACCUUGUGAGAAGAGGCAAGGGAACUGGUCAUUGUUUCUUCGAGAAGAUCAGUGGCCGAGGAUGGGUUUGGAUCAGAAUUGCUAUAUGGGUUUUCUUUGGGUGAACCAAUUAGUGAAGUGGGUGGCUAUAUAGCAACUGAAGGGUAGUCAUACUAACGAGGAACUAUUAUUUCAUGCAUGUGGAGAGGAAAUGAGUAGAUUCUUCAGGGAUAUAUGAUUAUUCAUCUCUAGCUUACGUUGAAUAUCUCCUAACAAAUUUAUGCUUUGAAGCUCCCUUAGUUUCAUUACAGCUAACUUGGCCAACUUGGUUUCAUCAUGUUUCCUACAACCUCUAAGCAAAGCACGCCAGAUCACCAAAUCAGGUUCUAUUCGCAUUUUGUCCAUAAACUCCUUUGCCUAUUGACAAUAGACUGCCCCUCAAAAUUUGAUGAGAUAACAUCAACGCUGACAGGUUGGCCAUCCCCAUAAGCAUCUUUAUAGAGAUUGAUUCUAUGUUUAGAUAUUUCUCUCUCCUCAAGUGAGUUCAAUUUUUUUGUAACAUCCUUCUCCUUCUCUACUAAUAGUCUUAGCUGAACAUCCAACCUAUGUUCCUAAAGUGCCAGCAUCUCAUAUCUGAUGACAAGCCAACAACCUUGCCCUUGCUGAGACCAAUGUUUUUAAGGCGUUUGUGGGGCGCGCCUUGAGGCGAGGCGCAGCGAAAACGUGUUGAGGCGUUAAAAAUAAAAUGAAACACCUGAAAGGCGUACGCUUUUCCGAUGAGGCGUGAUUGAGGCGUGCUUUGAUCGCGCCUUUCACACUCCAAGAAGAAGGUGUAUGCUUCCUCGGAUCUGAUGUGGCAAUGAACAGAGAUUUAAAAAAAAACCCUAAGUAAUCCCUAAAACCCUAGUCCCGACUGAAAACAAACCCAAAACGAAACCCUACCUCCAACGACUCAAGUGGCGACGGAGUGCUCACCCUCGGCUGCGACCAAUCGCAAUGCAUCUUCUCCGGCGACGAUCCCUCUCAUUCAUCUCCAGGUAUGUUGCGAACUCCUUCUUCCAUGGUUUCUCCCUCUUCGUUUCUCUUUCUGCAAUCCACACGGGCUUCGUCGACUCUUCAUCCAAAUUUUUUUUUUAUCAAAUCAGUUAUGUAUAUCUAUUUAAAUUUUAAACCCUUUUUUCUCUCUCUUACAGUAUAUCUAUUUAAAUUCUUUCUCGGCAAUCCACAGCCCACACUUCCAGUCCACACUUUUCUCUCUCUCCCAAUAGGCUUUUCAUUUUCCUUUUUUUUUUUUUUUUUUUUUUAAAUUAUCAAAUCAAAUGUGCCUUUUGUUAAUAAGAUUUUUUUUGAAGUUUUUUAUAUGUUUGCUUAUAGUAUCAACAAAAAAAUAUAAUUAAAAUUAUAUAAAAGACAAUUAUUUGUGAAUUUUGAAUUUUUUAUUUCUGGUUUAAUUUUAAUUUUCACCUCAAUUUUCUUUAUUUCAUUAUUAAAUUCCAAUUAAAAUUUAUGUGUAUAAUUUUUAAACUCUUUUAAAAAAAAUUGGUUUUUUUUUAAUUUAAACCAAUUAAAUUUUGUAUUUCAUUUUUAAAUUUCUUUCAAUUGUGCUUUGUUAUUAUUUUUUUAGUCAAUUAUAUUGUUAUAUGGAAAUUUGAAUAUUAUUAUUGGUGAUUUUUUUUAGAAUGAGUUCCUCUGAUUCAAAAAAUUCAAGAAAGGAUUUUGUGUGGAAGUAUGUGAUGGAAGUUUCUAGAGAGCAAUAUUUAAUAUGUAAAUUUUGCAAUCAAAGAUGUACGGGAAGGGUGAAUAGACUAAAACAUCACUUAGCCGGAACUCAUCAUGGUAUGAAACCAUGCAACAAAGUUAGUGAAGAUGCUAGAUUGGAAUGUAAAGAGGUAUUGGCUAAUUUUAAGGAUCAAAAAACGAAGAGAAAUGAAUUGCUCCAAGAAAUUGGUAUGGGUCCAACUUCAAUGCAUGAAAGUGCCUUGUCUAAAAUAAUAGGGACAUUAGGGAGUGGGAGUGGGAGUGUAAGUGGGAGUGGGGAACCUAUUCCUAGGGGACCCAUGGAUAAAUUUACCACUUCACAACCUAGACAAAGUACUUUGAAUUCAUAGUGGAAGCAAGAAGAAAGGAAGGAAGUGUGUAGAAAAAUUGGUAGGUUUAUGUAUUCAAAAGGUCUCCCAUUCAACACUGUGAAUGAUCCUUAUUGGUUUCCUAUGAUAGAUGUUGUUGCAAACUUUGGGCCCGGGUUUAAGCCUCCAUCUAUGCAUGAAUUGAGGACAUGGAUUCUUAAAGAAGAGGUGAAUGACCUAAGUAUCAUUAUGGAAGAUCACAAAAAAGCUUGGAAACAAUAUGGAUGUUUAAUUAUGUCAGAUGGUUGGACAGAUGGAAAAAGUAGGUGUCUUAUCAAUUUUUUGGUGAAUAGUCCUGCUGGAACUUGGUUUAUGAAAUCAAUUGAUGCUUCUGAUACAAUAAAAAAUGGGGAAUUGAUGUUCAAAUAUCUUGAUGAGGUGGUUGAAGAAAUUGGAGAGGAGAAUGUUGUGCAAGUCAUCACUGAUAAUGCCUCUAAUUAUGUGAAUGCUGGAAUGAGGCUUAUGGAAAAAAAGAGUAGAUUGUGGUGGACUCCUUGUGCUGCUCAUUGCAUUGAUUUGAUGUUAGAGGAUAUUGGAAAGCUAAAUGUUCAUGCUACUACACUUUCUCGAGCUAGGCAAGUUGUGAAGUUUAUAUAUGGGCAUACUUGGGUUCUUAGCUUGAUGAGAACAUUUACAAAAAAUCAUGAACUUAUUCGUCCAGCAAUUACACGGUUUGCUACUGCAUUUCUUACUCUCCAAAGUCUUUAUAAGCAAAAGCAAGCUCUUAUAGCAAUGUUCUCCUCAGAAAAAUGGUGUUCAAGCACAUGGGCUAAAAAGGUAGAAGGUGUGAAAACUCGAAGUACAGUGUUGUUUGAUCCAAAUUUUUGGCUUCAUGUUGCUUUUUGCAUAAAGACCACUGUUCCAUUAGUUAGUGUCUUGAGAGAGGUUGAUUCAGAGGAAAGACCAGCCAUGUGUUAUAUUUAUGAGUUGAUGGAUUUAGUUAAGAAGAAGAUUGCAUUUAAUUGUCGGGGCAUGGAGAGAAAAUAUGACCCAAUUUGGAGAAAAAUUGAUGCAAGAUGGACUCCGCAACUUCAUCGACCUUUACAUGCAGCAGACUAUUAUCUUAAUCCUCAAUUGCGGUAUGGAGAUAAGUUCUCUAAUGUUGAUGAGGUGAGGAAGGGAUUAUUUGAAUGCAUGGAUAGAAUGUUGGAUUAUCAAGAACGUUUAAAAGCUGACAUUCAGUUGGACUCAUAUGACCAAGCAAUGGGUGAAUUUGGGAGUCGUAUUGCAAUUGAUUCUCGAACAUUAAGAAGUCCUACAAGUUGGUGGAUGCGUUUUGGGGGUUCAACACCGGAGUUGCAAAAGUUUGCUAUUCGAGUCCUUAGCCUUACUUGUAGUGCUUCGGGAUGUGAAAGAAAUUGGAGCACAUUUGAAUCGGUAAUACUUCUAUUUUUGUAAAUUUUUAUACAUAUAUUUCUAUUUCAAUGUUAGAGAACUUUAUUUCAUUUUAACACAUAAAAUUGUUUCUUUUAUUAUUUGUAGAUCCAUACAAAAAAAAGAAAUAGACUUGAACAUCAAAAGUUGAAUGCUCUAGUGUAUGUAAGGUACAACACUAGAUUGAGAGAGUGAAGUCUACAAAGGAAACAAAAUGUUGAUCCAACCUUGGUAGAGGAGAUUGAUUCUGAUGAUGAAUGGAUUGCGGAGAAAGAAGAUCUCCUCCUCCCCCUUGAUCUUUGUUGGCUUCAAGAUAAUGAAUUAUUCAAUGUUGAUGCCAUUAGAGUUGUGUCAUCCAACUCCCAAGAGACGCAAGCAUCAUCGGAUCAUAUGGUUUCUUCACAUUCCUACAAAAGGAAACAUAAUGAAGUACCAAGUAAGUACUCAAAAAUUGAAAUCAUAAAUUUGAUUAAAUUUAAUAAAAAAAACUUUUAAUAUUUAAACAUAAUUAAUACUUUAUGCUAGGUACAAGUGGAGGCAAAGGCAAAGAGAAGGAAUUGAAUUUGACACCAAUUGAUGAAGAUGAAGAUUUAGAUGAAAUGGGGAUACAUGAUAGUGGACAUUUUCCUACUAUUGAUACAUUGGAUGAGGAUGAUGAUGACCUUGGAGAGGAGGAUUUAAGUUGAAACAAUUUACUCUAGUUGUUAUUUCAUGACUUAGUUAUGGAUUUUUUGUAAAAGUUUAGAACUAUUAUUAUGGUUGACUCUAUUUUCUAUUUCAUGACUUAGUUAUGGCUUUUUGUUAAAGUUUGAAACUAUUAGUAUAGUUGAAUCUAUAAUCUAUUUUAUGAAUUUGUUAUGGUUUUUUGUGAAAGUAAGGAACUAGUAUGUUUUUUUUUAUGAUUCUAAUGAAUUGUUUUCAUGUUUUUAUUUAUGCUAUUUUAUUUUAUAUAUUUUAAAAUAUUAAUUAAUUAUAUAAUGUGAGGCUCAAAAAGCUUACGCCUCAAUGCCUCGAGGCUUACGCCUCGCCUCACGAACACAAAAACGCCUCGCCUUACGCUUUCGCCUUUAAAAACUUUGGCUGAGACCCAAAUAAGUAUCCAGAACCAUCAUCAUCAACCCUUUCACAAGCCUUUGUAUUUGAAGGUCAGAUUGGGAUUGCUUUGAAUGCACUGACACUGACACUGCAAUACACAAUUGUUUCUUCUCCAAUAAAAACACCACAAAGAGGUGAGGGGACUGGUAUUAGCAAAGAAGUGUUGUUAUCUAUAUUGUUCUGAGCCCGAGUACCAAAAACAAAAUCCUCAUCCUCAUCUAUACUCUUCCAUUACAUCCCUAGGCUUUUCAAUGUGAUCCACAUGGCUUACAGGAAUCCAGAAAUAUCGGUCUGUAUAAAAGUUGCUCUUAUGUGGCUCUCCUAGAAAACAUCCCAAUCAAGAUGAUCAACCUAGCUUAGAUGCUCAACACCCCAAACUUACGAGAAAUAGAGGAAUAAAAAGCAAGGAUAGGAGCCAAAGUAAAAACUGAGGGAAGAGCAAAUAGGAAAUCAAGCAAAACAUGAAUGUACAGAGCCUCAUUUCAGGUGACAUCUUUGGGCUAAUAAUAGGUGGAAUUAACAAAGUAGAUAAGCAUGAUUGUUAUAAAUAUCAAGUUCAAGGAUGAAGUCGUGCAUCAGCUACUUAUAGGGGGAGUCAAGGAAACCAAGAUAAGAUCAAAGAGAGCAUGUAUGCAAAUAAACAGAUUUGACAAAAUAGACCAAACAGCUUGUGAAUAUCCUCCUACAAAAAACUACUACACGUGGCAAAAAGUGAUGAAGCAAAAAGAGUCGGGUCCGCAUAUACAUAUCCUAUGCUAUCCUAUUCCUUCAAAUCCAAAGCAACCUGUAUUUUCAAUGGGAUUUGUUGUGAUGAAUUUUACUGGAUUGUAACAUGUAAAUAUGUUAAAAAAGGCUUGGGACAUUCCUAUAUAGUAACGCAUAAAGGUACUUCCAUUGUGAAGUUGUCAAAAUUGCAAAUUUAAAUUACAAAAUUUGAAAACAUAGAGAUGAAAGAUGAUGAAACCUUCUUUGAAAUUUUAUAUUGAACUCAUUAAUAUUAUUAAUUUUCAUUUCAGUCUAAGGGAAAGAAUUCUUUACUCUAAAGUGGUCACAAAAAUAUUAAAAUUCCUUGUCGAGAGAUUUAGAUCUAAAGUGAUCAAUAUAGAAGAAAGUAAAAAUAUUCUAAGUGUAGGUAAACUUGUAGACUCAAAUGACUCUACCUUCUCAUAAAAAAUCCUCAAUUUUAUAAAUUAUAUAGAUUUCUUCAUUUGAUACAAAAUUUGAAUAAAGAUUUUUCAAAUGACAACACAAGGAAAGGGAAAAAAAAAAUCUAUCCAGAUCAUAUUAUUUAAUCACUUAAAUUAUUUAAAAAUAAAAAUGUUUACUGCUAACAUUAUUUAGGUUCAUCUUUCUUUUGAUGGAGGUUAAAAUUCAUAAUUUUGAGGAAAAAGAUGAGGAUUCUCAUUUUUUUUUUCCAUGUAUGAAUGGGAUUCUCAUUGUGUAUAUGUGGGUUACUAAAUGGCAAAUUUGGGGGCCAAUAUGAGGGAAAAAAUGAAGUUGAGUUUGUCACCAAGAAUAGACAUGGUUCCUACAAAGGUGGCAUCUUUAAUUUCAUGUUUGGAUUGGACUUGUCAUGUAACAACUUAACAAGUGAAAUCCCUCAUGAACUUGGAAUGUUAAGUUUGAUUCAUGCAUUGAACUUGUCUCGUAAUCAACUAAAAGGCUCCAUUUCAAAGAGUUUUUGCAAUCUUUCUCAAAUAGAGAGCUUAGACCUUUUUAAUAAUAAACUAAGUGGAAAAAUUCCUCCAAAAUUGGUUAGACUAAACUUUUUAGCAGUGUUCAAUGUUAGCAUAUUCGGAAGAGUUUUAGAUAUGAAUGCAUAAUUUGCAAAAUUUGAUGAAAGUAACUAUGAAGCUAAUCCUUUCCUUUGUGGACCACCAUUAAACAGAAAAUGUAGCAUAAAUGUUGUUGAACCACCUUACCAACCAUUAGAGUCUUCAGAAGAAAGUGAUGCAAAAUGGUAUAAUAUCAAUCUUGUUAUUUUCUUUGCAAAUUUUACUACAUCAUAUAUCAUGAUAUUAUUAGGAAUUUCAACCAUUCUUUACAUUAACCCUUAUUGGUGUCAAAUAUGGUUCAAUUUUAUCGAGAAAUAUAUAUACUUUUGCUAUUAUUUUGUUUCCUAUACUCUUUCCAAGUUAUUAACAUAUUUUGAAUAAUUAGAGAUUUUUGUUUUCAAUAAUAUUUACAUAAUUAACUACUAUUGGUUUCCAUGACAUGGAAAGAAAUGCGGUGAAGGCAACAACCACUUUUUUUUCUCCUCUACUAGUGCAUGAUUGAUAUGAGUUAAAACUUGCACCCUUAUCUUUACUUAAAUUUUCUCAGCUUUUGUUUCAAUUCUUAAUUAUCAUUUCUUUUAUGUAUUGUUUAAUACAAUAUCCUAAACACAUUGCUUUGAAGGUUACUUAUUUAUUAAGCAUGAUAUUUAUUUUCAUAAAGACAAAUUCAAGUUUUUUAGGAAUUUUUAGAAUUAUUAUAAUUUGGAGUUCACAUUAGAGGAAAAAAAGGAAAGAAAAGAAUAGAUAAUUAAAAAAACAAUUUUAGUAAGUAUAAUUUGUCAUCUUCGGUAUAACAAAUGGGAAUUCCAAAAUAAUAUUUCAAUUUGUUAGUCUAUUCCUUAUAAUAUUAAUUGAAAUAUCAAAUAAGGAGUCACGUUUUGAUUUUUUUAUUAGCUUGAAUUGCAUGUCACAUAUAUUUUAAAAUCAAGCAUACCUCAGCAGGGAAGUUCUUGUAACAUGCAUGAACAUGAUAUGAUGAAUUAAAUAAUUUUCUUAAUUGUGUGAGACACAAACCCUCUUUGUUUAAUAAUAAUAAUAAUAAUAAUAAUAUACUACACAUUAUUAAAUCAUAUAUGUAUAUUUAUAGUCGUAUAAUAUAUUUAUAUAAGUAACAAUAAAUUAUAUUGUAUAAGGUAUCGGUAGGAGUUUUCAAUUCCCUCAUAUAAUAAUAUCUAUCAAUAAUUGGAUUGGACACCUUGCUGGCCAUGAGAAUGGACUUGACAUUAACACAUAGCCUUGAGUGGUGUUGAUAUUAUUACUUUGAACCAGAACUGCAGUCAUCUCAAAAACUAUAUUAUAUAGAAAAGCAAAAUAAAAACAUUAGUUAAAAAAAAUGUCAAGAUCCUUGAAAUCACGUUUCAAUAUGUUAAAUUACCAUUUUUUUAAAUAAAUUUUUGAUAGGUUGUGUGAAUAAAUAUAAUUGCUAUGAAGGGUUUCAAUUUAAUUUUACUAGCAAAUCCAUAAUAGGUGAAAAGACAAAACUACCAUUUUUGUUUUUUUUCUUUAUUUACCUUUUUUCUCUCGUAACCUUACUCCUUUCUCCUUUUUGUUUUUUCCUUUUUUAUUAUUAAUUUGUCUUUUUCCUUUUUCUCAACUAACUAUUUUUUUUCUUGUAAUUGUUAUUAUCAUUCUUAUUAUAAAUAUUAUAACCUUAUAUUAUAAAUUUUUAGUUUAGAUUAUAUUUAAACUAACUAAUGUUGUGGUUUUAAUUGACAUGGAAAAGAAUGUGGUUAUACAUGUGAUUGUCGCCUUUUUUUUUUUCAAUUAGUUAACUAUUGAUACAAGUUAAAAGUAAAAAUUGCAAUAUUAUCUUUACGUCAAUUUCACCGAUCUUUUGUUUUUAUUUUCAUGUAUCAUUCCUUUUUUGGUUAUUUAAUUAAAAGGAUUAAAAAAAAAUCACAUAUUCACAAUAAUAACCUUCAUAUUUUAAAAACAUAAAAUAAACAUUUUUUUUUUUUUAUAAAAAUACCCUCCAACUAUAUUUUUUAUAUCCCUAUUUCAAAUCCAAACACUUCUUUUAAAAAUAAUAAUAAUAAAUAAGGGCAAAAAUGUCAAACUGGGAUUAUAUUUAUAAUUUUCAAUAAUUAGAGGUUGUUUUUCCAAUGUAAAAAUUAUUUUGUUCCUUUGGCACAAAUAUUUCUUUCUUUUAUGUAUUUUUUUUAUUCAAAAUAUUAAACACAUUACCCUCAAGGUUACUAUUUAUUAUGAAUGGUGUUUACUUUACAUAACGAGAUAUUCAAAUUUUUUAGAAUUUUUUAAUGUUAAAAUAAUUUGGAGCUUAAUAGGGAAAAAAAAGAAGAAAGAAUAGAUAAUUAGAAAAGCAAUUCAAAAAAAUAAAAUUUAUCCUCUUAAAUUGGUUUUGUGUAAUACUAUAGAAGCCAUUUCUUGAGUUUGAUAUGGUAGAAUUUGGAUUCAUAUUUAUUUUAAAAUCAAGAAAUUCAAGUGUUGGUAGCAUCAAUAGAAUCUUAACAAAUUUGAAAAAAAAUAUUUAGGUAGAUCACAUUUAAAUAUAGCUAAUAGAAUAAAAAAUUAGUAUUAUUAGAAAGACAUGAUCAAUUAAAUCUUUUUUCUUAUCUAUGACACCGACUUUAUUUUUUUACAUAGUCAAUACAAUUUAUUACAACUUAUAUGUCAUUAAAUUAUAUACGUUUAUAUUAAAUAUAAUAUAAGACCAUUAAUGGAAUAAUUAUGCAAGUAAUAUAAAUUGUAUAUAAUAUAAAAAAUUUAAACUCCAUCAAACUAAUGGAAUCUAUUAUAAUAAGUAGACUAGACACCAUGUUGGCCCGAGUUGCAGGCCUGGGCCAGAUUUUAAAGGCUGGGCUUUGAGUUGCCCGUGGGCCUGAGCCAAGGCCUUCUCUUGGUAUCAUCAUUUUGAAGAAAUAAAUUGCUGAUACAGAGAAAAAAACUAUACUAAAUAGAAAAAUAAAUAAAAGCAUUGACUAAAAUGAAGGUCAAGGUCCUUGAAAAAUAAUCUUUAAAUUGUUGCAUAUAUAAUUUCAAUAAUGCAUAAAUAAUUGCAAUAUAUAUGAUAUGAUAAAGAAUUUGGAAUUAAAAGAAGAUUGAUCUAUUUUAAAUGUGGUUGGAAUAUUUCUAAAUUUGUGAUGGGAAGUUAGACAGCCAAUUAGGGAUCCAUAUUAUUUAUUUUCAAUGAUAUGAAUUUAUUUACUUUUAUUAAUAUUCUUAAUGCAACAAUAUAAAAUAUGUCAAUUUUCUAAAAUUUAAAAAGUAAUUGUAAAAGAAUUUUUUUUAAUUAUUUUUCUGAAAUUGAGUUUAUUAUAACAUUUUUCUUUACAUAAAUUUCUUUUUUAUUUUUAUUUUUUUUAAAAUGAGAUAUGAAAAAAAGAGAUCAAUAUUAGUACAAGUAAAACCCAAUAUAUAUAUAAAAAAAAUGAAUAAAUGUUUAUGAAAUAUUUUUUCUCUUUUAAUUCCUAUUCAAUUCAUUACACAAAAUAUUUUUGGUUUUUAUGCUAAAAUUUAUUGUUUAUUCAAAAAUUCUAGUAUACCUAGCUAUCAUAGAAGAGCCCCAAAAUUUUAUUGUUUAAGAGAAUAUGUGUUGCCACUUUAAAAGAUUUAUAUGCAAAAGGGAUUGAUAUUUUUUUCCUUUGGAUAUAUUUAGUUCCCGGAAAAUUUGAGGGAAAAUGUGAGGGAAGAAAAAUAGAGAAGAAAAGUAUAACGAAAUAAAAAGUGAAGGAAAAUGAAAAAUAGAUUUAAAGUUAAUAAAUUAUUUUCAUUGGUUUUUUCAAACUUAUUUUACUUAUUUUAUUCUAUUAAAUAAAGAUUAGCUAAUUUUAAUUAUAUUUGGUUUGAUUUUUAUUAUUUUUCAAAGCAAAACCAAAUAUGAAAAAAAAAACAUUUUUUUUGUUCAUUUUUUCUUUCCUUAUUACUUUUCAAAACUCAAACAUAGCUUUUAGAUUUGGAGCAUGGAAAGAUAAGAGUAUUGAAUAAAGGUUCUAUAUAUGCCCAUGCCCAUGAUACCAUUGAAAAAAAUGGAGAAAGGGUGAAACUUUUUCUCUUCAAUGGAAAUCAAAUAUAAUUAUUUUUAUCUUGUAGUAAUUGAAUGUUAUACUCCAUAAACUCAAAAUUAAAAUAAAUAAAAAAUUUAAAAACUAGGACAAUCCCAUUUUUUUUUUCAAUUUCUUAAAAAGAAAUUAAAUUACAUUUAUUUAUAUCUAUUUUCAUCCCUACCCAAAAAAAUAAAAAAAAAAUUAACAAGGUGGGACAUGUAUGAGAAAUUCUCACACUAACUCUCUCUAGUUUAUUUUUUAUUUUUUAAAAAAAAUCAAUUUCUUUUAAAAAAAUUAAACUAUAUAAAAAAUAAAUAUAAUUUAAAAUAAAAUAAUUUAACAAUUUUUUUUUUAAGAAAAGUAAAUUUCUUAUUUUAUAUAUGUUAAAAAUAAAUAUAAUCUUUUAUUUUUUUAUAUAUAUAAUCGGGUAAGGUAGAGUGGGACAAAGAAAUAAUCCCCUUCGAUUCCAAUAUGAAUUUUUAAAAUAUAAAAUAAAAAUCUUAAACUCAUCCCUAAUCCAUUUAUUUUUAAUCCUAAACUCGUCUUAUUAAGAAUAAGGCAAAGUGAGUACAUGAAAACACUUCUUUUAUCAUCAUCUCUACAAGUUCUAAUGUUUAGACUGCAAUCCAUAUCAAAGAUUUAUAAAGAAAGGACAACGAUGAAUUUCAUAAACAUUUGAAAGCAUAUACGUACAAAGUUUUAAAUAAUAUUGCUUGAGGUGCAAAUAUUAUUUGGCGCACAUAUUGAGGGACUUCAACUUGUUUUUUACAUUAGUAAGUAAUCUUGAAUAUCUAGAGUAACUUGACCAAAAUCUCUUUAAUUUUAUUUUCUUUGAUGGUUGUAUGAUGAAUUAGAAUGCUUAUAUAACAUGAUUAAAAAUUUUAAGAAAAAAAAAACUAAGAAGAAAGAAAGAAGCACCGAUCUUCCAAAUAUUGCUUCCACUUUAAUAUCUAGAAGGCUCUAAGAAAAGAACUUUUUUCAUGAAUCAUAACCCAAGUCGAAAAUAAAUUGAACCCAUUUUCUAAGUUAAAUUUUGAAUUUUUUACUAGUGAAUGCAAAUUGGGAAAAUGUAUAUAAAUAUAAUUAAACUAGAAUAGUAGGUUAGGUUUGUAGGUGGAGUUUGUUUGAAUUGUUGGAACUUCCAAGUCGUUGUGGGUCUAGUGGUCCCAUAGCUCUCUAUUAAUUUCCACCAUCAAUUUUCUGCAAUAAAGUCAAGUCAUUCCUAACCCCUAUAUUAAGUUGGCCUUAAAAGUCAAGUCAUUGAUCAUAGUUACAUUCAUGAAUCACAACCUAAGUCGAAAAUAAAUUGAACCCAUUUUUCAAGUUCAACUUUGAAUUUUUUACUAGUGAAUGCAAAUUGGGAAAACAUAUAUAAAUAUAAUUAAACUAAAAUAGUAGAUUAGGUUUGUAGGUGGAGUCUGCUUAAAUUGUUGAAACUUCCAAGUCAUCGUGGGCCCAGUGGUCCCAUAGCUCUCUAUUAAUUUCCACCAUCAAUUUUUUGCAAUAAAGUCAAGUCAUUCCUAACCCCUAUAUUAAUUUGGCCUUAAAAGUUCAGUCAUUGAUAGCUAAAUCCCAACCCAAGUCAAAAAUAAAUUGAACCCAUUUUCUACGUUCAACUUUGAAUUUUUUUUAAUUGGAAAAAUGUAUAUAAAUACAAUUAAACUAGAAUAGUAGAUUAGGUUUGUAGGUGGAGUCUGCUUGAAUUUGUGAAACUUCCAAGUCAUCGUGGGUCUAGUGGUCCUAUAGCUCUCUAUUAAUUUCCACCAUCAAUUUUCUACAAUAAAGUCAAGUCAUUCCUAACCCCUAUAUUAAUUUGGCCUUAAAAGUCUAGUCAUUGAUAGCUACGUUCAUGAAUCCCAACCCAAGUCAAAAAUAAAUUGAACCCAUUUUCUAAGUUCAACUUUGAAUUCUUUUAAUUGGGAAAAUGUAUAUAAAUACAAUUAAACUAGAAUAGUAUAUUAGGUUUGUAGGUGGAGUCUGCUUGAAUUUGUGAAACUUUCAAGUCGUCAUGGGUCUAGUGGUCCCAUAGCUCUUUAUUAAUUUUCACCAUCAAUUUUUUGCAAUAAAGUCAAGCCAUUCCUAAACCAUAUAUUAAUUUGGCCUUAAAAGUCAAGUCAUUGAUAGUUACGUUCAUGAAUCACAACCCAAGUCUAAAAUAAAUUGAACCCAUUUUCCAAGUUCAACUUUGAUUUUUUUACUAGUGAAUGCAAAUUGGGAAAACGUAUAUAAAUAUAAUUAAACUAGAAUAGUAUAUUAGGUUUGUAGGUGGAGUAAGCUUGAAUUGUUGAAACUUCCAAGUCAUCACGGGUCUAAGGGUUCCAUAGCUCUCUAUUAAUUUUCAUGGUCAAUUUUUAUGAAUUAAGAUUUAAAAGUGAGAAGGGAAUAAAUUUUUUCUUUUUCAAUUCAUUACAAAAAAUAUUUUUGGUUUUUAUGCUAAAAUUUAUUGUUUAUUCAAAAAAUUAAAGUAUAAAUAUAUAUAUAUAUAUCUUGCUAUUAUAGAAGAGCUCCAAAAUUUUUGUGUUUAAGAGAAUAUGUGUUGCCACUUUAGAAGAUUUAUAUACAAAAAGGAUUGAUGUUUCUCCUUUGACUAUGUUUGGUUCCCAAAAUUUGAGGGAAAUAAAAAAAAAAUAGUAAAAAAGAAAAAAUGAAAGAAAAUAAAAAAUAGUUUUAAAGUUAAUAAUUAUUUUUAUAUGUUUUUUCAAACUUAUUUUACUUUUUUUUUCAUUAUAUAAAGAUUAAAUAAUUUUAAAAUGCAUAAAUUUCUAACUAAUUUUAAUUAUAUUUAAUUUUUCUUUUAUAUUUUUUAGAUAGGAUCCGACACAUGAAAAAUCCUUUUUUUUAGCAUUUUUUUUUCUUUUCUUAUUACUUUCCAAUAACCAAAUAUAACCUUUAGAUUUAGCCUUUAAACUUGGAGUAUGGAACGAUACUGAGUAUUGAAAGAAGGUUUUGUAUAUGGCCAUGAUACCAUAGAAAAAAUGGGCGAGAGAGAAAAAACCUUUAUUAAAUGAUAAAUUAUUUUUUUCAAUGGAAAUCAAAUAUAAUUAUUUUUAUAAUAAUUACUUUAUUUUUUUUAAAAAUAAUAAUUUGUUGUUGCAUUAAGUAUUCUUGCAUUUGGAGAAGCAUGUUACUACUUACUACAUAAAUAGAUAUUCAUGGAGUGCAUUCUCUAAAAAGCUCCAGUCUCAUGAAAAUGGAAAGAUGGACCGGCCGGUGAACCGGUUCGAGUUUGGAUUUAUUGGCUGCCUCAGCCUUACACGCAUGAUAGGCUGUUGCAGGUGAAGAACUAAUUAAUUUAAAGCCUUCUUCUAUCCUCUCCUAUUCCUCUAUCACUCCAAAUGUUCCACAUGAUAAUGACAAUUCUUUUGUUAAAUGGUAAAAAAAAAAUUUAAAUAUUAUUUAAAAUUUUUUUUAAUUCUAAAUCCAAUGGAAAUUCGACUCUAAGGUGUGUAGAAGGCCCUAGUGCCCAUGUUGCUAAUUUGAUGAUAGUUAAAUUGUCAUUUUGGGAGAUUCCACACACUAGUAUUCUCAUUUAUAAAAUCAUGAACUUUGGCAUCCUAAUUAAUGCAAUUUAAACUUUUUUUGUUUACAAAUGAAAUAAGAGGCAACAUAUAAACCCAAAAGUUAAUUUUCCUACCAUCUCUAUGCACCAUUUUAGCUUUACUCCAAUAUAUUUUCUAUGAUUAAUUAUUUUCAUUCAAACAAUAAUAUCAAAAUAUUUUAAAAUUAGACAUAUCAUAAUCAAAUACCAUUAUAUUAUUACCGAAUAAUAUUUAAUGUAAUUUAAUUAUCAACGUAUACUUAUAAAAUUUAUAUUUUUUAUUAAUGCAUAUAAUAUUAUUAUCAAAUAUGAUAAAUUAUAUAUAUAUAUAUAUAUAUAUAUAUAUAUUUCUUCAACAAAACAACUUUAAAAUAUCUAUUAUAUUUCUAAUUUCAUUUCUAAGAAGUUUUUUUUUUUUUUUUACAUUUUUAUAAGUUUUGAUCAAUUGUAGGCUAACUGAUAUUUUUUAUAUCAAAAUAUCCACCAAUAUAUCUCUGAUAUAUUAGAUAUAUCCGUAAAAUCGAAAUACCAAUAUAUCCGUGAUUAUCGAUAUUUUUAUCCUUGAGGGAUAAUAACUAAUCUAGUUUUUGCACUUAUUGAUAUUUCUCAACAUUUAGAUUGAUUUGACCAAAAUCUUUUUAAUUUUAUUUUCUUUGAUGGUUAUAUGAUGAAUUAGAAUAGUCAUAUAAACAAAUUUAAGAAAAAACGAUAAAAAAGCUCACAUUUUUCAAAUAUUGGUUUCAACUUUGAAUAUUUUUAUUGGUAAAUGAAAAUUGUGAAAAACCUACUAAUGCUAAUACUUUUCACCACAUAAUUAAAUAUAAUAAACUAGAAUAGUGAUUCAUUGAUGUCUUAUAAAGCUACAUGCCUACUUUGACUUGUUAGUUGAUUUUUGUAGGCAGAGUCCAUUUCCAUAUGAAUUGUUGAAACUUCCAAGUCCUUGUGGGUCUAGUGGUCUCUCUAAUAAUUCCCACCAUUAAUUUUUUGUGAUGAAGUGACGUCAUUGAUAGCUACUAUAUCAAUUUGCUAUUAAAAGUCAAGUCAUUGAUAAUUACUAUUCAAUCUUUUUCAAUAUGGAAAUUGGAAUCUCUACUCUUCUCAUUGUUCAUUUUUAGGUAAUGUGAGAAUGUGAGAAUGUGUGAACAUAAAUGUCUUCUAAUCAACCAAUUUUUUUUGAAAAAAACAUGUACAAAAUUGCAAACUUGCAAAAUCAAACUUUCUUGUUGAAUAACCAUAGCUUGAUGGUUUUGAAGAAUCAAAGGAUGAAUCAUAAAAGGGUAUUUGAUAAAAAAUAAAAAUUAAAAAAAUUAAAAGACAACUACUCCCUUAGGUGUAAUAAGUGUAUUUGGUAGCACAAAUUUCCUACCACUUAUUAUUUUUUCCUUUCUUAAAAAAUUAUUUACUCUAUUAAAUAAACUAACCUUGGCUUAUCACUUAUAGCAAAAUAGGUUAAGUACUUUUUAAAAUUUUAUAAUAUUAGAUUUACAUUUUUAUCCUUCAAAAUUUCAUUAAUGUUAGAUUCUUCUAUAUGCUUAACUAAUAAAUAAUUUUUAGCAUUUUUCUUUUCUUAUAAACAUAAAAAAAUAAAAAUAUUAUUAACUUAUUGGUAUAUUUUAAAAUUUUAAUUAGAUUUAAGCUUUUAUUUAUUUGGAUUACCAAUUAUACAUAUAAAUCCUUUAUUAUUAUUGUUAUUAUUGAAAGAAAGGGGUUGAAUAGGUAGUCCCUCAAUCCCCAAAUUAAAUUCUUUAUUGCCUACUUUUGGUUUAUUCCUUUACAUGAAUUCCUUGGUGAGAGUAAACAUUUCAUUAAUAGAUAAAUAAAAUUGAUUCCAUAUCAUAGGGUAUAAUGUGGAAAAAUCACCAGUCUCAUGUGUUCCUUAGUGGAUCCUUUGGAGCCCUUAUCAAAGUUUCAUGAUGAAACCAUUGACUUUUGUUUAACCCAAAUGUGCUUUCAAGACAAAUCUUGAAAUAUUUGAGAGAUGGAGGUUCAAGUCUUUUAUGAACGACCAUGUUCUCUUAGGGUUCAUGAAAAUUCACACCUUUUGAUAAAUAAAACUUAUCUAUUUAUACGUCUAAAACCCAGUAUUUAUUUAUUUAAUUAUAGAAAGUUUCUUAGUUUUAAAAACAUUUCAAAAAUCAUUUUUAGAAUCAAAUAAUAAUUUUAGAGAUAAACACAAUAUUAAAAUUUAACAAAAACAAAAUUUCGAAUUAAAAACACAAUAUAAACUAAAUUACAAAAUAUAAAGGAAUUUUUAUCCUAAUUUCUUGUUUCAAAACCAAAUGGAACACCUAGAAGGGGAGUGAAUGGGUGAUUUUAAAAUUUUUCAAUAAUGAUUUAUAAGUUAUACCCAAUUCUUUUACCCUGCGAGUUGUUAGGGACUAUCAAUUCUUUCCUUUUGGCAAUUCAAACAAUAUAUCAAAUAAUAAAAAGAUAUAAAUAAUGAGACAUAAAGAUUUUUACAUGGAAAACCCCCCACACUAACCAUGGAGAUAAAAAGCCAUGGAGUCUAAGACCUAUUAAUCUAAAUUCACUGUACGAAAUCAAGUUACACAAAUUUAUUUGAUAGCUUUAACUUAAAGACUUACUCUCCGGUACUGACAACUUGAUUCACAUCCACAACGUAGCAACCCUCAAUUACUCCAAUGGAUCACUUCAAGCUUACUAAAAGGAUGAAGGCCUUCAAACCAAGAUUCAAAAAUCAAUUCCUUGAAUGAAAGAUCAGGGAUGGUGUGCCACUUUAGGCUUUCUCUCUAAGAACUCUAAAAUGAUCUCCUCAAUGAAAACCUCUUAAACAAAAUGAGAUAUUUCCCCACAAUCUCUAAUCCUCAAGGGGUUAUAAUGAGAUAUUUAUAAGCAACUAAGUUGAAGAGUUUCAGUUUUGGAACAUGACCGCUCGAGCCAACACACUUCCUACUUGAGCGUUUCGGGCACUUGAGCGGUAAGGCUCGCUUGAGUUGUCCUAAGCGCUUGAGCAUUCCAAGCUACUUGAGCAAUCUUGCUCUAUUUCAAAAGUUAAUUUUAAAUCAUUUUAAGUUCAAAACAAAAUUGAUUCCCUUUAUACCUCAAAGUAGCCUAACUUACAAACCAAACUUUUUUAGAUAUACUUGUGACUUCCUGGUUGGACGAACAACUCUUAAUCUUCAAUGGAAAGCAAGUCAUUAUCUAAAAAGAUUUAUAUGGUCAAACAUAAAAAAACAAAAACAAAAAAAUUGCCAACAUAACAACAAGACUCAAUGUCCUAACAAUCUCCCCCUUUGGCAAUUUUAUGACAAAAACAACAUUACAUAUACCCACUUGAACUCUCAUAAUGGAGUUUAAUAAUACACAUUAAUGUUCAAUUAAAAAUAAACUAAGGGAAUACUUUGUAUCACUUUGUAGUAUUUGUCUUCCAACUUUGUAACCUACACACAUAUAGAAAACUAUACCAAAGGUAAAGCAAUGUGUAGGAUAAGAUAUGAUCAAGAAAGCAAAAUAGGAUAAUUGAAAAUUUUGCUUGAUGCCUUGUGAAAGCAUGAAAAGGGAACAAAUUCAUAUAGUAAUACCAAGGGACAAAGCAAAACUAGAGAAGAAUAUAUAUGUAUGCAAAUCAACCAAACAUAAUAAAAGCUACAUAAGAUGCAAUAGAUCAAUAAUAAUGCCUAGGGGUCUAUCUCCAACCAGAAAAUAGGGAGUGAAAAUCAUAGGAAGAACCUUCUGUGACUUAGAAAGGUUCUAGAGAGAUAGUCAAUUCAAACAUAAAUAUCUUGCUAGAAACAUCUAUGUUAUGUAUCUCUCUAAACCUUCUAAGUUAUGCUUUCAUUAGUUGAUUUGGUUUUUCUCCAAUGUCUCAGGUUUAAUUUCCUCUAAUAUUUCAAUUAGAGAGAAAUUGGUAGUCGAUUGACUUAGUGGGUGUUUGGUAAAACUUAAUACUUAUUAUUUAAUGAUUAACUUUAAGUUAAAUUGUUCUUAAGUUAUUAAUUUAAAAUUUAUUACUUAUUUUGUAUUUAAGUACUAGGGUUAUUUGAAAAAAUCGACUUAAAAUUUAUUCUAAAUCAUCAAAAUGACACAUUUACCCUUAUUAAUUUUAACUUAUAUUUAUUUUCAUUAAUUUUAAACAAUAAAUUUAUUCAUAAAACAUCUAUAUUUUUGUAGAUACAUAACCAUAAAAUAUUUACUAUAAAAAAUGAGUCAUGGAUGUAGAAUUAUAAUUCUAAAAUAUACACUUAUGAGUGUGGGUAAAUAAGGCAAAAAUGAUUUGAGAUUAAGAGUAAAGUUAAUUAUUUUGACUUAAGACUUCAAGUUAAAAAUAACUUUAAGUUGCAAUAUUAAGUUAUUUUAUCAAACAUGCUUAAUUUACUUAACAACUUAAAUUAAGUUAUUAAGUUGAAUUAUCAAACACCCCACUAGUAGUAUGUUGAAAAUUCACACCUUUUGAUAAAUAAAACUUAUCUAUUUAUACGUCUAAAACCCAGUAUUUAUUUAUUUAAUUAGAGAAAGUUUCUUAGUUUUAAAAACAUUUCAAAAAUCAUUUUUAGAAUCAAAUAACAAUUUUAGAGAUAAACACAAUAUUAAAAUUUAACAAAAACAAAAUUUCGAAUUAAAAACACAAUAUAAACUAAAUUACAAAAUAUAAAGUAAUUUUUAUCCUAAUUUCUUGUUUCAAAACCAAAUGGAACACUUAGAAGGGGAGUGAAUGGGUGAUUUUAAAUUUUUUCAAUAAUGAUUUAUAAGUUAUACCCAAUUCUUUUACCCUACGAGUUGUUAGGGACUAUCAAUUCUUUCCUUUUGGCAAUUCAAACAAUAUAUCAAAUAAUAAAAAGAUAUAAAUAAUGAGACAUAAAUAUUUUUACGUGGAAAACCCCCCACACUAACCAUGGAGAUAAAAAGCUAUGGAGUGUAAGACCUAUUAAUCUAAAUUCACUGUACGAAAUCAAGUUACACAAAUUUAUUUGACAGCUUUACCUUAAAGACUUACUCUCCGGUACUGACAACUUGAUUCACAUCCACGACGUAGCAACCCUUGAUUACUCCAAUGGAUCACUUCAAGCUUACUAAAAGGAUGAAGGCCUUCACACCAAGAUUCAAAAAUCAAUUCCUUGAAUGAAAUAUCAGGGAUGGUGUGCCACUUUAGGCUUUCUCUCUAAGAACUCUAAAAUGAUCUCCUCAAUGAAAACCUCUUAAACAAAAUGAGAUAUUUUCCCACAAUCUCUAAUCCUCAAGGGGUUAUAAUGAGAUAUUUAUAAGCAACUAAGUUGAAGAGUUUCGGUUUUGGAAGGUUUCUUAAUUGAAUUUGUGUGAAAAACUCAACAGAAUCAACAUGACCGCUCGAGCCAGCACACUUCCCACUUGAGCAUUUCGGGCACUUGAGCGGUAAGGCUCGCUUGAGUUGUCCUAAGCGCUUGAGCAUUCCAGGCUACUUGAGCAAUCUUGCUCUAUUUCAAAAGUUAAUUUUAAAUCAUUUUAAGUUCAAAACAAAAUUGAUUCCUUUUAUACCUCAAAGGAACCUAACUUGCCACAAACCAAACCUUUUUAGAUAUACUUGUGACUUCUUGGUUGGACGAACAACAACUCUUAAUCUUCAAUGGAGAGCAAGUCACUAUCUAAAAAGAUUUAUAUGAUCAAACAUAAAAAAACAAAAAAAUUGCCAACAUCACAACAAGACUCAAUGUCCAUGCAUGGUCACCUGAAAGUUGACUCCAACCACAAUAUAAUGCAUGUUCUCAUAGAACAUGUGAACAAGAUGGAGAUAGAAAGUCCCUUAGAGAGAAAACAGAGUCUUCUAACCCUACUCUUGAAUGAUGAUAGGGAAGACAGUGUCCUGAAAAGCUUAGAGGUUAAUGGCAUGUUGAGGCUCGACACACCGAUAUGUGAAAGAAGCGUAAUAAUGGUCCCAUGCCACCUGGCAGUGAAAGCGCUCAAUCGAAAGUGCAUCUAGGUUAAAAAGACCCUAGAGUGGGAUGCCCUAGACGGUUUUCAGUGACCUAGGAAAGGUCACCUCCCUCUGAAAUCUAUGACUAGCCAUAUCUAAGGUAUAUAAUAUGAAAAAAAAAAAGCUAAAGAAAAACUAAAGAAAAUCCAAAGAAAAGCUAAACCACUAAAAAUGUUAAACUCAAUGCGUCGAACAAUACUAUACAAAUGGAAAUGAAAAAUAUGAAGCGAACUGACCUCAGAAGACAAAAGGACAGUUACCCAGAGGGCUCGAAGAGGAAUAGGAAAGUUUGAAAUGAAUAUUGUGUGAUGGAUGACCUUUAUAUAGCUUAUAGGAGUGCUUGAUGCAGAUUAGCACUUGAGCGUCAUGACUAACUUAAAUCAAAUUAUUUAUUAAUAUGGAAAUAUUUUAUAAGUUUCAAAGGAAGUAUUCAAUUUAGAACCUUUUUAGAAUUUUUUUGAAAGAAACAAAAAUAAAGCGUGAAAUAUUAUGUGUUAAAGGUGUUAGAAGACAAUAUUGUCUAAUCAAAAGCCUUACACAUUCCCAAAAAAAAAAAAAAAAAAGGAAAAAAAAAGAUACUAUAUAAGAUUUUGAUCACAUCUAAUAGAAACUAAUAUUUAGCAACAUAUCACCAAGCACUAUCUUAUCAGAAAGCUCUAACAUGUUGGAAAUUUAUGUAAGGUUCCAUAACAACUAACAACUUUUUAUGACGACUCGGUAAUGGACCAUUUGCACUUCAACUACAUUAUUAAAUUUAAAUCAUAUUAGAAUAUAAUUGACUUCUCUUUUGUGAGGUUACAUAUCUUGUAGGAUGGGAUAGGUGAUUCAUUUCAUAUAUGAAAUUUUCUUAAUUUAGUAAUGCUUCCAAGUUCAUUAUGAAUCUAAUGGUAUCACAACUCCUUGAAUAUUUGUAAUCUGUAAUCUUUGCUUCAACUUCUCAAGUCUAGUCAUUUUAUCGGCAUAACUAGUUUGCUUCAAUUAUCUCUCAACUUUAUUAUAAAACUAAGGGAAAGGAUUGUCACUCAUUUUAUAUUAACUUAACCAAACAUCUUUAUAUAUAUAUAUAUAUAUAUAUAUUGUAAAUUUAGGAAAAAUUCAUCCAUUAGCCAUAGUAAGUAAGAAUCAAAUAAGGGAUAUGUAAGCCAAUGGUGAUAUUGAUGGCGUUAAAUCAAUGACAUAGUAGAAAAGUGGAUUGUCUAUUUUCAAACCUUUAUAUUUUCAUGCAAUAGUAAAAAGGUUAAGGCAUCACUUGAAAAGUAGUUCGUUUUUUACCUUGGACUAUGAUUUAUGAAUAAAGUUCUUCUGUUGUAUACCUUUUGUGAUGCCCCAACCUAAUUUAGGGGUAAAAAAAUAAUUUAGAAAAAAAUAAAUAAAAAGUUAAAUAAAUUUAAUUAAGGUAAAAAUGUAUUUUUGUAUUUAAAAUUCCUAGGUAUCAAUUAUAUAUUUCUUGUCUUCUCUAUUCAAAAAACCAUAUUACACAAAAAUCAAAUAUCAGAGAACAUAGGACAACGCAGGGUUGAAGAUUUGGAGGUUUAGGGUUGAAGAUUAGUUUUCCAGGUAAGAUUCUAACCCUUAAAUUAGUAUUUUAGAUUCGUUAAUUAGUUUGAACACUUUAGAUAUUCUUUGAAAAAUCUGAAUAUACAUUAGGGUUUGUUAAUUUAAUUUUUAAAUAAAAAAGAUUGAAAAUUUAUGAACAUAAGUAGAGUUAUUAUUAAAGAUUGAAAAUUUUUGAAUAUUUGAAUUAAAAAUCUAGAAAAAAAAGAAGAAAAUAAAUUAUAGCUUUGGACGUGGAAAAAAAUUAAUAUUAAUUAAUAAAUAAAACCUAUGAGUAUGGAAGUAGAAAAAUAUGAGAGUUGAAAGCAAAGAAAAAAAAAGAGAAUAAGGUUUUGUGGUUGUACAUGCCUCCUUAGUGGAAAAAAAAAAUACAAGGUUGCUUGCAAUAGGAUAUGACAAAGAGAGAGAGAUAAAUGCUUAGAUGUUGAUUUUUGUGGGGAAAAAAAGAUUGGGUAAUGUAGGAGAGAAAUAGGUAGCACUUUUAGAGUCGGUGGAGUUGUUGUAAAAGCUCGUAGGGGUAAUUGUUAGGUAGUAGUAGGGUAUGAGAUUAAUUGUUAGGAAACAUUAGGACUUGAAAUAAUAAUAAUUGCUUCUAGUAAAAGUUUUAAUUUAGUUUAAGUAUAUAAAAGAAAUAGAUGAUUAGAAUAAGAUUUGGAAGGAAUAUGAAUUCAUAAAAAUUUCAAAAUUUACUAAUUUAGAUUAUUAUUGUUUUGGAAGUUGAAUAUAAUAUAGGUGAUAAUAUUAUUAAUAUAGGAAAUGAUUAAGAUUCUCAAACCUACAAUUUUAGAUAAAUAGUUAAUAGUAAUAGUUGAUUUUUUAUUUUUUUUUUAUUUUUUAUUUUUUAUGUUAUGUUAAGUGAAUAAUGGAUUCUUUGAUUAAUUCUCUAAGGUUUCUAAGUGCUUCUUUAAGGUAAGGGAUAUUAAUACUGAUUUUGUAAAUGAAAAUAUUUCUUUUUAUAAGUUAUUUUAAAUUAUGAAAAUUUUUAUUUUUAUUUAUGCAUGGAUCAAAUAUAUAUUUUUUCAUGAGAAACAUGUUUGGGCAAUUUCUUUGUUUAUAAAUAAAUAAAUGAAAACUUUGGAAAUAUAAUGUUUUGUUUUGUAAGUUUAAAAUAAUGAAAUAAAGUUUUUGACUCUGGUUUAUAUGACCUUAGUUAAUAGGUUAUAAUUGUUGACAUUUUCAGCUCCAGUCAACGAUUAUAAUUGUUGACAUUUUCGGCUCUCCAAUCAAUGAUUAUAAUUGUUGAGAUUUUCAACCCUAGCCAACGGGUUAUAAUAGUUGACCUUAUAGCCCUAGUCAACAGAUAUAAUUGUUAACCUUUGGCUUUUCCCAUCUUAAAAAGAACAAAUUUAAGGCUAGCCAUUUAUUUGUAAAGUCCCACCUAACUAAGUACCAUUUGUUAUUUAAUAACCAGAGUAAAGAUAUUUUGAAUGUAUUUGAUGUGAAAUUGUUGUGAUAUUAAUAUGAAAAUGUUUGGUUGAAAAGUUCAAAUGUUUAAUGCAUGUUGAAUUCAAAAGUUUUUAUGAAAAUGAUUAUAUGUUAUAUCUCUUAUUUGUAAGUUUGAUCCAUGAAACUGUAUUAAUAUUCCUUAUUGGACUUUGAGCUCAUUCCCCUUUAUUGAGAAUUUUUUUUCGUAUUCUCAGUUUGGGCAAGGAGUGAUGACUGGGUUGGGGAAUUUUCUUUACUAUGGUUUUGCUUCAAUCUUAUUUUGGACAUUGUUUAGAUGUUAAAAUUUAAUUCCCAUUUAAAUUAUUUGGGUUUGGAGUUAUUUGGACGAUAAAACUUUGAUUGAUGUGUUAGUUUUAAAGUUGAGAAUUGAAAAUUAUAGAAUUUAUUUAUCUUACUACUUUGAACAGAAAUUUAGUAAUUGGAGAUCAUCCAGUUACAAGAUGAAUAUUUGAGUCGUUUCAAGUCGUUUCCACUUUGAGUGUUCAGGCUUAGGGUGUGAAAUGAUCGUUAUGCCCUUGGAGUGGGUAUAUUGUUUAUUUGAAUUUAAUGGUCCCCGAACUCCUUAAUUACUCAUAACUUUAUAUCAGCUUCUCAAAGUUAAGUUGUUUUACAACUACUAUCUAGCUACUUUUCUCUACUAUGACAACUUUAUUACAUAGUGAUUAAUUGAAAGAAUCUACAUGUCUUAUUUCAUAGGAUAGUUGAUUUUUUUACUCAAUGAAUUUUGCUUUUAUUAUUGAAAAUUUCAAAUCAUUGUAGUCCAACAAUUUCCUAUCCAUUGGUAAUUUCAUAUUACAUUUCCAAAGUCUAAUCAUUUAAAAACACUUGUAGUUAAUAUAUUGGCAAUUGCAUUGUGGGAAGUUGUUCACUUGAUUUUAAUGUUGAAACUUUCAAAUUUUUGUAGUCCAACAAUUCCCUAUCCAUUGGUAAUUUCAUAUCACAUUUUCAAAGUAUAAUACUUGUAUAUAGUAUAUUUGGUGAUUGUAGAGUGGAAAGUUGAUCAUUUUCAUGAAGACCUCUAAAAUAGAAUUUUUUUUCAUUCCAUUUAUUAAAGAAUUUCAUUAAUUGAACAUAUAUGUUUUUUUAACCGAAAAGUAGAGGCCACAUUAUACGAGGCCUUAGGUGACAAUACUAGGUGAGGGCUUUUUUUUUUAAUUUAUUUAUUACGAAAUAUAAAUAAUAUUAUUUAUUGUAUAAUAAAGAUUAUUAUAAUAUAUUUUUUAUAGAUGAAAAAAAAUAUUAAUUGAGUUUUAUUUUUUUAAAUAAUUGUUUUCAAUAAAUAACGUAUUUGUAAAAAGAAAACUAUAAAAUAUAUGCAUUUGAAAAAUAUUUAAUUUUUAUUUGAUUUAGUAUCAAUUAAUAUUUGUAAUAUUUUUUAAUAUUAUAGAAGUUAACAUACUCAAUUAAGAUAUUCAAGAUCAAGAGAAUAUUUGAGAUUGAAUUAAUUUCUUUAUUGUUUAUGUUUUAGUAAAUUUUUAUAUCCAUUAAAAUUUUUUUAUUGUUUAUUUUUCAUUCAAUGUUUGCAUUUUGUAAUAGAUAUUAAAACAAAUUUUUUUCUUGUAUGUUAAAAAAAUAUUUCAAUGUCUUUAAAAAUAAAAUAUUGUAGUAAAAUCAAAAUUACAUUGUGAAACUUUAAGCGAAUGUUUUAUACUAAAGAAGUGCCAAUUAAAGUAAGCAUGCAUCUACAAUUGUAAUUUAGAUGUCAUAUUGAAACAAUAGUUCUCUUUGACUAUAUCAUAAAAUUUGGUUCGAAUUACUUUAAGUCAUCUUGUAGAUUUUCAAGUUCCAAUGAUAUGCAUCAAGUAUGUGCAACAUACUUGAUAUGACUAAUAUUUUCUUAAGUAAUUGGACACUUUUUUCUAUAAAUUUACUUGAUUAUCAAUGAAUACUUUUAUGUAAGGUAUUGAUAUAAUUCGAUAAAUAUUUUAAAAUAGUAUUAGAAUAGCUUUGCUCUUUCCUAAUUAACAAAUUUACUAAAUUAACUUAUAUAUAUUUGUUUAUUUUAAUUUACUGGUAUUUGACUCAAUUUGUUAUUAUUUUUAAAAUUAUAGGAAAACCAUUAUUUAUAGAGUUUAAUUAUAUUUGGUAAAUUAUCUUUUUAAGUUUGACUAGGAUUAGGAAACUAUUAAUUUAAGAUUAAUCCAUAAGGCUCUAUAAAUUUGCAGUUUUAUAUAACAUUUAAAAAAAGAAAGAAAAAGUAAGAAAAAGUGAAGAGAGAUAGGCAAAGAGUGCAUUGGGUUUUAGAUAGAGAAAGGUCGAGAGAGUUUUGAUUACUACUCAAAAAGAACAUAUUUUAGAUAGUAAUUCUCAUGGGUUUCACAUCUUUUGAGUAUUAAUUAUGCCUAAAAAUGCUCAAUUAACAUGUUGUUGCCCUUGCAAGAGUUACUAAUAAGUUUUAUAAAGUUUUGGAGUCAUUUCAAGUUAUGAUUUUAAUAAAUUGGUGAUGAAAGAGAUGAAUUGAUUUGAAGAAGGAAAAUAAUAUUGAUGAUGAUCCAAAUGCAUAAUGAAAGAAGCAAUAUAAUUAGUUUGAUCGGGAUUUGCUGCUAAUUUGGAGGUAGUUAAGGUGGAGUCAAAAGAAGAAAAUGGAAGAAAUGACAAAGAGGAACUUAAAAACCAAAUGUUGCAGAUUUGUAUGAUCAUUCAAAAAUUACAUGACUAUGCCAAAUGGAUUAGAGAAGGAAAAUUGACUAUAGUAUAAGGAGGAUGCUUAAGUUGAUUUAGCAUGAACAUGAGAAAAUUUCGCAUGAACAUGCGAAAAUUUUGCACAAUCAUGCGAAAUGGUCCAGAAAGCUCUCUAAUGUUGUUGUUGCUCCACUAAUUUCGCACCACCAUGCGAAAUCGAUCUUUUCAUGCAAAAUGGCUGAAGCUCAUGUGAAAUCAUGAUUUUGAUGCUAAACUCCAGAUUUGUGAAUUUGGAAGGUUUUAGAAGACCAAUGAGAGGUUGCCAAGUGUCCACUUGACCUUGGUCUAUAAAUAGAAACUUGAAUUUCCCAUGUAAAGAGCUUUGUGAUACUUUUGAUUUUAGAUUUUUCUAGAAACUCUUUCUCUAAAUAGAAUUCUAUAUUUUCUUUAAUUUUCCCUCAUUUUCUCAUUAGCCAAACAUGCCUAGUGAGACCAAAUUUCCAAGUAUGAGUGACUAAAUCUCGUUUUUCUCAGAGGAAUGAGGAUCUAGAGGCAAGAUCUAUGGUGAAUUAUAGAAAUGAGUUUUAAUUGCAAAUGUAAUUUGAUUCAAUUGAUUGAUUAAUUGAAAUUCGAGGAUUUUUCUCUUCAAAUUGUCCUGAAUGACAAUUACAUUGCAAACUAGGCAGAUUAAUUAAAUUCUUAAAGUUAGAUUUAAUGAGACUGAAUAGUUGCAUUGUAUGAAUCAUUGGAAGAUGAUUUAAGAUGAAUUGAAUAUAUAAUUUAAAUUCAUAUCUUGGAUUAAAUAACCUAAUUUGAAGAGAAAUUAGGUUUAGACUUAAAGGGAAAUCUAAAAUCGGUUUAGAUAAGAAUUUAGGUUUUCAAUCUAACUUGAUGAAAAAUAAAUCUCAACAUUUAUUCACCAUGGAAAUUGUUUUCUAAAAAAUAUUAACUCUGAGAAUUCCUUUUCCUUAUCAGUUUUCUUAUAUUCUACAUUAUAUUAUUCUUUUCGAUUAGAAAUCAUUGUUAUUUUGAUUUUUCGUGAAUUGUCAAAUCAAUUUCACUUGACCAUAAUCAUUUCUUUUCCUCUCAUUUAAACCUUAAUUAUCGAGAAUAAUCCAUCCCAAUAGAAGACACCUAAGACCACUAUACUACUGUAGCUUUUGCUAAAAAACCUUUUUGAUCGGGCAAGAGUUACCUUAGCAUAGUUGAAUUAGGUUAUAAAUUUUUUAUCCAAUAAACAACAAAAAAAUCAAUUGAUCAAGUUUACAUUGUGUAUUCUUGAAUUUUAUUAAUAAAUUUGAUCCCCUUUUUUGAAGCGAUUACACCAAACCAAGUAAAUAUUUUAUCUACUUCAUUUGCUUUAUUUUUUCUAUUAAGUUUAGGUGUUGCAAUUUUUAAGAGUCAUGGUGAGAAGAUUGUGGGAAAAAUUAUUUUAAGGAUGGAGUCGAACAUAAAAUAUGAAAUUGAGUCCUUUGAUGGAAAUAAUAAUUUUAAUAUUUGAUAGAGUAUUAUUAAAGAUGUUUUGAUACAACAAAGACUUCUCAAAGCAUUACAAGGCAAAAAAAACUAGAGAGCAUGACAAAUAAAGAAAUGAAAGAAUUACAAGCAAGAGUUGUAAGUACUAUUUGUUUAAGUCUUAAAAAUGAAAUACAUUGUUUUGAAUGAAAAAAAUAUUCUUUUAGGGGUGUCAAUUGCUCUUUUAGAGACCAAAAAUAUUAAGCAAUCAAGUAGUUCAUCUCAUAUUGGACAAACUGUUAUGAUGAAUUCUAAACCAUAUCAUCAUAGGAGUAAAUCGAAAGAAAAGUAUCUGAUAGGAGGAUGAUCAUUCCAUUCACACUUAUAGAGGAAUAUGAAGUAUUAUUNNNNNNNNNNNNNNNNNNNNNNNNNNNNNNNNNNNNNNNNNNNNNNNNNNNNNNNNNNNNNNNNNNUAGUGAUUGUUUUAUGUUGAAGAAAGGCUAAUUAAAGUAAACAUGCAUCUAAAAUUAUAAUUUAGAUGUUGUACUCAAAUAGUUGCUCUCCUCGAUUAUAUCAUAAAAUUUGGUUUGAAGUCUAAGUCAUCUAAUAAUUUUCUAGUUCCAAUUACAUGCAUCAAACAUGUGUGUUAGGAAGUGUUGCAAAUUACUAAUUAGUAUAUAUUCUUUUUUUUUUAAGAAUAUUGUAUUAAAUAUUUCUAGGUUGAUAUAUUAUUGUAAUAUUAGACUUCUUUAUAGAAUAAGGAAGGUUGUUGAAAAUAUCCCUAUAAAUAUUCUAGUUCAUAAGGGGAAAAAGUUUUGAGAUGAAGAUGGACCCAUAAAGACUAUACAAGGUGGAUAGAGAUGUGAGGAAGAACGAGAGGUACCCGAUGGAGCGAGAGGGCUCGUGGUAGGGUAUAGGUACGAAGAGUGAGGAAACAUGGGAUGUUUUGGGAACUCAAUAUUUGUAUCUAGUUAUGUCCUCUAUAAGUUCUAGUUCUGUCAUCUGCAUUGUUCUCUAUUUUAUAGUGGAAUGAUUCUCUCUUAUCUGUGGACGUAGGCAUGGUUUUCGAACCACGUUAAAACCUUGUGUACCGUUUGUGUUGAUUUUUUUUAUCUUUAUUUUCUUGAUUAAUGAAGUUUGCAUCAAAGCUUCUGUCAACGUAACAAACUUGUAUCAAAGUUUGGGAUAAAGAUUUCUAGAAGAGUAAAAGAUCAUAGAGCACACAAGAUGAAAACAAAAGGAAUUUUUAGUGAAAAAGGAGUCAAUUGCUCUCUCGUGGUGAUAUGAUAUAAAAAGUUUAUGUCAUGGAAAGUUUGAAGAUUUACUUCAUGGAAUCUGGUCCAAAAUGGAGAUUGUUAAUAAGUGUCCCAAAUUCCUAAUUAGUAUAGAUUUUUUUUUUUGUAAAGAAUAUUGUAUAGAAUAUUUCUAGGUUGAUAUAUUAUUGUAAUAUUAGACUUCCUUAUAGAAUAAGGAAGGUUGUUGAAAAUAUCUUUAUAAAUAUUCUAGGUCAUGAGGGAAAAAAGUAUGAGAUGAAGAUGGGCCCUAUAAAAACUAUAUGAGGUGGAUAAAGAUGUGAGGAAGAAUGAGAGGUACUCAAUGGAAUGAGAGGGCUCGUGGUAGGGUAUGGAUACAAAGAGUGGGGAAAUAUGGGAUGUUUUGGGAACCUAUUAGUUGUAUCUAGUUCUGUCAUCUAUAAUGUUCUAGUUACGUCCUCUAUAAUGUUCUCUAUUGUAUAGUGGAAUGAUUCUCUUUCAUCCGUGGAUGUAGGCAUGGUUGUCGAACCACAUUAAAACCUCGUGUACUAUUUGUUUUAUUUUUAAAUUUUUUUUAAUCUUUGUUUCUUGAUUAAUGAUGUGUGCAUCAAAGCUUCCAUCUACGUAACAAACUGGUAUCAGAGCUUGGGUUGAAGAUUUUUGGAAUAGUAAAAGAUCACAAAGCACACAAGAUGAAAACAAAAGGAAUUUUUAGUGAAUGUGGAGUCAAUUGUUCUCUCGUGGUGAUAUGAUACAAAAAGUUUGUGUCAUGGAGGGUUUAAUGAUUGACUCCGUGGAAUUUGGUCCAAGGUAGAGAUUGUUAGGAAGUGUCCCAAAUUCCUAAUUAGUAUAGAUUUUUUUUUUUUAAAGAAUAUUGUAUAGAAUAUUUCUAGGUUGACAUAUUAUUGUAAUAUUAGACUUCCUUAUAGAAUAAGGAAUGUUGUUGGAAAUAUUUUUAUAAAUAUUUUAAGUCAUGAGGGGAAAAAUUUAUGAGAUGAAGAUGGGCCUAUAAAGACCAUAUGAGAUGGAUAGAGAUGUGAGGAAGAAUCGGAGGUACCCAGUGGAGCGAGAGAGUUCGUGGUAGGGUGUGAAUAUGAAGAGUGGGGAAACAUGGGAUGUUUUGGGAACCCAAUAGUUGUAUCUAGUUCUGACAUCUAUAAUGUUCUGGUUCUGUCAUCUAUAAUGUUCUGGUUUUGUCCUCUGUAAUGUUCUUUAUUGUAUAGUGGAAUUAUUCUCUCUCAUCUAUAUAGGCAAGUUGCUAAACCACGUUAAAACCUCGAAUACCUUUUGUGUUGAUUUUUUUUAUCUUUGUGUUCUUGAUUAACGAUGCUUGCAUCAAAGCUUCUACCAACGUAACAAUGUGCAACAUAUUUGAUAUAACUUAUAUUUUCUUAAGUAAUUGAACACUUUUUUCUAUAAAUUUACUUGAUGAUCAAUGAGUACCUACAUAUACGGUAUUGACAUAGUUUGAUAAACAUUUUAAAAUAGUAUUAGAAUGGCUUUUCUUUUUCCCAAUUAACAAAUUUAUCAAAUACACACACACACACACACACACAAAAUACUCAUUAGUAUGUCUUUUAUGAAAAAACUAUGUUUGUUUAUUUGAAUUUAGUAGCCAUUCAAUUCCUUAGUUACUCAUAAACUUUUUAUCACCUUCUUAAAGUCAAGUCAUUUACAAUUAUUUUCAAGUCAUUUACAAUUAUUUUAGCCUUCUCCAUUAUGACAACUUUAUAAGAUAGUGAUUGAUUGGAAGAAUCUACAUGCCUUUGUUGAUAGUAUAAUUGUUUUUCUUUUUUUUCGUAUUCAAAGAAUCUUGCUUCUGUUAUUGAAACUUUCAAAUCCUUUAUGUCUAGUGGUCUUAUAAUUCCCUAUUCAUUGGUCUUUCAUAUUACCAAUCAUUUUGCAAAUGAGUUAAUUUCAUUCACAUCCUCUGAGAUUUGAUGUAAAUUCGCUUAGUUACCAAUGAUUUCAAAUUUCAUUAAUUAGUACCCCUACAGAUAUAAUUCGUGUACAAAAUUUAUUUUUUAAAAGAGUUUAGGUAAAAAUAUUUUAGGUAUAUGUCUUUAACAAUUCUCUAAAAUAAAUUUUACUUGCUAAAAAAUAACUUAUAUAGAUAGAAUACAUCUACAGGAGUUCUAACUAACGAAAUUUAAAACUAAUGGUGGUUUAGUGUAUUUAAACUAAACAUUAGGAAGGGUGACUGAAAUUAACCCUCUAGGUAUAUAUGUUUAACAAAAUUUUUAUUGUUUAUUUUUCAUUUAAUGUUUGCAUUUUUCAAUAAACAUUGAAAAGGAAUUGUUUUUCCAUAUGUUAACAAAAAGAAAUUUGAAUACCUAUAAAAAUGAAAUCUUGUAGUAAAAUUGGAGUUACAUUAUCAGACUUUUAACGAGUGUUUAUGUUUAGAAAGGCCAAUUAAAGCAAGCAUGCAUCUAGAAAUUGUAACUUAGAUGCAUCAAACAUGAGCAACAUAUUUGAUAUAACUAAUAGUUUCUUAAGUAACUAAACACUUCUUUUUCUAUAAAUUUACUUGAUUGUCGAUGAAUACUUACAUACAUUUACAUAGUUUGAUAAAUAUUUUAAAAUAAUAUUAGAAUAACUUUGUUUUUUCUCAAUUAUAUUAGAAAAUAAUAUAAAGUUACUUAUAAACUUUAUAUCAUUUUCUCAAAGUCAAGUCAUUUACAAUUAUUUCUAUCUAGUCUUCUCCAUUAUGACAACUUUUAUAUGAUAGUCGUUGAUUGGAAGAAUCUACAUGUCUUUUUUGAUAAGAUAGUUGUUUUUAUUAUUUUUAUUUUUUUUAUUCCAAAAAUUUGCUUCUAUCAUUGAAACUUUCAAAUCUUUUAUGUAUAUUACCAAUCAUUUUACAAGUGAGUUAAUUUCACUUAGGGUAGAUAUACUUAGCCACACCCCUAUAGAUGUAAUUUGUGUUUAAAUUUUAUUUUUUAUUUAGGUAAAAAUAUCUUAGGUAUAUGUGUUCUACAAUUCUCUAAAAAAUAAAUUUUCUUAUCUAAAAGUUUAUAUAGACAAAAUACAUCUAUAGAAGUCCUAACUAAUGAAAUUUAAAAUCAAUGGUUGUUUAGUGUAUUUACAUUAAACCUUAUGGGGUAUGAUUGAAAUUAAGUCUUUUACAAGCACUUGUAGCUAAUAUGUUUGUAGUUGUAGUCUUGGAAAUUGAUCAUUUUCUUGAAGGCCUCUAGGAUAUUGAAAAUAUUGCCAUAGUUUUAGACUUUUUUUUUAUUACACCUAAUAAAAAAUAUUAUUAAUUUAACAUAUAUAUUCUUGACUUAAAAGUAAAGUCUCUCCAUAUUGUAUAAGCCCUUAGGUGGCAAUAUUAGGUGAAGUUUUUCUUUCGUUUAUUACAAAAUAUAAAUAAUUUAUUAUUGUAUGAUAAAAUUUUAUGUAAUAUAUUUUUAUAGAUGUAAAAUUAUUAAUUGGGUUUUGUUUUUUUUUACUAAAUUGUCAUUUCAAUAUAUAAAACUUAUUUGUAAAAAGACAAUUAUAAACUAUAUGAAAUUGAAAAACAUUUAGUUUUUUUAUUUAAUUUAGAAUUUUAUUUGGAUUAAUAAUUGAUAUUUGUAAGAUUUUUGAAUAUUAAAAAAAGUUAGCAUACUUAAGAAAGAUAUUCAAGAUCGGGAGUGUUUGAUAUCGGAUUAAUUUCCUUAUUUUCUCUAUUUUAAUAAAUUUUCACGUCCAUUACAAAAUUUUUGUUGUUUAUUUUUUACUUCAAUAUUUUUAUUUUGUAAUAGAAAUUUGAAAAGAUUUUUUCCUACAUGUUAAAAAAAAAAAAGAUUUGAACACUCCUAAAAAAGAAAUAUUGCAAUAAAAUUAAAGUUUACACUGUAGGACUAUUAGCAAAUGCUGCAUACUUAAAAUAGACCAAUUAAAGUAGAAAUACUUCUAAAAUUGUAAUUUAGGUAACAAUAAUAUAAAAAGACAAUAUUUUUGAAACAAUAGUUCUCUUGGAGUUUUGGGUACAAUGGACUAGACUUUAUGUAACAAUAGAUAUACAAACUUUCCAUUAACAUCUUGAGAGACAUGAUGAGGAGCAAAGUCAUCCAAGAAGGUACCAUAGAGGUACCUUAGCUCAAUUCAUCUAGACUACAUAAUGUUUAAAGAUCAAAUUCAAUGACUAGAUUUCAAAAAUCAAUAUAAGCUUUCUCAUAUUCUACUCUAUAUAAGACAAUGGUAUGAUACCUCUCUUGUGUCGUAGAAUGCACCAUGAAAACCUUAUCAUUUUAACAUCAGUUUGAAACUUAAAAGUCACUUAGCACAUUCUAGUUAUUAAUUUAAGAGCAUUAAAAGAAAUAUAUAAAAAAAAAGUUACUUUAUCCUUGUGAUUUUGAUCUAGGACUUUUAAUGAUAUUAAAAAAAAAAACAGAAAAAUAAAUGGAAAUAAAAUCAAUAAAUUAAACAAUUGAAUUAAGUUAGUUUAAUUUUUGAAUCGUUAAAUGGGUAAAUAAAGAUCUUAGAUUUGAUAUUAAUAUGAACAUCAUGACUUCAGUGAAUCUUACAAGAAAAUUUUAGUUUGAAAGACUUCAUUCAUUAAACGUGUGGCACAUAUUAAAGUAAAACUAAGUCUUCUCUAUAAUUUGUACCUAUCAUAGUUUCUUUCCUCAUAAAUAGCCUUUUUUGAAUAUAAUAUAGACUUCAACAUGCAUGGUGGGGCCAAUCAAACUACUAGUCAAGACAACUCAUGGGCAACAACGAUGUACCAACUACAUUUAAAUACUCUUCAUAUAUUUGCAUAUCAAGAGUAAUUUAGUAGUGUCUUUCUUAUGUACCUCAUAUCUAGACUUUCAAUGGAGAGUUCUUCAUCUAAAAAUUUGACUUGGGUUUUCAUACUAGUUUUGGUUUAGACAUGUGGAUGCAAAGGUUGCAUCAAAGAAGAGAAGUAGGCUAAAUCAUCUUACAAAUUUUCAAGUUCAAAUUAGAUGCACCAAACAUAUGCAACAUAUUUGAUAUAACUAAUAUUUUCUUAAGUAAUUGAAUACAAUUUUUUUUUAUAAAUUCACUUGAUUAUUAAUGGAUAACUAACUACAUGUAUGGUAUUGACACAACUUGAUAAAUUUUUUAAAAUAGUAUUAGAAUAACUUUGCUAAAAAAAAGUAAAAAUAAAAAUAAAAAUACAUCUAUAUAUAUAUAUAAUUAAAUAAAAUUAAAAAUUAAUAUAUAUAUAUAUAUAUAUAUAUUCUGUGUGUGUAUGUGUGCAUGGUCUCACAAGUCAUUAGCUACUCAUAAGCUUUAUAUCACUUUCUCAAAGUCAAGUCAUUUUGUAAUUAUUUCUAUCUAGCCUUCUCCAUUACGACAACUGUAUAGGAUAUUGAUUGAUUGUAAAAAUCUUCAUGUCUUUUUUUAUAAGAUAGUUUUUUAUUAUUAUUAUUAUUCAAAGAAUUUUCUUUUAUUAUUGAAACUUUCAAAUCCUUUAUGUCUAGUGGUCCUACAAUUCCCUAUUCAUUGGUAUUUCAUAUUACCAAUCAUUUUACAAAUAAGUUUAUUUCACCCGGUAAAUAUACUUAACUACCAAUGGUUUCAAAUUUAAUUGAUUAACACACUUAUAGAUGUAAUUUGUUUUUAAAUUUUAUUUCUUUUAGAAGAAUUGUAGGUAAAAAUGUUCUAGGAAUAUGUGUUCAAUAAUUCUCUAAAAACAAUUUAUAUAGAUGGAAUACAUUCAUGGAAGUUCCAACUAAUGAAAUUUAAAACCAAUGACGAUUUAAUGUAUUUGCACUAAAUCUUAGGGGAGGUGUACUAAAACUAGCCCUUUUACAAAUAUUUGUAGCUAGUAUAUUUGUAGUUAUGGUGUUGGAAGUUGAUCAUUUUCUUAAAGGCCUCUAAGAUAUUGGAAAUAUCGCCAAAGUUUUGAACUUUUUGUUUCACCUAAAUAAAAUAUCAUUAAUUUAAUAUAUAUACUCUUCGCUUGAAAGUAUAGUUUCUUCAUAUUGUAUGAAGUUGUAACUAGGUGACAAUAUUAGGUGAAAUUUUUUUUUGUUUACUACAAAAUAUAAAUAAUAUAUUUAUUAUAUGAUAAAAUUUUGUAAAAUAUAUUAUUAUAGAUGCAAAAUUAUUAAUGGAGUUUUAUUUUUUACUAAAUUAUCAUUUCAAUAAAUAAGAACUUAUUUGUUAAAAGAAAAUUAUAAAAUAUAUGCAAUUGAAAAAAAUUUAAUUUUUUUAUUUAAUUUGGUAUUUUAUUUGAAUUAAUAAUUGAUAUUUGUAAAAUCUUUUAAUAUUAAAAGAAGUUAACAUACUUAAAAAAGACAUUCAAAAUCAAGAGAGUAUUUGAUAUGAAAUUAAUUAAUUAUUUUUUUUCUAUUUAAAUAAAUUUUUACAUCCAUUAAAAAAAUUUUCUUGUUUAUUUUUCACUUCAAUAUUUUUAUUUUGUAAAAUAAAUAGAAAUAAAAUCAACAAAUUAAACAAUUGAAUUAAGUUAGUUUAAUUUUGCCACCGUUAAAUUGGUAAAUGAAGACUCUUAUAUUUGAUAUUAACAUGAACAUCAUGACUUCAUUGAAUAUUCUCACAAGAAAAUUUUAGUUUGAAAGAUUUUAUCCUUUAAACAUGUGGCACAUAUUAAAGUGAGACCAAGUCUUCCCUAUAAUUUGUAUCUAUCACAAUUUCUUUCCUAAUGAAUAACCUUUUUGAAUAGAAUAUAGACUUUAGCAUAUUACCAACCAUUUUACAAAUAAGUUAAUUUCACUCAGUAAAUAUACUUAACCACCAAUGGUUUCCAAUUUGUAGCACUCUUAUAGAUGUAGUUUUUUUUUUAAAUUUUAUUUUUUAGAAGAAUUGUAGGUAAAAAUAUUUUAGAUAUAUAUGUUCAACAAUUCUCUAAAAACAAUUUAUAUAGAUGGAAUACGUUCAUGGAAGUUCCAACUAAUGAAAUUUAAAACCAAUGAUGAUUUAAUGUAUUUGUACUAAAUCUUAGGGAGUGUGGACUAAAAUUAGCCCUUUUACAAAUAUUUAUAACUAGUAUAUUUGUAGUUGUGGUAUUGAAAGUUGAUCAUUUUCUUAAAAGGUUUACCAUUGAAGUUAGUUGAAUAUAAAGUUAGGUGAACUUUACCAUUGUUUAAUUGGUAAAUGAAGACUCUUAGAUUUGAUACUAACAUGUACAUCAUGACUUCAUUGAAUCUCUCACAAGGAAAUUUUAGUUUGAAAGACUUCAUCUUUUAAACAUGUGGCACAUAUUAAAGUGGACCAAGUCUUCCCUAUAAUUUGUAUCUAUCACAAUUUCUUUCCUCAUAAAUAGCCUUUUUUAAUAGAAUUAAUAUAGACUUUAGCAUGCAUGGUGGGCCCUGUCAAACUAUUAGUCAAGAUAAUUUGUAGGUAAGAACGAUGGACCAACUAUAUUAAAUAUUCUUCAUCUAUUUGCAUAUCAAGAGCAACUUAAUAUUGUCUUUCUUUUGUACUUCAUGUUUGAACUUUCAAUGGAGAGUGUGUCAUCUAAAUAUUUGAUGUGGGUUUUUAUACUAUUCUUGGUUCAAAUAUGUGGAUGCAAAGGUUGCAUCGAAGAAGAGAAGAUGGGUUUGCUUGAAUUCAAGGCUUUUCUUAAAUUGAAUAAUGAGCAUGCAGAUUUUCUUCUCCCUUCAUGGAUAGAUAACAACACUAGUGAAUGUUGUAAUUGGGAGCGGGUUAUUUGCAAUCCCACCACAGGUCGAGUUAAGAAGCUUUUCCUCAAUGAUAUUACGCAACAACAAAGUUUCUUGGAAGACAAUUGGUACCAAUAUGAAAAUGUCAAAUUCUGGUUACUAAAUGUCUCCCUAUUCCUUCCUUUUGAAGAACUUCACCAUCUAAACUUGUCUGCAAACUCAUUUGAUGGGUUUAUUGAGAAUGAAGGUAUGUUACCUCUCACCUUUAAAAUUUCAUUUCACUUAUACUCCAAACAUUCUAAAGGAACUACUAGCAUAUGUUCUUAAAAGUGUUCAGGUGGAGACCAAAUGGUCACUAGUAACUAUUGAAUUUAAUAUAAGAACAAUUACUAAUUAUUAAAAUUUAUAAUGUAAAUUAACAUUUAAACAGAACAAUAAAAAAAUUAUUAUUUUAGAAAACUAUAGAUUACAUUAGCCUUAUAUAUAUAAGCAUACUUGUUAUUUAUGCCAUCAUUUCACACUCAACCCAAUAAGUGGGAUUCAACUAAGAGUGAGCAAUUUCACAAUUAUUAAUUAACAGGAACACUUAGUCUCCCAUAUCCUUAUCCUUUUUGUUGAAUUGUCUUUCCUUAUCUUCCAUUCCUAAAAAGCUUGAUUUCUAUAUUCUAAAUUGAUAAAGAUUGGUUAAAGAAAGGUGAUCACAAAAUUUGACUAUUGCUGUCAAAUAAGGAAUCACCAUCUUCAAAGUUUCACAUUUACAAAAAAAAAAAAAAAAAAAAAAAAAAAAAAAAAAAACCCUAGCCUUGGGUAAGGUCCAAGCCUUAUUGUUUUAAGCUGAUGUCGGGUUGGUUUAAUAAUAAACAAAAAAAAUCCUAACCCAUGACCAUCUACGCAUUUCCAAAUUCCACCCAUCCACAACCCAUUAAUAUGACAUUUUCAAGGACAAAAUUUAAUCAAUUAAACCUAUUAGAUGGAUUCUCCAUACAAUGUUAAAAUGAAUAUAAAAACUUUAAUUCAAAAAAUAAUUUCCUUUAUUUAGUUAGGAUUCAAAUUAUAGGGGCACAAAACAUGAAAAUUUUCAUGUUUAAAAUUCACAAAGAUCACAAAAGCUCUUUGAAGCUCUAUGGACUUUUUUAUUUCUAACAUUUAAACACAAAAAUCACCAUAUUUAAUUAGAGAUUUGGAUACAUAUUCUUAUAUUAAAGACAUGUAAGCUUACAUAUUUAAAUAUGAAGAUCUCAACUUGUAAUUACAUGCUUCUAAUUAAAGUUAUAUUACUCUAUUUUAUAGGAUUUAAAGGGUUAUCAAGUUUAAAGAAAUUGGAGAUCUUAGACAUAAGUGGUAAUGAGUUUGAAAAAAGUGUCUUAAAAUCUUUGGACACAAUAACAUCACUCAAGACAUUGGCUAUUUGCAGCAUGGGACUGAAUGAAUCUUUUUCCAUUCGAGGCAUGUUAUAUGUCCACAUUGUUUCUUUGAAAUUAAGUAAAAUAUAUUUCUAACUUUUAAUGUUCCUUAGUUAAUCUCUCUUUUGAUUCAUGUUUGUUGCAGAAUUAGCUAGUUUGAGAAAUUUGGAAGUGUUGGAUCUAAGCUAUAAUGAUUUGGAAAGCUUUCAACUAUUGCAAGGUACUUCAUUAACUUGCUAAAAAAACUUAUGAUAUUUUGUUAUUAAAUUAAAGGUAAGAUUAACAAACAAUUUCUUCUCAUUAGUUACUUUUCUUUGUAAUAUCAUUAAAUUUGAUAUAAAGUAGUCUAAAUCAUCCUUUCAAUUUAUAAGUUUUAAUUAAAACGCAUCAAGCAUGCACAAGAUGUUUAAUAUAACUAAUAUUUUCAUAAGUAAUUGAAUUUUUUUAUAUGAAUUAAUUAACUUGAUUAUCAAUAAAUACUUACAUGUAUAAGAUUAAUAUAGUUUCAUAAGUAUUUUAAAAUUGUCUUACAACACACACACACACACACACAAGGAAAAUGAAAGGUAUGUGAUAUCUUUAUGCUAUGUUUGGUUCCCAAAAAAAUUGAGGGAAAAUGAAAGGAGAAAAAAGUAGAGACGAAAAGUAAAAGAAAAGAAAAAAAGUAAAGAAAAAUAUAAAAUUGAUUAAAGUAAAUACAUUAUUUUUAUAUGUUACUUUAACUUGUUUCACUUAUUUUAAUUCUUCAAUGUAAAGAUGAAAGAUUUGAAAAUGCAUAAGUUUCUAAUUAUUUUUUAUUUUAUUUUAUAGUUUUUACAAUACAACCAAACAUAAUAAAAUCAUUUUCUUUAAUUUUUUUUCUUUUCUUAAUACUUUUCACGAACCCUUUAAGUUAUGUUUGUUUGCAGAAAAUAUGAGGAAUAGAAAAUAGAAAAGAAAAUUAGAAGGAAAGAAAAAGUGAAGUAAAAUAAAAAUAAAUUUAAAUUUAAUAAAUUAUUUGUAUAUGCUACUUUAAACUUAUUUCACUUAUUUUAAAUUAUUUAAACUCAUUUCUAAUAAAUAAUAAUGGAAAUUGUAGAGAAGUUUGUGUUAUUCAAGCUUUGCAAUGACUUUACAAGGUGAAGGAAAAUAUUCUUGCUGAAAUUGAAAAAAGAAAUACCUUCUUAAAUAGCCUAUUGACCGAAAACACAUUACCCUAACAUAUACACACACCUUUAUUAUUUAUACAAUCAUUUAAUACUUAAUCCAGUUAGUGGGAUUCUAGUGGUUGUUUUUAUCUUGGUUUCCAAUAUUUCUGAUUGAUAGUGUUCGAUUAAUGAAAUAUCAUAAAUUUUGACCCUAAUAAGGACCAAUCCCUAUUAAAUGUAAUUGGGUUGACCUAAGACUAAAUGUUAGAUCCAACUAAUAAAAACCCAUCUAUUUGUUGGAGUGUAAAUAACCCGGCCUUAGGUAGGGCCCAUGCCUUAUUAUUUUAAGAUGUAGUCCAACUGGUUUGACACUAGAUUGAGUAAAGCCCAACUUAUGAGCAUCUAUGCAUUUCCAUCCAUCCACAACCUACUGGCAUGGACAAACUUUGGUCAAUUAAACCUAUUAUAACUGCAUACAAAAUUUUAAGUUCAAAAGAUAAUUUUCCUUAUUUAGUUAGGAUUCAUAUUAAAAAGGCACAAAGCACGAAUUUUCAUGUUUAAAUUCACAAAUAUCACAAAAGCUCCUUCAAGCUCUAUGGACCAUUUUAUUUGUAACAUUAUAUUACUCUUAAUUAUCAAAUUAACCAACAAAUUCUUCUCAUUAGUUAUUUUUCUUUAGUAAUGUCAUAAAAUUUGAUAUAAAGUAGUAUUGGUCAUCAUUUCAAAUUUUAGGUUCCAAUUAGAUGUAUCAAGCAUGUGUACCAUAUUUGAUAUAACUAAUAUUUUUAUAAGUAAUUGAAUUUUUUUUUCUAUAAAUCAAUUAAUUUGAUUAUCAAUGAAUACUUUCAUACAUGAUAUUGAUGUAGUUUCAUAAAUAUUUUAAAAUAGUCAUAGAAGUCUUUUAUCUGAUUCACUAGAAAGAAAAAUAAACUAUUCUAAUGAAAAGACUUGAUGAUUUGAAGUGAUUGCUUUUGAUUUUAUUUGAUUGCUACCAUUAUUAAUUGUUAGAAAUUGGCAACAAAUACCCAUUUUGCAUCACUUCUAUAUGCAUCGGGGGAAUGAAUUAUAUUUCAUAGAGCUAAUAGGGCAAAACUCAAACUUUUGGAAUUAUGGAAAAGGUUGCUAGAAAGCUAAUUAACCAUUUAUAUUAUGAUUAAGACUAGUUGGGUUAGAAAUAAUUCAUAUGGAGAUUAAAAAAAACUAUGUAAUUUAGUUUAGUAGCUUGGGUGCUAUUGUAAUGAUUAAUGAUCUGCAACUUGAACACAUCUACUAGUGCUUUCUACUUGUAUAGCUAAAUUUAUGUUACCACUUUGAACUACAGUACUUACAUGAGAAGAAAGUUUUUCCUUAGUGAUAAUGCAAAAGAAAUUAAGUAUCAAUUUUUGUUAAACUAACAAGUGAUAGUUUAGAUAUGGUUUGAAUACACUUCCUUUCUUCUAUAUUUUUAUUUUGAAAAAAAAAAACUCUUUAAUGAAAUAUAAGAAAUCUUAUAUGUAUAAAAAUUAAAGACUUAAACAAAAAAAUUCUUCAAAUUUGAAAAUUUUCGAGAAGUAUUUUUAAGAAUUUGUAUUUUCAAUAUAAUAAUUCAUAUAUUUUGUAUAAAAGUUUUUGUUUAAAAAAAUAGAAGUGUGUCCAAAUUACAAAUUAAUUGUUAAAUUAAGAAUGUUUCUCAGAUCAAGAGAUGAUGAAAGUUGUAGAGAGUUUGCAUUACUCAACCUUUGCAAUUACUUUUUGAAGGUAAAAGAAAAUACCUUCCUACAUAACAUACAAUGGCAGGUUCUGGUUUGUAAGAAACUAAUAAAUGAUUAAGAAUAUGAAUAAGACUUCCUUUAUAAUGGAUAUGUAGAGAAGAAUAGUGGAUGAUAGGAGGUGAAAAUCUUGUAAUAAAAUAUCAAUAUCAGUUAUAAGAUAAUCAACAUUUUCUCUAUUUCUUGUACCUAUGUGAUUAAGAAUCUUGUAGCUCCCUUAUUGAAAUAUAAUAUAAAAAUAUAAAUAAACUAUUUAGAAGUGCAUGUAGUUUUCAACAUGAGGAAGUUCAAAAGCAAGUUAAUUAUGAUAAUUUUCUAUAGUCUAUAUUGAACACAAAUUAUUUUUACUAAAGGUUCAAUCGUUCUAUGAAGGUUAAAAGUUUGAAUUGUUUACAUAUGCAAAUGGACAACCAAACAAGAAAAUGAUUUUGAAAUCCUUUUUGGACCUUUUUUUAUCAUUCAUUUUUUCCCCUACUCUAUUUCCUUUCCCUCAAACUCUCUAGGUAGUAAACAUUACCUAAGAUAAAUAGGGAAGAAAAUAUUUUAUCAUUUAUUUAUUUAGUAUUUUUCUUACAUUUUUUGUAUGUUAUCCAAAUAUAAGAAAACUAUUUUUCUUUAUUUUUUCUUUUCCUUGUUGCUUUUCAAGAAUCAAGCAUACUUUAAACUCUAAUUAAGAGUUACAUAGAUUUACGAAGAAACAAUGCAACUGGUAACAAAAAAUUAAGGAAAUUUAAUUUUUGAGAGUAGGUAUAAUGAGAUUGGUUUGUUUGAUACAAAAUUUGAAUAAAAAUUCUUUCAAUGAAAAUUCAAGGAAAGGAAAAAAAAAACAACUUUCUCUCUAGACUAUAAUACUAAAUCACUUAAAAAAUAUCCUAACAUCGUUUAUGUUCAUCUUUCUUUUUAUGGAUUUGAAAAACCCAAUAAUUUGGAGAAAACUGAUUCAAGGAAGAAUAAUUUUUAGAAUAAAAUAUUAUUAUUUAAGAAGAUCAUAAAUAUUAUAGUCAUUGUUGAAUAUGAUAAAUGAUUUAAAAAAAAUGGUAGUUGGAAAUUUAGAUACUUUUAUAAGACAAAUGAAUUUUUCUAGUAUGGUAUGAAAAAAGGUAAAAUGAUAGGCUUUGAUCAUUUUUUAAGGUAGUUUGUUUAAAUCAUUUUAAUUUAUUUUCAUUUAAGAACAAUAACUUUUAUUACACUAGUUAUUUUGAUUUUCUUUUGAUAGAUUUUGCAAGCUUAAGCAAUUUGGAGCUAUUGGAUUUGAGUAAUAAUUCAUUUAGUGGGAGCGUUCCAUCAUCUAUAAGAUUGAUGUCUUCUCUCAAGUCUUUAUCCCUGGCUGGAAAUUACCUCAAUGGUUCCUUACCAAAUCAAGGUAUAUAUAUAUUGUGAUUACAGGUUUUUCUGUUUUCUUUUUUAAUAUCUUGUUUGUUCUUUAUGCCAAUGAAGUCAUGCAUGUCUAUUAAUUUUUGGUAUUUAAUAAAAAACUUUAUUCUUAAUUCAUAAAGACCUCAUCAACGGUAAGUAACAGCUAGUUGUAAGUUUGGGGGCAUUGACAAGACGAGGAGAUGAUUGGUUACAUGUCUUAUUCUCUUUUGUAGGCUUUUGCCAAUUGAAUAAGCUUCAAGAAUUAGAUCUUUCUUACAACUUGUUCCAAGGAAUCCUUCCUCCAUGUUUGAAUAAUUUGACAUCUUUGAGGUUAUUGGAUCUCUCUUCCAACCUAUUCUCCGGAAAUCUUUCUUCCCCUCUGUUACCUAAUCUCACAUCCCUGGAGUACAUCGAUCUCAGUUACAAUCAUUUUGAGGGUUCAUUCUCUUUCAGCUCUUUUGCUAAUCACUCCAACCUUCAAGUGGUCAAACUUGGAAGGAAUAACAACAAAUUUGAGGUAGAAACUGAAUAUCCAGUUGGUUGGGUUCCCCUGUUUCAGUUGAAAGCUCUUGUGCUAUCCAACUGUAAGCUCAUCGGUGACCUUCCUAGUUUCCUUCGACACCAAUUAAGAUUAACCGUGGUUGAUCUCUCCCAUAAUAACUUGACUGGAAGUUUCUCCAUUUGGCUGCUUGAAAACAAUACAAGACUAGGAUCUCUAGUUCUGAGGAAUAACUCUUUAAUGGGUCAACUACUUCCCCUGAGACCUAAUAGUCGUAUCACUUUAUUGGAUAUCUCAGACAACCGACUUGAUGGGGAACUUCAACAAAAUGUGGCCAAUAUGAUUCCAAAUAUUGAGUUUCUAAAUUUAUCCAACAAUGGUUUUGAAGAUAUUCUCCUAUCCUCAAUAGCCGAAAUGAGUUCCUUACAGUCAUUGGAUUUGUCUGCUAAUAGUUUCUCAGGGGAAGUACCAAAACAAUUGCUUGUGGCAAAAUAUUUGUGGCUUCUGAAAUUAUCAAAUAAUAAAUUUCAUGGUGAAAUAUUUUCAAGGGAGUUUAACUUGACUCAGUUAGGGUUUUUACAUUUGGACAAUAAUCAGUUCAAGGGAACACUGUCAAAUGUAAUCUCCAGAAUCUCUAGGUUAUGGGUGUUGGAUAGGUAACAUGACCGAUUUGACUACCCUAGUGUUGGGCAACAAUAGUUUUAAAGGCAAAUUACCACCUGAGAUUUCUCAAUUGUUGGGGAUGAUAUUUCUUGACCUUUCUUAAAACGCUCUUUCAGGAUCUUUUCUUUCUUUGAAGAGCCUGGAGUAUUUAGAGCAUCUACAUUUGCAAGGGAACAUGUUUAUAGGAUUGAUACCUAGAGAUUUUCUCAAUUCCUCAUAUCUAUUGACUUUGGAUAUCAGAGACAACAGGUUAUUUGGAAGUAUUCCCAAUUCAAUCUCUAGACUUUUAGAGCUAAGAGGAAACCUUUUAAGUGGUUUCAUUCCAUAUCAGCUCUGUCAUUUGACUAAAAUAAGCUUCAUGGAUCUUUCAAACAACAAUUUUUCUAGGUCAAUUCCUGGAUGCUUUGGUCAUAUCAGAUUUGGAGAUUUCAAAACUGAGCACAAUGUGUAUAUACCGAUGUUGGAUUCGUAUUCAGAAAGCAAUCCUUCUAUAUAUGCGGGUUACUUAAUAAAAUUUUAUUUUUCUCUAGUGAACUCCCUAAUGAAGUAGAUGAAGUUGAGUUUGUUACCAAGAAUAGGUAUAGCUCCCACAGAGUAGAUAAAUAUAUUUGUUGGGAAUUUAGAUAUUUUUAUAGAAAAGUAGACAAGUAUUCUAAUUUAUAAAAAUAAUGCAUUUCUUUAGUUUGGUAUAAAAAAAAUGAAAUGAUAUGUAUUGGUAAUUUUUUUUAAAGUAACAAACGUUUUAUUUUAUUUGUAUUUAAGAACAAUUUUUUUUCUUAUACUAGUUAUUUUAAUUUUCUUUUGACAGAUUUUGCAAGCUUAAGCAAUUUGGAGAUGCUAGAUUUGAGUUAUAAUUCCUUAAGUGGGAUUAUUCCAUUAUCUAUAAGAUUGAUGCCUCAUCUCAAGUCUUUAUCCUUGGCCAGAAAUCACUUCAAUGGUUCUUUACAAAAUCAAGGUACAUAUGUUAUGAUUUGUUUGUUUCAUAUAGAUUAGAGAAGAUGAAUAUUGUUAAAAAAAAAAAGUUGUUGUUAAUGUAAGCUAGAAAUAAGUAUUUUGCCUUAUAAAUUAUAUAAGCAUGUGUUUGUUCUGAAUGAAUCUUUACAACAUUUAGAGUUACCAAUGUUUAUAAUUCAUAAAGACCUCAUUAACAGUGAGUAACAACUAAUUGUAAGUAAUUGUGGAAAAAGUAAGGAAAACAAAAUGAGGGAAAAGCAAGGAAUUAGGAAAUUAUUUUGUUCCCAUAAAAAAAUGCUAAGGAAGAAAAAGGUAAAAGAAAGUUUAAAAAAAGUGUAUUUUUCAAAAAUUUAUUUCUCUUUCCUUUAAUUUUGCUAUGGACAACCAAACAAGAAAAUAAUUUUAUAAUUCCUUUUUUUUUUCAUUCUCUCUCUCUCUCUCUCUUUUUCCCUACUCUAUUUCUUUUCCCUCAAACUUUCUUGAUAGUAAACACAACCUAAGGUAAAUGAGGAAGAAAAUUUUUAGUUUUUUUUAUUUUUUAUUUUUUUAGAAUGUUUUCUUACUUUUUAGUAUUUUAUGCAAAUAUAGGAAAAUUUUCAUCUUUCUUUUUAUGGAUUUGAAAAACCCAAUAAUUUGGAGAAAACUGAUUCAAGGAAGAAUAAUUUUUAGAAUAAAAUAUUAUUAUUUAAGAAGAUCAUAAAUAUUAUAGUCAUUGUUGAAUAUGAUAAAUGAUUUAAAAAAAUGGUAGUUGGAAAUUUAGAUACUUUUAUAAGACAAAUGAAUUUUUCUAGUAUGGUAUGAAAAAAGGUAAAAUGAUAGGCUUUGAUCAUUUUUUAAGGUAGUUUGUUUAAAUCAUUUUAAUUUAUUUUCAUUUAAGAACAAUAACUUUUAUUACACUAGUUAUUUUGAUUUUCUUUUGAUAGAUUUUGCAAGCUUAAGCAAUUUGGAGCUAUUGGAUUUGAGUAAUAAUUCAUUUAGUGGGAGCGUUCCAUCAUCUAUAAGAUUGAUGUCUUCUCUCAAGUCUUUAUCCCUGGCUGGAAAUUACCUCAAUGGUUCCUUACCAAAUCAAGGUAUAUAUAUAUUGUGAUUACAAGUUUUUAUGUUUUCUUUUUUAAUAUCUUGUUUGUUCUUUAUGCCAAUGAAGUCAUGCAUGUCUAUUAAUUUUUGGUAUUUAAUAAAAAACUUUAUUCUUAAUUCAUAAAGACCUCAUCAACUGUAAGUAACAGCUAGUUGUAAGUUUGGGGGCAUUGACAAGACGAGGAGAUGAUUGGUUACAUGUCUUAUUCUCUUUUGUAGGCUUUUGCCAAUUGAAUAAGCUUCAAGAAUUAGAUCUUUCUUACAACUUAUUCCAAGGAAUCCUUCCUCCAUGUUUGAAUAAUUUGACAUCUUUGAGGUUAUUGGAUCUCUCUUCCAACCUAUUCUCCGGAAAUCUUUCUUCCCCUCUGUUACCUAAUCUCACAUCCCUGGAGUACAUCGAUCUCAGUUACAAUCAUUUUGAGGGUUCAUUCUCUUUCAGCUCUUUUGCUAAUCACUCCAACCUUCAAGUGGUCAAACUUGGAAGGAAUAACAACAAAUUUGAGGUAGAAACUGAAUAUCCAGCUGGUUGGGUUCCCCUGUUUCAGUUGAAAGCUCUUGUGCUAUCCAACUGUAAGCUCAUCGGUGACCUUCCUGGUUUCCUUCGACACCAAUUAAGAUUAACUGUGGUUGAUCUCUCCCAUAAUAACUUGACUGGAAGUUUCCCCAUUUGGCUGCUUGAAAACAAUACAAGACUAGGAUCUCUAGUCGUAUCACUUUAUUGGAUAUCUCAAACAACCGACUUGUUGGGGAACUUCAACAAAAUGUGGCCAAUAUGAUUCCAAAUAUUGAGUUUUUAAAUUUAUCCAACAAUGGUUUUGAAGGUAUUCUCCCAUCCUCAAUAGCUUAAAUGAGUUCCUUACAGUCGUUAGAUUUGUCUGCUAAUAGUUUCUUAGGGGAAGUACCAAAACAAUUGCUUGCGGCAAAAUAUUUGUGGCUUCUGAAAUUAUCAAAUAAUAAAUUUCAUGGUGAAAUAUUUUCAAGGGACUUUAACUUGACUCAGUUAGGGUUUUUACAUUUGGACAAUAAUCAGUUUAGGGGAUAUUUCUCCAGAAUCUCUAGGUUAUGGGUGUUGGAUGGGAGAUAGUUUUAAAGGCAAAUUACCACCUGAGAUUUCUCAAUUGUCGGGGAUGAUAUUUCUUGACAUUUUUCAAAACGCUCUUUCAGGAUCUCUUCCUUCUUUGAAGAGCCUGGAGUAUUUAGAGCAUCUACAUUUGCAAGGGAACAUGUUUAUAGGAUUGAUACCCAGAGAUUUUCUCAAUUCCUCAUAUCUAUUGACUUUGGAUAUCAGAGACAACAGGUUAUUUGGAAGUAUUCCCAAUUCAAUCUCUAGACUUUUAGAGCUAAGAGGAAACCUUUUAAGUGGUUUCAUUCCAUAUCGGCUUUGUCAUUUGACUAAAACAAGCUUCAUGGAUCUUUCAAACAACAAUUUUUCUGGGUUAAUUCCCGGAUGCUUUGGUCAUAUCGGAUUUGGAGAUUUCAAAACUAAGCACAAUGUGUAUAUACCGAUGUUAGAUUCGUAUUCAGAAAGCAAUCCUUCUAUAUAUACGGGUUACUUAAUAAAAUAUUUAUUUUUCUCUACUGAACUCCUUGAUGAAGUAGAUGAAGUUGAGUUUGUUACCAAGAAUAGGUAUAGCUCCCACAGAGUAGAUAAAAAUAUUUGUUGGGAAUUUAGAUAUUUUAUAGGACAAUAUACAAGUAUUCUAAUUUAUAAAAACAAUGCAUUUCUUUAGUUUGGUAUAAAAAAAAUAAAAUGAUAGGUAUUGGUAAUUUUUUUUCAAAGUAACAAACGUUUUAUUGUAUUUGUAUUUAAGAACAAUGUCUUUUCUUAUACUAGUUAUUUUAAUUUUCUUUUGACAGAUUUUGCAAGCUUAAGCAAUUUGGAGAUACUAGAUUUGAGUUAUAAUUCCUUAAGUGGGAUUAUUCCAUCAUCUAUAAGAUUGAUGUCUUGUCUCAAGUCUUUAUCGUUGGCCGGAAAUCACCUCAAUGGUUCUUUACAAAAUCAAGGUACAUAUGUUAUGAUUUGUUUGUUUCAUAUAGAUUAGAGAAGAUAAAUAUUGUAAAAAAAAAAAAAGUUGUAGUUAAUGUAAGCUAGAAAUAAGUAUCUUGCCUUAUAAAUUAUAUAAGCAUGUGUUUGUUCUUAAUGAAUCUUUACAACAUUUAGAGUUACCAAUGUUUAUAAUUCAUAAAGACCUCAUUAACGGUGAAUAACAACUAAUUGUAAGUAAUUGUGGAAAAAGUAAGGAAAACAAAAUGAGGGAAAAGCAAGGAAUUAGGAAAUUAUUUUUUUCCCAUAAAAAAAUGCUAAGGAAGAAAAAGGUAAAAGAAAGUUUAAAAAAAGUGUAUUUUUAAAAAAAUUAUUUCUCUUUCCUUUAAUUUUGCUAUGGACAACCAAACAAGAAAAUCAUUUUAUAAUUCCUUUUUAUUUUUUUCAUUCUCUCUCUCUUUUUUUCCCUACUCUAUUUCUUUUCCCUCAAACUUCCUUGGUAGUAAACACAACCUAAGAUAAAUGGGGAAGAAAAUUUUCAGUUUUUAUUUUUAUUUUUUUAGAAUGUUUUCUUACUUUUUAGUAUUUUAUGCAAAUAUAGGAAAAUUAUUUUUUUUUCUUGCUCCUUUUCAGACAUGAAUCACACUUUAAAAGAAAAUUAAUUUUUAAUUAGGAGUUAAGAUAAAUUUAAGGAGAAACAAUGAAUCACGAAUAACAAAAAAUUAAGGAAAUUGAAUUUUUGAAAGUAAGUAUAAUCAAAUUGCUUCAUUUGAUACAAAAUUUGAAUAAAAAUUCUUUCAAUGAAAAAUCAAGGAAAGGAAAAAACAUUUUUGUCUCUAGAUUAUAAUACUUAAUCAUGUAAAAAAUCUCUUAACAUCAUUUAUAUUCAUAUUUCUUUUUGUAGAUUUGAAAAAUUCAACAAUUUGGAAUAAACUUAUUCAAUGAAGAAUAAUUUUUAGAUUUAAAGAUUAUUAUUUAAGAUCAUAAAUAUUACCAUCAUUGUUGAUGUCCAAGAAGAUCAUAUUCAACAAUUUUUUUAAUAUGUUGUUUUUUAUGGUAAUUAAUUGAUGUCUUGUAAUUUUUAAUAUUUAAUGAAAAACAUUAAUUUAAUUCAUCUAAAGCUCUUAAUUCAUGAAGACCUCGUUAAUGUAAUGGUGAGUAAUAGUUGGCUGUAAGUUUGGAGUCAAAGACAUGUUAAGGAGAUGAUUAGUUACAUGUCUUAUUCUCUUUUGUAGGUUUCUGCCAAUUGAAUAAGCUUCAAGAGUUAGAUCUUUCUUACAACUUAUUCCAAGGGAUCCUUCCUCCAUGUUUGAAUAAUUUCACAUCUCUGAGGUUAUUGGAUCUCUCUUCCAACCUCUUUUCCGGAAAUUUUUCUUCCCCUCUGUUACGUAAUCUCACAUCCCUAGAGUACAUAGAUCUCAGUUCCAAUCAGUUUGAGGGUUCAUUCUCUUUCAGCUCUUUUGCUAAUCAUUCCAAGCUUCAAGUGGUCAUACUUGGAAGGGAUAACAACAAAUUUGAGGUAGAAACUGAAUAUCCAGUUGGUUGGGUUCCCCUGUUUCAGUUGAAGAUUCUCUCUCUAUCCAGCUGUAAGCUCACCGGUGACCUUCCUGGUUUUCUUCAAUACCAAUUCAGGUUAGUGGGGGUUGAUAUCUCACAUAAUAACUUGACAGGAAGUUUCCCCUAUUGGUUGCUUGAAAACAAUACGAGACUAGAAUCUCUAGUCUUGAGGAAUAACUCUUUAAUGGGUCAACUACUUCCCUUGGGACCUAAUACUCGUAUCAAUUCAUUGGAUAUCUCACACAAUCAGUUGGAUGGACAACUUCAAGAAAAUGUGGCCCAUAUGAUUCCAAAUAUUAUGUUUCUAAAUUUAUCCAACAAUGGUUUUGAAGGUAUUCUCCCAUCCUCAAUAGCUGAACUAAGAGCCUUAUGGAUUUUGGAUUUGUCUACCAAUAAUUUCUCUGGAGAAGUACCAAAGCAAUUGCUUGCAACAAAAGAUUUGGGGAUUCUGAAAUUAUCAAAUAAUAAAUUUCAUGGUGAAAUAUUUUCAAGGGACUUUAACUUGACUGGGUUAUUGUGUUUGUAUUUGGGCAAUAAUCAGUUCACAGGAACUCUGUCAAAUGUAAUCUCCAGAAGCUCUUGGUUGGAGGUGUUGGAUGUGAGCAACAACUACAUGUCAGGUGAAAUUCCAAGCCAGAUAGGUAACAUGACCGAUUUGACUACACUGGUGUUGGGCAACAAUAAUUUUAAAGGCAAAUUACCACUUGAGAUUUCUCAAUUGCAACGGAUGGAGUUUCUUGACGUUUCUCAAAAUGCUUUUUCAGGAUCUCUUCCUUCUUUGAAGAGCAUGGAGUAUUUAGAGCAUCUACAUUUGCAAGGGAACAUGUUUACAGGAUUAAUACCCAGAGAUUUUCUCAAUUCCUCAAAUCUAUUGACUUUGGAUAUUAGAGAAAACAGGUUAUUUGGAAGUAUUCCCAACUCAAUCUCUGCACUUUUGAAGCUAAGGAUUCUUUUGCUAGGAGGAAACCUUUUAAGUGGUUUUAUUCCAAAUCAUCUUUGUCAUUUGACUGAAAUAAGCUUGAUGGAUCUUUCAAACAACUCUUUUUCAGGGCCAAUUCCCAAAUGCUUUGGCCAUAUCCGAUUUGGGGAAAUGAAAAAGGAGGACAACGUGUUUGGACAGUUCAUUGAAUUUGGGUUUGGAAUGGUUUCUCAUCUUGUAUAUGCAGGUUACUUGGUGAAAUAUUACGGUUCCCCAACUUUAGUAUAUAAUGAAAAAGAUGAAGUUGAGUUUGUCACCAAGAACAGGAGUGACUUCUACAAAGGUGGCAUCCUUGAAUUCAUGUCUGGAUUGGACUUAUCAUGUAACAACUUGACAGGCGAAAUACCUCAUGAACUUGGAAUGCUAAGUUGGAUUCGUGCAUUGAACUUGUCUCACAAUCAAUUGAAUGGCUCCAUUCCAAAGAGUUUCUCUAAUCUUUCUCAAAUAGAGAGCUUAGACCUUUCUUAUAAUAAACUGGGUGGAGAAAUUCCUCUAGAGCUAGUUGAACUCAAUUUUUUAGAGGUGUUUAGUGUGGCUUACAACAACUUCUCUGGUAGAGUUCCAGAUACCAAAGCACAAUUUGGGACAUUUGAUGAAAGGAGCUAUGAAGGUAAUCCUUUCCUUUGUGGGGAACUAUUAAAGAGGAAAUGCAACACAAGUAUUGAGUCACCAUGCACACCAUCACAGUCUUUUGAAAGUGAGGCAAAAUGGUAUGAUGUCAAUCAUGUUGUUUUCUUUGCAAGUUUUACUACUUCAUAUAUCAUGAUCUUGUUAGGAUUUGCUAUCAUCCUUUACAUCAAUCCUUAUUGGCGUCAUAGAUGGUUCAAUUUUAUCGAGGAAUGUAUAUAUUCCUGCUAUUAUUUUGUUUUUGAUAGUCUUUCCAAGUUAUCAGCAUAUUUGUAUAAUUAGAUACUUUUAAUUGGAUGAUAUUUGCAUAAUUAACUACUAUUUGUUUCCCUGGGAUAGAAAGAAAUGGGAUGUAUAAUGCUAUGAGCUGAAACUUACAUACUUUGCUCAAAUUCUAACAUCUUUUGAUUUUAUUUUCAAGUUCCGUUAUUUAUUAUGUAUUGCUUAAUUCAAGAUUUAACCAUAUUACGUUACUCUUAUAAAAGCAAAUUCAAAUUUUUAGGAACUUUUAGCAUUAAAAUAAUUUCAUAGUCAGAUUUUAAAAAAUAAAGAAGAAAGAAAAUAAUAAAUAAUUGGAAAAACAAUUCAAGGAAGUAUUAAAUUAUUAUCUUAGAAUUAUUUGGCGUAGUAUGGGAAUUCAAAAAUAAUCUUUCAAUUUGUUAGAAAUGUUUAUUUAUUUAUUAUAGCAAUGAUUGAAAUAUCAAUCACAAAGUAAUGUUUUCUUUUCUUUUGUAGGGCACUAACACUUUUUCUUUGAUAGUAAUAAUUGAUAAAUAUAUUACACAAUUAUUUGUUUUAAAAAAGGGAGGGAUGACAAACAUAAUAACAUGUGAAAUAUUUCUAAAACUGUAAUGGGAAAUAAGCCAUCUAAUUAGGGUGCAAUAUUAUUCAUUUUAAUUUACAUGAAUUUACUUAUUUUUAUUUGCAUCAUAUUUUGAACUAUUUUAUGAAAUUAAGGGAGAUUAAAACAUCACGAGUUUCUUAUUUUAGUUUAUAUUCUUAAUAAUAAAGCAUGAAAUAUUAUAAAAAAAAAAAUCAUGAAUUUCUUUAAUUCCUUAGGAAACCAAUAUAUAAAAAAUUGAACAUAUUAUUAUUUUAUAUCCUAAAUCUCUAAAUUUGUUCAUUACCUAUUUAUUUUUAUAUUAAAUUUAUUAUUAAUUAUUUAUUUAUAUUAUUAUUUUAUGUUUAAAAUGUUCAUAAAUAAUUAAAAUUAAUAAAUAUAAAAAUAAAAUAUUAAAAAAUUAAAUUAUAAAGAUUUCAUCAAACUGACAUAUUUAAAAAAAAAAAAAAGCUAAAAAAGAUGAGGAUAUUAUAGAGGAGGGGAAAAGGAUAAAAGAAAAUUCAUGUGGUAUGAUAAUAUCACGUGUCAAAGUUAUUUUCUUUAAAAAAUAAUAAUAGUAAUGAUGAACUCAUUUGUCUUAUCAAAGUAAGUUAAAAAAAAAAAAAAAAAAAAAAAAGAAAAGAAAAAGAUGGUAGUUGGCUUAUUUGUUCUUUGAAAAUAAAAAAUCAAAGUUUUAGAAAAAUACAAUUUUCUUUUAAAUGAUGAAUGGUUACAUCAUUUCCCCUUAGCUUAUCUGUUCCUUUAAACUUUAGUUUGAAUAAAAUUAGUUUUAAUUAUUUUCUUUUUGGAAUUAUAUUUAAUCGUAUUAUUAAAAAUAUAAAAAACAUCGUAAUAAUAUUGUCAAUAAGUUUUUUUAUAUAUAUUGAAAAAUAUUUAUAUUUAAAAAUAUUUAAAUUUUGUCAUGGGCUGCCCAUUUCAAAAUGAUAAGAAUAUAAUAACCUAAUUUUUCCAAAUUCCAGGUAAAUAUGCUAAUCUAAAAAAAAAAAAUUAUUAGGUUUUUAUGUGCUGAUUGGGUUUUUUUUAUACCCAGUAUGCUCUCCAAUCUACCACUUAAGCAUCCGACAUGGCUAAAAAUAAAUUUUUAAAAAAAAGAAUAAAAAAGGAAAAAAACGAAAGUGUGUGAUCUCUUUCUUGAGUCUUCACAAUCUGAGACACUGAACCCAAAUCAAAAUUAAUCCUCCAAAUUAAUUUUCACCUCCAACCCAAACCCUAACGACUGCCUCACUUUCUUCUCAAACAUAGCUAUACGAAAAACCCUAGCCUCUGCCUCGUCUUCCUCUUAUCCCGGAAACCCAAAUCCCGUGACCCUAACCCCUUCUCUUUCCGAAAACCCUCCAGAAUCGGAAGAUUCAAGUGAUCGAAUUAAUUCUUCAGAAUUAAUUUUCACCUCGAAGCCGAACCCUAACUGCCUCAUCUUCCUCUCAUUCAUAUCCCAAAAGUAGCUUCAACAGUCAGGCCUGCGGCCAUGAAAGCCGUAGUGAUCGCCACUUCCGGCGAUCCCCAAGUUCUCCAAGUGCAAGAAGUCGAAAACCCUGAAAUUGGAGAUGAUGAAGUUCUAAUUAGAGUGGACGCCGCUGCCAUUAAUCGAGCGGAUACGCUUCAGAGGAAGGGCUUGCACCCUCCCUCAAAGGCGGCAGUCCCUACCCCGCUGGAAUCAUCGAAGCUGUUGGAAAGGUCGUCGUUCGAUGGAAGGUUGGCGAUCAGGUAUUUCAAUUGCCUAAUAUUUUGAUUCCGUUUCUGUUCCUGUAUUUUUCUCGGCUAUCCUUUAUGUGAUUUUGCUUCCUCCUGAGUACAAGUUCAUAAUAUACAUGGUACAUGGUGAAUCUGUAUGACAUUUCAUGGUAUACAGGUGUGUGCUCUUCUUUCUGGUGGAGGGCAUGCUGAAAAAGUGGCUGUUCCAGCUGGGCAAGUUCUCCCUGUCCUAUCUGGUGUUUCUCUGAAGGAUGCUGCUGAGGUUGCAUGUACUGUUUGGUCAACUGUUUUAAUGAUGAGCCGACUGUCUGCAGGAGAAACAUUCCUGGUGAAUUUUUUGUCUUUUUUAUUUUCUGAUGCCUGAUAUAUUUACCAGCACAAAUUUUCCCUGUUGCUGUUUAAUGUGUGUGCAUCAAUAUUGGAUUAGGGAGGUAGAAGAGCCAUGGUUCUAUUACAUCAUCAUAUUCUUAUUUAGAUACAUUGUAUCCCACAAUUUCAUUGCAUCCAAGGCUAUGUUGUUUUUUAUUGCACGGUUUGUCAUGGUAAUUUCUCAACCCUUCUCUGGAAAAUUAUGUUGGAUGGCUGCUAUUAAUUACCCCAAAAGAAGAAAUUUUAUGUUGAAGUAAGAUGAGUAGCACAAAGAGUUACUUGUGGUUGAUCCUAUCAUCAAAUGGGCGAUUGAUGCACAAUCCAAAUGGUAAAUUUUUUUCCCCCUUUAUCCAGAUGGAAUUUUUAUGCAUGGUUGAAUAGUGAAAUGAGGACUGAUAAUAUUUCAGGUUCAUGGGGGUUCAAUUGGAAUUGGUACCAUCUAUUCAAAUAGUGAAAUAUUGAGGAGCAAGGGUAUUUGUUACAGCAGGUUUGCCAUCACUGUUCUACCUCAUCCCACAGAAUGCUUAUCUCAUGGCACCAAUUCCUUUUCUUCACAUGUUUUCAACCAUUUUUUCCACCCAGGAACGAGGAAAAAUUAGCUGUUUGUAAGGAUCAUUGAGCAGAUGUGUGCAUCAAUUACAAGACUGAAAACUUUGUUGCAUGGGUGAAGGAGGAAACAGGAGGGAAAGGUACAUUCUAUUGUAUCUUAACGAUAAUUUCAAUUGAAGGUGGAAUUGCUUUUUAUUUUUUAGUGCACCAAAUCCACUAGUCUGGAAUGUUUGAAAAGAUAAAUAGUCAUCUUCCACUUGAUUCCGAUUGUGAAGAUCUAACCCCAAAAAUGUUGAAUGACAGGUGUUGAUGUUAUACUGGAUAAUAUUGGAGGGGCCUACUUUUGGGGAGACAUCAAUGGUUUAAAUGUUGAUGGAAGGCUUUUUAUUAUUGGUUUUCAGGGUGGAACAGUGGUACAAGUAAAUCUUUCAGGUUUACUUGCAAGGCGCCUUACAGUGCAAGGUACCACUUUCUCUGUAGAAGAUUUUUCUGUAGUUUUGGAGUUGAAUCAAUUUGAUUAAUCUCAUCCAAGUUCAGAACUGAGGUGGAUUCUGGCAAGCCAAGGAAAAACCAAAUUACCAUAAAUUCUUUUUUUUUUUCUGGAUCGUUUUACUUCUUGGAAAUCCUGUUUCUCGAUCUGGUCAGGUAUAUGGAAAUUCCAAGGAAAAUAUGUUUUACAUUUUCCAUAAUUGGAAACACUCAGGAAUUUAAUAUUUUCCUCUGAAAUAGCAAUGGUUUUCUAAUUACGACAUUUGUUUUUCUUGUAUCAUCCCAAAAUAUUUUUUAGGUGUUUGUUCUCUCUUGACACAGCUUUUAAUUGGGUCUGUCUUGCUUUUUGAUAGAUCUCUUGACAAGUUGCUUGUAUAUCAUACUUUCUUUAUUGUUUUCGGAUCAUGAACCUUGCUUCUGUCAGCCCUGUUAUCACUACCCAAACUAGUAAAUUUAUGCACAAAACUCCAUGUGUCAGUAACAGUGGUUAUUUGAUUGUAUUAAAUAAUUUGUAAAUACAGUGGAUAAGUUUGUGCAUAGAUUGAAGGCGAAUGAAAAACGUGCAUAGAUUGAAGGUGUGCUGCUUGAGUUGAUUGUAGUUUGAGCAUGAAAAUUUGAAGAUCCAGAACAGCAAAUGAGGAAUGCCUAUCAAUUUGAAACCAGCAUGGGUGGAUGAAUGGAGAGGUUCUUCACUGAAUUUGUCCAUGAAGCUUUUUAGCACUCUAGGGCAAGGGUCUCCAAGCCUAGCUGUUGAUUGCACAUCCCUCCUGCGCAAUACUAAGAACAGAGUGAAAUGCAAAUGCAGGAAAGGGUGUUUCUUAGCUGUUCAACAACUGACAAUACAUUGGCAUGACAAUUCCCUGGAUCGAAUGCCACAAUGCCCUCUUGGAGUUCCAAAGCUUGUUCACAGGUCAAACGAACUUGAGGGUUUUGGGACAUGAACUCCAAGUUUGGUUGCCAAGAAUCUCCAGGUGGAGGAUCAGCUUCUGACACGUGCACACACCUCUUGGCCAGUUUGUGUUAUUGCAAUUUUUAUUAAAUUGCUAAAAAAUUUAUCGCGAACAAUUUUUUCUUUUUUCUUUUUUCUUUUUUUCUUUUUAAACAAACUGCAAAAAUCCCUUUUUUUUUUAUAUAAAAAAAAAAAAAAUUCUCCAACAAAGUGAUUUUUUUUUGUGGCAUGACUCGGUUUGACCACUAACUCGGUGAACUGGUCUAUCGGCUCAAGUUUGGAUCCCUUAAUUUUGUGGCAAAUUGGGCAUCAAGCCCAACAACCUAACUUCCAUGCGGGCUAUCUACUGGAUCUCACCCAUUGUAACUUGCUCUGGGUGAAUGGCCAUUAUAAACUUCAUUUUAUCCUCAUGUGAUUUUGAUGUGGGAAUGGGAGAGAUGAGGAUUUGACAUUUGGACCUAAGGCUCAAUGGGUUUUAACUCCACUCAGCUACUUUAUGUCUUGUAUUUAAUAUUGCAAACCAAAAUAAUAAUAGACAUGAUUCUUUUCAAAAAAUUUAUAAUGUAAUAUUUUUUAAAAUUAUAAAAUAAUAGGUUAUAUAAAUUUUAAUAUAUAGGUAAAAUUAAUUAAAUUUUAACAAAUAUCUUCACAUUUAGACAUUACAUAUUUUUUAUUUAAUAAAAUUUUAAAAUAUUAAUAUAUCUAAAUAUAAUAUUAAAAAUGAAAAAUAAAAUAGUAAUAAUUUUUAUUUUCUUUAUAUAUUUAAAAUUAUAUAAUUAUUUUUUAUUUUAAUAACAUAUAAAUUGUAUAUUUAUAAUAUUAUUGGUUCAACUGUGAUUCAACCAUCACUCCGAUUAUUCAAUUAUGAAUUAAUAAAUUUUUUAAUUCAAUGAUAGGUUUGAUUAUAAAAAUAUUAUGUUUUUUUUUAUGAAAAGUACUCAAGAAAUAUCAUUAAUCACUAAGAUCACGUGGUUGGAUUAGGUGUAUCCGAAACAUAGGUAUUACUCUCUUCCUUAGUUAGGGCUUAGCUUUUGAAAAUGUAGAUAGGUAAAGUGGAUGGAAAGUCUAUAACUACGUAGAGAUUGAGCUUGGAGGCCAAUCUAGCAAAUGUGGAGAUUAGAAAUAGUUUACCAUCUAGAUAGUCAAGCAUAGCAAUUUACCAAACCCUUACCAACCAUCCAUACUAACCAAUUGUGGUUAAAUGUUUACAAAAAUGUACAUUAAAUCAAAGAGAAAAAAGAUUAAAAACGAACAAGAGAGAAGAAGCACAUCACCUAAUUUUGGUAAUAAAUGAAAUUAAAAUAAAUUCAUAAAUUUUUUAAAUUAAAAUGAAUUUGAACUCUAGAGAUUUGUGUAGAUAUCUUAUUAAAAAACCAAAAAGUUUGUUGCAUAUAUAAUUUCAACAAUGCAUAAAUAAUUACAACAUACGCAAUACAAUAAUAUUACACAACUAUAUUUUCAAAUAUAAUAUAAGAUCAUUAAAGUGAUAAAUUGUAGUUGUAUAAAGUAUUUAUACAAGUAAAGAAGAAAUUAUGAGAUUAAAAUGCUUGUUGGAUUCUAAGUAAAAAAGAAAUGAGAUAUAGAGAUUGUCCCAUCAGACAUAUAGAAUUUCAUAUACAUAAUUUUCCCUUCAAGAAAAUUUAGGGUCAAAUUGAAAAAAUUUCAUUCAUAGAUUUUGGUAAAACCUCUAUCUAGUCCCCGAAGUCUUGUAUACAAAAGGAAAUAACAUUGGUAUGAGGGGUUUGAAUGCUUAAUUUUAGAUUGAAAAUGCUUGAGAUAAUUUUUGAUCGACUUCACAUGUGUUUUUAAUAAACUUGGAACAUUCAAACUUGUAUUUGAAGAAUCUUCAAUUUGAUCUUAAAUAAUGUUGAAACCUUCAAAAUUUGAAUAGAAGAAUCUUUAAGCAUUUGAAUUUUGGUUUAAAGAAUUUUGAAAUUUGAGACUGAAGAAUCUUCAAAUUUGGGCCUGAAGAUCAAAGGCUAAGCUUGAAGAGUUCUUGAAGCUUGAGUGGUAUGUCCGAUUUUGUUUUGUAUUUUAUAAAAACUUUUAGGCUAUGUUUGGUUCCCAGAAAAUUUGAGGGAAAAUGCGAGGGAAAGAAAAUACAAAGGAAAAGUAGAAGGAAAGAAAAAGUGAAGGAAAAUAAAAAAAUAGAUUAAAAGUUGAUAAAUUAUUUUUUUUGUUACUUCAAACUCAUUUUAUUUAUUUUAACUCAUCAAUAUAAAGAUUAAAUAAUUUAAAAAUAUAAAAGUUUUUAAUUAGUUUUAAUUAUAUUUAAUUUUCUUUGAUAUUUUUUAUAAGACAACCAAACAUGAGAAAAUCAUUUUCCUUAGCAUUUUUUUUCUUUCCUUUGUACUUUCCGGGAACCAAACAUAGCCUUAAGUAUACUAUAUUUAUAGGUUUGAAGAGACAUUGAGAUUUUGUAUACAUGUUUGGAGUUUUAAACCUUGAAAUAUUACUCUUUUAUGAAAUUAACAUUUAUAAAAUUUGGAAGAACAUAAUUAGAUAAUAUUCUAAGUUAUUUUUAAUGAAAAUUGAUAAUUACCUUUUAAUUAUCAAAUUCACUAUUUCUAUUUAUUUUUGUAAUAUAUAUUAAUUACUAAAAUCAUUUAUUUCCUUUAUUUAGUUUGAAAGCAAUUAUAUAUCUUUUGUUUGUGUAGAGCUCAUGUGACACGACAAAUUUUAUUUUGUAACUUGCUCUGGAUGAAUGGCCAUUAUAAACUUCAUUUUAUCCUCAUCUGAUUUUGACGUGGGAAUAGGAGAGAUGAGGAUUUGACAUUUGGACCUAAGCCUCAGAGGGUUUUAACUCCACUCAACUACUUUAUGCCUUGUAUUUAAUAUUGCAAACCAAAAUAAUAACAGACAUGAUCCUUUUCAAAAUUUUUAUAUUAAUAGAAGUGUAAAUAAUAUAAGUAAAAAUAAUGUAAUAUUUUUUAAAAUGAUAAAAUAAUAGGUUACAUAAAUUUUAAUAUAUAGGUAAAAUUAAUUAAAUUUUAACAAAUACCUUCACACUUAAACAUUACAUAUCUUUUAUUUAAUAAAAUGUUAAAAUAUUAAUAUAUUUAAAAUUGUAUAAUUAUUUUUAUUUUAAUACUAUAUAAAUUAUAUAUUUAUGAUAUUACUGGUUCAACUAUAAUUCAAUCACUGGUCCAACCAUUGAACCAUGAAUUAGUAAAUUUUUUUAUUCAAUGAUAGGUUUGAUUCUAAAAACAUUAUGGCUAUGUUUGGUCCCAGAAAUUUUUUUUUGAUGGAUAAUGACAAAGAUAUUACCAAUUUGAUAUCACCAAUUGAUAACACAAUUAAAAAAUAAUAUGAAUUUUAACAUAUUUGAAUUCAUUGUAAUCAUAUCCAUGACCUAAUUUUACACAUCCUUAAAUCAUGGUUGAUUUAUGAAACAAAUCUAUACCAUCAAUAGAAAAUAAAUAAAUAAAAUAAUACAAAAAAAAUAUAUAGAUAGUCAAGCAUAGCAAUUUACCAAACCCUUAGCCACCAUCCAUACUAACCUGUUGUUGUUAAAUGUUUACAAAAAUAUACAUUAAAUCAAAGAGUAAAAAGAUUAAAAACGAACAAGAGAGAAGAAAUACAUCACCUAAUUUUUGUAAUAAAUGAAAUUAUAAUAAAUUCAUAAUUUUUUUAAAUUAAAAUAGGAAUUCAAAUACAUGUAACUAUUGUUUUUGUCUUGUAAAUCAUCCAAUUUUUCAAUGAAUUUAAACUCCACAGAUUUGUGUAGAUAUCUUAUUAAAAAAAGCAAAAAGUUUUCACUAAAAUCAUAAAAUUUAGAUUAGAAAUGAUUUACUAUAUUAGUUCAAAAUUCACCUCCACAAAAAUUGAAAUAAAUUAAUUAUCUUCAAUUCAAAUAAAAUUUCUCCAAUUAAAUUUCCAAAUAUGUGCCUUAAUACCUAUAAUGGAAUUAGUAAUUUUAAUUAAAAUAAAAAUAAAAAUAAGGAUUUGAUCUUUUUCUUACCAUUUGAUGAAAAUUAUAAAAUAUAUUAAAAUGACAAGUGAUCAGACAUUUGAAAUUUGCAUCAUUUCUACCAUUGCAAACACCACCAACCCCAUAUUUCCCAUUUUUCUACCUACUGCCAAUUCACUCAUCUCUCUGGGAAGAUUUUUGAGGUUAUCGUCAUGCUUGAGAUAAUCCAGAAAGUUGAGCGGCAUCACUCUCUGAAAGGUGCCUUACAGCAUGGGUAAUGUAUGGGAUACAUCUGAUAACUUGCCAUAUCCAUAAACCACUAUAUUAAACCAUGGUUCAUAUCCCCAACGUUACACGAGAAUCUGUACUCAUCCCAAGCAGCUUGGAGAUCAUAAAAUUAGGUUUUGAGGGCCUCCCGAGACAUGCACAGCUUCACCCUUUGUGCAUUCCUUUGAUUUGGAAAAUUUCUUCUUUAGAAUUCCCCAUUAUCAUGCCCUGAACCAAGACAUAUCAUGAUUGGAUGGGCCCCUUCACCAAUUUCACAAUAUCCAAUAGCAUAUCAUUUACUUCCCUUUUGUCAAUGGGAAUUACCAUUUUGCAUGGGAAGCACCAACGGAGAUGGAGGUUUUCAAAUUGGAUCACUAGCAAAGAAACCCACCGCAACUAUCUGAAUAAUUGAGCACAACAUCGGCUUUAGAGAACUCCUCCUGAAGGCGAAAUCGUCAUCUUGGCUAAACGUAGUCAUAGUUGGGUUGUGAGAAAUGGAGAUGAAUCAUAGAAGGCUUUCAGUUUCAUAGCAACGAAAAGGUAAAUGUACUCUAGAGAAGUUUUGACCUUGGGAGAAGCGCUUUUGAAUCCAAGUCAAGGUCUGUUCUGGAUCCCUUUUCGACUCUCUCUAUUAAAGGAAGAUAAUCUGCCUAGGAUUUGGAUGCAAGCUUGCAAGGCCAUGUUUAGGAGACUUAUGCAAAAUAUUUAUCCAUAGCUCCCCGCCUGAAACAUCUACAUAAAGCGUCUUCCAAGUGUGAACCAUUGUCUUGGGUCCUUGAGAUGAACAAAAACUGAGACAUAUCGUGAGUUAGAUGCAUUGCCUGAAAAUGCCGAGCAGUAGUAUGGCCUUCUUUCUGAUCAACUGUUUUGUCAAAUUCUAGAGCUCUCAUUCCAAAUCCAUCAGUUUUCUCAAAUGAUUGGCUAGUGGAGAUCCAUGGAUAUAACAUAUGAAAUGUGCACAAUAAAAGUAAUCAAACGGUUGGUUGGUUUGGCUGAAUCCCACAAUCGCAAAGACUAAUCAUAUGAAACUGUUACCAGCUGAGUUGAAUUUGGCCUAAAAAGGAUAUCCGUUACUACAAACUAGCGUUCUUUCAUGGUGCUCUCUCUUUGCAGGCUAUCCAUGUUCCAAAGAAAAACUCUCUUGUCAUGUCUGGCACUAGGCACUGAUUAGAGUGUGGGACGUUCAUUCUCCAUUAUCACCAAACACAUGCAGGAUAUAUAUAUAUCAAUUCAUUCAAAAUAUGCCUUUAUUUUAUGGAACAUAACCGAAUCCAUUUUGUUUGUGUUGAAGAGGUAUAGAUCUUCUAAGGCUGUGGAGGGCACCACCUUUUCUCAGAAUUCUCUCUGACGAUGGGAAGCCGAAGAGAACGGGUUUUGUUUUUAUUUUGAAAACGUUGUUAUCAUUAAAGAACAAACACUAUUCUUUGGAUUUAUACCCUCUUGCCUUAGGGACCAUACUGUUUGGCUAUUGGGCCUCACGAGUCUUAGGCCCAUCAUCUAAGGCCCAUGAUGGCACUGGGCUCUACACAUAAGGUGACCCAUACUCUGGAACGAAUAGAAAUCAUAUGUAUAUAUAUGGAUAGCUAAAUCCUGAACAAUGGUUAAUAUGAUGUCGGUCCACAUUUAUUCUAUCAAUCUCCCACUUGGACCACAUAUAUUACAAAACAAUGUUCAUGAUAGUACUUUAUUGAGCUCAUCUUUGCUAUCCUAUCUUAAUAUCCUUAAACAAUCCGGUCUACUAGUUAUGCUAACAUAGGAUCAAAGUGGCCUUCAUUAAUCAUAAUUAUAACUAGACCCAUCAAUGAUCACAACAUUAACAAAAUUAGCAACAUAGAUCAAGUAUGGAUGUGUAGCAUGGAAAUUACAUAAAAUGUGAUCUUUAUUAUGUCUAUUUCCAAUUGGUCCUACUUUAUGACUAAAAAAUAGUCAAAUUCCACUUUCAACACUUGAUGCUAAACUGCUUUUAAAAGUCAUCAUUUCAAUUCAGAGAAUUCAAAUACAAUAGUCUUUAAAAUCAAGGUUUGUACAGAUAACACAAUAUAACAUCAUAUCAAGAAAACAAACACAAAAUCUAAAUACAAACUCCCACUAUACUGGAACAUCAUCAAUAUGUACAACACCCAUAUGUGUGACAUGAUCAUGAUAUACUUUGGGUGGCAAACCCUUAGUGAGCGGAUCCGCAAUCAUGAAGUUUGUGCUUGUAUGUUCAAUCGAUACUUGAAGACUCUAAACUCUUUCUUUCACAACCAAGAACUUGAUGUUAAUGUGUUUGGACUUUGACGAACUUCGGUUGUUCUUAGAAUUACAAUUCUGUGGCUUUAUUAUCACAAUUUAUUCUUAAUGGUUUCUCAAUCUCAUCAACGAUUCGCAACUGAGUGACAAAAUUCCGUAGCCAUAUCCCAUGGUUUGAUGCUUUGUAGUAGGCUAUGAAUUCUGCCUCCAUGGUGAAAGAAGCAAUAAGUAUUUGUUUAACACUUUUCCAUGAAACUGUUCAUCCAACCAACAUGAAGAUGUAGCUUGAAGUGGAUCUCUUGCUGUCAAGACAUCCCACGAAAUCGGAGUCCGAAUAUCCCAUGAUCUCUAAAUGACUGGAUCUACGGUAUGUGAGCAUAUAAUCUUUAGUUCUUUGUAAAUACUGCAUAACCUAUUUUGCCUUUUUCCAGUGAUCCAUACCUGGGUUACUCAAAUAUUUGCCUAACAUUCCAAUAAUGUACGUAAUAUCUGGAUGCGUACAAACUUGUGCAUACAUGAGACUUCCUAUUGUUGAGGCAUAGGGAAACCUCUUCAUAUCCUUCUUUUUAAGUUCAUUUUUCGGACAUUGGUGCAAACUAAAUUUAUCGCCUUUUGCUACAGGCAUGUCUCCUGGUGUACAAUUGCUCAUGCCAAAUCUACUUAACACCUUAUCGAUGUAGGCCUUUUGUGAUAACCCAAGUAUACCUCUUGAACGAUCCUUAUAGAUCUGUAUACCCAGCAAAAAAGAUGCAUUACCUAGAUCCUUCAUGUCAAAUUUACUAGACAAAAAUCGCUUUGUUUCAUGCAAAAGUCCCACAUCACUACUUGCAAGUAGAAUAUCAUCAACAUAUAGCACCAAGAUAAUGAAUUUGCUCUCACUAAACUUGAGAUAUAUGCAUUGAUCAAUGGUGUUUUCCUUAAAACCAAAUGAAGUAAUCACCUGAUCAAACUUUUGGUACCAUUGUCAAGAUGCUUGCUUUAAACCAUAUAUGGACCUUUUUAAUCUGCAUACAAGUUGCUUUGAAUCAUUAGACUCAAAGUUCUCCGGUUGCAUCAUGAAUAUUGUUUCAUCAAUGUUACUAUUAAGAAACGUAGUUUUAACGUCCAUUUGAUGCAGCUCUAAAUCAUAAUGAGCCACAAGUGCCAUGAUGAUUCUAAAGGAGUCAUUUGACGAAACCGGUGAAAAGGUCUCCUUAUAAUCAAUGCCUUCCUUUUGAGUGAAACCUUUUGCGACUAGACGUGCCUUAUACCUAACAAUGUUGCCUUUUGAAUCCCACUUGGUCUUAAAAAUCCAUUUACAACCAAUCGGUUUUACACUUUCAGGCAACUUUACUAGGUCCCAAACACCAUUGUCUUUCAUUGAUUUCAUCUCAUCCUUUAUGACUUCUAUCCACUUUUCAGAGUCAGAACUUUGUUUGAAUUGACUAACUGAAAUUGGAUCGUCUUCCAAACCCAUGUCAAACUCUUGUUCCUGGAGAUGUACAACAUAAUCAUCUGAAAUUGUACUUCUCAUUUCUCUAGUGGAUCUCCUUAGUGGCACUUGUAUUUGAGGUUCUUGAGGCUGUUGAGUUACCUCUUCAUAAACUUGAAUCGGUUCCAUAACUUGAGCAGGAGGAAUCUCAGGUGUGUUUUGAAUCUCUGUUAUUGACUGCACAUUCUGGAUAGUGUCAUCAAACAUAAUAUGACCAUGUCCAGUUGUAAUAAUAGGAACACUAACAGAUUACUCUUCAAAUACCACAUUUCUUAACGGUUCUCUCCCAUUUAACUCAACAUCCUCAAUAAAUUUAGCUUUGCCCGUUUCAAAAAAGGAUCUAGUUGAGGGGUCAUAAAACUUGAAACCUCUCAACCUUUUAGAAUAUCCUACAAAGUAGCAGCUCACUGUUCUGGAGUCCAAUUUCUUUUCAUUUGGUUUUUAAGGCCUAGCUUUAGUUGGACAACCCCAGACAUGCAAGUGCCUAAUACUAGGUUUCUUGCUAGUUCAUAACUCAUAUGAGGUUUUGGCUACUGCUUUGCUUGAGACUCUAUUCAAAAUAUAAAUUGUUGUUUUGAUGGCUUCGCCCCAAAGUGAUUCUGGUAAGGUGGAAUGACUGAUCAUACUUCUUACCAUAUCCUUAAGAGUACGGUUUCGCCUAUCUGCUACACCAUUUUGGCUUGGAGUCCCCAGCAUAGUGUAUUGAGGAACGAUACCACACUCCAUCAAAUAUUUGGCGAACGACCCUAGACGUUGUUCAUUGGAUCCGUCAUAUCUGCCAUAAUAUUCACCUCCACGGUCAGAUCUGACGACCUUUAUUUUCUUGCUUAGUUGGUUCUCAACUUUAGCUUUGAAAUUCUUGAACACAUCUAAUGAUUGAGACUUCUCAUGAAUCAAAUAAAGAUAGCCAUAGCGCGAGUAAUCGUCAAUGAAAGUGAUAAAAUAUUGUUGUCCAUUCCAAGAAGGGGUAGGAAAUGGACCACAAAUGUCCGUAUGUAUCAAUUCAAAGACGUCACUGCACUUGUUAGCAUCAUUUUUUUCUCAUAUUUGUUUGUUUACCCUUAAUACACUCUAUACAGACUCGAAAGUCUAUGAAAUUAAGUGGAUCAAGAAUUCAUUCUGACACAAGCCUUUGAAUACGUUGAUUUGAAAUAUGACCCAAACGCCUGUGCCAUAACAUCGAUGAAUUCUCAUUUGUUAAUUUCCGUUUAAUGUCAUAAUUACUUGAAUUCAAGGUUUCAUUUCCAUUAGUGGUCUUUAUAUUUAAUUUGUAUAAUUUGUCUAUUAGACUACCUGUACCAAUAACAUUUGAAUUUAGAUAAAGACUAACCAUUCCAUUUCUAAAUGAACAAUAAUAUCCAAAUUUGUCUAGACAUAAAACAGAAAUUAAAUUCCGUCUAAACGACGAUACUACAAAAGUCUCUUCCAAAUCCAAAGUACAUCCAGAGUCUAACUGUAAUCUAAAAAGACCAAUAGUCUUGACUGCAACCUUGUUGCCAUUUCCCACAUAGAUGUAUUUUUCACCAUCAGUUGGCAUUCGACUCCUUAGGCAACCCUACAUCGUGACACUUAUGUGAGUAGUUGCACCCGUAUCUAUCCACCAAGUGUCAGUAGGCACUACGACUAAAUUAAUUUAUGAACAAACAAAGUUGAGAAGUGUACCUUUCUUUUCACGCCAAGCGGCGUAUUUGGUACAUGUCUUCUUCAUAUGACCAACCUUCUUGCAAAAGAAACAAGUCAUCUCCUUAUCUUGUUUCUUCUGCACCUUUUGCAUUGAUGUCCUAAAAAUUGCAUUUUGUUUUUCUUUAUUGUCCUUCUUUCUUUUCUUUUUGGUACCAAAUCCCUGAGAUGUGGAAGCCAAGUGAGAACUUUCUAUCUUUUCUUGUUUCAAUCUCUCAUCCUCUUGUGCACAUUGAGCAAUAAGCUCAUUCAAAGUCCAUUUUUCCUUUUGUGUUGUAACUAAUUUUGAAUGGACUGAAUUGUGUAGGCAGAGAGAUUAAGACCAAGUGCACAAGUAUGUCUUCCGAAAACUCUAACUUUAGUGCCUUUAGUCUAGUCACAAGAUUAGACAUUUCCAUAAUAUACUCCCUUAUAUUCUCUUUCCCUUUGUAUCGCAUAGAGACAAGCUUACUAAGAAUAGUGCUUGUCUCAACCUUUUCAUUUGAAGCGAAUCGGUUUGCUAUCUGGUCUAAGAAUGCCUUGGCUUGAGUUUUCUCAGGUAUUGGACUCCUUAUAGCUUUUGGAAUUGAGUACUUCGUUAUCAUUAGACUCAUGCGAUUGGAUCGCUCCCAUUUUUCCAUAGUAGACCUUUGCUCAGUAGUGCUGGCACUAGUAAGAUCUGGAGGGCGAUCCUCUCUUAAUGCAUAGUCUAAAUCCAUGCACCCGAGCACAAUUAUAACGUGCUCCUUCCAUUUCUUGAAGUUUGUGUCAUUAAGCGCAGGAAUGUUAUUAACAUUUGUAGAUAUAGAAUAUGUUAAAUUCAUAAUAAUAAAGCUCACAAUCAAUCACAUAAACAUCAUACAUACAUGAAAAAUAACAUCAUACAAGAUACUUAGCACAAAUAUUAAUAUUUUGUCUUUGGACAAUAAAUAUUAACUUGUAAUUGGUAUCCUUAUACAAAAUUAAUUCAUAAAUAUUGACAAUAAAACCAAAAACAAUAUGUUUGUCUUUAGACUAAUAUGUCGAAUGCAAGAUAAACUUUAUAUGUCACAUAUUUAUGACUACUUUAUUUAUUAUUAUAUUAAAAUAAUCUUCCUUUGGGCCGAUUAUUUUAAAUAAUAAUAAUAACAUGUUUAGAUAUUAUAAAAUAAAUAAAUUAUAUAAUAUAAGUUACUUUGGCAACUAACAUACAUAAUUCAUUUAUUUUAAAAUAUUAAACACAAACAUAACAAGAAAUAAUAAAUUCAAUUAAAAUUAUUUAUUUAUUUAUGCAUAAUAUAUAUAUAUAUAUAUAUAUAUAUAUAUAUAUAUAUUAAUUGAAGCAUAAAAAACCAUCUACAUGUGUAUAUAUAUCAAUUGAAGCAUAUAUACAAGCAUUAGUCUAAUGGUUUAAGCAAAAAAUAGGCCAUGGUAAAGGGUUUAAGCCAACCCGCCCCUUUAGUUUGGUUUUUGUUUUUUUUUUUUUUUUUUUUAAUUUCUUUUGGGCUACUGACCAUGCAUUCUCUCAUGGCCCAACGAAUAUAUAUAUAUAUUUGUUUUAAAAAAAUUUUGUCCAUUGCAGCCCAAAGCGACCAUCCCUUGUAAUGGCAUCAUCAACGGUGCCAGAGCUGUCCUCGAACGACACCGACAGUGAAACGCCGCCACCAUCACCGGAACGGUGAUUUCCCAUCGCCAAACGACGGUGUCACUACCAGAAUGACGUUGUAACGGCAUCGCUGGGAAGCAGCCUAACCUGUGGCGUGACACCAUGACAAGCAAUGCCGCUAGCAGUGAAACGUUGUCGCCAUCACCAGAAUGGUGAUUUUCCAUCGCCAAACGAUGGCGCCACCAUCGAAACAACGCUGAAACGACGUCACUGGGAAGCAACCCUACCCGCGGCACCAAAAUGGCACUUGGAUGACAUUUGGAACUCUUGCAACAACGCUCAAAUCAGCGAUUCUCACUGGCAAAUGACGCUUGAACGACGUCUGGAAAUAAUGCCUACAACGCCUAAAAAUUGUGCUCUUUUGAACGCCUGAAACAACGUUGAAAUGACGUCUACCGGCGUCUGGAAUUGCACCGCUGUCUAGAACGAUGCCAUGAUGGUGUCUCACUCACCUUAAAUGGCACCAACCACCGUGACUUGCAUCCCCAAAAAUGGCACUUGAACAGCGCCUGAAGCGUGCCUGGAACGACGCUGCAAACGAUGCUUGAAAUGGUGCAUUUUGUAUGCUUGAAAAUGGCACAGGAAUGACGCCUACACUACGUCCAUUUUGAAUGCCUGAACGGUGUCCUAACGGCGCCUGAAUGACGCCUGGAAUUGGCCCAGAUUUAUUUUAUGUUGUUUCCUUCCUCUUGGAUCUUUUGUUUGUGUUUUAAAAAAAAAGUGUUUUGGUGAAAAUGGGAAAUGCAACCAGGCUCUGAUACCAUUUUGUGGGACGUUCAUUCUCCAUUAUCAUCGAACACAUGCAGGAUAUAUUUAUAUAUAUAUAUAUAUAUCAAUUCAUUCAAAAUAUGCCUUCAUUUUAUGGAACAUACCCGAAUCCAUUUUGUUUGUGUUGAAGAGGUAUAAAUCUUCUAAGGCUAUGGGGGGUACCACAUUUUCUUAGAAUUCUCUAUGACGAUGGGAAGCCAGAGAGAACAAGUUCUAUUUUUAUUUUGAAAACGUUGUUAUCCUUAAAUAACAAACACUAUUAUUUGGAUUUAUACUCUCCUACCUUAGGGACCAUACCCUUUGGCUAUUGGGCCUUACGAGUCUUAGGCCCAUCAUCUAAGGCUCGUGAUGGCACUAGGCUCUACACAUAAGGUGGCCCAUACUCUGGAACGAAUAGAAAUCAUAUGUGUAUAUAUGGAUAGCUAAAUCUUGAACAAUGGUUAAUAUGAUGUCAGUUCACAUUUAUUAUAUCAUAGAGACUUCCCAUAUGAAGAAAAUUGACAGUAGGUAGCUUUGCCAUUCUUGUCCGUAUACAACCAACCUUAGCAAGGGUUGAACCCUUUUAUGCUUAGUUGUGCCAUACAAAUCCUUACCACCGCCUACAACAUGUAAUCGAAAUGAUUCGAUAAUAUCAUCUAGUGAACCAAUACCUCCAAAUGAGAGACCAUUGCCUUGGUAACUAGGGCUCAUGACUGAGAAUUGCGUGAACCCCUUUGCUUGGGUUGGAGCUUAACUGAUGCACAAAAUAUUCAUAGGCCUCUUCCCAUAACUGGCACCUUGUGUUUGCAACAUAAUUGAACAUGUAUUGAAGUGAGUUUUUUUGCAUCUUUUUGUAAGAAAAUUCUAAACAACAGAGACUGCUUAGUGUGCCCGGCUCCUCGGGAAAUCAAGGUUCAUUCCUGUAGGGCCAGUUUUUUCACAGUCGAACUAGAUAACAUGGAGAGUAUGUUGCAAUGCUUCAACAGGGUAUUUCUUAGGAAAAUCCACCUGAAGUUGGUACAAUUCGUUGGCGUACUGAGUUCCUGGAGCUCUAUUGACUUCAAUCACCCAUCUCUGUAGAUUAUCGAUGACUUAUGCUCGGAUCCUGUAGGAGGAUUGACCUGACAUUCCACUAGCUCUUUCUGGAAGACGAUCUUGUUUAACACCUUGUGAGAAGAGGCAAGGGAACUGGUCAUUGUUUCUUCGAGAAGAUCAGUGGCCGAGGAUGGGUUUGGACCAUAAUUGCUAUAUGGGUUUUCUUUGGGUGAACCAAUUAGUGGAGUGGGUGGCUAUAUAGCAACUGAAGGGUGGUCAUACUAAUGAGGAGCUAUUAUUUCAUGCAUGUGGAGAGGAAAUGAGUAGCUUCUUCAAGGAUAUAUGAUUAUUCAUCUCUAGCUUACGUUGAAUAUCUCCUAACAAAUUUCUGCUUUGAAGCUCCCUUAGUUUCACUACAGCUAACUUGGCCAACUUGGUUUCAUCAUGUUUCCUACAACCUCUAAGCAAAGCACGCCAGAUCACUGAAUCAGGUUCUAUUUGCAUUUUGUCCAUAAACUCCUUUGCCUAUUGACAAUAAACUGCCCCUCAAAAUUUGAUGAGAUAACAUCAAUGCUGACAUGUUGGUCAUCCCCAUAAGCAUCUUUAUAGAGAUUGAUUCUAUGUUUAGAUAUUUCUCUCUCCUCAAGUGAGUUCAACUUUUUUGUAACAUCCUUCUCCUUCUCUACUAAUAGUCUUAGUUGAACAUCCAACCUAUGUUCCCAAAGUGCCAGCAUCUCAUAUCUGAUGACAAGCCAACAACCUUGCCCUUGCUGAGACCCAAAUAAGUAUCCAGAACCAUCAGCAUCAACCCUUUCAUAGGCCUUUGUAUUUGAAGGUCGGAUUGGGAUUGCUUUGAAUGCACUGGCACUACAAUACACAAUUGUAUCUUCUCCAAUAAAAACACCACACAGAGGUGAGGGGACUGGUAUUAGCAAAGAAGUGUUGUUAUCUAUAUUGUUCUGAGCCCGAGUACCCUCAACAAAAUCCUCAUCCUCAUCUGUACUCUUCCAUUACAUCCCUAGGCUUUUCAAUGUGAUCCACAUGGCUUACAGGAAUCCAGAAAUACCAGUCUGUAUAAAUGUUGCUCUUAUGGGGCUCUCCUAGAAAACAUCCCUAUCAAGAUGAUCAACCUAGCUUAGAUGCUCAGCACCCCAAACUUACUAGAAAUAGAGGAAUUAAAAGCAAGGAUAGGAGCCAAAGUAAAAAUUUAGGGAAGAGCAAAUAGGAAAUCAAGCAAAACAUGAAUGUACAGAGCCUCAUUUCAGGUGACAUCUUUGGGCUAAUAAUAGGUGGAAUUAACAAAGUAGACAAGCAUGAUUGUUAUAAAUAUCAAGUUCAAGGAUGAAGCCGUGCAUCAGCUACUUAUAGGGGGAGUCAAGGAAACCAAGAUAAGAUCAAAGAGAGCAUGUAUGCAAAUAAACAGAUUCGAAAAAAUAGACCAAACAACUCGUGAAUAUCCUCCUACAAAAAACUACUACACGUGGCAAAAAGUGAUGAAACAAAAAGAGUCGGGUCCGCAUAUACAUAUCCUAUUCUAUCCUAUUCCUUCAAAUCCAAAGCAACCUGUAUUUUCAAUGGGAUUUGUUGUGAUGAAUUUUACUGGAUUGUAACAUGUAAAUAUGUUAAAAGAGGCUUGGGACAUUCCUAUAUAGUAACGCAUAAAGGUACUUCCAUUGUGAAGUUGUCAAAAUUGCAAAUUUAAAUUACAAAAUUUGAAAACAUAGAGAUGAAAGAUGAUGAAACCUUCUUUGAAAUUUUAUAUUGAACUCAUUAAUAUUAUUAAUUUUCAUUUCAGUGUAGGGGAAAGAAUUCUUUACUCUAAAGUGGUCACAAAAAUAUUAAAAUUCCUUGUUGAGAGAUUUAGACCUAAAGUGAUCAAUAUAGAAGAAAGUAAAAAUAUUCUAAGUGUAGGUAAACUUGUAGACUCAAAUGACUCUACCUUCUCAUAAAAAAUCCUCAAUUUUAUAAAUUAUAUAGAUUUCUUCAUUUGAUACAAAAUUUGAAUAAAGAUUUUUCAAAUGACAACACAAGGAAAGGGAAAAAAAAAAUUCUCUCCAGUUCAUUUCAUUUAAUCACUUAAAUUAUUUAAAAAUAAAAAUGUUUACUGCUAACAUUAUUUAGAUUCAUCUUUCUUUUGAUGGAGGUUAAAAUUCAUAAUUUUGAGGAAAAAGAUGAGGAUUCUCAUUUUUUUUUCCAUGUAUGAAUGGGAUUCUCAUUGUGUAUAUGUGGGUUACUAAAUGGCAAAUUUAGGGGCCAAUAUGAGGAAAAAUAUGAAGUUGAGUUUGUCACCAAGAACAAACAUGACUCCUAUAAAGGUGGCAUCCUUAAUUUCAUGUCUGGAUUAGACUUCUCAUGUAACAACUUAACAGGUGAAAUCUCUCAUGAACUUGGAAUGUUAAGUUUGAUUCAUGCAUUGAACUUGUCUCGCAAUCAACUAAAGGGCUCCAUUUCAAACAGUUUUUGCAAUCUUUCUCAAACAGAGAGCUUAGAUCUUCUUAAUAAUAAACUAAGUGGAGAAAUUCCUCCAAAAUUGGUUAGACUAACUUUUUUAGUGGUGUUCAAUGUGACUCAUAGUAGCAUCUUUGGAAGAGUUUCAGAUAUGAAUGCAUAAUUUGCAAUAUUUGAUGAAAGUAACUAUGAAGAUAAUCCUUUCCUUUGUGGACCACCAUUAAAGAGAAAAUGUAGCAUAAAUGUUAAGCCACCUUACCCACCAUUAGAGUCUUCGGAAAAAAGUGAUGCAAAAUGGUAUAAUAUCGAUCUUGUGGUUUUCUUUGCAAGUUUUACUAUAUCAUAUAUCAUGAUAUCAUUAGGAAUUUCAACCAUUCUUUACAUUAACCCUUAUUGGUGUCAAAGAUGGUUCAAUUUUAUCGAGAAAUAUAUAUACUUUUGCUAUUAUUUUGUUUCCUAUACUCUUUCCAAGUUAUUAACAUAUUUUGAAUAAUUAGAGAUUUUUGUUUUCAAUAAUAUUUACAUAAUUAACUACUAUUGGCUUCCAUGACAUGGAAAGAAAUGCGGUGAAGGCAACAACCACUUUUUUUUCUCCUCUACUAGUGCAUGAUUGAUAUGAGUUAAAACUUGCACCCUUAUCUUUGCUUAAAUUUUCUCAGCUUUUGUUUCAAUUCUUAAUUAUCAUUUCUUUUAUGUGUUGUUUAAUACAAUAUCCUAAACACAUUGCUUUGAAGGUUACUUAUUUAUUAAGCAUGAUAUUUAUUUUUCAUAAAGACAAAUUCAAGUUUUUUAGGAAUUUUUAGAAUUAUUAUAAUUUGGAGUUCACAUUAGAGGAAAAAAGGAAAGAAAAGAAUAGAUGAUUAAAAAAACAAUUUUAGUAAGUAUAAUUUGUCAUCUUCGGUAUAACAAAUGGGAAUUCCAAAAUAAUAUUUCAAUUUGUUAGUCUAUUCCUUAUAGUAUUAAUUGAUAUAUCAAAUAGGAAGUCACGUUUUGAUUUUUUAUUAGCUUCAAUUGCAUGUCACAUAUAUUUUAAAAUCAAGCAUACCUCAGCCGGGAAGUUCUUGUAACAUGCAUGAACAUGAUAUGAUGAAUUGAAUAAUUUUCUUAAUUGUGUGAGACACAAACCCUCUUUGUUUAAUAAUAAUAAUAAUAUACUACACAUUAUUAAAUCAUAUAUGUAUAUUUAUAGUCGUAUAAUAUAUUCAAAAUAUUAAACACAUUACCCUCUUAAAUUUUUAUGAAUGGUGUUUACUUUACAUAACGACAGAUUCAAAUUUUUUUAGAAUUUUUUAAUGUUAAAAUAAUUUGGAGCUUAAUAGGGAAAAAAAAGAAUAAAUAAUUAGAAAAGCAAUUCAAAAAAAAUAAAAUUUAUCCUCUUAAAUUGGUUUUGUGUAAUACUAUAGAAGCCAUUUCUUGAGUUUGAUAUGGUAGAAUUCGGAUUCAUAUUUAUUUUAAAAUAAAGAAUUUCAAGGGUUGGUAGCAUCAAUAGAAUCUUAACAAAUUUGCAAAAAAGUAUUUGGGUAGAUCACAUUUAAAUAUAGCUAACAGAAUAAAAAAUUAAUAUUAUUAGGAAGACAUGAUCAAUUAAAUCUUUUUUCUUAUCUAUGACACCGAUUUUAUAUUUUUACAUAGUCAAUAUAAUUUAUUACAACUUAUAUGUCAUUAAAUUAUACAUGCUUAUAUUAAAUAUAAUAUAAGAUCAUUAAUGGAAUAAUUAUGCAAGUAAUAUAAAUUGUAUAUAAUAUAAAAAAUUUAAACUCCGUCAAACUAAUGGAAUCUAUUAUAAUAAGUAGACUAGACACCAUAUUGGCCCGAGUUGGAGGCCUGGGCCAGAUUUUAAAGGCUGGGCUUUGAGUUGCCCGUGGGCCUGAGCCAAGGCCUUCUCUUGGUAUCAUCAUUUUGAAGAAAUAAAUUGCUGAUACAGAGAAAAAAACUAUACUAAAUAGAAAAAUAAAUAAAAGCAUUGACUAAAAUGAAGGUCAAGGUCCUUGAAAAAUAAUCUUUAAAUUGUUGCAUAUAUAAUUUCAAUAAUGCAUAAAUAAUUGCAAUAUAUAUGAUAUGAUAAAGAAUUUGGAAUUAAAAGAAGAUUGAUCUAUUUUAAAUGUGGUUGGAAUAUUUUUAAAUUUGUGAUGGGAAGUUAGACAGCCAAUUAGGGAUCCAUAUUAUUUAUUUUCAAUUAUAUGAAUUUAUUUACUUUUAUUAAUAUUCUGAAUGCAACAAUAUAAAAUAUGUCAAUUUUCUAAAAUUAAAAAAGUAAUUGCAAAAGAAAAUUUUUAAUUAUUUUUCUGAAAUUGAGUUUAUCAUAACAUUUUUCUUUACAUAAAUUUCUUUUUUAUGUUUAUUUUUUUAAAAAUGAGAUAUGAAAAAAAAAGAUCAAUAUUAGUAAAAGUAAAACCCAAUAUAUAUAAAAAAAAUGAAUAAAUGUUUAUGAAAUAAGAUUUAAAAGUGAGAAGGUAAUAAAUUUUUUCUCUUUUAAUUCCUAUUCAAUACAUUACAAAAAAUAUUUUUGGUUUUUAUGCUAAAAUUUAUUGUUUAUUAAAAAAUUCUAGUAUAUCUAGCUAUCAUAGAAGAGCUCCAAAAUUUUAUUGUUUAAGAGAAUGUGUUGCCACUUUAAAAGAUUUAUAUGCAUACCUUUGGAUAUGUUUAGUUCCCGGUAAAUUUGAAGGAAAAUGUGAAGGAAGAAAAAUAGAGAAGAAAAGUAUAACAAAAUAAAAAGUGAAGGAAAAUGAAAAAUAGAUUUAAAAUUAAUAAAUUAUUUUCAUUGGUUUUUUCAAAUUUAUUUUACUUAUUUUAUUCUAUUAAAUAAAGAUUAACUAAUUUUAAUUAUAUUUGGUUUGAUUUUUAUUAUUUUUCAAAGCAAAACCAAAUAUGAAAAAAAAAACAUUUUUUUUGGUUAUUUUUUUCUUUCCUUAUUACUCUUCGGGACUCAAACAUAGCUUUUAGAUUUGGGGCAUGGAAAAAUAAGAGUAUUGAAUAAGGGUUCUAUAUAUGCCCAUGCCCAUGCCCAUGAUACCAUUGAAAAAAAUGGAGAGAGGGUGAAACCUUUACUAGAUGAUAAAUUAUUCUCUUCAAUGGAAAUCAAAUAUAAUUAUUUUUAUCUUGUAUUAAUUGAAUGUUAUACUCCAUAAACUCAAAAUUAAAAUAAAUAAAAAAUUUAAAAACUAGGACAAUCCCAUUUUUUUUCAAUUUCUUAAAAAGAAAUUAAAUUAUAUUUAUUUAUAUCUAUUUUCAUCCCUACCCAACAAAAUAAAAAAAAUUAACAUUGUGGAACAUGUAUGAGAAAUUCUCACAAUUUUUUUUAAGAAAAAUAAAUUUCUUAUUUUAUAUAUGUUAAAAAUAAAUAUAAUCUUUUAUUUUUUAUAUAUAUAAUCGGGUAAGGUAGAGUGGGACAAAGAAAUAAUCCCCUUCGAUUCCAAUCCGAAAUUUUAAAAUAUAAAAUAAAAAUCUUAAACUCAUCCCUAAUCCAUUUAUUUUUAAUCCUAAACUUGUCUUAUAAGGAAUAAGGCAAAGUAAGUACAUGAAAACACUUUUUUUUAUCAUCAUCUCUACAAGUUCUAAUGUUUAGAUUGCAAUCCAUAUCAAAGAUUUAUAAAGAAAGAACAACGAUGAAUUUCAUAAACAUUUGAAAGCAUAUACAAAGUUUUAAAUAAUAUUGCUUGAGGUGCAAAUAUUAUUUGGCGCACACGUUGAGGGACUUCAACUGGUGUUGUCUAGGUUUUUUACACUAGUAAGUAAUCUUGAAUAUCUAGAGUAACUUGAUCAAAAUCUCUUUAAUUUUAUUUUCUUUGAUGAAUUAGAAUGCUUAUAUAACAUGAUUAAAAAUUUUAAGAAAAAAAAACUAAGAAGAAAGAAAGAAGUACCGAUCUUCCAAAUAUUGCUUCCACUUUAAUAUUUAGAAGGCUCUAAGAAAAGAAUUUUAUUCAUGAAUCACAACCCAAGUCGAAAAUAAAUUGAACCCAUUUUCUAAGUUAAAUUUUGAAUUUUUUACUAGUGAAUGCAAAUUGGGAAAAUGUAUAUAAAUAUAAUUAAACUAGAAUAGUAGGUUAGGUUUGUGUGGUCCCACGAUGACUUGGAAGUUUCAACAAUUCAAGCAGACUCCACCUAUAAACCUAAUAUACUAUUUUAGUUUAAUUAUAUUUAUAUAUGUUUUCCCAAUUUGCAUUCACUAGUAAAAAAUUCAAAGUUGAACUUGAAAAAUGGGUUCAAUUUAUUUUCGAUUUGGGUUGUGAUUCAUGAAUGAAACAAUGAUCAAUGACUUGACUUUUAAGGCCAACUUAGUUAAGUCAUUCCUAACCCCUAUAUUAAUUUGGCCUUAAAAGUCCAGUAAUUGAUAGCUAAAUCCCAACCCAAGUCAAAAAUAAAUUGAACCCAUUUUCUAAGUUCAACUUUGAAAUUUUUUUUAAUUGGAAAAAUGUAUAUAAAUACAAUUAAACUAGAAUAGUAGAUUAGGUUUGUAGGUGGAGUCUGCUUGAAUUUGUGAAACUUCCAAGUCGUCGUGGGUCUAGUGGUCCCAUAGCUCUCUAUUAAUUUCCACCAUCAAUUUUCUGCAAUAAAGUCAAGUCAUUCCUAACCCCUAUAUUAAUUUGGCCUUCAAAGUCCAGUCAUUGAUAGCUACGUUCAUGAAUCCCAACCCAAGUCAAAAAUAAAUUGAAUCCAUUUUCUAAGUUCAACUUUGAAUUUUUUUUAAUUGGAAAAAUGUAUAUAAAUACAAUUAAACUAGAAUAGUAGAUUAGGUUUGUAGGUGGAGUCUGGUUGAAUUUGUGAAACUUCCAAGUCGUCGUGGGUCUGGUGGUCUUAUAGCUCUCUAUUAAUUUCCACCAUCAAUUUUCUGCAAUAAAGUCAAGUCAUUCCUAACCCCUAUAUUAAUUUGGCCUUAAAAGUCCAGUCAUUGAUAGCUACGUUCAUGAAUCCCAACCUAAGUCAAAAAUAAAUUGAACCCAUUUUCCAAGUUCAACUUUGAAUUUUUUUUAAUUGGAAAAAUGUAUAUAAAUACAAUUAAACUAGAAUAGUAGAUUAGGUUUAUAGGUGGAGUCUGCUUGAAUUUGUGAAACUUCCAAGUCGUCGUGGGUCUAGUGGUCCCAUAGCUCUCUAUUAAUUUUCACCAUCAAUUUUCUGCAAUAAAGUCAAGCCAUUCCUAAACCAUAUAUUAAUUUGGCCUUAAAAGUCAAGUCAUUGAUAGUUACGUUCAUGAAUCACAACCCAAGUCUAAAAUAAAUUGAACCCAUUUUCCAAGUUCAACUUUGAUUUUUUUUACUAGUGAAUGCAAAUUGGGAAAACGUAUAUAAAUAUAAUUAUACUAGAAUAGUAUAUUAGGUUUGUAGGUGGAGUAAGCUUGAAUUGUUGAAACUUCCAAGUCAUCAUGGGUCUAAGGGUCCCAUAGCUCUCUAUUAAUUUCCAUCAUCAAUUUUUAUGAAUUCAGAUUUAAAAGUGAGAAGGGAAUAAAUUUUUUCUUUUUCAAUUCAUUACAAAAAAUAUUUUUGGUUUUUAUGCUAAAAUUUAUUGUUUAUUCAAAAAAUUAAAGUAUAAAAAUAUAAAAUAUAUAUCUUGCUAUUAUAGAAGAGCUCCAAAAUUUUCGUGUUUAAGAGAAUAUGUGUUGCCACUUUAGAAGAUUUAUAUACAAAAAGGAUUGAUGUUUCUCCUUUGACUAUGUUUGGUUCCCAAAAAUUUGAGGGAAAGAAAAUAAAAAAAAGGUAGUAAAAAAGAAAAAAUGAAGGAAAAUAAAAAAUAGUUUUAAAGUUAAUAAAUUAUUUUUAUAUGCUAUUUCAAACUUAUUUUACUUAUUUUUUUUCAUUAUAUAAAGAUUAAAUAAUUUUAAAAUGCAUAACUAAUUUUAAUUAUAUUUAAUUUUUCUUUUAUAUUUUUUAGACGGGAUCCAACACAUGUAAAAAUCCUUUUUUUUAGCAUCUUUUUUUCUUUUCUUAUUACUUUCCAAUAACCAAAUAUAACCUUUAGAUUUAGCCUUUAGACUUGGAGUAUGGAAGGAUACUGAGUAUUGAAAGAAGGUUUUGUAUAUGGCCAUGAUACCAUAGAAAAAAUGGGCGACAGAGAAAAAACCUUUAUUAAAUGAUAAAUUAUUUUUUUCAAUGGAAAUCAAAUAUAAUUAUUUUUAAAAAUAAAAAUAAAAAAUAAUAAUUUGUUGUUGCAUUAAGUAUUCUUGCAUUUGGAGAAGCAUGUACUACUUACUACAUAAAUGGAUAUUCAUGGAGUGCAUUCUCUAGAAAGCUCCAGUCUCAUGAAAAUGGAAAGAUGGACCGGCCGGUGAACCGGUUCGAGUUUGGAUUUAUGGGCUGCCUCAGCCUAACACGCAUGAUAGGUUGUUGUAGGUGAAGAACUAACUAAUUAAUUUAAAGCCUUCUUCUAUCCUCUCCUAUUCCUCUAUCACUCCAAAUGUUCCACAUGAUAAUGACAAUUCUUUUGUUAAAUGGUAAAAAAAAAAUUUAACAAUUAAUUUAAAAAAUUUUUAAAAUCUAAAUCCAAUGGAAAUUUGACUGUAAGGUGCGUAGAAGGCCCUAGUGCCCAUGUUGCUAAUUUGAUGAUAGUUAAAUUACCAUUUCGAGAGAUUCCACUCACUAGUAUUCUCAUUUAUAAAAUCAUGAACUUUGGCAUCCUAAUUAAUGUAAUUUAACUUUUUUUUGUUUACAAAUGAAAUAAGAGGCAACAUAUAAACCCAAAAGUUAAUUUUCCUACCAUCUCUAUGCACCAUUUUAGCUUUACUCCAAUAUAUUUUCUAUGAUUAAUUAUUUUCAUUCAAACAAUAAUAUCAAAAUAUUUUAAAAUUAGACAUAUCCACUAAUAUAUCUUCGAUAUAUUAUAUAUAUCUGUAAAAUCGAAACACCAAUAUAUCCGUGAUUAUCGAUAUUUUUAUCGUUGAGGGAUAACAACUAAUCUAGUUUUUGUACCUAUUGAUAUUCCUCAACAUUUAGAUUGAUUUGACCAUUUUUUUUUUAAUUUUAUUUUCUUUGAUGGUUAUAUGAUGAAUUAGAAUAGUCAUAUAACAUUAACAGAUUUAAGCAAAAAUGAUAAAAAAGCUCGCAUUUUUCAAAUAUUGGUUUCAACUUUGAAUAUUUUUAUUGGUAAAUGAAAAUUGUGAAAAACCUACUAAUGCUAAUACUUUUCACCACAUAAUUAAAUAUAAUAAACUAGAAUAGUGAUUCAUUGAUGUCUUAUAAAGCUACAUGCCUUCUUUGACUUGUUAGUUGAUUUUUGUAGGUGGAGUCUGUAGGGACCCCUCCCCCUGAUGACACGUGGCACGCAUUUCUAUCCGGAUUAGCUCCAUCCGGAUUUCCUCCAAGGAGACACGUGGCGCGCUUCCCCUAUCCGGACUCCCUCAGGGAGAAGCACACGACACUCGCAAACAUCACAUCCGGACGACCGCCAUAUCGCAUCCGGACGAUCGACAUAUCCUAUCCGGAUAUGUUUGUCCGGAUCGUUGACUAAAGUAAGCAAGUCUUACUACGUCAUUCCGACAGCCUGCCAUGGCCCACGUUCCACCACCUGCAAAGUGAAAAGACAGGAAUGAUGGCAAGUCACUUCCUACGAUCUCUGACAGCUGUGGCGCCUCUCACGAUCUCUGUCAGCCGCCCGUAGGGUGAUGAUGGCCCUGUCACCACCUAGAGUCAUCAUGACAAGCCAAAAUAUCUCUCUAUCAUUAAAGAGGGAGACAGAGCUUCUGGUACUAUAUAUAUGGACCUUCACACAAAGAGGAAGGUAAGCUUGCUAUACCUAGUAAAAGGCCAACUGAUUUAUCUCUUUAACCAUGGCUGACAAAACCAUCGGAGGGUGUGUCCGGACACCCUGUCCGGACGCCUUUUGCAGGAACGAUUGAACCAGGAAUCUAUAUUGGUUGAGAUCGUGCGUCCAUCCAUUUGGCAACUACGUGGAUCACCAGGGACGCGAGGCCUCAACAUUGGCGCCGUCUGUGGGAAAAUCACUGAUUCAGUCACCGACAAAGAUAGCCACACCUUCCCAAAGCCGCUCGUCCGCUAGGGAAAAGGAAGAUAAUUCUGAAUGGCGCCGAGCCAUUGAAAGAAGACAGUUGGCAAGCUCGUGACAACUGCAAGCUCUCCUCCAGGAGACAGAAUGACUAAGAGAAGAAAACGCGGUACUACGCAUCCAAGCUUCAUCGACGGGGCCUCCCCGUCGUCAGCAUUCAAAAGGCCAGGUAGCAAACUCAAGGCCUGACCCAGAGUCAAUAUACCCUGGGGCAGCAGGAGCAAUACUUGAAACAUGCAACGUUAGGCCACAUGAGCCACACACGCCCAUGCACCGAGCUCCCCAUGAGGAAAGCUCAGACUCUACUCAUUUUUCAGCAAAAAGACAACGCGACAAAAAAUCCCAAUUGUCAAACUCAAUGCGUGCGAGACUAGGCCCACAGGAGCCUGGGAGGCCAAAGCCGCCAGUAGCCAUAACCUGGGCAGUGCACCUUGACCCUAUGGUCACCCCCAUGGUGCAGAGCGUUCUCCCGCACCGUGACCCUAUGGUCACCCCUAUGGUGCAGAACGUUCACCCGCACCUAGCGGUACGACAAGCUGGGAGAAACCUCCCAAAUGAGCCACCCAUUGGCUCCAUUAGCAAAAGGCUGGACGACAUGCUCUCCACGCCUUUUUGCUCUCAUAUCAUUCAUUACGAGCCCCCAAGGGGAUUCCUCGUGCCCAAAUUCUCCACAUACGAUGGGUCCAGCGACCCCUUCGACCAUAUCAUGCAUUAUCGACAGCUCAUGACUCUCGAUAUAGGCAAUGACGCGCAGCUAUGCAAAGUAUUCCCCGCCAACCUACAAGGGCAGGCCCUCUCAUGGUUUCACCGCCUACCUCCCAACUAUGUUGAUAAUUUCAGAGACCUAUCAGAGGCCUUCGUGGGACAAUACUUAUGCUCUGCUCGACAUAAGCAGAACAUCAGCACUCUGCAAAACAUAAAAAUGCAGGAUAACGAAUCCUUAAGGGAGUUCGUGAAGUGGUUUGGUCAUGCCGUACUACAGGUAAAGGCUUACAGCAUGGAUGCUGUCCUGCAGAUCUUCAAGCGAAGUAUUUGUCCAGGCACCCCAUUUUUUGAAUCACUCGCUAAAAAGCCUCCUACGACGAUGGACGACUUGUUCCAGCGUGCGAGCAAAUACUCAAUGCUCGAAGAUGACGUGCGAGCAGCCACCCAGCAAGUCUUGGUUGCCGGACAGGCAUCUAGAAGUGGCACGGAAAGAAGUGCCAAACUUCCGGACAGGCCAAGACAGUCCCAUCAAAGGCAGGAAGGGCCAAGUCGCCCGGAAAGGCCGCCCCUCACACCCCUUUCCAUAUCCUAUGAGAAGCUUCUCCCUAUGAUCUAAGACAUGUCCGACUUCAGGUGGCCUAGACCCAUCGGAACGGACCCAUCCAAAAGGGAUCAUAGUAAAAAAUGUGCCUUCCAUAAAGAGCAUGGUCACACAACGGAGACAUGCAGGUGCCUUCAUUAUUUGGUCGAAAGGCUCAUAAGGGCGGGACAUUUAAAGCAAUACCUCCACUCAGAUACCGGAGGUAGAGAUGCUUCCCGAAAUCACAACUCUGGAGCCCCUAGGGCCCUAGCCGUCCCCAAAGCCGUUAUAAACUAUAUUAACAGAGGCCCAUCUGACGAGGAGUACGACUCCAAACGAAAGAAACAAAAGUUGUUGCGGGCAGCAUCGGUGCGCGAACGUGUCAACUCCAUCCGGCCUGGGAUAACUGGGGGGGCCCUCGCCCCAUAGAUGGGAUAAUCAUUUUCCCACCAGUAGACCCCACCCGGAUAUUGAAGCCGCACCGCGACGCCCUCAUCCUGUCCUUAAAGAUAGGAGACUUCGACGUGAGACGCAUCCUGGUUGACCCAGGUAGCUCGGCCGAUCUUGUGCAAGCAUCGGUCAUUAGCCACAUGGGGCACAAUCUCACAGGCCUCGAAAACCCUGGGCGAAUCUUGUCCGGAUUCAACGGGGCGUCAACUACUUCAUUGGGAGACAUUGUACUGUCGGUCCAAGCUGGCCCAGUCACUCUCAACGUACAAUUUUCGGUGGUACAAGAUUUAUCACCCUUCAAUGUCAUCUUGGGGCGCACAUGGCUGCACUACAUGAAAGUCAUCCCCUCUACAUAUCAUCAAAUGGUAAGCUUCCUUACCAAGGAUGGGCAAAUUGACCUAUACGGCAGCCAGUUAGCCGCUCGCCAAUGCUACCAGAUAGCACGAGAAGCAGGGACCAACCAGGAGGAUGCAUCCCUCCCUGAGUCCAGCCAUGCACGUGACCAAUAGCAAUUAUUGAGUCCGGGGGACAAAGAUCCCCCGGCAGCGGAUCCCUUGCAAGCAAUCCAAAUUUCGGAAGAAGGUACUCACCUUACGAAUAUCAGUUAGAAGAGACCCGGAACAUGCAGAACGCCCUCAGACAAAACCAUGACGUCUUCGCAUGGACACAUUCUGAUAUGAAGGGAAUUCAUCCCUCCAUUACCUCUCAUAGGCUUAACGUCUUGCCAACAGCCAGACCCAUCCGGCAGAGGGUUAGACGUUUUCACCCGGACAGACAAAAAAUUAUCCGGAAUGAGAUUGACAAGUUGCUAGAAGUCGGAUUCAUCAGAGAAGUGCAUUACCCGGACUGGUUGGCAAAUGUAGUGGUGGUACCCAAAAAAGAAGGCAAAUGGCGGGUGUGAGUCGACUAUACCAACCUCAAUAAUGCAUGCCCAAAAGACAGUUUCCCUUUGCCACGGAUGGAUCAAAUUGUGGACUCCACUGCUGGGUAAGGGAUGCUCUCCUUCUUGGACGCCUUCUCUGGAUACCACCAAAUCCCCAUGUCCCCGGCUGAUGAAGAAAAGACAGCCUUCAUAACACCACAUGGUCUCUAUUGCUACAAAGUCAUGCCAUUCAGACUCAAAAACGCUGGUGCCACUUACUAGAGACUGAUGACGAAGAUCUUCAAACCUCUGGUCGGCCGCACAAUAGAGGUAUAUAUUGACGAUAUCGUGGUUAAAAGUAAAACCCGAGAGGAACAUGUCCUCCACUUGCAAGAAGUCUUCCACCUCUUGAGGAAGUAUGGCAUGAAGUUGAAUCCCUCUAAAUGUGCCUUUGGCAUAAGUGGUGACAAAUUCUUGGGAUUUAUGGUUAGCCAAAUGGGGAUAGAGGUCAGCCCGGACCAAGUCAAGGCAGUCAUGGAAACACCACCCCCUAGGAGCAAAAAGGAAUUACAACGCCUCACAGGCAAGCUCGUCGCGCUAGGGCGUUUUAUAGCCCGCUUCACUAAUGAACUGCGACCCUUCUUCUUGGCAAUACGAAAAGAAGGAGCAAACGGAUGGACGAACAACUGUCAAAGCGCUUUUGAAAAAAUUAAACAUUGCCUCAUGCAAUCGCCCAUCCUGAGCAGUCCCCUCCUUGAAGAAAAACUGUAUAUGUAUCUGGCUGUAUCGGAGUGGGCAAUUAGUGAUGUUCUAUUCCGCUGCCCCUUACCCAAGGAGCAGAAACCUAUCUACUACGUCAGCAGAGCAUUGGCAGACGUAGAAACCAGGUAUUCAAAGAUGGAGCUAAUGGCCUUAGCUCUUCGAAGUGCUGCCCAGAAGCUCUGCCCCUACUUCCAAGCCCACCCGGUGGUCAUGCUAACUGACCAGCCCCUUCGCAACAUUCUGCACAAGCCAGACUUAACCGGAAGAAUGCUUCAAUGGGCCAUAGAGUUAAGCGAAUAUGGAAUCGAGUUCCAACCCAGGCUGUCCAUGAAAGGCCAAGUUAUGGCUGACUUCGUGUUGGAAUACUCCCGAAGGCCUAUCCAGCGCAAGGAACCAAGUGAAAAAGAGUGGUGGACUUUGCGGGUCGAUGGAGCCUCACGAUCAUCAGGAUCCGGAGUAGGGCUCCUGCUGCAAUCACCAACAGGAGAACAUCUGGAGCAAGCCAUCUGGAUGGGGUUCCCCGCCUCUAACAAUGAAGCGGAAUAUGAGGCCAUCCUAUCCGGAUUGGACCUCGCCCUGGCUCAUCCGUCUCCAAGCUCCGGGUCUAUAGUGACUCCCAACUCAUGGUAAGACACGUUAAGAAGGAAUACGAAGCUAAGGAUGCGCGCAUGACGUGAUAUCUGACUAAAGUAAGGGACACCUUACAACGGUUCACCGAAUGGACGAUCGAAAAAAUCAAACGAUCUAAAAAUGGACGUGCCGACGCCUUAGCAGGCAUAGUUGCCUCCCUCCCCAUCAAAGAAGCCAUAUUGUUGCCUAUACAUGUGUAAGUCAACCAUUCCGUCGCGGAAACCUCCACUUGCAAUACCAUUGAGGCAAAUCAAGCAGACGACCAAGAGUGGACGGAAGACAUUAUAAGGUACCUCUAGACAGGCACUCUGCCUGAAGAGCCCAAGCAGGUACACAAGCUCCGGGUGCAAGCCGCCCGUUUCACCCUAAUUGGGGGGUACUUGUACAAGCGAUCCUUCACAGGUUCCUAUCUUCGGUGCCUAAACCACUCAGAGGCCCUGUAUGUAUUAGCUGAAUUGCACGAGGGAGUAUGUGGAAUUAUUCUGGAGGUCGAUUUCUGGCACACAGGGCCCAUUCGCAAGGAUAUUACUGGCCCACGAUGAAGAAGGAUGCGGCAGCCUAUGUCAAAAAAUGUGACAAAUGCCAAAGGCAUGCCCCCAUACCACAUGUGCCGUCGGAGACAUUGAAGCCAAUAUCAGGCCCCUGGCCCUUCACGCAGUGGGGCAUGGACAUAGUAGGACCCCUACCACCCCCACCCGCUCAAAAGAAAUUCCUGCUCGUCGCCACGAAUUACUUCAGUAAAUGGGUGGAAGCUGAGGCAUACGCUAGCAUCAAAGACAAAGAUGUCACCAAGUUCAUGUGGAAGAACAUCAUCUGCCGCUUCGGAAUCCCCCAAACCAUUAUAGCCGACAACGGUCCAUAGUUUGAUAGCAUCGCUUUCCAGAAUUUCUGUUCGAAACUAAACAUCCGGAAUUCAUACUCCACACCGCGUUAUCCUCAAAGUAAUGGGCAAGCAGAGGCCACAAACAAGACUCUAAUCACUACCUUAAAGAAAAGGCUCGAGCAAGCCAAAGGAAAGUGGGUGGAAGAGCUACCCGGCGUCUUGUGGGCUUAUCGAACCAUACCCAGAUGUCCGACAGGAAACACUCCCUUCGCCCUCGCAUACGGUAUGGACGCAAUCAUUUCUAUUGAAAUAGGGCUACCCACUAUCCCGGACCGAGGCAGGAAAGCAGGAUGAUGCAAAUGUGGAGUUAAGAAGAAACUUGGACUGGGCAAACGAAGUAAGGGAAACUGCAUCCAUUCGGAUGGCAGAUUAUCAACAAAGGGCAUCCGCUCACUACAAUCGCAAAGCAAGGCCCAGAAGCUUUAAAAAUGAUACGCUGGUCCUUAGAAAGGUUUUCGAAAAUACUGCUGAGAUAGGAGCGGGAAAAUUUCAAGCCAAUUGGGAAAACCCCUAUAUAGUAUCUAAGACAAGUGAAAGUGGAGCCUAUCAUCUGCAGAAGCUAGAUGGAACCCCAUUGCUCCGACCAUGGAAUGUAUCUAAUCUAAAGUAGUAUUACCAAUGAAAGAAAAAUAGAGGUACAAAUAUGAAUAAGUAUGUUUUAUUAAUACUUGUGAAAAAUUGUAUACAAAAGUUCUCCGGACUACAAAAUACAGAGAGAAGAUAGCAGUAAAAAUUACAAAAAGAAAAGCUCUCAUUGGGAAGGCUUGCCACGCAGCUUCUCCUCCUCACCCGGGGGAAUCGAAGGGACGUCCCGUUUGAUACCAAGUUUCUUCAUACAGCAACGGUAGCCGAAGAAGUACAUUUCGUCUACCUACUUCUGGUAGUCUGCUUCAAGUUCCUCCCUUUCCGCAGCAAACUCAGCCUCCAACUCUUCUUUUUGCGCUAAUAAACGCAACUGCAAAUCCUCUCUCUGCUUUUUCUCAAUUGACACCUCUGUUUGGAGUUGCCUCACUUCUCCCGCAGUUGGGCCAUUUCGUCCUCCGCCUCAUGUAGACGGGCGUCUGUAGAUUCCUCCCGACUCUUUGCCUCAGCUAGCUCUACCCGGAGAGCCUCGUUGUCAUCUCGAGCAGCGGAUAAACUGGCUUCGGCCUGCUCUAAUCUCAAGCGCAGUUCCUCUUCACUGUUUAUGCGUUGAGAGACGAAGGCCUUCAUAUAAUCAGCAGUUCGUAGUAGGUCAGAAAAAAGAUCACGUUGUUGAGCCAUGCCGCGGAUACCGCUCACCAGCUGCAGAAAAACCCACAAACAAGAAGUGCAAAAAUUACAACCCAUGUGACAAACACAUCAGAAUGGCAAGAAAAAUCAAGAAGUAAACUAUACCAUUUCCGCUGCUUCAAACAUUUUUGCUGAAGGCACAGCAACAUCUGAGCUGGAUGGAAUCCGUUUCAGCAUCUCUCCCAACUGCGCAUAGCUGAAAGGACUAGCGGAGAUGCAAGCUGCAUCAUCAACGGGACUUCCUCCUGACGAGGCAUUAGGGAGUGACUCCUUUCCCGAGUCCGGGGCCUCAUCAUUCUCGACCGGCUGGGUCUCUCCGAGUGAACCCCCAUCUGGGACCAGCACCGGGGCGGUUGGAUUCUCUUCUGCCAUCUCUGUCUCACUCCCCUCCGGAUGAUCCUCCUGGACGGACGAGCAGCUGACUUCGAUGGUUUCCAAAAAACGAUCUUGAAGCCGCCUGAUGAGGCUAGACUUUAAGUCACGGGCCGGACGAGACCUCCUUGCAGUUGGCCCCUUCACCGGUAUAAAGGCAAGGGAGCUUGGCUCGCAAGGAGGCACACCCUGACUUUCUGCCCUCGUUUCUUCCGUUGGGGGUGCCGUAGGAGGCAAUGCUUCAGUACAAGAGGCCUCGGCUGCAUCCGCGUCCGAAUGGGGAGAGCCGAGCUGAUUUACUGAAGUCGCUUCCUCAGCCAGAAGAGCCAGCCGUCCAGCCGCUGGCACUGAAGGCCCCGAAUGGUUUAGACCCGCGAGACGUCCGGAGCCUCUUGAAACAGAAGGCAAGACGGGGGAAGGGGGGAGAGGGGGGGGGGGGGGGGUGGUCUGGCUCUCUUAUUAUUAUUUCCUUUACGAAAGUUGGAGGUGGUAUUACCACUUCCUUUGGUGGAGUUGGAAGUUUUAUUUAUUUCCCCUUAUUGAGAGCCUUCUUCUUCUUUUUCUUCGCCGGGGCGCCAGCAGGAAGAGAGGGCGCGAAGCGUUUUAUAUCGGGGGCCCUCCGCAAAGUUCCCUCUUGCCUCAUUCCCUCCCGUUCGUCGAGACGUGCUCGGCGUGCCUGGGCAUCUGCCUUGCGCACCUCCUUGUAGAAAGGAAGGUCUUUUAGAACAAAAUGCUCCCCAGGCAUUACCUUCUUUGGCAACUUCCUGGGGAGAAUAUUGAUGACAUACGCCUGGGGCUCUUGGACAACGGCUAGCAAGUUUCGCGUAGUAAGCAGCGUCUCAUGAUGCCUCUCAGCGGCAGUAAUCUCAAAUAACUUGUUCAGUCGAACGAAAGACGUUUUUUCUACCCACUCGACUACGCGACCCCUCUUGUCCGGACCUGCAUUAUCAGCAACCAAAGAUAUUAAGCCAUCUGAUAACCCCAAAGCAAGAAAAGCAACAAGACGAAUGCCGAACAAACCCCGCAAGCUGUCUUACCCGGAAGCACCAACGAAAGGUUUGGGGAGAAUGGCCUCUCCGGAUGCUCCAGUAGCCCAGCCCAGAUACCCCGGACCAACACAUGUCCCUUGGCUCCUCCCUUCGUCGAAUCCGAAAGCUUAGUCACUAGUUGGAGAGAAGGCAGGUGGGAAACCAUGCUAAAAAUGUCAUUUUUCUCCUUCUUAAGGGAGUAGAUGAAAAGAACCUCCAGCAGCGAGAGGUCCAGGUUGAACAACAUGCUCAGAAUGCUGCAUCCCAUCAGCACCCGGACCAUGUUGGGAUGGAUGUAGGCCGGGGGGAUCUGGGUGAAGUGGAGAAAUUCUUUGAAAAGUGAUGGGAGAGGGAACCGGAGCCCAACAUUGAGUUGCUUCUUGGUAAAGCAGAUAGUGUUCUCCUCAGUUUUCUCAGUCGACAUGGCCUCUCCGUCCAUAAGUUCAACGGACACGCCAUUUGGGAUGCAGAAGCGUUCGCGAAACUCCCUCACAUUCAACUUAUCCACGGAUUUCUCAGCAUGAGCAUCUCCGGGUGAGCUGGAUGAAGUAGCUUCCUUGUUCGCAGACAUUUUGUAGGCUGGGGCUGAAAUGGAAUCUGCAUGGAGGAAUGCCAACAGUCAAACACAGCAAUCCGACCCCACAACCUUAACUCUACCCCAAAGAAGAAUCGGUGACCCACAAAAGGCACAAGGGUGCAACAGAAACCCUAAACACACCCAAAACACGAUCAAAACCCCCCGAAAAAAGCCCUAGAAACCAAUACCGAUUCCUAGUCGCAAAGCAACUUGCCCAGCAAGCCAGAAACAACCAACAAAACAAACACAACAAGGAGAAAAAAAAAAUAGAAAACGUACCGAGUGUAAAACUGGAAAAAUGGGAUGAAAUCCGCAGUGCAGUCACCGUCACGAUACGAGUAUUACCGGCAGAAAACCCUAGAGCUUCACUAGAAAGUGAAAAUACGCGGAAGGUAGAAGAGAAAGCACUACCAGAAAAAGCGCAGAAGGAAAAAUGCAAGAGAAAGGCACAGUUUGCUAUUUAUAGAGAGACAGCUCCUCGGUAUCCCAAAUGCUUAGCCGCACCAUCAUUGAAAGGACACGCUGCCUGGGAAAUCCCAGAAUCGGCGGCUCAUCAUAAAUGAUCUUCUUCCUUUUUCGCCCCCGCUCGCCACGUGGCCCAAUAAAGCGAAAAAAGUCAACCUCAGUUUCAAAAAACAAUCAUUUUUUAACCCACCCAUUUUGCCCUGGCAAAAUGGGCAGGUUAAAAGGGGGGCAUUGUAGGGACCUCUCCCCCUGAUGACAUGUGACACACAUUUCUAUCCGAAUUAGCUCCAUCCGGAUUUCCCCCAAGGAGACACGUGGCGCGCUUCCCCUAUCCGGACUCCCUCAGGGAGAAGCACACGACACUUGCAAACCUCACAUCCGGACGACCGCCAUAUCGCAUCCGGACGACCGACAUAUCCUAUCCGAAUAUGUUUGUCCAGAUCGUUGACUAAAGUAAGCAAGUCUUACUACGUCAUUCCGACAGCCUGCCACGGCUCACGUUCCGCCACCUGCAGAGUGAAAAGACAGGAAUGAUGGCAAGUCACUUCCUACGAUCUCUGACAGUUGCGACGCCUCCCACGAUCUCUGUCAGCCGCUCGUAUGGUGAUGAUGGCCCUGUCACCACCUAGAGUCAUCAUGACAAGCCAAAAUAUCUCCCUAUCAUUAAAGAGGGAGAUAGAGCUUCUGGUACUAUAUAUAUGGACCUUCACACAAAGAGGAAGGUAAGCUUGCUAUACCUAGUAAAAGGCCAACUGAUUUAUCUCUCUAACCAUGGUUGACAAAACCAUCGGAGGGUGUGUCCGGACGCCUUUUGCAGGAAUGACUAAACUAGGAAUCUAUAUUGGUUGAGAUUGUGCGUCCAUCUAUUUGGCAACUACGUGGAUCACCAGGGACGCGAGGCCUCAACAUAGUCCAUUUCCAUUUGAAUUGUUGAAACUUCCUAGUCCUUGUGGGUCUAGUGGUCUCUCUAAUAAUUCCCACCAUUAAUUUUUUGUGAUGAAGUGCAGUCAUUGAUAGCUACUAUAUCAAUUUGCUAUUAAAAGUCAAGUCAUUGAUAACUACUAUUCAAUCUUUUUCAAUAUGGAAAUUGGAAUCUCUAGCGCUACUCUUCUCAUCGUUCAUUUUUAGGUAAUGUGAGAAUGUGUGAACAUAAAUGUCUUCUAAUCAACCAAUUUUUUUUUGAAAAAAACAUGUACAAAAUUGCAAAACUUGCAAAAUCAAACUGACUGUAAUCAACCAUCAUAAUUUUGAUGGUUUUGAAGAAUCAAAGGAUGAAUCCUAAAAGGGUAUUUGAUAAAAAAUAAAAAUUAAAAAAAUUAAAAGACAACUACUCCCUUAAGUAUAAUAAGUGUAUUUGGUAGCACAAAUUUCCUACCACUUAUUAUUUUUUUUCUUAAAAAAUCAUUUACUCUAUUAAAUAAACUAACCUUGGCUUAUCACUUAUAGCAAAAUAGGUUAAGUAGUUUUUAAAAUUUUAUAAUAUUAGAUUUACAUUUUUAUCCUUCAAAAUUUCAUUAAUGCUAGAUUCUUCUAUAUGCUUAACUAAUAAAUAAUUUUUAGCAUUUUUCUUUUCUUAUAAACAUAAAAAAAUAAAAAUAUUAUUAACUUAUUGGUAUAUUUUAAAAUUUUAAUUAGAUUUAAGCUUUUAUUUUUUUGGAUUACCAAUUAUACAUAUAAAUCCUUUAUUAUUAUUGUUAUUAUUGAAAGAAAGGGGUUGAAUAGGUAGUCCCUCAAUCCCCAAAUUAAAUUCUUUAUUGCGUACUUUUGGUUUAUUCCUUUACAUGAAUUCCUUGGUGAGAGUAAACAUUUCAUUAAUGGAUAAAUAAAAUUGAUUCCAUAUCACAGGGUAUAAUGUGGAAAAAUCAUCGGUCUCAUGUGUUCCUUAGUGGAUCCUUUGGAGCCCUUAUCAAAGUUUCAUGAUGAAACCAUUGACUUUUGUUUAACCCAAAUGUGCUUUCAAGACAAAUCUUGAAAGAUUUGAGAGAUGGAGGUUCAAGUCUUUUAUGAACGACCAUGUUCUCUUAGGGUUCAUGAAAUUUCACACCUUUUGAUAAAUAAAACUUAUUUAUUUAUACGUCUAAAACCUAGUAUUUAUUUAUUUAAUUAUAGAAAGUUUCUUAGUUUUAAAAACAUUUCAAAAAUCAUUUUUAGAAUCAAAUAACAAUUUUAGAGAUAAACACAAUAUUAAAAUUUAACAAAAACAAAUUUUUGAAUUAAAAACACAAUAUAAACUAAAUUACAAAAUAUAAAGUAAUUUUUAUCCUAAUUUCUUCUUGCAAAACCAAAUAGAACACCUAGAAGGGGAGUGAAUAGGUGAUUUUAAAUUUUUUCAAUAAUGAUUUAUAAGUUAUACCCAAUUCUUUUACCCUGCGAGUUGUUAGGGACUAUCAAUUCUUUCCUUUUGGCAAUUCAAACAAUAUAUCAAAUAAUAAAAAGAUAUAAAUAAUGAGACAUAAAGAUUUUUACAUGGAAAACCCCCCACACUAACCAUGGAGAUAAAAAGCCAUGGAGUCUAAGACCUAUUAAUCUAAAUUCACUAUACGAAAUCAAGUUACACAAAUUUAUUUGGUAGCUUUACCUUAAAGACUUACUCUCCGGUACUGACAACUUGAUUCACGUCCAUGACGUAGCAACCCUCGAUUACUCCAAUGUAUCACUUCAAGCUUACUAAAAGGAUGAAGGCCUUCAAACCAAGAUUCAAAAAUCAAUUCCUUGAAUGAGAGAUUAGGAAUGGUGUGCCACUUUAGGCUUUCUCUCUAAGAUCUCUAAAAUGAUCUCCUCAAUGAAAACCUCUUAAACAAAAUGAGAUAUUUCUCCACAAUCUCUAACCCUUAAGGGGUUAUAAUGAGAUAUUUAUAGGCAACUAAGUUGAAAGUUUCAGUUUUGGAAGGUUUCUCAAUUGAAUUUGUGUGAAAAACUCGGCAGAAUCGACAUGAUCGCUCGAGCCAACACACUUCCCACUUGAGCGUUUUGGGCACUUGAGCGGUAAGGCUCGCUUGAGUUGUCUUAAGCACUUGAGCAUUCUAGGCUACUUGAGCAAUCUUGCUCUAUUUCAAAAGUUAAUUUUAAAUCAUUUUAAGUUCAAAACAAAAUUGAUUCCCUUUAUACCUCAAAGAAGCCUAACUUGCCACAAACCAAACCUUUUUAGAUAUACUUGUGACUUCCUGGUUGGACGAACAACAACUCUUAAUCUUCAAUGGAGAGCAAGUCACUAUCUAAAAAGAUUUAUAUGGUCAAACAUAAAAAAACAAAAAAAUUGCCAACAUAACAACAAGACUCAAUGUCCUAACAAUCUUCCCCUUUGGCAAUUUUGUGACAAAAACAACGUUACAUAAACCCACCUGAACUCUCAUAAUGGAGUUUAAUAAUACACAUUAACGUUCAAUUAAAAAUAAACUAAGGGAAUACUUUAUCUCACUUUGUAGUAUUUGUCUUCCAACCUUGUAACCUACACACAUAUAGAAAACUAUACCAAAGGUAAAACAAUGUGCAGGAUAAGAUAUGAUCAAGAAAGCAAAAUAGGAUAAUUGGAAAUUUUGCUUGAUGCCUUGUGAAAGCAUGAAAAAAGAACAAAUUCAUAUAGUAAUAUCAAGGGACAAAGCAAAACUCGAGAAGAAUAUAUAUGUAUGCAAAUCAACCAAACAUAAUAAAAGCUAAAUAAGAUGCAAUAGAUAAAAAAUAAUGCCUAGGGGUCUAUCUCCAACCAGAAAAUAGGGAGUGAAGAUCAUAGAAAGAACCUUCUGUGACUUAGAAAGAUUCUAGAGAGAUAGUAAAUUCAAACAUAAAUAUCUUGCUGGAAACAUCUAUGUUAUGUAUCUCUCUAAACCUUUUAAGUUAUGCUUUCAUCAGUUGAUUUGGUUUUUCUCCAAUGUCUCAGGUUUAAUUUCCUCUAUUAUUUCAAUUAGAGAAAUUAGUAGUCGAUUGACUUAGUGGGUGUUUGGUAAAACUUAAUACUUAUUAUUUAAUGAUUAACUUUAAGUUAAAUUGUUCUUAAGUUAUUAAUUUAAAAUUUAUUACUUAUUUUGUAUUUAAGUAUUAAGGUUAUUUGUAAAAAUCAACUUAAAAUUUAUUCUAAAUCAUCAAAUUAACACAUUUACCCUUAUUAAUUUUAACUUAUAUUUAUUUUCAUUAAUUUUAAACAAUAAAUUUAUUCAUAAAACAUCUAUAUUUUUGUAGAUACAUAAUAACCAUAAAAUAUUUACUAUAAAAAAUGAGUCAUGGAUGUAGAAUUAUAAUUCUAAAAUAUACACCUAUAAGUGUGGGUAAAUAAGACAAAAAUGAUUUGAGAUUAAGAGUAAAGUUAAUUAUUUUGACUUAAGACUUCAAGUUAAAAAUAACUUUAAGUUGCAAUAUUAAGUUAUUUUAUCAAACAUGCUUAAUUUACUUAACAACUUAAAUUAACUUAUUAAGUUGAUUUAUCAAACACCCCACUAGUAAUAUGUUGAAAAUGAAGAGCAUCCAUAGCAGAUAAUGUAUAUGUAUUUGUGUUUAGAGUAGAAGGGCACUACAACAAUGGACUUGCAUGUGAUUUGGUCGCGAUAUGAUUUUGAUGAGAAUAUUUUAUUGUCUUUAAAAUAUUGUUAUAUGAAAUGCCACACUAUGUUAGUAAAUGAUAGUUAUGUUAGUAGAAAUGAAAGUUUGUUUUAUAAUGCAUUGACCAUCCUAACACAUGCACUUAAUUAUCAUUAGUAGUUAGACAUGUAUUCCCUUUUUUCAAUUUUUUUUCUUCUUUUUAAAUACAUUCUAGUGGUACUUUGCCUUAUGACUUAAUUUUUGUUACACUUACUACUUUUGGUUUUAGUCAUAUUUCAUUUUAUUAGUAUUUUCAUUUUGUGUUACAAUUUUAUUUAGUUUCUCUAUAUUCUCUUUUGGAUGGUGAUUUCACUUCAAAUUUUAAUUCAAAUUAGGCUUAUUGUCCUCUUAGUAAGCCUUUUCUAGGCGAGUUGUUAUAGAAAAUUAAACAAACCUCUCCUAAGGUUGGCCUUGUUACAUAGACUUCUUUUCUAUUUUGAAAUAUUAUAUUGACCUCCCUUGUUAGAUAUUGGUUUUUACGAUUACUAAGAAUAAUGCUUCUUAAUCAUUAUUAACGAUAAUGCAAAAUGAUAUAACUACUCUUAGUUAAAUCAAAUCAUAAUGACAAUAUUUUCAUCUUCUUUUUCCAAUUUUCUUCUUCUUCCUCCAUACAUGCUAAUUUGCAAAAAUUUAUACCCAUUAUUUAAAUGAAAUCUUUUGAAAUAAAUUAAAAUCUUCCUUAUUUGAUAUUAUAGAAACCUAAUUUAAAUAAAAUAUUUUGAAAUAAAUUAGAUAAAAAAAAAACUUGUCAUCAUUCUAACCCAAAUCAAAUUUAAAAGAAUAACUAAAUAUUUCAAGUCUCAUUUUGUCUCAAUAUCACCUUUGCUAAUCAACCUAUCCAAUCUUAGAUCAAACUCAAAUUGCAAUCAAAUUUUGACAAGAAAAAAUCUACUUAAGACUGAAUAAGAAAACUUGUGGAAAGAGUCUUAUCAAGAAGGUGCAUGAAACCCUCAGUUCAAAAACUUCUUCUAAAAUAAAAUUAAAAAAAGAAAAGAAAAGAAAGAUAUUCAAUGUUAAAGGACUUUUAAGAUAAAUCAAAAUUUGAAAAUGAAUGUUAAUACUUGCGAUAGAUUCCACAUUCAUGAACAAAUUACCAUUGCACCACUUAUUUUCAAUUCACACUUUAAUUUACUAUCCAUAGAAACUUUCAUUAAAUUUUCCAUAAAACAAACAAAGAGCCUUAACCCCCAAAUAUUUUAAUUCUUAAAAAUACAUCAUUUCAUCAAUUUUUGAAACCCUCAUUUUAACACAAAUUAUUUUUUUUUACAAAUUAUUAAAAGAAUAAAAAGAAAAUUAAGAAGAGGUUGUCAUUAUUAUUCUUGCAAAGUCACCACAAAAUAAAUUAUAACAAAUAUAGAAAAUAAAAUAAUGUGACGAUGAAGAUGAUGCUUAGAAAGUUAGAAUGAAGAAGAUAGUAUCAUUUAGAUGAUUUAGGUUAAGAUGAGGACUAGAUAAGGAAAGUGACAUCAAUUGCCUAAUUAUUUGGGGUUUUAGACAUACAAAAUGAGGGAGAUGACUAAAAUUAUGGUUUAAUUAUUUUUGGUUAAGGAUUAUUAAGUUAUUUUAAGGAAUUAAUUAAUUAAUUUAUAAUAAAUUUAGAAUUAAUUAAAAGUUAAUUAAAAUAAUUAUUGAUUCAUAGUUUAAUUUAAAACUAAUUUGAAUAAAAGAUGAAAAACUGAAAGUCCAUUAGGGUUUCACCUAGAGAGGGGAGAGGAGGUGGAUGAUUUAAAAAAUUUCAAUAAAGAUCUAUAUGUUAUAUCCAAUUUUAUUUUACCCUGUGAGAUGUUAGGGAUAACCUUUUCUAUCAACCUUAGGCAAUUCAAACAAAAUAUCAAAUAUAAAAGAUAAGAACAAUAAGGCAUGCGAUUUUUAUAUGGAAAAUCCUCACACUAACUGUGACGAUAAAAACCACGAGAUCUAAGACCUAUUAAUCUAAAUGCACUAGAUGAAAUCAAGUUACACAGAUUUACUUGACUGCUUUACCUUAAAGAUUUACUCUCUGGUAAGUACAACUUGAUUCAUGUCCACAACAUAGCAACCCUUGAUUGCUCCAGUGGAUCACUUCAGCUUCCUGGAAGGGAUGAAGGUCUCCAAAAUAAUAUUUAAAGAACAAAUCCUUGAAUGAGAAAUUGAGAAUGGUGUGGCAAUCUAGGUUUUGUCUAUAGGAGACCCUUUUUAGAGAAUAAAGUCUCUCAACAAUCUAUCUCCAAUCUCUUCAAUAUCUCUAACCCUCAAGGGGUUAUAAGGGAGGUAUUUAUAGGCAAAAGUUUGAAAAGUUUUGAUUUUGGAAGGUUUCUCAAUUGAAAUUUUGUGAAAAACUUGGUAGAAUCAACAUGAUUGCUCGAGCCAACUCACCCAUCGCUUGAGCGCCUCAAGCACUUGAGUGGUAUGGCUCACUUGAGCGGUCUUAAGCGCUUGAGUAGUCUUUAGUGCUUGAGCGCUCUAGGCCACUUGAGCAGUCUUGCUCUCUUUCAAAAAUCAAUUUUAAAAUCUUUUUAAGUUCAAAACAAAAUUGAUGCUCUUUAAUACCUCAACAUAGCCUAAUUAACAUAAGUCAAGCCUCUUUAAACAUGUGACUUCUCAAUUGGACAAACAACAACCCUUGAUCUUCAAUGAAGAGUAAGUCACUAACUAGAAAGACUUCUAUGACCAAACAUUACAAAGAACAAAAUUGCCAACAUAUAGGAAGGACUUACUGUCUUAACAAUCUCUCCCUUUGACAAUUUUGUGACAAAAAAUUGUUACAUAAACCCACUUGAACUCUGAUAACGGAGUUUACAUAACACACUUUAAUGCUCAAUUAAAACUAAAUUAAGGGAAAGCUUUGUAUUAAUUUAUAGUACUUAUAUUUCAACCCCGUAACCUACACACAUACAAAAAACUAUACUAAAGGUAAAGUAGUGUGAGGAAUAAAGUAAUGUUGAGAAAACAAAACAGGAUAGUUGGAGGUUUUGCUUGAUGACUUAUGAAAACAUGAAAAUGGAACAGAUUUUUGUAGAGACACUGAGGCACAAAGCAAAGCUUGAGAGGAAUAUAGAUACACACAAAUCAGGAAAACACAAUAGAAGCUUGAUAAGACACAAUAGAUCAAUAAUAAUGCUUAGAAGUCUAUCUCCAACCAGAAAAUGGGUAGUGAAAACCAUGGAAAGAAACUGCUAUGACUUAGAAUAGUUCUAGAGUGAUAAUUAGUUUAAACAUAAAUAUCUUAUAAGAAACAUUUGUGUCAAGUAUCUCUUUAAACCAUCUAAGUUAUGUUUUCAUCGGUUGAUAUGGUUUUCUCCAAUUUCUCAAGUUUAAUUUCCUUUAAUAUUUCAAUAAUUUCCCUUAAUGGAUGAAUGAAUGAAUGAAUUGAAUUAAAGAAUUCAAAAUUUUUAACUCAUAGUAACUUCCCUUAAAUUACAAUCAAUACAAUAAUUCAAAUCAAGUAUACAAAAACAUAAAUAAUAGAACAUUUAUGCAUUAGGUGGCGGUAGAGGGAUAGAGCUUGAAGCAUCGUGAGAAUGGGUACAAGAAAAGAUGUAGUUAAGUUAUCCCUAAAUCUCUCGGAGUUGGAGAUCCUAAGAGUCCAUCUUCUGAUGAAGUCGGGCCAUGGAAUUUAGAGCCUCAUGGGCGUUGGGUCUACAAAAGUAAAAGCCUUGUGUGUAGCUCGGGAAGAACUAACACAACCUCAACUUUAGAGUGAGUCCUCGGAGCAGACUCUAAAUAGUCUGCCUCUAGAAUUCCACCAUGCUCCAUAGCUCGAAGCUCAUCCUCCUAGACAACUACCUUUGCAUGCUGGCCUACAUCAUGUGGUUCAUAAGUUGGAAGAGCCAUCAAACUAUAUACAUGAAUGUAGUGCUUGGGCUAGGAACUCCCAUCUAAAAAGGCAUGGGUAGCCUAGACCCCUAGUGUAGGAUCAAUCUUAAAUCCCACAUCCUCGAGUAUCCGCGUCAUGAGGAGGGUAAAAGGGAAAGUGCCUCCUCUAAAGGAUAAACCACGAAGGGGAAUGAUUGUAUCCAGGAUGACUUAGCCAAUGUCAAAUUGUUGGCUUGAGAGAAUGACGUGAAUAAAGUGAGCAGAUGGUCAAUGGAUUUGGGUGCAGUGUGUAAAUGGGUAGAAGGAGUAAGUGAAGAAUGUGGCAAACAACCAUGUUAGCUUGAAGAAGCCAACAAUCAAGAUAUAAGAAGGAAAGGGGCAAAGACCCCCAUAAAGAGAAGUCAGAAUGGUGUCAAGUUUCUCUCGGGUGAGAGCCUGAACCUCUAGGGAAAAUGAAGAAAUGAGAGCCUCAAUUUGCGACAUGCUAAGGACACAUUGAAUGUAAUGGGAGAAAAUAAGGAAAAAUUGACCAUGCAUGGUCAAUUGAAAGGUGACUCCGACCACAAUAUAAUGCAUGUUCUCAUAGAACAUGUGAACAAGAUGGGGAUAGGAAGUCCCCUAGAGAGAAAACAAAGUCUCCUAACUUUACUCUUGAAUGAUGAUAGGGAAGACAGUGUCCUGAAAAGCUUAGAGGUUAAUGGCAUGCUCAGGCUCGACACAUUGAUAUGUGAAAGAAGCGUAAUAAUGGUCUCGUGCCACCUGGCAGUGAAAACGCUCAACCGAAAGUGCAUCUAGGUUAAAAAGACCCUGGAGUGGGAUGCCCUAGACGGUUUCAGUGACCUAGGAAAGGUCACCUCCCUCUGACAUCUAUGACUAGCCAUAUCUAAGGUAUAUAAUAUGAAAAAACAAAAGCUAAAGAAGAACUAAAGAAAAUCCAAAGAAAAGCUAAACCACUAAAAAUGUUAAACUCAAUGCGUCGAACAAUACUAUACAAAUGGAAAUGAAAAAUAUGAAGUGAACUGACCUCAGAAGACAAAAGGACAGUAACCUAGAGGGCUCGAAGAUGAAUAGGAAAGUUUGAAAUGAAUAUGGCGUGCUGGAUGACCUUUAUAUAGCCUAUAGGAGUGCUUGAUGCAGAUUAGCACUCGAGCGUCAUGACUAACUUAAAUCAAAGUAUUUAUUACUAUCAAAAUAUUUUAAAAGUUUCAAAGGAAGUAUUCAAUUUAGAACCUUUUUAGAAAUUUUUUUGAAAGAAACAAAAAUAAAACGUGAAAUAUUAUGUGUUAAAGGUGUUAGAAGACAAUAUUGUCUAAUCCAAAGCCUUACACAUUCCACAAAAAAAAAAAAGGAAAAAGAGAGAUAUUAUAUAAGAUUUUGAUCACAUCUAAUAGAAACUAAUAUUUAGCAACAUAUCACCAAGCACUAUCUUAUCAGAAAGCUCUAACAUGUUGGAAAUUUAUGUAAGGUUCCAUAACAACUAACAACUUUUUCUGACGACUUGGCAAUGGACCAUUUGCACUUUAACUACAUUAUUGAAUUUAAAUCAUAUUAGAAUAGUAAUUGACUUCUCUUUUGUGAGGCUACAUAUCUUGUAGGAUGGGAUAGGUGAUUCAUUUCAUAUAUGAAAUUUACUUAAUUUAGUAAUGCAUCCAAGUUCAUUAUGAAUAUAAUGGUACCACAACUUUUUGAAUAUUUGUAAUCUGUAAUCUUUGUUUCAACUUCUCAAGUCUAGUCAUUUUAUCGGCAUAACUAGUUUGCUUCAAUUAUCUCUCAACUUUAUUAUAAAACUAAGGGAAAUGAUUAUCACGCAUUUUAUAUUAACUUAACCAAACAUCUUUAUAUAUCUUACAUAUAUAUAUAUAUUGUAAAUUUAGGAAAAUUUCAUCCAUUAGCCAUAGUAAGUAAGAAUCAAAUAUGGGAUAUGUAAGCCAAUGGUGAUAUUGAUGGCGUCAAAUCAAUGACAUAGUAGAAACGUGGAUUGUCUAUUUUCAAACCUUUAUAUUUUCAUCCAAUAGUAAAAAGGUUUAGGCAUCACUUGAAAAGUAGUUUGUUUUUUACCUUGGACUAUGAUUUAUGAAUAAAGUUCUUCUGUUGUAUACCUUUUGUGAUGCCCCAAACCUAAUUUAGGGGUAAAAAUAAUAAUUUAGAAACAAAUAAAUAAAAAUUUAAAUAAAUUUAAUUAAGGUAAAAAUGUAUUUUCGUAUUUAAAAUUCCUAGGGAUCAAUUAUAUAUUUCUUGUCUUCUCUAUUCAAAAAACCCUAUUACACAAAAAUCAAAGAUCAGAGAACAUAGGACAACGUAGGGUUGAAGAUUUGGAGGUUUAGGGUUGAAGAUUAGUUUUCCAGGUAAGAUUCUAACCCUUAAAUUAGUAUUUUAGAUUCGUUAAUUAGUUUGAACACUUUAGAUAUUCUUUGAAAAAUCUGAAUCCACGUUAGGGUUUGUUAAUUUAAUUUUUAAAUAAAAAAGAUUGAAAAUUUAUGAACAUAAGUAGAGUUAUUAUUAAAGAUUGAAAAUUUUUGAAUAUUUGAAUUAAAAAUCUAGAAAAAAAAAAAGAAAAUAAAUUAUAGAUUUGGAUGUGGAAAAAAAUUAAUAUUAAUAAAUAAAUAAAACCUAUGAGUAUGGAGGUAGAAAAAUAUGAAAGUUGAAAGCAAAGAAAAAAAAAAGGAAUAAGGUUUUGUGGUUGUAUAUGCCUCCUUAGUGGAAAAAAAAUACAAGGUUGCUUGCAAUAGGAUAUGAUAAAGAGAGAGAGAUAAAUGCUUCGAUAUUGAUUUUUGUGGGGAAAAAAAGAUUGGGUAAUGCAGGAGAGAAAUAGGUAGCAUUUGUAGAGUUGGUGGAGUUGUUGUAAAAGCUCGUAGGGGUAAUUGUUAGGAAACAUUAGGACUUGAAAUAAUAAUAAUUGCUUCUAGUAAAAGUUUUAAUUUAGUUUAAGUAUAUAAAAGAAAUAGAUGAUUAGAAAAAGAUUUGGAAGGAAUAUGAAUUCAUAAAAUUUCGAAAUUUACUAAUUUAGAUUAUUAUUGUUUUGGAAGUUGAAUAUAAUAUAGGUGAUAAUAUUAUUAAUAUAGGAAAUGAUUAAGAUUCUCAAACCUACAAUUUUAGAUAAAUAGUUAAUAGUAAUAGAUGAUUUUUUAUUUUUUUUAUUUUUUAUUUUUUAUGUUAUGUUAAGUGAAUAAUGGAUUCUUUGAUUAAUUCUCUAAGGUUUCUAAGUGCUUCUUUAAGGUAAGGGAUAUUAAUACUGAUUUUGUAAAUGAAAAUAUUUCUUUUUAUAAGUUAUUUUAAAUUAUGAAAAAUUUUAUUAUUAUUUAUGCAUGGAUCAAAUAUAUAUUUUUUCAUGAGAAACAUGUUUAGGCAAUUUCUUUGUUUAUAAAUAAAUAAAUAAAAAAUGAGAACCUUGGAAAUAUAAUGUUUUGUUUUGUAAGUUUAAAAUAAUGAAAUAAAGUUUUUGACUCUGGUUUAUAUGACCUUAGUUAAUGGGUUAUAAUUGUUGACAUUUUUAGCUCCAAUCAACAAUUAUAAUUGUUGACAUUUUCAGCUCCAAUCAACGAUUAUAAUUGUUGAGAUUUUCAACCCUAGCCAAUGGGUUAUAAUAGUUGACCUUAUAGCCCUAGUCAACAGAUAUAAUUGUCAACCUUUGGUUUUGCCCAUCUUAAAAAGAACAAAUUUAAGGCUAGCCAUUUAUUUGUAAAGUCCCACCUAACUAAGUACCAUUUGUUAUUUAAUAACCAGAGUAAAGAUAUUUUGAAUGUAUUUGAUAUGAAAUUGUUUUGAUAUAAAUAUGAAAAUGUUUGGUUGAAAGUUCAAAUGUUUAAUGCAUGUUGAACUCAAAAGUUUUAUUAAAAUGAUUAUAUGUUAUAUAUCCUAUUUGUAAGCUUGAUCCAUGAAACUGUAUUAAUAUUCCUUAUUGGACUUUGAGCUCAUUCCCCUUUGUUGAGAAUUUUUUUGGUAUUCUCAGUUUGGGCAAGGAGUGAUGACUGGGUUGGGGAAUUUUCUUUGCUAUGAUUUUGGUUCAAUCUUUAUUUUGGACAUUGUUUAGAUGUUAAAAUUUAAUUCCCAUUUAAAUUAUUUGAGUUUGGAGUUAUUUGGACGAUAACACUUUGAUUGAUGUGUUAGUUUUAAAGUUGAGAAUUGAAAAUUAUAGAAUUUAUUUAUCUUACUACUUUGAACAGAAAUUUAGUAAUUGGAGAUCAUCCAGUUACAAGAUGAAUAUUUGUGUCAUUUCCACUUUGAGAGUUCAGACUUGGGGUGUGAAAUGACCGUUAUGCCCUUGGAGUGGGUAUAUUGUUUAUUUGAAUUUAAUGGUCCCCGAACUCCUUAAUUACUCAUAACUUUAUAUCACCUUCUCAAAGUUAAGUUGUUUUACAACUAUUAUCUAGCUACUUUUCUCUACUAUGACAACUUUAUUACAUAGUGAUUAAUUGAAAGAAUCUACAUGUUUUAUUUCAUAGGAUAGUUGAUUUUUUUACUCAAUGAAUCUUGCUUUUAUUAUUGAAAUUUCAAAUCAUUGUAGUCCAACAAUUUCCUAUCCAUUGGUAAUUUCAUAUUACAUUUCCAAAGUCUAAUCAUUUAAAAACACUUGUAGUUAAUAUAUUGGCAAUUGCAUUGUGGGAAGUUGUUCACUUGAUUUUAAUGUUGAAACUUUCAAAUUAUUGUAGUCCAACAAUUCCCUAUCCAUUGGUAAUUUCAUAUCACAUUUUCAAAUUAUAAUCAUUUACAAAUACUUGUAUAUAGUAUAUUUGGUGAUUGUAGAGUGGAAAGUUGAUCGUUUUCAUGAAGACCUCUAAAAUAUAAAUUUUUUUCAUUCCAUUUAAUAAAGAAUUUCAUUAAUUGAACAUAUAUGUUUUUUUUAGCUGGAAAGUAGAGGCCACAUUAUACGAGGCCUUAGGUGACAAUACUAGGUGAGGGUUUUUUUUUUAAUUUAUUUAUUAUGAAAUAUAAAUAAUAUUAUUUAUUGUAUAAUAAAGAUUAUUAUAAUAUAUUUUUUAUAGAUGAAAAAAAUAUUAAUUGAGUUUUAUUUAUUUUUUAAUAAUUGUUUUCAAUAAAUAACUUAUUUGUAAAAAGAAAACUAUAAAAUAUAUGCAUUUGAAAAAUAUUUAAUUUUUAUUUGAUUUAGUAUCAAUUAAUAUUUGUAAUAUUUUUUAAUAUUAUAGAAGUUAACAUACUCAAUCAAGAUAUUCAAGAUCAAGAGAACAUUUGAGAUUGAAUUAAUUUCUUUAUUGUUUAUGUUUUAGAAAAUUUUUAUAUCCAUUACAAAUUUUCUAUUGUUUAUUUUUCAUUCAAUUUUUGCAUUUUGUAAUAGAUAUUAAAACGAAUUUUUUUUCCUAUAUGUUAAAAAAAUAUUUCAAUGUCUUUAAAAAUAAAAUAUUGCAGUAAAAUCAAAAUUACAUUGUGAAACUUUAAGCGAAUGUUUUAUACUUAAGAAGUGCCAAUUAAAGUAAGCAUGCAUCUACAAUUGUAAUUUAGAUGUCAUACUGAAACAAUAGUUCUCUUCGACUAUAUCAUAAAAUUUGGUUCGAAUUACUUUAAGUCAUCUUGUAGAUUUUCAAGUUCUAAUGAUAUGCAUCAAGUAUGUGCAACAUACUUGAUAUAACUAAUAUUUUCUUAAGUAAUUGGACACUUUUUUUCUAUAAAUUUACUUGAUUAUCAAUGAAUACUUUUAUGUAGGGUAUUGAUAUAAUUCGAUAAAUAUUUUAAAAUAGUAUUAGAAUAGCUUUGCUCUUUCCCAAUUAACAAAUUUACCAAAUUAACUUAUAUAUAUUUGUUUAUUUGAAUUUACUGGUAUUUGACUCAAAUUGUUAUUAUUUUUAAAAUUAUAGGAAAACCAUUAUUUAUAGAGUUUAAUUAUAUUUUGGUAAAUUAUCUUUUUAAGUUUGACUAGGAUUAGGAAACUAUUAAUUUAAGAUUAAUCCAUAAGGCUCUAUAAAUUUGCAGUUUUAUAUAGGAUUUAAAAAAAGAAAGAAAAAGUAAGAAAAAGUGAAGAGAGAUAGGCAAAGAGUGCAUUGGGUUUUAGAUAGAGAAAGAUUGAGAGAGUUUUGAUUACUACUAAAAAAGAACAUAUUUUAGAUAGUAAUUCUCAUGAGUUUCGCAUCUUUUGAGCAUUAAUUAUGCCUAAAAAUGCUCAAUUAACAUGUUGUUGCCCUUGCAAAAGUUACUAACAAGUUUUAUAAAGUUUUGGAGUCAUUUCAAGUUAUGAUUUUAAUAAAUUGGUGACGAAAGAAAUGAAUUGAUUUGAAGAAGGCAAAUAAUAUUGAUGAUGAUCAAAUGCAUAAUGAAAUAAGAAAUAUAAUUAGUUUGAUCGGGAUUUGCUGCUAAUUUGGAGGUAGUUAAGGUGGAGUCAAAAGAAGAAAAUGGAAGAAAUGACAAAAAGGAGCUUAAAAACCAAAUGUUGCAGAUUUGUAUGAUCAUGCAAAAAUUUUACAUGACUAUGCGAAAUGGAUUAGAGAAGGAAAAUUGACUAUAGUAUAAGGAGGAUGCUUAAGUUGAUUUCGCAUGAACAUGAGAAAAUUUCGCAUGAACAUGCGAAAAUUUUGAACAAUCAUGCGAAAUGGUCCAGAAAGCUCUCUAAUGUUGUUGUUGCUCCACUAAUUUCGCACCACCAUGCGAAAUCGAUAUUUUCAUGCAAAAUGGCUGAAGCUCAUGUGAAAUCAUGAUUUUGAGGCUAAACUCCAGAUUUGUGAAUUUGGAAGGCUUUAUAAGACCAAUGAGAGGUUGCCAAGUGUUCACUUGACCUUGGCCUAUAAAUAGAAACUUGAAUUUCCCAUGUAAAGAGCUUUGUGAUACUUUUAAUUUUAGAUUUUUCUAGAAACUCUUUUUCUAAAUAGAAUUCUAUAUUUUCUUUAAUUUUCCCUCAUUUUCUCAUUAGCCAAACAUGCCUAGUGAGACCAAAUCUCCAAGUAUGAGUGGCUAAAUUUCGUUUUUCUCAAAGGAAGGAGGAUCUAGAGGCAAGAUCUAUGGUGAAUUAUAGAAAUGAGUUUUAAUUGCAAAUGUAAUUUGAUCCAAUUGAUUGAUUAAUUGAAAUUUGAGGAUUUCUCUCUUCAAAUUGUCUUGAAUGACUAUUACAUUGCAAACUAGGUAGAUUCAUUAAAUUCUUAAAGCUAGAUUUAAUGAGACUGAAUAGUUGCAUUGUAUGAAUCAUUGGAAGAUGAUUUAAGAUGAAUUGAAUAUAUAAUUUAAAUUGAUCUCUUGGAUUAAAUAACCUAAUUUGAAGAGAAAUUAGGUUUAGACUUAAAGGUAAAUCCAAAAUCGGUUUAGAUAAGAAUUUAGGUUUUCAAUAUAACUUGAUGAAAAAUAAAUCUCAACAUCUAUUCACUAUGGAAAUUGUUUUCUAAAAAAUAUUAACUCCGAGAAUUCCUUUUCCUUAUCAAUUUUCUUAUAUUCUACAUUAUAUUGUUCUUUUCAAUUAGAAAUCAUUGUUAUUUUGAUUUUUCAUGAAUUGUCAAAUCAAUUUCACUUGACCACAAUCAUUUCUUUUCCUUCCAUUUAAACCUUAAUUAUCGAGAAUAAUCCAUCCCAAUGGAAGACACCUAAGACCACUAUACUACCGUAGCUUUUGCUAAAAAACCUUUUUGAUCGGGCAAGAGUUACCUUAGCAUAGUUGAAUUAUGUUAUAAUUUUUUUUAUCCAAUAAACAACAAAAAAAUCAAUCGAUCAAGUUUGCAUUGUGUAUUCUUGAAUUUUAUUAAUAAAUUUAAUCCCCCUUUUUGAAGCGAUUACACCAAACCAAGUAAAUAUUUUAUAUACUUCAUUUGCUUUAUUUUUUCUAUUAAGUUUAGGUGUUGCAAUUUUCAAGAGUCAUGGUGAGAAGAUUGUGGGAAAAAUUAUUUUAAGGAUGGAGUCGAACAUAAAAUAUGAAAUUGAGUCCUUUGAUGGAAAUAAUAAUUUUAAUAUUUGAUAAAGUAUUAUUAAAGAUGUUUUGAUACAACAAAGACUUCUCAAAGCAUUACAAGGCAAAAAAACUAGAGAGCAUGACAAAUAAAGAAAUGAAAGAAUUAGAAGCAAGAGUUGUAAGUACUAUUUGUUUAAGUCUUAAAAAUGAAAUACAUUGUUUUGAAUGAAAAAUAUUCUUUCAGGGGUGUCAAUUGCUCUUUUAGAGACCAAAAAUAUUAAGCAAUCAAGUAGUUCAUCUCAUAUUGGACAAACUGUUAUGAUGAAUUCUAAACCACAUCAUCAUAGGAGUAAAUCGAAAGAAAAGUAUCUGAUAGGAGGAUGAUCAUUCCAUUCACAUUUAUGGAGGAAUAUGAAGUAUUAUUACUAUGAAAAAAAAAACAUAUCAGGAGAUAUUGUAAAGAAUUGAUGAAGUACCUAGAAGAAAUGAAAAUUUUUAAAUCCCAAGAGACUUCAAAUUCUACUAAUAUUGUUGAUGAAAAUUUUGAAAUAUUGUAGUAAAUUAAAAGUUACAUUAUGGGACUUUUAGUGAGUGUUUUGUGUUGAAGAAAGGCUAAUUAAAGUAAACAUGCAUCUAAAAUUAUAAUUUAGAUGUUGUACUCAAAUAGUUGCUCUCCUCGAUUAUAUCAUAAAAUUUGGUUUGAAGUAGUCUAAGUCAUCUAAUAAUUUUCUAGUUCCAAUUACAUGCAUCAAACAUGUGUGUUAGGAAGUGUUGCAAAUUACUAAUUAGUAUAGAUCCCUUUUUUUUUUUAAAGAAUAUUGUAUUGAAUAUUUCUAGGUUGAUAUAUUAUUGUAAUAUUAGACUUCCUUAUAGAAUAAGGAAUGUUGUUGAAAAUAUCCCUAUAAAUAUUCUAGUUCAUAAGGGGAAAAAGUUAUGAGAUGAAGAUGGACCCAUAAAGACUAUACAAGGUGGAUAGAGAUGUGAGGAAGAACAGGAGGUACCCGGUGGAGCGAGAGGGCUCGUGGUAAGGUAUAGGUACGAAGAGUGAGGAAACAUGGGAUGUUUUGGGAACCCAAUAGUUAUAUCUAGUUAUAUCAUCUAUAAGUUCUAGUUCUGUCCUUUGCAUUGUUCUCUAUUUUAUAGUGGAAUGAUUCUCUCUUAUCUGUGGAUGUAGGCAUGGUUUUCGAACCACGUUAAAACCUUAUGUACCGUUUGUGUCGAAUUUUUUUAUCUUUAUUUUCUUGAUUAAUGAAGUUUGCAUCAAAGCUUCCGUCAACGGAACAAACUUGUAUCAAAGCUUGGGUUAAAGAUUUCUGGAAGAGUAAAAGAUCACAAAGCACACAAGAUGAAACCAAAAGGAUUUUUUAGUGAAAAUGGAGUCGAUUGCUCUCUUGUGGUGAUAUGAUAUAAAAAGUUUGUCUCAUGGAAAGUUUGAAGAUUGACUUCAUGGAAUUUGGUCCAAAAUGGAGAUUGUUAAUAAGUGUCCCAAAUUCCUAAUUAGUAUAGAUUUUUUUUUUUUUUGUAAAGAAUAUUGUAUAGAAUAUUUCUAGGUUGAUAUAUUAUUGUAAUAUUAGACUUUCUUAUAGAAUAAGGAAGGUUGUUGAAAAUAUCUUUAUAAAUAUUCUAGGUCAUGAGGAAAAAAAGUUAUGAGAUGAAGAUGGGCCUGUAAAAACUAUAUGAGGUGGAUAGAGAUGUGAGGAAGAACGGGAGGUACUCAAUGGAAUGAGAGGGCUCGUGGUAGGGUAUGGAUACAAAGAGUGGGGAAAUAUGGGAUGUUUUGGGAACCUAAUAGUUGUAUCUGGUUCUGUCAUCUAUAAUGUUCUAGUUACGUCCUCUAUAAUGCUCUCUAUUGUAUAGUGGAAUGAUUCUCUUUCAUCCAUGGACGUAAGCAUGGUUGUCGAACCACGUUAAAACCUCAUGUACUGUUUGUGUUAUUAUUCUUUAAAUUUUUUAAUAUUUGUUUCUUGAUUAAUGAUGUGUGCAUCAAAGCUUCCACCUACAUAACAAACUGGUAUCAGAGCUUGGGUUGAAGAUUUUUGGAAUAGUAAAAGAUCACAAAGCACACAAGAUGAAAACAAAAGGAAUUUUUAGUGAAUGUGGAGUCAAUUGUUUUCUCGUGGUGAUAUGAUACAAAAAGUUUGUGUCAUGGAGGGUUUAAUGAUUGACUCCGUGAAAUUUGGUCCAAGGUAGAGAUUGUUAGGAAGUGUCCCAAAUUCCUAAUUAAUAUAAAUUCCUCUUUGUAAAGAAUAUUGUAUAGAAUAUUUCUAGGUUGAUAUAUUAUUGUAAUAUUAGACUUCCUUAUAGAAUAAAGAAGGUUGUUGGAAAUAUUUUCAUAAAUAUUUUAAGUCAUGAGGGAAAAAAGUUAUGAGAUGAAGAUGGGCCUAUAAAGACCAUACGAGAUGGAUAGAGAUGUGAGGAAGAAUCGAAGGUACCCAGUGGAGCGAGAGGGCUCAUGGUAGGACAUGAAUAUGAAGAGUGGGGAAACAUGGGAUGUUUUGGGAACCCAAUAGUUGUAUCUAGUUCUGUCAUCUAUAAUGUUCUAAUUCUGUCAUCUAUAAUGUUCUGGUUUUGUCCUCUGUAAUGUUCUUUAUUGUAUAGUGGAAUUAUUCUCCCUCAUCUGUGUAGGCAAGUUGUUAAACCACGUUAAAACCUCGAAUACCAUUUGUGUUGAUUUUUUUUUAGUUUUGUGUUCUUGAUUAACAAUGCUUGCAUCAAAGCUUCUACCAACGUAACAAUGUGCAACAUAUUUGAUAUAACUUAUAUUUUCUUAAGUAAUUGAACACUUUUUUUCUAUAAAUUUACUUGAUUAUCAAUGAAUACCUACAUAUGCGGUAUUGACAUAGUUUGAUAAAUAUUUUAAAAUAGUAUUAGAAUGGCUUUUCUUUUUCCCAAUUAAAAAAUUUAUCAAAUAUAUACAUACACACACACACACACAAUACUCAUUAGUAUGUCUUUUAUGAAAAAACUAUAUUUGUUUAUUUGAAUUUAGUAGCCAUUUAACUCCUUAGUUACUCAUAAACUUUAUAUCACCUUCUUAAAGUCAAGUCAUUUACAAUUAUUUCUAUCUAGCCUUCUCCAUUAUGACAACUUUAUAAGAUAGUGAUUGACUGGAAAAAUCUACAUGCCUUUGUUGAUAGGAUAAUUGUUUUUCUUUUUUUCGUAUUCAAAGAAUCUUGCUUUUGUUAUUGAGACUUUCAAAUCCUUUAUGUCUAGUGGUCUUAUAAUUCCCUAUUCAUUGGUCUUUCAUAUUACCAAUCAUUUUGCAAAUGAGUUAAUUUCAUUCACAUCCUCUGAGAUUUGAUGUAAAUUCGCUUAGUUACCAAUGAUUUCAAAUUUCAUUAAUUAGUACCCCUAUAGAUGUAAUUUGUGUACAAAAUUUAUUUUUUAAAAGAAUUUAGGUAAAAAUAUUUUAGGUUUAUGUCUUUAACAAUUCUCUAAAAUAAAUUUUACUUGCUAAAAAAUAACUUAUAUAGAUAGAAUACAUCUACAGGAGUUCUAACUGACGAAAUUUAAAACUAAUGGUGGUUUAGUGUAUUUAAACUAAACAUUAAGAAGGGUGACUGAAAUUAACCCUCUAGGUAUAUAUGUUUAACAAAAUUUUUAUUGUUUAUUUUUCAUUUAAUGUUUGCAUUUUUCAAUAAACAUUGAAAAGGAAUUGUUUUUCCAUAUGUUAACAAAAAGAAAUUUGAGCACCUAUAAAAAUGAAAUCUUGUAGUAAAAUUGAAGUUACAUUAUCAAACUUUUAACGAGUGUUUAUGUUUAGAAAGGCCAAUUAAAGCAAGCAUGCAUCUAGAAAUUAUAACUUAGAUGCAUCAAACAUGAGCAACAUAUUUGAUAUAACUAAUAGUUUCUUAAGUAACUAAACACUUCUUUUUCUAUAAAUUUACUUGAUUAUCGAUGAAUACUUACAUAUAUUUACAUAGUUUGAUAAAUAUUUUAAAAUAAUAUUAGAAUAACUUUUUUUUUCUCAAUUAUAUUAGAAAAUAAUAUAAAGUUACUUAUAAACUUUAUAUCAUUUUCUCAAAGUCAAGUCAUUUACAAUUAUUUCUAUUUAGCCUUCUCCAUUAGGACAACUUUUAUAUGAUAGUCGUUGAUUGGAAGAAUCUACAUGUCUUUUUUGAUAGGAUAGUUGUUUUUAUUUUUUUUAUUUUUUUUAUUCCAAAAAUUUGCUUCUAUCAUUGAAACUUUCAAAUCUUUUAUGUAUAUUACCAAUCAUUUUACAAGUGAGUUAAUUUCACUUAGGGUAGAUAUACUUAGCCACACCCCUAUAGAUGUAAUUUGUGUUUAAAUUUUAUUUUUUAUUCAGGUAAAAAUAUCUUAGGUAUAUGUGUUCAACAAUUCUCUAAAAAAUAAAUUUUCUUAUCUAAAAGUUUAUAUAGACAAAAUACAUCUGUAGAAGUCCUAACUAAUGAAAUUUAAAAUCAAUGGUUGUUUAGUGUAUUUACAUUAAACCUUAUGGGGUAUGAUUGAAAUUAACUCUCUUACAAGCACUUGUAGCUAAUAUGUUUGUAGUUGUAGUGUUGGAAAUUGAUCAUUUUCUUGAAGGCCUCUAAGAUAUUGGAAAUAUUGCCAUAGUUUUAGACUUUUUUUUAUUACACCUAAUAAAAAAUAUUAUUAAUUUAACAUAUAUAUUCUUGACUUAAAAGUAAAGUCUCUCCAUAUUGUAUAAGCCCUUAGGUGACAAUAUUAGGUGAAGUUUUUCUUUCGUUUAUUAAAAAAUAUAAAUAAUUUAUUAUUGUAUGAUAAAAUUUUAUGUAAUAUAUUUUUAUAGAUGUAAAAUUAUUAAUUGGGUUUUAUUUUAUUUUUUUACUAAAUUGUCAUUUCAAUAUAUAAAACUUAUUUGUAAAAAGACAAUUAUAAACUAUAUGAAAUUGAAAAACAUUUAGUUUUUUUAUUUAAUUUAUAAUUUUGUUUGGAUUAAUAAUUGAUAUUUGUAAGAUUUUUUAAUAUUAAAAAAAGUUAGCAUACUUAAGAAAGAUAUUCAAGAUCGGGAGUGUUUGAUAUUGGAUUAAUUUCCUUAUUUUCUCUAUUUUAAUAAAUUUUCAUGUCCAUUACAAAAUUUUUGUUGUUUAUAUUUUACUUCAAUAUUUUUAUUUUGUAAUAGACAUUUGAAAAGAUUUUUUCCUACAUGUUAAAAAAAAAAAAUGAACACUCCUAAAAAAGAAAUAUUGCAAUAAAAUUAAAGUUUACACUGUAGGACUAUUAGCAAGUGCUAUAUACUUAAAAUAGACCAAUUAAAGUAGAAAUACUUCUAAAAUUUUAAUUUAGGUAACAAUAAUAUAAAAAGAUAAUAUUUUUGAAACAAUAGUUCUCUUGGAGUUUUGGGUACGAUGGACUAGACUUUAUGUAACAAUAGAUAUAUGAACUUUCCAUUAACAUCUUGAGAGACAUGAUGAGGAGCAAAGUCAUCCUAGAAGGUACCAUAGAGGUACCUUAGCUCCAUUCAUCUAGACUACAUAAUGUUUAAAGAUCAAAUUCAAUGACUAGAUUUCAAAAAUCAAUAUAAGCUUUCUCAUAUUCUACUCUAUAUAAGACAAUGGUAUGAUACAUCUCUUGUGUCGUAGAAUGCACCAUGAAAACCUUAUCAUUUUAACAUCAGUUUGAAACUUAAAAGUCACUUAGCACAUUCUAGUUAUUAAUGUAAGAACAUUAAAAGAAAAUAUAAAAAAAGUUACUUUAUUCUUGUGAUUUUGAUCUAGGACUUUUAAUGAUAUUAAAAAAAAAAAAAAAAAACAGAAAAAUAAAUGGAAAUAAAAUCAACAAAUUAAACAAUUGAAUUAAGUUAGUUUAAUUUUUGCAUCGUUAAAUGGGUAAAUAAAGACUCUUAGAUUUGAUAUUAAUAUGAACAUCAUGACUUUAGUGAAUCUUACAAGAAAAUUUUAGUUUGAAAGACUUCAUUCAUUAAACGUGUGGCACAUAUUAAAGUAAAACUAAGUCUUCUCUAUAAUUUGUACCUAUCAUAGUUUCUUUCCUCAUAAAUAGCCUUUUUUGAAUAUAAUAUAGACUUCAACAUGUAUGGUGGGGCCGAUCAAACUACUAGUCAAGACAACUCAUGGGCAACAACGAUGUACCAACUAUAUUAAAUACUCUUCAUCUAUUUGCAUAUCAAGAGUAAUUUAGUAGUGUCUUUCUUAUGUACCUCGUAUCUAGACUUUCAAUGGAGAGUUCUUCAUCUAAAAAUUUGACUUGGGUUUUCAUAUUAGUUUUGGUUUAGACAUAUGGAUGCAAAGGUUGCAUCAAAGAAGAGAAGUAGGCUAAAUCAUCUUACAAAUUUUCAAGUUCAAAUUAGAUGCACCAAACAUAUGCAAUAUAUUUGAUAUAACUAAUAUUUUCUUAAGUAAUUGAAUACAAUUUUUUUUAUUUUAUAAAUUUACUUGAUUAUUAAUGAAUAACUACUUGUAUGAUAUUGACACAACUUGAUAAAACUUUUAAAAUAAUAUUAGAAUAACUUUGCUAAAAAAAAGUAAAAAUAAAAAUAAAAAUAUGUCUAUAUAUAUAAAAUUAAAUAAAAUUAAAAAUUAAAAAAGAAUAUAUAUAUAUAUAUAUAUAUUGUGUGUGUGUGUGUGUGUGCAUGGUCCCACAACUCAUUAGCUACUCAUAAGCUUUAUAUCACUUUCUCAAAGUCAAGUCAUUUUGUAAUUAUUUCUAUCUAGCCUUCUCCAUUACGACAACUGUAUAAGAUAUUGAUGGGUUGGAAAAAUCUUCAUGUCUUUUUUAAUAAGAUAGUUUUAUUAUUAUUAUUAUUAUUAUUAUUAUUAUUAUUAUUCAAAGAAUUUGAUUUUAUUAUUGAAACUUUCAAAUCCUUUAUGCCUAGUGGUCCUACAAUUCCCUAUUCAUUGGUAUUUCAUAUUACCAAUCAUUUUACAAAUAAGUUUAUUUCACCCGGUAAAUAUACUUAACUACUAAUGGUUUCAAAUUUAAUUGAUUAACACACUUAUAGAUGUAAUUUGUUUUUAAAUUUUAUUUUUUUAGAAGAAUUGUAGGUAAAAAUAUUUUAGGAAUAUGCGUUCAAUAAUUCUCUAAAAACAAUUUAUAUAGAUGGAAUACAUUCAUGGAAGUUCCAACUAAUGAAAUUUAAAACCAACGACGAUUUAAUGUAUUCUCACUAAAUCUUAGGGGAGGUGUACUAAAACUAGCCUUUUUACAAAUAUUUGUAGCUAGUAUAUUUGUAGUUAUGGUGUUGGAAGUUGAUCAUUUUCUUAAAGGCCUCUAUGAUAUUGGAAAUAUCGCCAAAGUUUUGAACUUUUUGUUUCAUCUAAAAAAAAUAUCAUUAAUUUAAUAUAUAUACUCUUUGCUUGAAAGUAUAGUUUCUUCAUAUAGUAUGAAGUUGUAGCUAGGUGACAAUAUUAGGUGAAAUUUUUUUGGUUUACUACAAAAUAUAAAUAAUAUAUUUAUUAUAUGAUAAAAUUUUGUAAAAUAUAUUAUUAUAGAUGCAAAAUUAUUAAUGGAGUUUUAUUUUUUACUAAAUUAUCAUUUCAAUAAUAAGAACUUAUUUGUUAAAAGAAAAUUAUAAAAUAUAUGCAGUUGAAAAAAUUUUAAUUUUUUUAUUUAAUUUGGUAUUUUAUUUGAAUUAAUAAUUGAUAUUUGUAAGAUAUUUUAAUAUUAAAAGAAGUUAACAUACUUAAAAAAGACAUUCAAAAUCAAGAGAGUAUUUGAUAUGAAAUUAAUUUAUUUAUUUUUUCUAUUUAAAUAAAUUUUUACAUCCAUUAAAAAAAUUUUAUUGUUUAUUUUUCACUUCAAUAUUUUUAUUUUGUAAAAGAAAUAGAAAUAAAAUCAACAAAUUAAACAAUUGAAUUAAGUUAGUUUAAUUUUGCCACCGUUAAAUUGGUAAAUGAAGACUCUUAUAUUUGAUAUUAACAUGAACAUCAUGACUUCAUUGAAUCUCACAAGAAAAUUUUAGUUUGAAAGAUUUUAUUCUUUAAUCAUGUGGCACAUAUUAAAGUGAGACCAAGUCUUCCCUAUAAUUUGUAUCUAUCACAAUUUCUUUCCUAAUGAAUAGCCUUUUUGAAUAGAAAAUAGACUUUAGCAUGCAUGGUGGGGCCUAGCUAUCAAACUACUAGUCAAAGCAACUCAUGGGCAAGAAUGAUGUACCAACUAGAUUAAGUAUUCUCCAUCUAGUUGCAUAUCAAGAGUAAUUUAGUAGUAUCUUUCUUGUGUACCUCAUUUCUAGACUUUCAAUGGAGAGUUUUUUAUCUUAAAAUUUGAUGUGGGUUUUCAUACUAGUCUUGGUUCAGAUAUGUGAAUGCAAAGGUUGCAUCGAAGAAGAGAAGUAGGCUAAGUCAUCUUACAAAUUUUCAAGUUCAAAUUAGAUGCAUCAAACAUGUGCAACAUAUUUGAUAUAACUAAUAUUUUACCAAGCAACUAAAUACUUUAUAUAUAUAUAUAUAUAUAUAUAUAAAUUUAUUGAUGAUCAAUGAAUACACAUGUAUGGUAUUGACACGGUUUGAUAAAUCUUUUAAAAUAGUAUUAGAAUAACUUUGCUAAAAAAAGUAAAAAUAAAAAUAAAAAUACAUAUAUAUAUAUAUAUAUAAAAUAAAAAAUUUUAAAAGAAUAUAUAUAUAUUAGUGGUCCCACAACUCAUUAGCUACUCAUAAGCUUUAUAUCAUUUUCUUAAAGUCAAGUCAUUUACAAUUAUUUCUAUCUAGCCUUCUCCGUUGCGACAACUGUACAAGAUAUUAAUUGAUUGAAAAAAUCAUCAUGUCUUUUUUGAUAGGAUAGUUUUUUUUUUUAUUCAAAGAACUUUCAAAUCCUUUAUGUCUAGUGGUCCUACAAUUCCUUAUUCAUUGGUAUUUCAUAUUACCAAUCAUUUUACAAAUAAGUUAAUUUCACUCGGUAAAUAUACUUAACCACCAAUGGUUUCCAAUUUGUAACACUCUUAUAGAUGUAGUUUGUUUUUAAAUUUGAUUUUUUAGAAGAAUUGUAGGUAAAAAUAUUUUAGCUAUAUAUGUUCAACAAUUCUCUAAAAACAAUUUAUAUAGAUGGAAUACAUUCAUGGAAGUUCCAACUAAUGAAAUUUAAAACCAAUGAUGAUUUAAUGUAUUUGUACUAAAUCUUAGGGAGUGUGGACUAAAAUUAGCCCUUUUACAAAUAUUUAUAACUAGUAUAUUUGUAGUUGUGGUAUUGGAAGUUGAUCAUUUUCUUAAAAGGUUUACCAUUGAAGUUAGUUGAAUAUAAAGUUAGGUGAACUUUACCAUUGUUAAAUUGGUAAAUGAAGACUCUUAGAUUUGAUACUAACAUGUACAUCAUGACUUCAUGGAAUCUCUCACAAGGAAAUUUUAGUUUGAAAGACUUCAUCUUUUAAACAUGUGGCACAUAUUAAAGUGAGACCAAGUCUUCCCUAUAAUUUGUAUCUAUCACAAUUUCUUUCCUCAUAAAUAGCCUUUUUGAAUAGAAUUAAUAUAGACUUUAGCAUGCAUGAUGGGCCCCGUCAAACUAUUAGUCAAGAUAAUUUGUAGGUAAGAACGAUGGACCAACUAUAUUAAAUACUCUUCAUCUAUUUGCAUAUCAAGAGCAACUUAAUAUUGUCUUUCUUUUGUACUUCAUGUUUGAACUUUCAAUGGAGAGUUUGUCAUCUAAAUAUUUGAUGUGGGUUUUUAUACUACUCUUGGUUCAAAUAUGUGGAUGCAAAGGUUGCAUCAAAGAAGAGAAGAUGGGUUUGCUUGAAUUCAAGGCUUUUCUUAAAUUGAAUAAUGAGCAUGCAGAUUUUCUUCUCCCUUCAUGGAUAGAUAACAACACUAGUGAAUGUUGUAAUUGGGAGCGGGUUAUUUGCAAUCCCACCACAGGUCGAGUUAAGAAGCUUUUCCUCAACGAUAUAACGCGACAACAAAAUUUCUUGGAAGACGAUUGGUACCAUUAUGAAAAUGUCAAAUUCUGGUUACUAAAUGUCUCCCUAUUCCUUCCUUUUGAAGAACUUCACCAUCUAAACUUGUCUGCAAACUCAUUUGAUGGGUUUAUUGAGAAUGAAGGUAUGUUACCUCUCACCUUUAAAAUUUCUUUUCACUUAUACUCCAAACAUUCUAAAGGAACUACUAGCAUAUGUUCUUAAAAGUGUUCAGGUGGAGACCAAAUGGUCACUAGUAACUAUUGAAUUUAAUAUAAGAACAAUUACUAAUUAUUAAAAUUUAUAAUGUAAAUUAACAUUUAAACAAAACAAUAAAAAAAUUAUUAUUUUAGAAAACUAUAGAUUACAUUAGCCUUAUAUAUAUAAGCAUACUUGUAAUUUAUGCCAUCAUUUCACACUCAACCCAAUUAGUGGGAUUCAACUAAGAGUGAGCAAUUUCACAAUUAUUAAUUAACAAAAACACUUAGGCUCCCAUAUCCUUAUCCUUUUUGCUGAAUUGUCUUUCCUUAUCUUCCAUUCCUAAAAAGCUUGAUUUCUAUAUUCCAAAUUGAUAGAGAUUGGUUAAAGAAAGGUGAUCACAAAAUUUGACUAUUGCUUUCAAAUGAGGAAUCACCAUCUUCAAAAUUUCACAUUUAAAAAAAAAAAAAAAAAAAAAACUAGCCUCGGGUAAGGUCCAAGCCUUAUUGUUUUAAGCUGAUGUCGGGUUGGUUUAAUAAUGAACAGAGUAAAUCCCAACCCAUGACCAUCUACGCAUUUCCAAAUUCCACCCAUCCACAACCCAUUAAUAUGACAUUUUCAGGGACAAAAUUUAAUCAAUUAAACCUAUUAGAUGGAUUCUCCAUACAAUGUUAAAAUGAAUAUAAAAACUUUAAUUCAAAAAAUAAUUUCCUUUAUUUAGUUAGGAUUCAAAUUAUAGGGGCACAAAACAUGAAAAUUUUCAUGUUUAAAAUUCACAAAGAUCACAAAAGCUCUUUGAAGCUCUAUGGACUUUUUUAUUUCUAACAUUUAAACACAAAAAUCACCAAAUUGAAUUAGAAACUUGGAUGCAUAUUCUUAUAUUAAAGACAUGUAAGCUUACAUAUUUAAAUAUGAAGAUCUCAACUUGUAAUUACAUGCUUCUAAUUAAAGUUAUAUUACUCUAUUUUACAGGAUUUAAAGGGUUAUCAAGUUUAAAGAAAUUGGAGAUCUUGGACAUAAGUGGUAAUGAGUUUGACAAAAGUGCCUUAAAAUCUUUGGGCACAAUAACAUCACUCAAGACAUUGGCUAUUUGCAGCAUGGGACUGAAUGGAUCUUUUUCCAUUCGAGGCAUGUUAUAUGUCCACAUUGUUUCUUUGAAAUUAAGUAAAAUGUAUUUCUAACUUUUAAUGUUCCUUAGUUAAUCUCUCUUUUGAUUCAUGUUUGUUGCAGAAUUAGCUAGUUUGAGAAAUUUGGAAGUGUUGGAUCUAAGCUAUAAUGAUUUGGAAAGCUUUCAACUAUUGCAAGGUACUUCAUUAACUUGCUAAAAAAACUUAUGAUAUUUUGUUAUUAAAUUAAAGGUAAGAUUAACAAACAAUUUCUUCCCAUUAGUUACUUUUCUUUGUAAUAUCAUUAAAUUUGAUAUAAAAUAGUCUAAAUCAUCCUUUCAAUUUAUAAGUUUUAAUUAAAACGCAUCAAGCAUGCACAAGGUGUUUAAUAUAACUAAUAUUUUCAUAAGUAAUUGAAUUUUUUUUAUGAAUUAAUUAACUUGAUUAUCAAUAAAUACUUACAUGUAUAAGAUUAAUAUAGUUUCAUAAGUAUUUUAAAAUUGUCUUACAACACACACACACACACACAGAGGGAAAAUGAAAGGUAUGUGAUACAUUUAUGCUAUGUUUGGUUCCCAAAAAAAUUGAGGGAAAAUGAAAGGAGAAAAAAGUGGAGAGGAAAAGUAAAAGAAAAGAAAAAAAGUGAAGAAAAAUAUAAAAUUGAUUAAAGUAAAUACAUGUUACUUUAAACUUUUUUACUUAUUUUAAUUCUUCAAUGUAAGGAUGAAAGAUUUGAAAAUGCAUAAGUUUCUAAUUUUUUUAUUUUAUUUUAUAGUUUUUACAAUACAACCAAACAUACUAAAAUCAUUUUCUUUAAUUUUUUUUUCUUUUCUUAAUACUUUUCACGAACCCUUAAGUUAUGUUUGGUUUGCAGAAAAUAUGAGGAAUAGCAAAUAGAAAAGAAAAUUAGAAGGAAAGAAAAAAUGAAGUAAAAUAAAAAUAAAUUUAAAUUUAAUAAAUUAUUUUUAUAUGCUACUUUAAGCUUAUUUCACUUAUUUUAAAUUAUUUAAACUCAUUUCUAAUAAAUAAUAAUGGAAAUUGUAGAGAAGUUUGUGUUAUUCAAGCUUUGCAAUGACUUUUCAAGGUGAAGGAAAAUAUUCUUGCUGAAAUUGAAAAAGGAAAUACCUUCUUAAAUAGCCUAUUGACCGAAAACACAUUACCCUAACAUAUACACACACCUUUAUUAUUUAUACAAUCAUGUAAUACUUAAUCCAGUUAGUGGGAUUCUAGUGGUUGUUUCUAUCUUGGUUUCCAAUAUUUCUGAUUGAUAGUGUUCGAUUAAUGAAAUAUCAUAAAUUUUGACCCCAAUAAGGACCAAUCCCUAUUAAAUGUAAUUGGGUUAACCUAAGACUAAAUGCUAGACCCAACUAAUAAAAACCCAUCUGUUUGUUGGAGUCUAAAUAACCUGGCCUUAGGUAGAGCCCAUGCCUUAUUAUUUUAAGAUGUAGUCCAACUGGUUUAACACUAGAUUGAGUAAAGCCCAACUUAUGAGCAUCUGUGCAUUUCCAUCCAUCCACAACCUACUGGCAUGGAUAAACUUUGGUCAAUUAAACCUAUUAUAACUGUAUACAAAAUUUUAAGUUCAAAAGAUAAUUUUCCUUAUUUAGUUAGGAUUCAUAUUAAAAAGGCACAAAACAUGAAUUUUCAUGUUUAAAUUCACAAAUACCACGAAAGCUCCUUCAAGCUCUAUGGACCAUUUUAUUUGUAACAUUAUAUUACUCUUAAUUAUCAAAUUAACCAACAAAUUCUUCUCAUUACUUAUCUUUCUUUUGUAAUGUCAUAAAAUUUGAUGUAAAGUAGUAUUGGUCAUCAUUUCAACUUUCAGGUUCCAAUUAGAUGCAUCAAGCAUGUGCAACAUAUUUGAUAUAACUAAUAUUUUUAUAAGUAAUUGAAUUUUUUUUUUCUAUAAAUCAAUUAACUUGAUUAUCAAUGAAUACUUUCAUACAUGAUAUUGAUGUAGUUUCAUAAAUAUUUUAAAAUAGUCAUAGAAGUCUUUUAUCUGAUUCACUAGAAAGAAAAAUAAACUAUUCUAAUGAAAAUACUUGAUGAUUUGAAGUGAUUGCUUUUGAUUUUAUUUGAUUGCUACCAUUAUUAAUUGUUAGAAAUUGGCAACAAAUACCCAUUUUGCAUCACUUCUAUAUGCAUCGGGGGAAUGAAUUAUAUUUCAUAGAGCUAACAGGGCAAAACUCAAACUUUUGGAAUUAUGGAAAAUGUUGCUAGAAAGCUAAUUAACCAUUUAUAUUAUGAUUAAGACUAGUUGGGUUAGAAAUAAUUCAUAUGGAGAUUAAAAAAAACUAUGUAAUUUAGUUUAGUAGCUUGGGUGCUAUUGUAAUGAUUAAUGAUCUGCAACUUGAACACAUCUACUAGUGCUUUCUACUUGUAUAGCUAAAUUUAUGUUACCACUUUGAACUAGAGUACUUACAUGAGAAGAAAGCUUUUCCCUAGUGAUAAUGCAAAAGAAAUUAAGUAUCAAUUUUUGUUAAAAAUAACAAGUGAUAGUUUAGAUAUGGUUUGAAUACACUUUCUUUCUUCUAUUUUUUUAUUUUGAAAAAAAAAACUCUUUAAUGAAAUAUAAGAAAUCUUAUAUGUAUAAAAAUUAAAGACUUAAACAAAAAAAUUUGAAAUUUUGAAAAUUUUCGAGAAGUAUUUUUAAGAAUUUGUAUUUUUAGUAUAAUAAUUCCUAUAUUUUGUAUAAAAGUUUUUGUUUAAAAAAAUAGAAGUGUAUCCAAAUUACAAAUUAAUUGUUAAAUUAAGAAUGUUUCUCAGAUCAAGAGAUAAUGAAAGUUGUAGAGAGUUUGCAUUACUCAACCUUUGCAAUUACUUUUUGAAGGUAAAAAAAAAAUACCUUCCUACAUAACAUACAAUGGUAGGUUCUGGUUUGUAAGAAACUAAUAAAUGAUUAAGAAUAUGAAUAAGACUUCCUUUAUAAUAGAUAUGUAGAGAAGAAUAGUGGAUGAUAGGUGGUGAAAAUCUUGUAAUAAAAUAUCAAUAUCGGUUAUAAGAUAAUCAACAUUUUCUCUAUUUCUUGUACCUAUGUGAUUAAGAAUCUUGUAGCUCCCUUAUUGAAAUAUAAUAUAAAAAUAUAAAUAAACUAUUUAGAAGUGCAUGUAGUUUUCAACAUGAGGAAGUUCAAAAGCAAGUUAAUUAUGAUAAUUUUCCAUAGUCUAUAUUGAACACAAAUUAUUUUUACUAAAGGUUCAAUCGUUCUAUGAAGGUUAAAAGUUUGAAUUGUUUACAUAUGCAAAUGUGAAAUUUGAAAGUUUAUAAUUUUUUAUAAUUUUCUUGUAGAUUCAAAAAGCUUGUCCAUAUUCAAAAAGCUCGAGACCUUGAACCUCAAUUACAACAAGUUCAAAAACACUAGCCUACAACAAUUGGAUAUAUUUACAUCCCUUAAAAAUCUUUCUCUAAGAUGGAACAAUGUUGGAGGAUUUUUUCCUAUCCAAGGUAUGUGUAAUUAUUAUUAUUAUUAUUUUUAAUGAUGAAAUAUUAGAAUUGUCAACAUCUUUUAUCUUUUUUUCCCCUCAAUGGUGUUGCAGAAUUAUGCACUCUGGAAAACUUGGUGAUGUUAGACCUAAGUGGGAAUUUCUUUUUUGGCAUGCAAGGUAAAUACAAAGUGAAGUUUUGGUUAUAUAUAUAUAUAUAUAUAUAUAUAUAUAUAUCAUGUAAGAACAUAACUAAAAUCAACAUUAUUUGCCUAUCAAUUUGUGCAUGACUAUUAUUUAGUUAUUCUUCGUAACAUAAUUGAAAGAAUGUCUAGGUGUACAACAUUUAAGAAUUUUACAUGGCACAAUGAAAAACAUGGUAAUCAAUGUGUGCAAUAAAAUUCUAAUAGUUGAAAAAGAAUUUUCUUGUAAUUUUAUGUUCAUGUAUAGUAAUCAAAGAGAAAAUCAUGAAAAUGUAUAUUAGUUAGACUUUAUAUAUCAAUAGACAAAAAAGAAAGAAAAAAAAAGAUUAGUUCCUUAACUUAUCCUAAAAUUUUCUAGAUAACAAGGAGUUUUUUUAUUUUGGGCUAUAAGGUUUACAACCUGAAAAGUGAAGAUGAUUAAUAUUAGUAAUAAAAUUUUAAAAUAUAAAAAUUAGUGAAAUAAUGUUCUCUAUAACUAUAACUCCAACUGCAACUAUUAAUAAAAGAUAAUAAAGGUACUUUAGACUUUGAAUCCAUGGUUAGGUUUGCAAUUUUUUGAUGAUCAAUAAAGCUACAACUUAUGCUGCAAAAGGCUAUACAAAAUGUAUUAGGAGCAUUGCUAAGCUCAUUUAUCAAUAAAGGAAAUCCAGUAAUACUUUGAUUGGAAAAAACCUAGAAUCAUGUUUGAUAUAUAAUAGGUGAAGAAACAAAAUAACAAUUCCAUGGUAUUAGUUAGUUUGAUAUCUCUUUUGUUAUAUGGAAUAACUAUUCCAUUUUAAAAUAAUUAUUUCAUCUUAUCGCUAGAACAAAAAAUUUCAGGCGAUUAUAUGGGCUUUUGGGUUUCUUAAGAAUUUAAGCAUUUAUGGGUCACCCAUAUAUAUAUAGGAAGAAUAAAAAAAAAAAUAUUCUAUGGAGACAAGGGUAGACACCCAUAAAUGUACAUAUAAUUAUUUAAAUAAAAAUAUCAAUAAGAAACAAUAUACAACAAAAUAGAAAAUUUUAAUCUUCCUAAAUUUUAAAAAUAGAAAAUAAAUGAAAAAAAAUUAAAAAGUAAAAAAAAAAAAAAAAAAAGGUCAAGAAUACAAAUAGAUAAGUAAACAAAAUAUAAAAAAAAUACAUAAAUUAAAAUUAAAAUUUUUUUAAAAAAAAUACAUAGAUUAAUAUGAACACUAAAUGAGGUUUUUUGAGAUAGACUUAGUUAGACUUGAACUAGAUGGAUAUUAAAAAAAAUAAAAAUAAAAAUUCAAAGAAAUAAAAACUAAUUAGAUGCUAAAUAUUGGAUUAAAAUAACCAAAUGAAUAAAGAGUAAUUAUUAAUUUUUAACAUUUUUUAUUCCUUAGAAUUAUUAUUUUGUGUAUUAAAUGUAUUAUGAGUGUAGUGGUAUAAAAAAUGUAGUUAAGAAUACUAUGAAGAAUAAUAAUGGUGAUGAUAAUGGUGACGACACUUAAUACCUUUUAUUGUACAUUUAGAAAAAAUGAGGUUCUUGAUCUUUAUGAAGAUUAUCAUUACUCAUCCGCAAGCAUGUUGAUAGUUGAAACUACUCAAUUAUCAAAAAUUGAAUUUCUAACCUUCAAUUUUUCUCUCUCAAAUGUAUAUGUGGGUGAGAAAGCACUAGGUAGGUUAUAAGGUCUCACAUGUAUAUGAGUCAUAGGAUAAAAAAUAUAGAGACAAUACUAGCAUUUAUUUGAUCCAGUGGCAAAUAGAGAAAUAUAACAUAACCAUAACCAUAAUGUUCUAACCUUAUAUAUACCAGAACCAUGUUUCCUUCAUUCAAUUUUGCAACUUUUUCUUUUCAAAUUAGAAUGUAACUCGUAGGAUCCAUUGUCCAUCAAAAUUUUGAAUCGAAUAUUAUAAGAUAUUUCACAUUUCUACCUACUAAAGCAUGAGCUUCAAUGUUCUCAUGCACUUUUGGCUACUAAGUUAAAGAACUCUUUGAGGGUUAAUGGAGUUUCUAUGAGUAGCAAAGCAUUAUAAUCACAAAGUCUUAUCAGUGAUAUGCAAUUUAACCAAGAACUUAUUCCCAACUAUUUUAUGACUUUUCUUGGCUACUUGUAGGCAAGCUAAAGAAAUUUUCUGGUUUGUUCAAGUCUAAAAAGUGGUUUCAAGUUUAGGGCCAAGCUUGGGCUGCACCUAGGUCCUUGGGCCUUAUUCAGCUCCACGUUUAAACCAACCUUGAGUCCAUCUUUGUAAUUUUUCUCCCAAUUCAUUGAUUUAUAUUAGGAUUUUAUAAAGCCUAUAAAUUGACCAACUAAAUAAAGUAGGUUCAUAAACUUUUAGGUGAAAAUUUUCUCUCUAAUAAAUGUUAAUUCAAGAGUCUCCGUAAUCUUUUUAUAUUCAUAUUAAUUGGUAUUUAAACUGACCUUACUAUAUUAAAGUCAAAUACCAAAUAGUGAACACUAUAUCUGCUACUACCACUAUGAUGGUCACAAACAUAGAAUGCUCCUUUUUUUAGAGUCAAUUGAUGCUUAUAAACAACAACUUUGUUUGAAAAUAAAAUACAUCGAGUGAUUGCAUCAAGAGAUUGAUGUAAUAAUUGCAUACUUGAUCUUGAUAAUGCUGAGUUGACUAAAUAAAUGAGUAUUUACUUAUAAGGUAGCCCAUAGAACAUUAUUUGUGGAAAUAUUCAUGCACCUCUACAUAUGUUCAUGAUAACUUAGGUUGAUAAAUUUAAGAAGAACAAAUUCAUAACCUUGGGCAUAGUUAGUAAGAAAUUUCACCAAUAGAGUUUGGUAUCAUGAUUCUAAUUGUUCAAAUUGUUUUAAAGGAGUAUUUUAAAUUGCAUGUUAAUUUGCUUCUAAUAAAUGGAGAGAAACCAAUUCAAGAAGAGAAUUGUACUCAAGCUAUGUAUAACAUUCAUGAAGAUGUAGAAAAUAUUGAUGAACUUACUUUUGAGCAAGUUGAAAUCAUAAUUAAAUAAAAGAACAAACCCAAGGGUUAAGAUUGUCAAGUAAAACUUUAACUAAAAUUUAUUGAUUUUUUAAAUGCCUAUUAGAGGGACAAUAGAAGUUCUAGAUAAAAAGUAAGAACUUUUCUAAGGAAUCACUUGUUAGAUUUUAAGUGAUCAAUAAAUAUAAUGUCCAAUUUAAAACUUUUAUAAAAGCAAUGCUUCUAAAGAAUAACUUGAUUUGAAUUUAAAGUUAUUAUUGAUAUUUGUUUAUAAUGGAUGUAGUUAAUCAACUGAACAUAGUAAAAAACACAUAAAUUUUUCAAAAUACCUUCUAGUUGUUGGGUAUAUUUAAAUAGUCAUCCAUAUCUCAUUAUCUUUUCACUCACAUACUAAUCUCCUUAUUGAGUAUUUACCAAUUACAAGUAGGUUGAAAGUUACUUGAAUUUAAGUCACUAAUCAAUGUUAACUUGAUAACAAAUAAGUCUCUCUUUGAAACUUGUUUUACAAGAUAGCGAAAUGUAGUCGAUCAAUCAUCAAAACAAUGUUCAAGCAUUAGGAUUUAGUUGUUAAUUUUUAUUUUUAUUUUUUGUGCUUAAACAAAGACAAAAAUGAUAAAAACUCCUUAAAAGUACAUAGUAAUUGAAUUUAAUUUAUACAUCAAACAAGAACAAACUAGUCUUGGAUUUAAAAUUCAUCAGGUUUUGUAAUUAUAAUUCCUAAAAAUUUGUAAGACAACAAAAUUAUUGGGCACUAGGUUAUUGGGUGUGUAUGACUAAGAGGUGAAGGAGGGUUCAUCUUAUACAAAGGAUGAUUUGAUUAAUUUUAAAGAUUGGAUAAACAAUAAUUGCAUAUUCAAGUAAAAAUAACAUUGCUAAAAAGGAAAAUAAGUAUUUUAGUCCUCAAACCUAAAAUGGCUAAAAAUUUUAAUUAAUACAAUACAACUUCACCUACAAAAGAAAAAAAAAACCCAAAACUUUUCAAUAGCACAACUAAGUCCAUUUAUCAAAAAAAAGAAAUAUAAGGAAGUUGGACUCAUUUACUAGCAAUUUAACAUAUGACUAAAACCUAUUGAAGAAUUUGCAAUAGCACUUACUUUGGUCAUGUCCAAACUUAUUGCACAUGGUGCAAAAAGGGGUAGUGCUCGAGGAUGCUUCCACAUAAGAAAGACCCUACUUAACUGUUACAAAGGUUAUUUUCCCACUUGUGGGAAUGCUAACCUUGCUAAUAUAUUAUAUGCCAUGUUUAUCAUAUACAAAUUUUUCUUUACUAAAUAUUUCUUUAAUGAUCUUGGACCUAAAAUUAAAUAUUUCAUUAGUAUUGGUCAUGUCGUUCCUCAACUUUUCAACUUUUAGAGUUAAAUCUUUAUCUUUAUCAUUGAUAGUUUUAUGUUUAGUCCCUAGAAACUUCACCUUAUUAACAAUAUGUUCAUUUAAUAUUUUGAUAUUUUUAAUUUUCAAAGAAUCAUAGAGCUCAUUAAUUUUAAUGUCUUUUUAUUCACUUUUAUGCUUUCAACCUUUGUUUUUAGUUUUCCUAUAAUAAUGCAUCAUAGACCCCAUGUAUAUCAUUAAAAUAAAACUCAUUUUUUUCAUUAGGAUUCAAUUAACCCAAUGGAUCAUAAUCAAAAUUAGUUGCAUAUGAACAAAAGCAAUAAGAUUAUCAUUUUGUACAUCUUUACUUUCAUUUGAGUUCUUAGCCCUACAAUCAUCAAACAUGGAAUUACUCCAAGUUACCUACAUAGCCUUCAUACCUAAUGUUUUUAAGGCAAGGACAAUCAACAACCAUGUGUCCCAUUCCCCCAAUGGUUCACUACGAAAUCAAGGUACAUAUGUUAUGCUUUCUUUGUUUCAUAGUGAUUAGAGAGGAUAAACAUUGUAAAAAAAAAAGUUGUCAUAGUUAAUGUAAGCUAAAACUAAAAAACUUGCUUUUUCAAUUGUGUAAGCAUGUUUUGUUCUUGAUGAAUAUUUACAACAUUCAGAGUUACUAAUGUUUAUAAUUCACAGAGACCUCAUUAACAACAAGUAACAACUAAUUGUAAGUAACCAUGAAAAAAAAAUAAGGAGAAAAAUAAAGGAAAAUCAAGGAAAGUGUCAAAUUUUUUCAUCCCCAUAAAAAAUGCUAAGGAAGAAAAAUGUGAAGAAAGUUUAAAGAAAGUAUAUUUUUCAAAAAUUGAAUUUUCUUUCCCUUAAAGUUGGUAUGGACAACCAAACAAGAAAAUGAUUUUUAAAUUCUUUUUUGACCUUUUUCUAUCAUUCUUUUUUUUUUCCCCCUACUCUAUUUCCUUUCCCUCAAACUUUCUAGGUAGUAAACAUUACCUAAGAUAAAUAGGGAAGAAAAUAUUUUAUCAUUUAUUUAUUUAGUAUUUUUCUUACCUUUUUUUGUAUUUUAUCCAAAUAUAAGAAAACUACUUUUCUUUAUUUUUUCUUUUCCUUGUUGCUUUUCAAGAAUCAAGCAUACUUUAAACUCUAAUUAAGAGUUACAUAGAUUUACAGAGAAACAAUGCAACUAGUAACAAAAAAUUAAGGAAAUUUAAUUUUUUAAUUUUUGAGAGUAAGUAUAAUAAGAUUGGUUUGUUUGAUACAAAAUUUGAAUAAAAAUUAUUUUAAUGAAAAUUCAAGGAAAGGAAAAAAAAAAAAAAAAACUUGAUCUCUAGACUAUAAUACUAAAUCAAUUAAAAAAUCUCCUAACAUCGUUUAUGUUCAUCUUUUUUUUUUUAUGGAUUUGAAAAACCCAAUAAUUUGGAGAAAACUGAUUCAAGGAAGAAUAAUUUUUAGAAUAAAAUAUUAUUAUUUAAGAAGAUCAUAAAUUUUAUAGUCAUUGUUGAAAAUGAUAAAUGAUUAAAAAAAAAAAGGUAGUUGGAAAUUUAGAUACUUUUAUAAGACAAAUGCAUUUUUCUAGUCUGGUAUGAAAAAAGGUAAAAUGAUAGGCUUUGAUCAUUUUUCAAGUUAGUUUGUUUAAAUCAUUUUAAUUUAUUUUGAUUUAAGAACAAUAACUUUUAUUACACUAGUUAUUUUGAUUUUCUUUUGAUAGAUUUUGCAAGCUUAAGCAAUUUGGAGCUAUUGGAUUUGAGUUAUAAUUUAUUUAGUGGGAGCAUUCCAUCAUCUAUAAGAUUGAUGUCUUCUAUCAAGUCUUUAUCCUUGGCUGAAAAUUACCUCAAUGGUUUCUUAGCAAAUCAAGGUACAUAUAUUGUGAUUACAGGUUUUUCUAUUUUCUUUUUUAAUAUCUUGUUUGUUCUUUAUGCCAAUUAAGUCAUGCAUGUCUAUUAAUUUUUGGUAUUUAAUGAAAAACUUUAUUCUUAAUUCAUAAAGACCUCAUCAACUAUAAGUAACAGUUAGUUCUAAGUUUGGGGGCAUUGACAAGACGAGGAGAUGAUUGGUUACAUGUCUUAUUCUCUUUUGUUGGCUUUUGCCAAUUGAAUAAGUUUCAAGAAUUAGAUUUUUCUUACAACUUAUUCCAAGGAAUCCUUCCUCCAUGUUUGAAUAAUUUGACAUCUUUGAGGUUAUUGGAUCUCUCUUCCAACCUAUUCUCCGGAAAUCUUUCUUCCCCUCUGUUACCUAAUCUCACAUCCCUGGAGUACAUCGAUCUCAGUUACAAUCAUUUUGAGGGUUCAUUCUCUUUCAGCUCUUUUGCUAAUCACUCCAACUUUCAAGUGGUCAAACUUGGAAGGAAUAACAACAAAUUUGAGGUAGAAACUGAAUAUCCAGUUGAUUGGGUUCCCCUAUUUCAGUUGAAAGCUCUUAUGCUAUCCAACUGUAAGCUCAUCGAUGACCUUCCUGGUUUUCUUCGACACCAAUUAAGAUUAACCGUGGUUGAUCUCUCCCAUAAUAACUUGACUGGAAGUUUCCCCAUUCAGCAGCUUGAAAACAAUACAAGACUAGGAUCUCUAGUUUUGAGGAAUAACUCUUUAAUGGGUCAACUACUUCCCCUGAGACCUAAUAGUCGUAUCACUUUAUUGGAUAUCUCAGACAACCGACUUCAUGGGGAACUUCAACAAAAUGUGGCCAAUAUGAUUCCAAAUAUUGAGUUUCUAAAUUUAUCCAACAAUCUUCCCCUUCAUUUCAUCCAUAUUUGGAUCUACCUUUAAAUCUCUAUUGCAUACAACCCAUAUAUGAUUCCCUCUAAAUUUAGCCUUCAUUUCUUGUUAAGAGGUUUUAAAAGCCAGCAAUUUAAUUUACUUUCAUCCUCUAUAUAGAUGAGAACUCUUAUAUUUAUCCAAUGAUAGGUAACAUUUUUGCAAAUGCUUUUAUUUGAUUUUUUUAAUUGGUCUUAAAAAUAAGUGUUAAUAAAGAUCCACAAUAUAAAAUAAUAAAUUAUAUCUCAAUUGACCUCAAGAUACUAUUUACUUCUACUAACUCAUUUUACAUCUCAAUUGUUCUUAAAAAGUCUAUAAUGGUAAUUAACUAUAGAAUUCAAGUUUUAAUUAUGCAAAAAAUAUAUAAAGGUUUUUAAAAUUAAUAGAAAAAAAGAUUCUAAUAAAUAAUAAGUAGAUUGAAACAUUUAUUUCUAGAAGUAGAGAAAGAUGGAGGAUCAUAAAAGUUGAAAAAAGAAUAAUUUGGAAGUCAUAAAAUUUUGGAAAAAGAAUAAUUCAUAGAGACCUCAUUAACAACAAGUAACAACUAAUUGUAAGUAACCAUGAAAAAAGUAAGGAGAAAAAUAAGGGAAAAGCAAGGAAAGUAGCAAAUUUUUUCAUCCCCAUAAAAAAAUGAUAAGGAAGAAAAAAGUGAAGAAAGUUUAAAGAAAGCAUAUUCUUCAAAAAUUGAAUUUUCUUUCCCUUAAAAUUGGUAUGGACAACCAAACAAGAAAAUGAUUUUUAAAUUCUUUUUUGACCUUUUUCUAUCAUUCUUUUUUUUCCCCCUACUCUAUUUCCUUUCCCUCAAACUUUCUAGGUAGUAAACAUUACCUAAGAUAAAUAGGGAAGAAAAUAUUUUAUCAUUUAUUUAUUUAGUAUUUUUCUUACCUUUUUUGUAUUUUAUCCAAAUAUAAGAAAACUAUUUUUCUUUAUUUUUUCUUUUCCUUGUUGCUUUUCAAGAAUCAAGCAUGCUUUAAACUCUAAUUAAGAGUUACAUGGAUUUACGGAGAAACAAUGCAACUGGUAACAAAAAAUUAAGGAAAUUUAAUUUUUGAGAGUAAGUAUAAUGAGAUUGGUUUGUUUGAUACAAAAUUUAAAUAAAAAUUCUUUCAAUGAAAAUUCAAGGAAAGGAAAAAAAAACAAAUUUAUCUCUAGACUAUAAUACUAAAUCACUUAAAAAAAACUCCUAACAUCGUUUAUGUUCAUCUUUCUUUUUAUGGAUUUGAAAAACCCAAUAAUUUGGAGAAAACUGAUUCAAGGAAGAAUAAUUUUUAGAAUAAAAGAUUAUUAUUUAAGAAGAUCAUAAAUAUUAUAGUCAUUGUUGAAUAUGAUAAAUGAUUAAAAAAAAAAAAGGUAGUUGGAAAUUUAGAUACUUUUAUAAGACAAAUGCAUUUUUCUAGUAUGGUAUGAAAAAAAGGUAAAAUGAUAGGCUUUGAUCAUUUUUUAAGGUAGUUUGUUUAAAUCAUUUUAAUUUAUUUUGAUUUAAUAACAAUAACUUUUAUUACACUAGUUAUUUUGAUUUUCUUUUGAUAGAUUUUGCAAGCUUAAGAAAUUUGGAGGUAUUGGAUUUGAGUUAUAAUUCAUUUAGUGGGAUCGUUCCAUCGUCUAUAAGAUUGUUGUCUUCUCUCAAGUCUUUAUCUCUGGCUGGAAAUCACCUCAAUGGUUCCUUAGCAAAUCAAGGUACAUAUAUUGUGAUUACAGGUUUUUCUAUUUUCUUUUUUAAUAUCUUGUUUGUUCUUUAUGCCAAUGAAGUCAUGCAUGUCUAUUAAUUUUUGGUAUUUAAUAAAAAACUUUAUUCUUAAUUCAUGAAGACCUCAUCAACUGUAAGUAACAACUAGUUGUAAAUUUGGGGGCAUUGAUAAGACGAGGAGAUGAUUGGUUACAUGUCUUAUUCUCUUUUGUAAGCUUCUGCCAAUUGAAUAAGCUUCAAGAGUUAGAUUUUUCUUACAACUUAUUCCAAGGGAUCCUUCCUCCAUGUUUGAAUAAUUUGACAUCUUUGAGGUUAUUGGAUCUCUCUUCCAACCUAUUCUCCGAAAAUCUUUUUUCCCCUCUGUUACCUAAUCUCACAUCCCUGGAGUACAUCGAUCUCAGUUACAAUCAUUUUGAGGGUUCAUUCUCUUUCAGCUCUUUUACUAAUCACUCCAACCUUCAAGUGGUCAAACUUGGAAGGAAUAACAACAAAUUUGAGGUAGAAACUGAAUAUCCAGUUGGUUGGGUUCCCCUGUUUCUGUUGAAAGCUCUUGUCCUAUCCAACUGUAAGCUCAUCGGUGAUCCUGGUUUCCUUCGACACCAAUUAAGAUUAACCGUGGUUGAUCUCUCCCAUAAUAAUUAGACUGGAAGUUUCCCCAUUUGGCUGCUUGAUAACAAUACAAGACUAGGAUCUCUAGUUCUGAGGAAUAACUCUUUAAUGGGUCAACUACUUCCCCUGAGACCUAAUAGUCGUAUCACUUUAUUGGAUAUCUCAGACAACCGACUUCAUGGGGAACUUCAACAAAAUGUGGCCAAUAUGAUUCCAAAUAUUGAGUUUCUAAAUUUAUCCAACAAUCAUCCCCUUCAUUUCAUCCAUAUUUGGAUCUACCUUUAAAUCUCUAUUGCAUACAACCCAUAUAUGAUUCCCUCUAAAUUUAGCCUUCAUUUCUUGCUAAGAGGUUUUAAAAGCCAGCAAUUUAAUUUACUUUCAUCCUCUAGAUUGAUGAGAACUCUUAUAUUUAUCCAAUGAUAGGUAACAUUUUUGCAAAUGCUUUUAUUUGAUUUUUUUAAUUGGUCUUAAAAAUAAGUGUUAAUAAAGAUCCACAAUAUAAAAUAAUAAAUUACAUCUCAAUUGACCUCAAGAUACUAUUUACUUCUACUAACUCAUUUUACAUCUUAAUUGUUCUUAAAAAGUCUAUAAUGGUAAUUAACUAUAGAAUUCAAGUUUUAAUUAUGCAAAAAAUAUAUAAAGGUUUUUAAAGUUAAUAGAAAAAGAGAUUCUGAUAAAUAAUAAGUAGAUUGAAACAUUUAUUUCUAGAAGUAGAGAAAGAUGGAGGAUCAUAAAAGUUGAAAAAAGAAUAAUUUGGAAGUCAUAAAAUUUUGGAAAAAGAAUAAUUCAUAGAGACCUCAUUAACAACAAGUAACAACUAAUUGUAAGUAACCAUGAAAAAAGUAAGGAGAAAAAUAAAGGAAAAUCAAGGAAAGUGACAAAUUUUUUCAUCCCCAUAAAAAAUGAUAAGGAAGAAAAAGGUGAAGAAAGUUUAAAGAAAGUAUAUUUUUCAAAAAUUGAAUUUUCUUUCCCUUAAAGUUGGUAUGGACAACCAAACAAGAAAAUGAUUUUUAAAUUCUUUUUUGACCUUUUUCUAUCAUUCUUUUUUUUUUCCUUACUCUAUUUCCUUUCCCUCAAACUUUCUAGGUAGUAAACAUUACCUAAGAUAAAUAGAGAAGAAAAUAUUUUAUCAUUUAUUUAUUUAGUAUUUUUUUUACCUUUUUUUGUAUUUUAUCCAAAUAUAAGAAAACUAUUUUUCUUUAUUUUUUCUUUUCCUUGUUGCUUUUCAAGAAUCAAGCAUACUUUAAACUUUAAUUAAGAGUUACAUAGAUUUACGGAGAAACAAUGCAACUGGUAACAAAAAAUUAAGGAAAUUUAAUUUUUGAGAGUAAGUAUAAUGAGAUUGGUUUGUUUGAUACAAAAUUUGAAUAAAAAUUCUUUCAAUGAAAAUUCAAGGAAAGGAAAAAAAACAAAUUUAUCUCUAGACUAUAAUACUAAAUCACUUAAAAAAAACUCCUAACAUCGUUUAUGUUCAUCUUUCUUUUUAUGGAUUUGAAAAACCCAAUAAUUUGGAGAAAACUGAUUCAAGGAAGAAUAAUUUUUAGAAUAAAAGAUUAUUAUUUAAGAAGAUCAUAAAUAUUAUAGUCAUUGUUGAAUAUGAUAAAUGAUUAAAAAAAAAAAAGGUAGUAGGAAAUUUGGAUACUUUUAUAAGACAAAUGCAUUUUUCUAGUAUGGUAUGAAAAAAAGGUAAAAUGAUAGGCUUUGAUCAUUUUUUAAGGUAGUUUGUUUAAAUCAUUUUAAUUUAUUUUGAUUUAAUAACAAUAACUUUUAUUACACUAGUUAUUUUGAUUUUCUUUUGAUAGAUUUUGCAAGCUUAAGCAAUUUGGAGGUAUUGGAUUUGAGUGGUAAUUCAUUUAGUGGGAUCGUUCCAUCGUCUAUAAGAUUGUUGUCUUCUCUCAAGUCUUUAUCUCUGGCUGGAAAUCACCUCAAUGGUUCCUUAGCAAAUCAAGGUACAUAUAUUGUGAUUACAGGUUUUUCUAUUUUCUUUUUUAAUAUCUUGUUUGUUCUUUAUGCCAAUGAAGUCAUGCAUGUCUAUUAAUUUUUGGUAUUUAAUAAAAAACUUUAUUCUUAAUUCAUGAAGACCUCAUCAACUGUAAGUAACAACUAGUUGUAAAUUUGGGGGCAUUGAUAAGACGAGGAGAUGAUUGGUUACAUGUCUUAUCACUACUACAAAAAUUGAAAUUAAUGACGCUUUAUUUUAUGACGCUUUCUAAAAGCGUCAUUAUUGAGGGUAUACAAUGACGCUUAUAAGAAGUGUCAUAGUUGUAUUAUUUAUCUUGAUACUGAUUAUAAGUGUCAUUAUUUGAUGUCAUCUUUUUCCUUGUAACUGUGUAUAUAAUGACGCUUAUAAGAAGCGUCAUAGUUUUAUUAUUUACCUUGACACUUAUUAUAAGCAUCAUUAUUUGAUGGGUAUGUAAUGACGUUCUUGAGAAGUGUCAUAGUUGUAUUGACUUUUAAAAUUUUUGUUUUUAAGUUAACUUAUACAAAUUUUGAUAUUAGAAUAUUAUUCUAUAAAUUAAUUAUGGUAAAUUGACAUUAAUAUUAAUGACAUAAAGUUGCUACAUUAAGGUUUUUUUAAAAAAAUUUGGAUAUAAAUAAAAUAAAAUCCUAAUAAAUUAUUUUUUUAUUGUUUGAUAUUAAUUUUUUUAUAGUUUGUAUCAAUACAAUCUAUUUUCAUAAACUAUUUUUCAUUUUUAUUAAAUUAGAAAUUAUCUUAUAUUUCAUUUAAAAAUAAUUUGUUAAUUUAUUUGUGGACCACAAAAAAGUGGCCUAUUUUGAGCACUUGUUCGAGCCUUGGGCCACAUUUAUUGGGUUUAACCCUUUUAUUUGAGAAGGUUUUAUAGUUAAUGAAUAUAAAUUUGAAAUUAUUUAACUAAAAUGAAAUAAAUUAAUAUUUAAAUUAAUUUAAUGAUGAUUAGACUCACAAUAAAACUAAAUGCAAUAAGAAUAUUUAUAAAAACUUUCUAAUAUUUAUGGGAAUUAAGCUCAUUCUAUUAAAUUAGUUUUUUUUUUAAAUAUCAAUAUUCAAAUUAAACCAAUAUCAACCUAAAAUAUCAAAUAAUUAAACAAUAUAAAUUUAUUAUGAGUUCAAUAUAUAAAAAUUAUUAUUGGAAGAUGAAAUAAAGAAUACUAUUUUAAUUUAUUGAAAAAGGACAUGCAUGAUAUUUUAGAAUUUGUUAUAAAGUCUCCAUUGAAAACCCUAACUUUUGGAAGACAAGAAAGAAGGGAGAGAGCCACCGUUUUUAGUGAGAAAGAAGAGAAGAGAGAAAAAUGCAAGUUUUUCUCAUCAGGCCCAGAUUUCAUCAAAGGUCUGAUCCCACUUUGUCCGUGGUCCGAUCGAGCUGAAAUUUGGAGGAGAGUUUCGUGACUCAUUUAUCUUCAAUCUGAACGGUGAAGAUCGGAUUUGGAGUUUCGGAAAGUCAUUAGAAAGAAAGAGGAGAAGAGAGAAAAACGUAGGUUUUUCUCAUCAUGCCCAGAUUUUAUCAAAUGUCCGAUCCCGCUUCGUCCGUGGUCCGAUCGAGUUGAAAUUUGAAGGAGAGGUUUGUGGCUCAUGUAUCUUCAAUAUGAACGGUGGAGAUCUGAUUUGGAGUUUCGGACAGUCAUUAGAGAGAAAGAGGAGAAGAGAGAAAAACUUAGGUUUUUCUCAUCGUGCCCAGAUUUCAUCAAAUGUCUGAUCCCGCUUCGUCCGUGGUCCGAUCGAGUUGAAAUUUGAAGGAGAGGUUCGUGGCUCAUGUAUAUUCAAUAUGAACGGUGGAGAUCGGAUUUGGAGUUUUGGACAGUCAUUAGAGAGAAAGAGGAGAAGAGAGAAAAACAGUGGUUUUUUUAUAUCAUGCCCAGAUUUCAUCAAAGGUUCAAUGCCGCUUUUUUCAUGGUCUGAUUGAGCUGAAAUUUGGAGGAGAGGUUCAUAAGUCAUUAAUCUUAAAUUUGAACGGUGAAGAUCGGAUUUAGAGUUUUGGAAAGUCAUCUUUCAGCCAAAAACAAAACCUUUAUUUUAUCAAAGAUGGCGCUUCCUGAAAGUGUCAUUGUUGCCUAAGACAUACAAUGACAGAGGCGAAGAGGACGCUUUAGAGAAGCGUCAUCUGUUACCUUUCUUGACGCUUAAAAAACGUCAUAGUUUCCCAUUUUUCUUGUAGUGUAUUCUCUUUUGUAAGCUUCUGCCAAUUGAAUAAGCUUCAAGAGUUAGAUCUUUCUUACAACUUAUUCCAAGGGAUCCUUCCUCCAUGUUUGAAUAAUUUGACAUCUUUGAGGUUAUUGGAUCUCUCUUCCAACCUAUUCUCCGAAAAUCUUUCUUCCCCUCUGUUACCUAAUCUCACAUCCCUGGAGUACAUCGAUCUCAGUUACAAUCAUUUUGAGGGUUCAUUCUCUUUCAGCUCUUUUACUAAUCACUCCAACCUUCAAGUGGUCAAACUUGGAAGGAAUAACAACAAGUUUGAGGUAGAAACUGAAUAUCCAGUUGGUUGGGUUCCCCUGUUUCUGUUGAAAGCUCUUAUCCUAUCCAACUGUAAGCUCAUCGGUGAUCCUGGUUUCCUUCGACACCAAUUAAGAUUAACCGUGGUUGAUCUCUCCCAUAAUAAUUAGACUGGAAGUUUCCCCAUUUGGCUGCUUGAUAACAAUACAAGACUAGGAUCUCUAGUUCUGAGGAAUAACUCUUUAAUGGGUCAACUACUUCCCCUGAGACCUAAUAGUCGUAUCACUUUAUUGGAUAUCUCAGACAACCGACUUCAUGGGGAACUUCAACAAAAUGUGGCCAAUAUGAUUCCAAAUAUUGAGUUUCUAAAUUUAUCCAACAAUGGUUUUGAAGGUAUUCUCCCAUCCUCAAUAGCCGAAAUGAGUUCCUUACAGUCAUUAUAUUUGUCUGCUAAUAGUUUCUCAGGGGAAGUACCAAAACAAUUGCUUGCGGCAAAAUAUUUGUGGCUUCUGAAAUUAUCAAAUUAUAAAUUUCAUGGCGAAAUAUUUUCAAGGGACUUUAACUUGACUCAGUUAGGGUUUUUGCAUUUGGACAAUAAUCAGUUCAAGGGAACACUGUCAAAUGUAAUCUCCAGAAUCUCUAGGUUAUGGGUGUUGGAUAGGUAACAUGACCGAUUUGACUACACUGGUGUUGGGCAACAAUAGUUUUAAAGGCAAAUUACCACCUGAGAUUUCUCAAUUGUUGGGGAUGAUAUUUCUUGACGUUUCUCAAAACGCUCUUUUAGGAUCUCUUCCUUCUUUGAAGAGCCUGGAGUAUUUAGAUACCCAGAGAUUGAUACCCAGAGAUUUUCUCAAUUCCUCAUAUCUAUUGACUUUGGAUAUCAGAGACAACAGGUUAUUUGGAAGUAUUCCCUAUUCAAUCUCUAGACUUUUAGAGCUAAGAGGAAACCUUUUAAGUGAUUUCAUUCCAUAUCAGCUUUGUCAUUUGACUAAAAUAAGCUUGAUGGAUAUUUCAAACAACAAUUUUUCUGGGUCAAUUCCCGGAUGCUUUGGUCAUAUCGGAUUUGGAGAUUUCAAAACUGAGCACAAUGUGUAUAUACCGAUGUUGGAUUCGUAUUCAGAAAGCAAUCCUUCUAUAUAUACGGGUUACUUAAUAAAAUAUUUAUUUUUCUCUAGUGAACUCCCUGAUGAAGUAGAUGAAGUUGAGUUUGUUACCAAGAAUAGGUAUAGCUCCUACAGAGUAGAUAAAAAUAUUUGUUGGGAAUUUAGAUAUUUUUAUAGGAAAGUAGACAAGUAUUCUAAUUUAUAAAAACAAUGCAUUUCUUUAGUUUGGUAUAAAAAAAAAUGAAACGAUAGGUAUUGGUAUUUUUUUUAAAGCAACAAACGUUUUAUUUUAUUUGUAUUUAAGAACAAUGUCUUUUCUUAUACUAGUUAUUUUAAUUUUCUUUUGACAGAUUUUGCAAGCUUAAGCAAUUUGGAGAUACUAGAUUUGAGUUCUAAUUCCUUAAGUGGGAUUAUUCCAUCAUCUAUAAGAUUGAUGUCUCAUCUCAAGUCUUUAUCCUUGGCCGGAAAUCAGCUCAAUGGUUCUUUACAAAAUCAAGGUACAUAUGUUAUGAUUUGUUUGUUUCAUAUGGAUUAGAGAAGAUGAAUAUUGUAAAAAAAAAGUUGUAGUUAAUGUAAGCUAGAAAUAAGUAUCUUGCCUUAUAAAUUAUAUGAGCAUGUGUUUGUUCUUAAUGAAUCUUUACAACAUUUAGAGUUACCAAUGUUUAUAAUUCAUAAAGACCUCAUUAACCGUGAGUAACAACUAAUUGUAAGUAAUUGUGGAAAAAGUAAGGAAAACAAAAUGAGGGAAAAGCAAGGAAUUAGGAAAUUAUUUUGUUCCCAUUAAAAAAUGCUAAGGAAGAAAAAGGUAAAAGAAAGUUUAAAAAAAGUGUAUUUUUCAAAAAUUUAUUUCUCUUUCCUUUAAUUUUGCUAUGGACAACCAAACAAGAAAAUUAUUUUAUAAUUCCUUUUUUAUUUUUUUCAUUCUCUCUCUCUUUUUUCCCCUACUCUAUUUCUUUUCCCUCAAACUUUCUUGGUAGUAAACACAACCUAAGAUAAAAUGGGGAAGAAAAUUUUCAGUUUUUUUUUUAUUUUUUUAGAAUGUUUUCUUACUUUUUAGUAUUUUAUGCAAAUAUAGGAAAAUUAUUUUUUUUUCUUUUUUUUUCUUGCUCCUUUUCGGACAUGAAUCACACUUUAAAAGAAAAUUAAUUUUUAAUUAGGAGUUAAGAUAAAUUUAAGGAGAAACAGUGAAUCACGAAUAACAAAAAAAUAAGGAAAUUGAAUUUUUGAAAGUAAGUAUAAUCAAAUUGCUUCAUUUGAUACAAAAUUUGAAUAAAAAUUCUUUCAAGGAAAGGAAAAAACAUUUUUGUCUCUAGAUUAUAAUACUAAAUCAUGUAAAAAAUCUCUUAACAUCAUUUAUAUUCAUAUUUAUUUUUGUAGAUUUGAAAAAUUCAACAAUUUGGAAUAAACUUAUUCAAUGAAUAAUAAUUUUUAGAUUUAAAGAUUAUUAUUUAAGAUCAUAAAUAUUACCAUGAUUGUUGAUGUCUAAGAAGAUCAUAUUCAACAAUUUUUUUAAUAUGUUGUUUUUUUAUGGUAAUUAAUUGAUGUCUUGUAAUUUUUAAUAUUUAAUGAAAAACAUUAUUUUAAUUCAUCUAGAGCUCUUAAUUCAUGAAGACCUCAUUAAUGGUGAGUAAUAGUUGGCUGUAAGUUUGGAGUCAAAGACAUGUCAAGGAGAUGAUUAGUUACAUGUCUUAUUCUCUUUUGUAGGUUUCUGUCAAUUGAAUAAGCUUCAAGAGUUAGAUCUUUCUUACAACUUAUUCCAAGGGAUCCUUCCUCCAUGUUUGAAUAAUUUGACAUCUCUAAGGUUAUUGGAUCUCUCUGUCAACCUAUUCUCCGGAAAUCUUUCUUCUCCUUUAUUACCUAAUCUCACAUCCCUGGAGUACAUCGAUCUCAGUUACAAUCAGUUUGAGGGUUCAUUCUCUUUCAGCUCUUUUGCUAAUCACUCAAAGCUUCAAAUGGUCAAACUUGGAAUGAAUAACAACAAAUUUGAGGUAGAAACUGAAUAUCCAAUUGGUUGGGUUCCCUUGUUUCAAUUGAAGGCUCUUUCGCUAGACAGCUGUAAGCUCACCGGCGACCUUCCUAGUUUUCUUCAAUACCAAUUCAGGUUAGUGGGGGUUGAUCUCUCACAUAAUAACUUGACAGGAAGUUUUCCCAAUUGGCUGCUUGAAAACAAUACGAGACUAAAAUCUCUAGUUCUGAGGAAUAACUCUUUAAUGGGUCAAUUACUUCCCUUGGAACGUAAUACCCGUAUCCAUUCAUUGGAUAUCUCACACAAUCAGUUGGAUGGACAACUUCAAGAAAAUGUGGCCCAUAUGAUUCCAAAUAUGAAAUAUCUAAAUUUAUCCGACAAUGGUUUUGAGGGUAUUCUCCCAUCCUCAAUAGUUGAACUAAGAGCCUUAUGGUAUUUGGAUUUGUCUACCAAUAAUUUCUCUGGAGAAGUACCAAAGCAAUUGCUUGCAGCAAAAGAUUUGGGGGUUUUGAAAUUAUCAAAUAAUAAAUUUCAUGGUGAAAUAUUUUCAAGGGACUUUAACUUGAUUAGGUUGGAAGUUUUGUAUUUGGGCAAUAAUCAGUUGACGGGAACUCUGUCAAAUGUAAUCUCUAAAAGCUCUUGGUUGGGGGUGUUGGAUGUGAGCAACAACUACAUGUCAGGUGAAAUUCCAAGCCAGAUAGGUAACAUGACCUAUUUGACUACACUGGUGUUGGGCAACAAUAGUUUUAAAGGCAAAUUACCACCCGAGAUUUCUCAAUUGUGGGGUUUGGAGUUUCUUGACGUUUCUCAAAAUGCUCUUUCAGGAUCUCUUCCUUGUUUGAAGACCAUGGAGAGUUUAAAGCAUCUACAUUUGCAAGGGAACAUGUUUACAGGAUUAAUACCCAGAGAUUUUCUCAAUUCCUCACAUUUAUUGACUUUGGAUAUGCGAGAUAACAGGUUAUUUGGAAGUAUUCCCAAUUCAAUCUCUGCACUUUUGAAGCAGCUAAGGAUUUUUUUGCUGGGAGGAAACCUUUUAAGUGGUUUUAUUCCAAAUCAUCUUUGUCAUUUGACUGAAAUAAGCUUGAUGGAUCUUUCAAACAACUCUUUUUCAGGGCCAAUUCCCAAAUGCUUUGGCCAUAUCCGAUUUGGGGAGAUGAAAAAGGAAGACAACGUGUUUGGACAGUUCAUUGAAAUUAGGUAUGGAAUGGAUUCUCAUCUUGUAUAUGCAGGUUACUUGGUGAAAUAUUGGGAGGACUUAAGUUCAGUAUAUAAGGGAAAAGAUGAAGUUGAGUUUGUGACCAAGAACAGGCGUGACUUCUACAGAGGUGGCAUCCUUGAAUUCAUGUCUGGAUUGGACUUAUCAUGUAACAACUUGACAGGCGAAAUACCUCAUGAACUUGGAAUGCUAAGUUGGAUUCGUGCAUUGAACUUGUCUCACAAUCAAUUGAAUGGCUCCAUUCCAAAGAGUUUCUCCGAUCUUUCUCAAAUAGAGAGCUUAGACCUUUCUUAUAAUAAAUUGGGUGGAGAAAUUCCUCUAGAGCUAGUUGAACUCAAUUUUUUAGCGGUGUUUAGUGUGGCUUACAACAACAUCUCUGGUAGAGUUCCAAAUGCCAAAGCACAAUUUGCAACAUUUGAUGAAAGCAGCUAUGAAGGUAAUCCUUUCCUUUGUGGGGAACUAUUAAAGAGGAAAUGCAACACAAGUAUUGAGUCACCAUGCGCACCAUCACAGUCUUUUGAAAGUGAGACAAAAUGGUAUGAUAUCAAUCAUGUUGUUUUCUUUGCAAGUUUUACUACUUCAUAUAUCAUGAUCUUGUUAGGAUUUGUUACCAUCCUUUACAUCAAUCCUUAUUGGCGUCAUAGAUGGUUCAAUUUUAUUGAGGAAUGUGUAUAUUCCUGCUAUUAUUUUGUUUUUGAUAGUCUUUCCAAGUUCUCAGCAUAUUUGUAUAAUUAGAUACUUUUAAUUGGAUGAUGUUUGCAUAAUUAACUACUAUUUGUUUCCAUGGGAUAAAAAGAAAUGGGAUUAUAAUUGCUAUGAGUUGAAACUUACAUACUUUGCUCAAAUUCUAACAUCUUUUGAUUUUAUUUUCAAGUUCCGUUAUUUAUUAUGUAUUGUUUAAUUCAAGAUUUAACCAUAUUAUGCUACUCUUAUAAAAACAAAUUCAAAUUUUUAGGAACUUAGCAUUAAAAUAAUUUCAUAGUCAGAUUUUUAAAAAUAAAGAAGAAAGAAAAUAAUAAAUAAUUAGAAAAACAAUUCAAGGGAGUAUUAAAUUAUUAUCUUAGAAUUGUUUGGCGUAGUAUGGGAAUUCAAAAAUAAUCUUUCAAUUUGUUAGAAAUGUUUAUUUAUUUAUUAUAGCAAUGAUUGAAAUAUCAAUCACAAAGUAAUGUUUUCUUUUCUUUUGUAGGGCACUAACAUUUUUUCUUUGAUUGUAAUAAUUGAUAAAUAUAUUACACAAUUAUUUGUUUUAAAGAGGGGAGGGAUGACAAACAUAAUAACAUGUGAAAUAUUUCUAAAACUGUGAUGGGAAAUAAACCAUCUAAUUAGGGUGCAAUAUUAUUCAUUUUAAUUUAUAUGAAUUUACUUAUUUUUAUUUCCAUCAUAUUUUGAACUAUUUUUUGAAAUUAAGGGAGAUUAAAACAUCAUGAAUUUCUUAGUUUAAUUUAUAUUUUUAAUAAUAAAGCAUGAAAUAUUUAAAAAAAAAAAAGAAAAUCAUGAAUUUCUUUAAUUCCUUAGGAAACCAAUAUAUAAAAAAAGUUGAAUAUAUUAUUAUUUUAUAUCCUAAAUUUCUAAAUUUGUUCAUCACGUAUUUAUUUUUAUAUUAAAUUUAUUAUCAAUAAUUAUUUAUUAUAUAUUAUUAUUUUAUAUUUAAAAAUGUUCAUAAAUAAUUAAAAUUAAUAAAUAUAAAAAAUGAAAUAUUAAAAAAUUAAAUUAAAAAGAUUUCAUCAAGCUAACAUAUUUUGAUAAAAAAAAAAAGAGUAAAAAAGAAGAUGGGGAUAUUAUAGAGGUGGGGAAAAAGAUAAAAGAAAAAUCAUGUGGUAUAAUAAUUGCCACGUGUUAAAGUUAUUUUCUUUAAAAAUUAAUUAUAGUAAUGAUGAACUCAUUUGUCUUAUCAAAGUAAAUAAAAAUAAAUAAAUAAAAGAAAAAAAGAAAAAGAAAAAAAGUGGUGGUUGAUUGGAGGUUAGAGAGGAGGGUUUGAAGGUAAAUUUGGAAUAUUGAUUAUUUUCACUAAGUAGAUAUUUUGAAAGUUAUUUUCAAUGUUUUAAAAACCGGACCGGCCGGUCCGACCGGUCCAACCGUCGACCGGUCACCAUUCCGGUCCGAUCCGGUCAUUUGGACCGGAUUGAGAUCGAACCGGAGUUGAACCGCUCGAACCAGCGGUUCAACCGCUGAACCGGACAAACCGAUCGGUUCCAAGGGAACCGGCCAAUUCAAAUAAUUUUAAUUUUAAAAAAAAAAUUACACAAUAAAAAUAUUACUGUGGGUAAGCUGCAAGCAUGAAAGGUAGGAUUCCAUGUUGGGCCUGUCUUGUGACAAGCCCACACACCCACUCCAAUUACCCUGGGCCUCUUUUUUGAGCCCACAAGAUCAUGCCAAGGCUUUGCUGAGGAUGGCUUUUAUAGGAGUCAUUUGACUCCUUGUUCCUCUCAUAUUCCGAUGUGGGAUUGCAUUUUAUCAAUGAAAAAAAACAUAACAAACAUAACAAAACUCCACCAACAGAAUUUGAACCUUGGACCAAUCUUUAACUCUAGUCCACCUAGGAAACCACUCGGCUACAUGUGUUUUAUCAUCUAAUGUGCCAAACAAAAUAAUAUAUAUUAGAUUUUAAAUUUUUUUAUAAUAUUAAAUAAAAAUAAUAUAAUAUUUUUAAAAAUUAUGAAAUUAGUUUAAAUUUUCAUUUUUUUUAUAUUCACAUUUAAAUAUUAUACAUAUUUCAUUUAAUAAAAUUUAAAAUAUUAAUAUGAUUUAAUUUGAUAAUAUCAAAGAUAUAAAAUAAUAUUAUUGAUGUUUAAUUUAUUCAUAUAUAUUUUAAAAUUUUUUAUAAUUAUUUUUAAUUUUAAUAAUAUAUAAAUUAUAUAUUUAUUACGUCACCGGUUCGAUAGCGGUUCGACCGCCGGUCCGACCAGUGAACCGUGAACCGGUAACUUUUCCAGUUCGAUCACCGGUCCGAUUCUGAAAACAUUGGUUAUUUUGCCUGAAACCCAUAUUGUUUGAAAAUAAAAAAUCAAAGUUUUAAAAAAAUACAAUUUUUUUGAAAUGAUGCAUGAUUAUAUCAUUCCCCUAAUAGAUUAUUUAUUCCUUUAAACUUUACUUCAAAUAAAAUAGUUUUAAUUAUUUUCUUUUUGGAAUUAUAUUUAACAUAUUAUUAAAAAUAUAAAAAACAUUUUAAUAAUAUUGUUAAUGAGUUUAUAUAUAUAUAUAUAUAUUGUAAAAUAAUUAAAUUUAAAAAUAUUUAAAUUUAGUUAUGGGCUGCCCAUUUCAAAAUAAUAAGAAUCUCGUAACCUAAUUUUUCCAAAUUCCAGGUAAAUAUGCUAAUCUAAAAAUAAAAAAUAAAAAUUAGGUUUUUAUGCUCUCCAAUCUACCACUUAAGCAUCCGACAUGGCUAAAAUAAAUUACAAAAAAAAAAAAAAAAAAAAAAGGAAAAAAAACAAAAGUGUGUGAUCCUCUUUCUCGAGUCUUCACAUUUUGAGACACUGAAACCAAAUCAAAAUUAAUCCUUCAAAUUAAUUUUCACCUCCAAACAUGGCUAUCCGAAAAACCCUAACGUCUGCCUCCUCUUCCUCUUAUCCCGGAAACCUAAAUUCCGUGACCCUAACCCCUUCUCUUUCCGAAAACCCUCCGGAAUCGGAAGAUUCAUAAUUCUUCAGAAUUAAUUUUCACCUCGAAGCCAAACCCUAACUGCCUCAUCUUCCUCUCAUUCAUAUCCCAAAAGUAGCUUCAACAGUCAGGCCUGUAGCCAUGAAAGCCGUAGUGAUCACUACUUCCGGUGAUCCCCAAGUUCUCCAAGUGCAAGAAGUCGAAAACCCUGAAAUUGGAGAUGAUGAAGUUCUAAGUAGAGUGGACGCCGCUGCCAUUAACCGAACAGAUACGCUCCAGAGGAAGGGCUUGCACCCUUCCUCAAAGGCGGCAGUCCCUACCCGGGUCUCGAAUGUUCUGGAAUCAUCGAAGCUGUUGGAAAAGCCGUCGUUCGAUGGAAGGUUGGCGAUCAGGUAUUUCAAUUGCCUAAUAUUUUGAUUUCGUUUCUGUUCCUCUGUUUUUCUCGGCUAUCAAACACUAGGAACGUGUAAAUAAGGAGGUUAGUUGAUUGCGAAAACGGGAAUUUUUUGUUCGUGUCUGUGUUAAGGAGUCUUUGUUGAGAAUUUUGGGGAAAUUUAUGAUAGGUUAAAUUAUUGAGCUUAUUGGUUUUCAAAUUUAUGGUUGUAAGAAAAUUGGUCAGUGUAAGGUUAUGGGUUCAUUACCAAUUUGCUUAGUGAAAAUUUUUCCACAUAUUGUGGACCGGUUUGGUAGCAGAAAUAAGAACUGUGUUUUGUUUUUCAAAACGGAAAUGGAUGCAGAAAACAUGUUUGGUAGCCUACUUUCAGAACUUGUUUCCGAAAAUAUUUCCUGAAAAUGAAUUAUUUCAGAACUUGUUUUUAAAAAAUUCAAACACUUUAUCAAUUUAAAAGGUUCUGAAAUGGACAUGUUCAUGGUCUUCAUUUUUUAAAAUUAAAGCUUUUAUGAAAAAACCAUUUUCCCUUCUACUAAACAAACAGGCUCUAUAUUGUAACAGAUCGAUUGGCCAUUUCCUUUGUCAUGUUUUGUGAAUCAUGGCAACACUGGAAUCCACUCCAUUACCAUCUGUUAGUGAUUAGAAGACAAAGCACCAAUUUUAAUGAUAUCCUUUAUGUGAUUUUGCUUCCUCCUGAGUACAAGUUCAUAAUAUACAUGGUACAUGGUGAAUCUGUAUGACAGUUCAUGGUAUACAGGUGUGUGCUCUUCUUUCUGGUGGAGGGCAUGCUGAAAAAGUGGCUGUUCCAGCUGGGCAAGUUCUCCCUGUCCUAUCUGGUGUUUCUCUGAAGGAUGCUGCUGAGGUUGCAUGUACUGUUUGGUCAACUGUUUUAAUGAUGAGCCGACUGUCUGCAGGAGAAACAUUCCUGGUGAAUUUUUUGUCUUUUUUAUUUUCUGAUGCCUGAUAUAUUUACCAGCACAAAUUUACCCUGUUGCUGUUUAAUGUGUGUGCAUCAAUAUUGGAUUAGGGAGGUAGAAGAGCCAUGGUUCUAAUUAAAUCAUUACAUCAUCAUAUUCUUAUUUAGAUACAUUGUAUCCCACAAUUUCAUUGCAUCCAAGGCUAUGUUGUUUUUUAUUGCACGGUUUGUCAUGGUAAUUUCUCAACCCUUCUCUGGAAAAUUAUGUUGGAUGGCUGCUAUUAAUUACCCCAAAAGAAGAAAUUUUAUGUUGAAGUAAGAUGAGUAGCACAAAGAGUUACUUGUGGUUGAUCCUAUCAUCAAAUGGGCGAUUGAUGCACAAUCCAAAUGGUAAAUUUUUUUCCCCCUUUAUCCAGAUGGAAUUUUUAUGCAUGGUUGAAUAGUGAAAUGAGAGGACUGAUAAUAUUUCAGGUUCAUGGGGGUUCAAUUGGAAUUGGUACCAUCUAUUCAAAUAGCGAAAUACCGAGGAGCAAGGGUAUUUGUUACAGCAGGUUUGCCAUCACUGUUCUACCUCAUCUCACAGAAUGCUUAUCUCAUGGCACCAAUUCCUUUUCUUCACAUGUUUUCAACCAUUUUUUCCACCCAGGAACGAGGAAAAAUUAGCUAUUUGUAAGGAUCAUUGAGCAGAUGUGUGCAUCAAUUACAAGACUGAAAACUUUGUUGCAUGGGUGAAGGAGGAAACAGGAGGGAAAGGUAUAUUCUAUUGUAUCUUAACGAUAAUUUCAAUUGAAGGUGGAAUUGCUUUUUAUUUUUUAGUGCACCAAAUCCACUAGUCUGGAAUGUUUGAAAAGAUAAAUAGUCAUCUUCCACUUGAUUCCGAUUGUGAAGAUCUAACCCCAAAAAUGUUGAAUGACAGGUGUUGAUGUUAUACUGGAUAAUAUUGGAGGGGCCUACUUUUGGGGAGACAUCAAUGGUUUAAAUGUUGAUGGAAGGCUUUUUAUUAUUGGUUUUCAGGGUGGAACAGUGGUACAAGUAAAUCUUUCAGGUUUACUUGCAAGGCGCCUUACAGUGCAAGGUACUGCUUUCUCUGUAGAAGAUUUUUCUGUAGUUUUGGAGUUGAAUCAAUUUGAUUAAUCUCAUCCAAGUUCAGAACUGAGGUGGAUUCUGGCAAGCCAAGGAAAAACCAAAUUACCAUAAAUUCUUUUUUUUUUUUCUGGAUCGUUUUACUUCUUGGAAAUCCUGUUUCUCGAUCUGUUAAUCACAUGGUUUGUUUUUCUUUAUUGUCCCUCUUUCUUUUCUUGUUGGUACCAAAUCCCUAAGAUGUGGAAGCCAAGUGAGCACUUUCUAUCUUUUCUUGUUUCAAUCUCUCAUCCUCUUGUGCACAUUGAGCAAUAAGCUCAUUCAAAGUCCAUUUUUCCUUUUGUGUGUUGUAACUGAUUUUGAAUGGACUGAAUUGUGUAGGCAGAGAGAUCAAGACCAAGUGCACGAGUAUGUCUUCCGAAAACUCUAACUUUAGUGCCUUUAGUCUAGUCACAAGAUUAGACAUUUCCAUAAUAUACUCCCUUAUAUUCUCUUUCCCUUUAUACCGCAUAGAGACAAGCUUACUAAGAAUAGUGUUUGUCUCAACCUUUUCAUUUGCAGCGAUCAAUUUGCUAUCUGGUCUAAGAAUGCCUUGGCUCGAGUUUUCUCAGGUAUUGCACCCCUUAUAACUUUUGGAAUUGAGUGCUUCGUUAUUAUUAGACUCAUGCGAUUGGAUCGCUCCCAUUUUUCCAUAGUAGACCUUUGCUCAGCAGUGCUGGCACUAGUAAGAUCUGGAGGGCGAUCCUCUCUUAAUGCAUAGUCUAAAUCCAUGCACCCGAGCACAAUUAUAGCGUGUUCCUUCCAUUUCUUGAAGUUUGUGCCAUUAAGGGCAGGAAUGUUAUUGACAUUUGCAGAUAUAGAAUAUGUUGAAUUCAUAAUAAUAAAGCUCACAAUCAGCCACAUAAACAUCAUACAUACAUGAAAAAUAACAUCAUACAAGAUACCUAGUACAAACAUUAAUAUUCUGUCUUUUGACAAUAAAUAUUAACUUGUAAUUGGUAUCCUUAUACAAAAUUAAUUCAUAAAUAUUGACAAUAAAACCAAAAACAAUGUGCCUCUCUUUGGACUAACAUAUUGAAUGCAAGAUAAACUUUAUAUGUCACAUAUUUAUGACUACUUUAUUUAUUAUUAUAUUAAAAUAAUCUUUCUUUGGGUCGCUUAUUUUAAAUAAUAAUAAUAACAUGUUUAGAUAUUAUAAAAUAAAUAAAUUAUAUAAUAUAAGUUACUUUGGCAACUAACAUACAUAAUUCAUUUAUUUUUUGUUGUUUCCUUCCUCUUGGAUCUUUUGUUUGUGUUUUAAAAAAAAAAAUGUUUCAGUGAAAAUGGGAAAUGCAACCAGGCUCUAAUACCAUUUUGUGGGACGUUCAUUCUCCAUUAUCAUCGAACACAUGCAGGAUAUAUUUAUAUAUAUCUAUCAAUUCAUUCAAAAUAUGCCGAUGGGAAGCCAGAGAGAACAAGUUCUAUUUUUAUUUUGAAAACAUUGUUAUCCUUAAAGAACAAACACUAUUAUUUGGAUUUAUACUCUCCUGCCUUAGGGACCAUACCCUUUGGCUAUUAGGCCUCACGAGUCUUAGGCCCAUCAUCUAAGGCUCGUGAUGGCACUGGGCUCUACAUAUAAGGUGGCCCAUACUCUGGAACGAAUAUAAAUCAUAUGUAUAUAUAUGGAUAGCUAAAUCCUGAAUAAUGGUUAAUAUGAUGUCGGUUCACAUUUAUUAUAUCAUAUAGACUUCCCAUCUGAAGAAAAUCGACAACAAGUAGCUUUGCCAUUCUUAGUUCGUAUACAACCAACCUUAGCAAGGGUUGAACCCUUUUAUGCUUAGUUGUGCCAUACAGAUCCUUACCACCGCCUACAACAUGUAAUUGAAAUGAUUCGAUAAUAUCAUCUAGUGAACCAAUACCUCCAAAUGAGAGACCAUUGCCUCAGUAACUAAGACUCACGACUGAGAAUUGCGUGAACCCCUUUGCUUGGGUUGGAGCUUGACUGAUGCACAAAAUAUUCAUAGGCCUCUUCCCAUAACAGGCACCUUGUGUUUGCAACAUAAUUGAACAUGUAUUGAAGUGAGUUUUUUUGCAUCUUUUUGUAAGAAAAUUCUAAACAACAAAGAUUGCUUAGUGUGCCUGACUCCUCAAGGAAUCAAGGUUCAUUCCUGUAGGGCCAGUUUUUUCACAGUCGAACUAGAUAACAUGGAGAGUAUGUUGCAAUGCUUCAACGGGGUAUUUCUUAGGAAAAUCCACCUGAAGCUGGUACAAUUCGUUGGCGUACUGAGUUCCUAAAGCUCUAUUGACUUCAAUCACCCAUCUCUGUAGAUUAUCGGUGACUUUAUGCUCGGAUCCUGUAGGAGGAUUGACUUGACAUUCCACUAGUUUUUUCUGGAAGGCGAUUUUGUUUAACACCUUGUGAGAAGAGGCAGGGGAACUGGUCAUUGUUUCUUCGAGAAGAUCAGUGGCCGAGGAUGGGUUUGGACCAGAAUUGCUAUAUGGGUUUUCUUUGGGUGAACCAAUUAGUGAAAUAGGUGGCUAUAUAGCAACUAAAGGGUGGUCAUACUAACGAGGAGCUAUUAUUUCAUGCAUGUGGAGAGGAAAUGACUAGCUUCUUCAAGGAUAUAUGAUUAUUCAUCUCUAGCUUACGUUGACUAUCUCCUAACAAAUUUCUGCUUUGAAGCUCCCUUAGUUUCACUACAGCUAAUUGGCCAACUUGGUUUCAUCAUGUUUCCUACAACCUCUAAGCAAAGCAUGCCAGAUCACCGAAUCAGGUUCUAUUCGCAUUUUGUCCAUAAACUCCUUUGCCUAUUGACAAUAGACUGCCCCUCAAAAUUUGAUGAGAUAACAUCAACGCUGACAUGUUGGCCAUCCCCAUAAGCAUCUUUAUAGAGAUUGAUUCUAUGUUUAGAUAUUUCUCUCUCCUCAAGUGAGUUCAACUUUUCUGUAGCAUCCUUCUCCUUCUCUACUAAUAGUCUUAGUUGAACAUCCAACCUAUGUUCCCAAAGUGCCAGCAUCUCAUAUCUGAUGACAAGCCAACAACCUUGCCCUUGCUGAGACCCAAAUAAGUAUCCAGAACCAUCAACAUCAACCCUUUCAUAGGCCUUUGUAUUUGAAGGUCGGAUUGGGAUUGCUUUGAAUGCACUGGCACUACAAUACACAAUUGUUUCUUCUCCGAUAAAAACACCACAAAGAGGUGAGGGGACUGGUAUUAGCAAAGAAGUGUUGUUAUCUAUAUUGUUCUAAGCCCGAUUACCCUCAACAAAAUCCUCAUCCUCAUCUGUACUCUUCCAUUACAUCCCUAGGCUUUUCAAUGUGAUCCACAUGGCUUACAGGAAUCCAGAAAUACUGAUCUGUAUAAAAGUUGCUCUUAUGGGGCUCUCCUAGAAAACAUCCCAAUCAAGAUGAUCAACCUAGCUUAGAUGCUCAGCACCCCAAACUUACCAGAAAUAGAGGAAUAAAAAGCAAGGAUAGGAGCCAAAGUAAAAACUAAGGGAAGAGCAAAUAGGAAAUCAAGCAAAACAUGAAUGUACAGAGCCUCAUUUCAGGUGACAUCUUUGGGCUAAUAAUAGGUGGAAUUAACAAAGUAGAUAAGCAUGAUUGUUAUAAAUAUCAAGUUCAAGGAUGAAGUCGUGCAUCAGCUACUUAUAGGGGGAGUCAAGGAAACCAAGAUAAGAUCAAAGAGAGCAUGUAUGCAAAUAAACAGAUACGACAAAAUAGACCAAACAACUCGUGAAUAUCCUCCUACAAAAAACUACUACACGUGGCAAAAAGUGAUGAAACAAAAAGAGUUGGGUCCGCAUAUACAUAUCCUAUUCUAUCCUAUUCCUUCAAAUCCAAAGCAACCUGUAUUUUCAAUGGGAUUUGUUGUGAUGAAUUUUACUGGAUUGUAACAUGUAAAUAUGUUAAAAGAGGCUUGGGACAUUCCUAUAUAGUAACGCAUAAAGGUACUUCCAUUGUGAAGUUGUCAAAAUUGCAAAUUUAAAUUACAAAAUUUGAAAACAUAGAGAUGAAAGAUGAUGAAACCUUCUUUGAAAUUUUAUAUUGAACUCAUUAAUAUUAUUAAUUUUCAUUUCAGUCUAGGGGAAAGAAUUCUUUACUCUAAAGUGGUCACAAAAAUAUUAAAAUUCCUUGUCGAGAGAUUUAGACCUAAAGUGAUCAAUAUAGAAGAAAGUAAAAAUAUUCUAAGUGUAGGUAAACUUGUAGACUCAAAUGACUCUACCUUCUCAUAAAAAAUCCUCAAUUUUAUAAAUUAUAUUGAUUUCUUCAUUUGAUACAAAAUUUGAAUAAAGAUUUUUCAAAUGACAACACAAGGAAAGGGAAAAAAAAAUUCUCUCCAAAUCAUAUUAUUUAAUCACUUAAAUUAUUUAAAAAUAAAAAUGUUUACUGCUAACAUUAUUUAGGUUCAUCUUUCUUUUGAUGGAGGUUAAAAUUCAUAAUUUUGAGGAAAAAGAUGAGGAUUCUCAUUUUUUUUCCAUAUAUGAAUGGGAUUCUCAUUGUGUAUAUGUGGGUUACUAAAUGGCAAAUUUGGGGGCCACCAGAGUCUGCAAUAUGAGGGAAAAAUGAAGUUGAGUUUGUCACCAAGAAUAGACAUGGUUCCUACAAAGGUGGCAUCUUUAAUUUCAUGUUUGGAUUGGACUUGUCAUGUAACAACUUAACAAGUGAAAUCCCUCAUGAACUUGGAAUGUUAAGUUUGAUUCAUGCAUUGAACUUGUCUCGUAAUCAACUAAAAGGCUCCAUUUCAAAGAGUUUUUGCAAUCUUUCUCAAAUAGAGAGCUUAGACCUUUUUAAUAAUAAACUAAGUGGAGAAAUUCCUCCAAAAUUGGUUAGACUAAACUUUUUAGCAGUGUUCAAUGUGACUCACAAUAGCAUCUUCGGAAGAGUUUUAGAUAUGAAUACAUAAUUUGCAAAAUUUGAUGAAAGUAACUAUGAAGCUAAUCCUUUCCUUUGUGGACCACCAUUAAAGAGAAAAUGUAGCAUAAAUGUUGUUGAACCACCUUACCAACCAUUAGAGUCUUCGGAAGAAAGUGAUGCAAAAUGGUAUAAUAUCAAUCUUGUUAUUUUCUUUGCAAAUUUUACUACAUCAUAUAUCAUGAUAUUAUUAGGAAUUUCAACCAUUCUUUACAUUAACCCUUAUUGGUGUCAAAGAUGGUUCAAUUUUAUCGAGAAAUAUAUAUACUUUUGCUAUUAUUUUGUUUCCUAUACUCUUUCCAAGUUAUUAACAUAUUUUGAAUAAUUAGAGAUUUUUGUUUUCAAUAAUAUUUACAUAAUUAACUACUAUUGGCUUCCAUGACAUGGAAAGAAAUGCGAUGAAGGCAACAACCACUUUUUUUUCUCCUCUACUAGUGCAUGAUUGAUAUGAGUUAAAACUUGCACCCUUAUCUUUGCUUAAAUUUUCUCAGCUUUUGUUUCAAUUCUUAAUUAUCAUUUCUUUUAUGUAUUGUUUAAUACAAUAUCCUAAACACAUUGCUUUGAAGGUUACUUAUUUAUUAAGCAUGAUAUUGAUUUUCAUAAAAACAAAUUCAAGUUUUUUAGGAAUUUUUAGAAUUAUUAUAAUUUGGAGUUCACAUUAGAGGAAAAAAGGAAAGAAAAGAAUAGAUGAUUAAAAAAACAAUUUUAGUAAGUAUAAUUUGUCAUCUUCGGUAUAACAAAUGGGAAUUCCAAAAUAAUAUUUCAAUUUGUUAGUCUAUUCCUUAUAGUAUUAAUUGAUAUAUCAAAUAGGAAGUCACGUUUUGAUUUUUUAUUAGCUUGAAUUGCAUGUCACAUAUAUUUUAAAAUCAAGCAUACAUCAGCCGGGAAGUUCUUGUAACAUGCAUGAACAUGAUAUGAUGAAUUGAAUAAUUUUCUUAAUAUAUGUGUAUAUACUACACAUUAUUAAAUCAUAUAUGUAUAUUUAUAGUCGUAUAAUAUAUUUAUAUAAGUAACAAUAAAUUAUAUUGUAUAAGGUAUCGGUAGGAGUUUUCAAUUCCCUCAUACAAUAAUAUCUAUCAAUAAUUGGAUUGGACACCUUGCUGGCCAUGAGAAUGGACUUGACAUUAACACAUAGCCUUGAGUGGUGUUGAUAUUAUUACUUUGAACCAGAACUGCAGUCAUCUCAAAAACUAUAUUAUAUAGAAAAGCAAAAUAAAAACAUUAGUUAAAACAAAUGUCAAGAUCCUUGAAAUCACGUUUCAAUAUGUUAAAUUACCAUUUUUUUAAAUAAAUAUUUUAUAGGUUGUGUGAAUAAAUAUAAUUGCUAUGAAGGUUUCAAUUUAAUUUUACUAGCAAAUCCAUAAUAGGUGAAAAGACAAAACUACCAUUUUUGUUUUUUUUUCUUUAUUUACCUUUUUUCUCUCGUAACCUUACUCCUUUCACCUUUUUGUUUUUUCCUUUUUCUCAACUAACUAUUUUUUUCUUGUAAUUGUUAUUAUCAUUUUUUAUUAUAAAUAUUAUAACCUUAUAUUAUAAAUUUUUAAUUAUAUUUAAACUAACUAAUGUUGUGGUUUUAAUUGACAUGGAAAAGAAUGUGGUUAUACAUGUGAUUGUCGCCUUUUUUUUUUUCCAAUUAGUUAACUAUUGAUACAAGUUAAAAGUAAAAAUUGCAAUAUUAUCUUUAUGUCAAUUUCACCGAUCUUUUGUUUUUAUUUUCAUGUAUCAUUCCUUUUUUGGUUAUUUAAUUAAAAGGAUUAAAAAAAAAAAAUCACAUAUUCACAAGAAUAACCUUCAUAUUUUAAAAACAUAAAUUUUUAUAAAAAUACCCUCCAACUAUAAUUUUUAUAUGUCCCUAUUUCAAAUUCAAACACUUCUUUUAAUAAUAAUAAUAAUAAAAAAGGGCAAAAAUGUCAAACUGGGAUUAUAUUUAUAAUUUUCAAUAAUUAGAGGUUGUUUUUCCAAAGUAAAAAUUAUUUUGUUCCUUUGGCACAAAUAUUUCUUUCUUUUUUGUAUUUUUUUAUUCAAAAUAUUAAACACAUUACCCUCAAGGUUACUAUUUAUUAUGAAUGGUGUUUACUUUACAUUACGACAAAUUCAAAUUUUUUAGAAUUUUUUAAUGUUAAAAUAAUUUGGAGCUUAAUAGGGAAAAAAAGAAUAAAUAAUUAGAAAAGCAAUUCAAAAAAAUAAAAUUUAUCCUCUUAAAUUGGUUUUGUGUAAUACUAUAGAAGCCAUUUCUUGAGUUUGAUAUGGUAGAAUUUGGAUUCAUAUUUAUUUUAAAAUCAAGAAAUUCAAGUGUUGGUAGCAUCAAUAGAAUCUUAAAAAAUUUGCAAAAAAAUAUUUAGGUAGAUCACAUUUAAAUAUAACUAAUAGAAUAAAAAAUUAGUAUUAUUAGGAAGACAUGAUCAAUUAAAUCUUUUUUCUUAUCUAUGACACCGACUUUAUUUUUUUACAUAGUCAAUAUAAUUUAUUACAACUUAUAUGUCAUUAAAUUAUACAUGUUUAUAUUAAAUAUAAUAUAAGAUCAUUAAUGGAAUAAUUAUGCAAGUAAUAUAAAUUGUAUAUAAUAUAAAAAAUUUAAAGUCCAUCAAACUAAUGGAAUCUAUUAUAAUAAGUAGACUAGACACCAUGUUGGCCCGAGUUGGAGGCCUAGGCCAGAUUUUAAAGGCUGGGCUUUGAGUUGCCCGUGGGCCUGAGCCAAGGCCUUCUCUUGGUAUCAUCAUUUUGAAGAAAUAAAUUGCUGAUACAGAGAAAAAAACUAUACUAAAUAGAAAAAUAAAUAAAAGCAUUGACUAAAAUGAAGGCCAAGGUCCUUGAAAAAUAAUCUUAAAAUUGUUGCAUAUAUAAUUUCAAUAAUGCAUAAAUAAUUGCAAUAUAUAUGAUGUGAUAAAGAAUUUGGAAUUAAAAGAAGAUUGAUCUAUUUUAAAUGUGGUUGGAAUAUUUCUAAAUUUGUGAUGGGAAGUUAGACAGCCAAUUAGGGAUCCAUAUUAUUUAUUUUCAAUGAUAUGAAUUUAUUUACUUUUAUUAAUAUUCUUAAUGCAACAAUAUAAAAUAUGUCAAUUUUCUAAAAUUAAAAAAGUAAUUGUAAAAGAAAAUUUUUAAUUAUUUUUAUGAAAUUGAGUUUAUUAUAGCAUUUUUCUUUACAUAAAUUUCUUUUUUAUUUUUAUUUUUUUAAAAAUGAGAUAUGAAAAAAAAAGAUCAAUAUUAGUAAAAGUAAAACCCAAUAUAUAAAAAAUAUGAAUAAAUGUUUAUGAAAUAAGAUUUAAAAGUGAGAAGGUAAUAAUUUUUUUCUCUUUUAAUUCCUAUUCAAUUCAUUACAAAAAAUAUUUUUGGUUUUUAUGCUAAAAUUUAUUGUUUAUUAAAAAAUUCUAGUAUAUCUAGCUAUCAUAGAAGAGCUCCAAAAUUUUAUUGUUUAAGAGAAUAUGUGUUGCCACUUUAAAAGAUUUAUAUGCAAAAGGGAUUGAUAUUUUUUUCCUUUGGAUAUGUUUAGUUCCCGGAAAAUUUGAGGGAAAAUGUGAGGGAAGAAAAAUAGAGAAGAAAAGUAUAACGAAAUAAAAAGUGAAGGAAAAUGAAAAAUAGAUUUAAAGUUAACAAAUUAUUUUCAUUGGUUUUUUCAAACUUAUUUUACUUAUUUUAUUCUAUUAAAUAAAGAUUAACUAAUUUUAAUUAUAUUUGGUUUGAUUUUUAUUAUUUUUCAAAGCAAAACCAAAUAUGAAAAAAAAAACAUUUUUUUUUUUUGUUAUUUUUUUCUUUCCUUAUUACUUUUUAGGACUCAAACAUAGCUUUUAGAUUUGGAGCAUGGAAAGAUAAGAGUAUUGAAUAAUGGUUCUAUAUAUGCCCAUGCCCAUGCCCAUGAUACCAUUGAAAAAAAUGGAGAGAGGGUGAAACCUUUACUAGAUGAUAAAUUAUUCUCUUCAAUGGAAAUCAAAUAUAAUUAUUUUUAUCUUGUAUUAAUUGAAUGUUAUACUCCAUAAACUCAAAAUUAAAAUAAAUAAAAAAUUUAAAAACUAGGACAAUCCCAUUUUUUUUCAAUUUCUUAAAAAGAAAUUAAAUUAUAUUUAUUUAUAUCUAUUUUCAUCCCUACCCAACAAAAUAAAAAAAAAUUAACAAGGUGGGACAUGUAUGAGAAAUUCUCACACUAACUCUCACUAGUUUAUUUUUUUUUAAAAAAAAAAAUAAAAUCAAUUUCUUUUAAAAAAAUUAAACUACAUAAAAAAUAAACAAAUUUUACAAUUUUUUUUAAGAAAAGUAAAUUUCUUAUUUUAUAUAUGUUAAAAAUAAAUAUAAUCUUUUAUUUUUUAUAUAUAUAAUCGGGUAAGGUAGAGUGGGACAAAGAAAUAAUCCCCUUCGAUUCCAAUCCGAAUUUUUAAAAUAUAAAAUAAAAAUCUUAAACUCAUCCCUAAUCCAUUUAUUUUUAAUCCUAAACUUGUCUUAUUAAGAAUAAGGCAAAGUGAGUACAUGAAAACACUUCUUUUAUCAUCAUCUCUACAAGUUCUAAUGUUUAGAUUGCAAUCCAUAUCAAAGAUUUAUAAAGAAAGAACAACAAUGAAUUUCAUAAACAUUUGAAAGCAUAAACAAAGUUUUAAAUAAUAUUGCUUGAGGUGCAAAUAUUAUUUGGCGCACAUGUUGAGGGACUUCAACUGGUGUAGUCUAGGUUUUUUACACUAGUAAGUAAUCUUGAAUAUCUAGAGUAACUUGAUCAAAAUCUCUUUAAUUUUAUUUUCUUUGAUGGUUGUAUGAUGAAUUAGAAUGCUUAUAUAACAUGAUUAAAAAUUUUAAGAAAAAAAAACUAAGAAGAAAGAAAGAAGCAUCGAUCUUCCAAAUAUUGCUUCCACUUUAAUAUCUAGUAGGCUCUAAGAAAAGAACUUUAUUCAUGAAUCAUAACCCAAGUCGAAAAUAAAUUGAACCCAUUUUCUAAGUUAAAUUUUGAAUUUUUUACUAGUGAAUGCAAAUUGGGAAAAUGUAUAUAAAUAUAAUCAAACUAGAAUAGUAGAUUAGGUUUGUAGGUGGAGUUUGUUUGAAUUGUUGGAACUUCCAAGUCGUUGUGGGUCUAGUGGUCCCAUAGCUCUCUAUUAAUUUCCACCAUCAAUUUUUUGCAAUAAAGUCAAGUCAUUCCUAACCCUUAUAUUAAGUUGGCCUUAAAAGUCAAGUCAUUGAUCAUAGUUACAUUCAUGAAUCACAACCCAAGUCGAAAAUAAAUUAAACCCAUUUUUCAAGUUCAACUUUGAAUUUUUUAGUAGUAAAUGCAAAUUGGGAAAACAUAUAUAAAUAUAAUUAAACUAAAAUAGUAGAUUAGGUUUGUAGGUGGAGUCUGCUUGAAUUAUUGAAACUUCCAAGUCAUCGUGGGCCCAAUGGUCCCAUAGCUCUCUAUUAAUUUCCACCAUCAAUUUUUUGCAAUAAAGUCAAGUCAUUCUAACCCCUAUAUUAACUUGGCCUUAAAAGUCCAAUCAUUGAUAGCUAAAUCCCAACCCAAGUCAAAAAUAAAUUGAACCCAUUUUCUAAGUUCAACUUUGAAUUUUUUUUAAUUGGAAAAAUGUAUAUAAAUAGAAUUAAACUAGAAUAGUAGAUUAGGUUUGUAGGUGGAGUUUGCUUGAAUUUGUGAAACUUCCAAGUCGUCGUGGGUCUAGUGGUCCCAUAGCUCUCUAUUAAUUUCCACCAUCAAUUUUCUGCAAUAAAGUCAAGUCAUUCCUAACCCCUAUAUUAAGUUGGCCUUAAAAGUCAAGUCAUUGAUCAUAGUUACAUUCAUGAAUCACAACCCAAGUCGAAAAUAAAUUAAACCCAUUUUUCAAGUUCAACUUUGAAUUUUUUACUAGUGAAUGCAAAUUGGGAAAACAUAUAUAAAUAUAAUUAAACUAAAAUAUUAGAUUAGGUUUGUAGGUGGAGUCUACUUGAAUUAUUGAAACUUCCAAGUCAUCGUGGGCCCGGUGGUCCCAUAGCUCUUUAUUAAUUUCCACCAUCAAUUUUUUUGCAAUAAAGUCAAGUCAUUCUAACCCUUAUAUUAAUUUGGCCUUAAAAGUCCAAUCAUUGAUAGCUAAAUCCCAACCCAAGUCAAAAAUAAAUUGAACCCAUUUUCUAAGUUCGACUUUGAAUUUUUUUUAAUUGGAAAAAUGUAUAUAAAUAGAAUUAAACUAGAAUAUUAGAUUAGGUUUGUAGGUGGAGUCUACUUGAAUUUGUGAAACUUCCAAGUCGUUGUGGGUCUAGUGGUCCCAUAGUUCUCUAUUAAUUUCCACCAUCAAUUUUCUGCAAUAAAGUCAAGUCAUUCCUAACCCAUAUAUUAAUUUGGCCUUAAAAGUCCAGUCAUUGAUAGCUACGUUCAUGAAUCCCAACUCAAGUCAAAAAUAAAUUGAACCCAUUUUCUAAGUUCAACUUUGAAUUCUUUUAAUUGGGAAAAUGUAUAUAAAUACAAUUAAACUAGAAUAGUAGAUUAGGUUUGUAGGUGGAGUCUGCUUGAAUUUGUGAAACUUCCAAGUCGUCAUGGGUCUAGUGGUCCCAUAGCUCUUUAUUAAUUUUCACCAUCAAUUUUCUGCAAUAAAGUCAAGUCAUUCCUAAACCAUAUAUUAAUUUGGCCUUAAAAGUCAAGUCAUUGAUAGUUACGUUCAUGAAUCACAACCCAAGUCUAAAAUAAAUUGAACCCAUUUUCCAAGUUCAACUUUGAUUUUUUUACUAGUGAAUGCAAAUUGGGAAAACAUAUAUAAAUAUAAUUAAACUAGUAUAGUAUAUUAGGUUUGUAGGUGGAGUAAGCUUGAAUUGUUGAAACUUUCAAGUCGUCGUGGGUCUAAGGGUCUUAUAGCUCUCUAUUAAUUUCCAUCGUCAAUUUUUAUGAAUUAAGAUUUAAAAGUGAGAAGGGAAUAAAUUUUUUCUUUUUCAAUUCAUUACAAAAAAUAUUUUUGGUUUUUAUGCUAAAAUUUAUUGUUUAUUCAAAAAAUUAAAGUAUAAAAAUAUAAAAAAAAAUAUAUAUCUUGAUAUUAUAGAAGAGCUCCAAAAUUUUUGUGUUUAAGAGAAUAUGUGUUGCCACUUUAGAAGAUUUAUAUACAAAAAGGAUUGAUGUUUCUCCUUUGACUAUGUUUGGUUGCCAAAAAUUUGAGGGAAAGAAAAUAAAAAAAAAUAGUAAAAAAGAAAAAAUGAAGGAAAAUAAAAAAUAGUUUUCAAGUUAAUAAAUUAUUUUUAUAUGUUUUUUCAAACUUAUUUUACUUAUUUUCUUUCAUUAUAUAAAGAUUAAAUAAUUUUAAAAUGCAUAAUUUCUAACUAAUUUUAAUUAUAUUUAAUUUUUCUUUUAUAUUUUUUAGACGGGAUCCGACACAUGAAAAAAUCCUUUUUUUUAGCAUCUUUUUUUCUUUUCUUAUUACUUUCCAAUAACCAAAUAUAACCUUUAGAUUUAGCCUUUAGACUUGGAGUAUGGAAGGAUACUGAGUAUUGAAAGAAGGUUUUGUAUAUGGCCAUGAUACCAUAGAAAAAAUGGGCGAGAGAGAAAAAACCUUUAUUAAAUGAUAAAUUAUUUUACUACUUACUACAUAAAUAGAUAUUCAUGGAGUGCAUUCUCUAAAAAGCUCCAGUCUCAUGAAAAUGGAAAGAUGGACCGGCCAGUGGACCGGUUCGAGUUUGGAUUUAUGGGCUGCCUCAGCCUAACACGCAUGAUAGGCUGUUGCAGGUGAAGAACUAAUUAAUUUAAAGCCUUCUUCUAUCCUCUCCUAUUCCUCUUUCACUCCAAAUUUUCCACAUGAUAAUGACAAUUCUUUUGUUAAAUGGUAAAAAAAAAAAUUUAACAAUUAAUUUAAAAUCAUUUAUAAAAUCAUGAACUUUGGCAUCCUAAUUAAUGCAAUUUAAACUUUUUUUGUUUACAAAUGAAAUAAGAGGCAACAUAUAAACCCAAAAGUUAAUUUUCCUACCAUCUCUAUGCACCAUUUUAGCUUUACUCCAAUAUAUUUUCUAUGAUUAAUUAUUUUCAUUCAAACAAUAAUAUCAAAAUAUUUUAAAAUUAGACAUAUCAUAAUCAAAUAUCAUUAUAUUAUUAUUGAAUAAUAUUUAAUGUAAUUUAAUAAUCAACGUAUACUUAUAGAAUUUAUAUUUUUUAUUAAUGCAUAUAAUAUUAUUAUCAAAUAUGAUAAAUUAUAUAUAUAUAUUUCUUUAACAAAACAACUUUAAAAUAUCUAUUAUACUUUUAAUUUCAUCUCUAAGAGGUUUUUUUUUUUUUCUUUUUUUUUUUUACAUUUUUAUAAGUUUUGAUCAAUUGUAGGCUAACCAAUAUUUUUUUAUCAAAAUAUCCACCAAUAUAUCUCCGAUAUAUUAGAUAUAUCCGUAACAUCGAAAUACCAAUAUAUCCGCGAUUAUCGAUAUUUUUAUCCUUGAGGGAUAACAACUAAUAUAGUUUUUGCACUUAAUGAUAUUCCUCAACAUUUAGAUUGAUUUGACCAAAAUCUUUUUAAUUUUAUUUUCUUUGAUGGUUAUAUGAUGAAUUAGAAUAGUCAUAUAACAUUAACAGAUUUAAGAAAAAAAGGAUAAAAAAGCUCGUAUUUUUCAAAUAUUGGUUUCAACUUUGAAUAUUUUUAUUGGUAAAUGAAAAUUGUGAAAAACCUACUAAUGCUAAUACUUUUCACCACAUAAUUAAAUAUAAUAAACUAGAAUAGUGAUUCAUUGAUGUCUUAUAAAGACACAUGCCUUCUUUGACUUGUUAGUUGAUUUUUGUAGGUGGAGUCCAUUUCCAUUUGAAUUGUUGAAACUUCCAAGUCCUUGUGGGUCUAGUGGUCUCUCUAAUAAUUCCCACCAUUAAUUUUUUGUGAUGAAGUGCAGUCAUUGAUAGCUACUAUAUCAAUUUGCUAUUAAAAGUCAAGUCAUUGAUAACUAAUAUUCAAUCUUUUUCAAUAUGGAAAUUGGAAUCUCUAGCACUACUCUUCUCAUUGUUCAUUUUUAGGUAAUGUGAGAAUGUGUGAACAUAAAUGUCUUCUAAUCAACCAAUUUUUUUGAAAAAAACAUGUACAAAAUUGCAAAACUUGCAAAAUCAAACUUUCUUGUUGAAUAACCAUAGCUUGAUGGUUUUGAAGAAUCAAAGGAUGAAUCAUAAAAGGGUAUUUGAUAAAAAAUAAAAAUUUAAAAAGUUAAAAGACAACUACUCCCUUAAGUGUAAUAAGUGUAUUUGGUAGCACAAAUUUCCUACCACUUAUUAUUUUUUCCUUUCUUAAAAAAUUAUUUACUCUAUUAAAUAAACUAACCUUGGCUUAGCACUUAUAGCAAAAUAGGUUAAGUAGUUUUUAAAAUUUUAUAAUAUUAGAUUUACAUUUUUAUCCUUCAAAAUUUCAUUAAUGCUAGAUUCUUCUAUAUGCUUAACUAAUAAAUAAUUUUUAGCAUUUUUCUUUUCUUAUAAACAUAAAAAAAUAAAAAUAUUAUUAACUUAUUGGUAUAUUUUAAAAUUUUAAUUAGAUUUAAGCUUUUAUUUGUUUGGAUUACCAAUUAUACAUAUAAAUCCUUUGUUAUUAUUGUUAUUAUUGAAAGAAAGGGGUUGAAUAGGUAGUCCCUCAAUCCCCAAAUUAAAUUCUUUAUUGCCUACUUUUGGUUUAUUCCUUUACAUGAAUUCCUUGGUGAGAGUAAACAUUUCAUUAAUAGAUAAAUAAAAUUGAUUCCAUAUCAUAGGGUAUAAUGUGGAAAAAUCACCAGUCUCAUGUGUUCCUUAGUGGAUCCUUUGGAGCCCUAUCAAAGUUUCAUGAUGAAACCAUUGACUUUUGUUUAACCCAAAUGUGCUUUCAAGACAAAUCUUGAAAGAUUUGAGAGAUGGAGGUUCAAGUCUUUUAUGAACGACCAUGUUCUCUUAGGGUUCAUGAAAUUCACACCUUUUGAUAAAUAAAACUUAUCUAUUUAUACGUCUAAAACCCAGUAUUUAUUUAUUUAAUUAUAGAAAGUUUCUUAGUUUUAAAAACAUUUCAAAAAUCAUUUUUAGAAUCAAAUAAGAAUUUUAGAGAUAAACACAAUAUUAAAAUUUAACAAAAACAAAUUUUCGAAUUAAAAACACAAUAUAAACUAAAUUACAAAAUAUAAAGUAAUUUUUACCCUAAUUUCUUGUUGCAAAACCAAAUGGAACACCUAGAAGGGGAGUGAAUGGGUGAUUUUAAAUUUUUUCAAUAAUUAUUUAUAAGUUAUACCCAAUUCUUUUACCCUGCAAGUUGUUAGGGACUAUCAAUUCUUUCAUUUUGGCAAUUCAAACAAUAUAUCAAAUAAUAAAAAGAUAUAAAUAAUGAGACAUAAAUAUUUUUACGUGGAAAACCCCCCACACUAACCAUGGAGAUAAAAAGCCAUGGAGUCUAAGACCUAUUAAUCUAAAUUCACGGUACGAAAUCAAGUUACACAAAUUUAUUUGACAACUUUACCUUAAAGACUUACUCUACAGUACUGACAACUUGAUUCACAUCCACGACGUAGCAACCCUCGAUUACUCCAAUGGAUCACUUCAAGCUUACUAAAAGGAUGAAGGCCUUCAAACCAAGAUUCAAAAAUCAAUUCCUUGAAUGAGAGAUCAGGAAUGGUGUGCCACUUUAGGCUUUCUCUCUAAGAACUCUAAAAUGAUCUCCUCAAUGAAAACCUUUUAAACAAAAUGAGAUAUUUCUCCACAAUCUCUAACCCUCAAGGGGUUAUAAUGAGAUAUUUAUAAGCAACUAAGUUGAAGAGUUUCGGUUUUGGAAGGUUUCUCAAUUGAAUUUGUGUGAAAAACUCGACAGAAUCAACAUGACCGCUCGAGGCAGCACACUUCCCACUUGAGCGUUUCGGGCACUUGAGCGGUAAGGCUUGCUUGAGUUGUCCUAAGCGCUUGAGCAUUCCAGGCUACUUGAGCAAUCUUGCUCUAUUUCAAAAGUUAAUUUUAAACCAUUUUAAGUUCAAAACAAAAUUGAUUCCCUUUAUACCUCAAAGGAGCCUAACUUGCCACAAACCAAACUUUUUUAGAUAUACUUGUGACUUCCUGGUUGGACGAACAACAACUCUUAAUCUUCAAUGGAGAGCAAGUCACUAUCUAAAAAGAUUUAUAUGGUCAAACAUAAAAAAACAAAAAAAUUGCCAACAUAACAACAAGACUCAAUGUCCAUGCAUGGUCACCUGAAAGGUGACUCCGACCACAAUAUAAUGCAUGUUCUCAUAGAACAUGUGAACAAGAUGGGGAUAGGAAGUCCCCUAGAGAGAAAACAGAGUCUCCUAACCCUACUCUUGAAUGAUGAUAGGGAAGACAGUGUCCUGAAAAGCUUAAAGGUUAAUGGCAUGCUCAGGCUCGACACACCGAUAUGUGAAAGAAGCGUAAUAAUGGUCCCGUGCCACCUGGUAGUGAAAGCGCUCAACCGGAAGUGCAUCUAGGUUAAAAAGACCCUAGAGUGGGAUGCCCUAGACGGUUUCAGUGACCUAGGAAAGGUCACCUCCCUUUGACAUCUAUGACUAGCCAUAUCUAAGGUAUAUAAUAUGAAAAAACAAAAGCUAAAGAAAAUCCAGAGAAAAGCUAAACCACUAAAAAUGUUAAACUCAAUGCGUCGAACAAUACUAUACAAAUGGAAAUGAAAAAUAUGAAGCGAACUGACCUCAGAAGACAAAAGGACAGUAACCCAGAGGGCUCGAAGAGGAAUAGGAAAGAUUGAAAUGAAUAUGGCGUGAUGGAUGACCUUUAUAUAGCUUAUAAGAGUGCUUGAUGCAGAUUAGCACUUGAGCGUCAUGACUAACUUAAAUCAAAUUAUUUAUUAAUAUGGAAAUAUUUUAAAAGUUUCAAAGGAAGUAUUCAAUUUAGAACCUUUUUAGAAUUUUUUUGAAAGAAACAAAAAUAAAGCGUGAAAUAUUAUGUGUUAAAGGUGUUAGAAGACAAUAUUGUCUAAUCCAAAGCCUUACACAUUCCUAAAAAAAAAAAAAAAAAAAAAGGAAAAAGAGAGAUAUUAUAUAAGAUUUUGAUCACAUCUAAUAGAAACUAAUAUUUAGCAACAUAUCACCAAGCACUAUCUUAUCAGAAAGCUCUAACAUGUUGGAAAUUUAUGUAAGGUUCCAUAACAGCUAAAAACUUUUUCUGACGACUCGGUAAUGGACCAUUUGCACUUUAACUACAUUAUUGAAUUUAAAUCAUAUUAGAAUUGUAAUUGACUUCUCUUUUGUGAGACUACAUAUCUUGUAGGAUGGGAUAGGUGAUUCAUUUCAUAUAUGAAAUUUACUUAAUUUAGUAAUGCUUCCAAGUUCAUUAUGAAUCUAAUGGUAUCACAACUCCUUUAAUAUUUGUAAUUUUGUAAUCUUUGUUUCAACUUCUCAAGUCUAGUCAUUUUAUUGGCAUAACUAGUUUGCUUCAAUUAUCUCUCAACUUUAUUAUAAAACUAAGGGAAAGGAUUAUCACGCAUUUUAUAUUAACUUAACCAAACAUCUUUAUAUAUCUUACAUAUAUAUAUUUUUUGUAAAUUUAGGAAAAUUUCAUCCAUUAGCCAUAGUAAGUAAGAAUCAAAUAAGGGAUAUGUAAGCCAAUGGUGAUAUUGAUGGCGUCAAAUCAAUGACAUAGUAGAAAAGUGGAUUGUCUAUUUUCAAACCUUUAUAUUUUCAUCCAAUAGUAAAAAGGUUUAGGCAUCACUUGAAAAGUAGUUCGUUUUUUACCUUGGACUAUGAUUUAUGAAUAAAGUUCUUCUGUUGUAUACCUUUUGUGAUGCCCCAAACCUAAUUUAGGGGUAAAAAAAUAAUUUAGAAAAAAAUAAAUAAAAAGUUAAAUAAAUUUAAUUAAGGUAAAAAUGUAUUUUUGUAUUUAAAAUUCCUAGGUAUCAAUUAUAUAUUUCUUGUCUUCUCUAUUCAAAAAACCCUAUUACACAAAAAUCAAAUAUCAGAGAACAUAGGACAACGCAGGGUUGAAGAUUUGGAGGUUUAGGGUUGAAGAUUAGUUUUCCAGGUAAGAUUCUAACCCUUAAAUUAGUAUUUUAGAUUCGUUAAUUAGUUUGAACACUUUAGAUAUUCUUUGAAAAAUCUGAAUCUACGUUAGGGUUUGUUAAUUUAAUUUUUAAAUAAAAAAGAUUCAAAAUUUAUGAACAUAAGUAGAGUUAUUAUUAAAGAUUGAAAUUUUUUGAAUAUUUGAAUUAAAAAUCUAGAAAAAAAAAGAAGAAAAUAAAUUAUAGCUUUGGAUGUGGAAAAAAGUUAAUAUUAAUAAAUAAAUAAAACUUAUGAGUACGGAGGUAGAAAAAUAUGAGAGUUGAAAGCAAAGAAAAAAAAAAGAGAAUAAGGUUUUGUGGUUGUACGUGUCUCCUUAGUGGAAAAAAGAAAUACAAGGUUGUUUGCAAUAGGAUAUGACAAAGAGAGAGAGAUAAAUGCUUAGAUGUUGAUUUUUGUGGGGAAAAAAAGAUUGGGUAAUGUAGGAGAGAAAUAGGUAGCACUUGUAGAGUUGGUGGGGUUGUUGUAAAAGCUCGUAGGGUAAUUGUUAGGUAGUAGUAGGGUAUGAGAUUAAUUGUUAGGAAACAUUAGGACUUGAAAUAAUAAUAAUUGCUUCUAGUAAAAGUUUUAACUUAGUUUAAGUAUAUAAAAGAAAUAGAUGAUUAGAAUAAGAUUUGGAAGGAAUAUGAAUUCAUAAAAAUUUCGAAAUUUACUAAUUUAGAUUAUUAUUUUUUUGGAAGUUGAAUAUAAUAUAGGUGGUAAUAUUAUUAAUAUAGGAAAUGAUUAAGAUUCUCAAACCUACAAUUUUAGAUAAAUAGUUAAUAGUAAUAGUUGAUUUUUUAUUUUUUUUAUUUUUUAUUUUUUAUGUUAUGUUAAGUGAAUAAUGGAUUCUUUGAUUAAUUCUCUAAGGUUUCUAAGUGCUUCUUUAAGAUAAGGGAUAUUAAUACUGAUUUUGUAAAUGAAAAUAUUUCUUUUUAUAAGUUAUUUUAAAUUAUGAAAAAUUUUAUUUUUAUUUAUGCAUGGAUCAAAUAUAUAUUUUUUCAUGAGAAACAUGUUUGGGCAAUUUCUUUGUUUAUAAAUAAAUAAAUAAAAAAUGAGAACUUUGGAAAUAUAAUGUUUUGUUUUGCAAGUUUAAAAUAAUGAAAUAAAGUUUUUGACUCUGGUUUAUAUGACCUUAGUUAAUGGGUUAUAAUUGUUGACAUUUUCAGCUCUCCAAUCAAUGAUUAUAAUUGUUGAGAUUUUCAACCCUAGCCAACGGGUUAUAAUAGUUGACCUUAUAGCCCUAGUCAACAGAUAUAAUUGUUAACCUUUCGUUUUUCCCAUCUUAAAAAGAACAAAUUUAAGGCUAACCAUUUAUUUGUAAAGUCCCACCUAACUAAGUACCAUUUGUUAUUUAAUAACCAGAGUAAAGAUAUUUUGAAUGUAUUUGAUAUGAAAUUAUUUUGAUAUAAAUAUGAAAAUGUUUGGUUGAAAAGUUCAAAUGUUUAAUGCAUGUUGAAUUCAAAAGUUUUUAUGAAAAUGAUUAUAUGUUAUAUCUCCUAUUUGUAAGUUUGAUCCAUAAAACUGUAUUAAUAUUCCUUAUUGGACUUUGAGCUCAUUCCCCUUUGUUGAGAAUUUUUUUUGGUAUUCUCAGUUUGGGCAAGGAGUGAUGACUGGGUUGGGGAAUUUUCUUUACUAUGAUUUUGGUUCAAUCUUUAUUUUGGACAUUGUAAUUUAAUUCCCAUUUAAAUUAUUUGGGUUUGGAGUUAUUUGGACGAUAACACUUUGAUUGAUGUGUUAGUUUUAAAGUUGAGAAUUGAAAAUUAUAGAAUUUAUUUAUCUUUCUACUUUGAAUAGAAAUUUAGUAAUUGGAGAUCAUCCAGUUACAAGAUGAAUAUUAGAUGAAUAUUUGUGUCGUUUCCACAUUGAGUGUUCAGGCUUAGGGUGUGAAAUGACCGUUAUGCCCUUGGAGUGGGUAUAUUGUUUAUUUGAAUUUAAUGGUCCCCGAACUCCUUAAUUACUCAUAACUUUAUAUCACCUUCUCAAAGUUAAGUUGUUUUACAACUACUAUCUAGCUACUUUUCUCUACUAUGACAACUUUAUUACAUAGUGAUUAAUUGAAAGAAUCUACAUGUCUUAUUUCAUAGGAUAGUUGAUUUUUUUACUCAAUGAAUCUUGCUUUUAUUAUUGAAAAUUUCAAAUCAUUGUAGUCCAACAAUUUACUAUCCUUUGGUAAUUUCAUAUUACAUUUCCAAAGUCUAAUCAUUUAAAAACACUUGUAGUUAAUAUAUUGGCAAUUGCAUUGUGGGAAGUUGUUCACUUGAUUUUAAUGUUGAAACUUUCAAAUUGUUGUAGUCCAACAAUUCCCUAUCCAUUGGUAAUUUCAUAUCACAUUUUCAAAGUAUAAUCAUUUACAAAUACUUGUAUAUAGUAUAUUUGGUGAUUGUAGAGUGGAAAGUUGAUCGUUUUCAUGAAGACCUCUAAAAUAGAAAUUUUUUUCAUUCCAUUUAAUAAAGAAUUUCAUUAAUUGAACAUAUAUGUUUUUUUAACCGGAAAGUAGAGGCCACAUUAUACGAGGCCUUAGGUGACAAUACUAGGUGAGGGUUUUUUUUUUUAAUUUAUUUAUUACUAAAUAUAAAUAAUAUUAUUUAUUGUAUAAUAAAGAUUAUUAUAAUAUAUUUUUUAUAGAUGAAAAAAAUAUUAAUUGAGUUUUAUUUUUUUAAAAUAAUUGUUUUCAAUAAAUAACUUAUUUGUAAAAAGAAAACUAUAAAAUAUAUGCAUUUGAAAAAUAUUUAAUUUUUAUUUGAUUUAGUAUCAAUUAAUAUUUGUAAUAUUUUUUAAUAUUAUAGAAGUUAACAUACUCAAUCAAGAUAUUCAAGAUCAAGAGAAUAUUUAAGAUUGAAUUAAUUUCUUUAUUGUUUAUGUUUUAGUAAAUUUUUAUAUCCAUUACAAAUUUUUUAUUGUUUAUUUUUCAUUCAAUGUUUGCAUUUUUUAAUAGAUAUUAAAACGAUUUUUUUUCUUGUAUGUUAAAAAAAUAUUUCAAUGUCUUUAAAAAUAAAAUAUUGCAGUAAAAUCAAAAUUACAUUGUGAAACUUUAAGCGAAUGUUUUAUACUUAAGAAGUGCCAAUUAAAGUAAGCAUGCAUCUACAAUUGUAAUUUAGAUGUCAUACUGAAACAAUAGUUCUCUUUGACUAUAUCAUAAAAUUUGGUUCGAAUUACUUUAAGUCGUCUUGUAGAUUUUCAAGUUCCAAUGAUAUGCAUCAAGUAUGUGCAACAUACUUGAUAUAACUAAUAUUUUCUUAAGUAAUUGGACACUUUUUUCUAUAAAUUUACUUGAUUAUCAAUGAAUACUUUUAUGUAAGGUAUUGAUAUAAUUCGAUAAAUAUUUUAAAAUAGUAUUAGAAUAGCUUUGCUCUUUCCCAAUUAACAAAUUUACUAAAUUAACUUAUAUAUAUUUGUUUAUUUGAAUUUACUGGUAUUUGACUCAAAUUGUUAUUAUUUUUAAAAUUAUAGGAAAACCAUUAUUUAUAGAGUUUAAUUAUAUUUGGUAAAUUAUCUUUUUAAGUUUGGCUAGGAUUAGGAAACUAUUAAUUUAAGAUUAAUCCAUAAGGCUCUAUAAAUUUGCAGUUUUAUUUAGGAUUUAAAAAAAGAAAGAAAAAGUAAGAAAAAGUGAAGAGAGAUAGGCAAAGAGUGCAUUGGGUUUUAAAUAAAGAAAGGUUGAGAGAGUUUUGAUUACUACUCAAAAAGAACAUAUUUUAGAUAGUAAUUCUCAUGGGUUUCACAUCUUUUGAGUAUUAAUUAUGCCUAAAAAUGCUCAAUUAACAUGUUGUUGCCUUUGCAAGAGUUACUAACAAGUUUUAUAAAGUUUUGGAGUCAUUUCAAGUUAUGAUUUUAAUAAAUUGGUGACGAAAGAGAUGAAUUGAUUUGAAGAAGGCAAAUAAUAUUGAUGAUGAUCCAAAUGCAUAAUGAAAGAAGCAAUAUAAUUAGUUUGAUCGGGAUUUGCUGCUAAUUUGGAGGUAGUUAAGGUGGAGUCAAAAGAAGAAAAUGGAAGAAAUGACAAAGAGGAGCUUAAAAACCAAAUGUUGCAGAUUUGUAUGAUCAUGCAAAAAUUACAUGACUAUGCGAAAUGGAUUAGAGAAGGAAAAUUGACUAUAGUAUAAGGAGGAUGCUUAAGUUGAUUUCGCAUGAACAUGCGAAAAUUUUGCACAAUCAUGCGAAAUGGUCCAGAAAGCUCUCUAAUGUUGUUGUUGCUCCACUAAUUUCACACCACCAUGCGAAAUUGAUCUUUUCAUGCAAAAUGGCUGAAGCUCAUGUGAAAUCAUGAUUUUGAUGCUAAACUCUAGAUUUGUGAAUUUGGAAGGUUUUAGAAGAUCAAUGAGAAGUUGCCAAGUGUCCACUUGACCUUGGUCUAUAAAUAGAAACUUGAAUUUCCCAUGUAAAGAGCUUUGUGAUACUUUUGAUUUUAGAUUUUUCUAGGAACUCUUUCUCUAAAUAGAAUUCUAUAUUUUCUUUAAUUUUCUCUCAUUUUCUCAUUCGCCAAACAUGCCUAGUGAGACCAAAUCUCCAAGUAUGAGUGGCUAAAUCUCGUUUUUCUCAAAGGAAUGAGGAUCUAGAGUCAAGAUCUAUGGUGAAUUAUAGAAAUGAGUUUUAAUCGGAAAUGCAAUUUGAUUCAAUUGAUUGAUUAAUUGAAAUUUGAGGAUUUUUCUCUUCAAAUUAUCCUAAAUGACUAUUACAUUGCAAACUAGGUAGAUUCAUUAAAUUCUUAAAGCUAGAUUUAAUGAGACUGAAUAGUUGCAUUGUAUGAAUCAUUGGAAGAUAAUUUAAGAUGAAUUGAAUAUAUAAUUUAAAUUGAUCUCUUGGAUUAAAUAACCUAAUUUGAAGAGAAAUUAGGUUUAGACUUAAAGGUAAAUCUAAAAUCGAUUUAGAUAAGAAUUUAGGUUUUCAAUCUAACUUGAUGAAAAAUAAAUCUCAACAUCUAUUCACCAUGGAAAUUGUUUUCUAAAAAAUAUUAACUCCGAGAAUUCCUUUUCCUUAUCAAUUUUCUUAUAUUCUACAUUAUAUUGUUCUUUUCGAUUAGAAAUCAUUGUUAUUUUGAUUUUUCAUGAAUUGUCAAAUCAAUUUCACUUGACCAUAAUCAUUUCUUUUCCUCCCAUUUAAGCCUUAAUUAUCGAGAAUAAUCCAUCCCAAUAGAAGACACCUAAGACCACUAUACUACCGUAGCUUUUGCUAAAAAACCUUUUUGAUCGGGCAAGAGUUACCUUAGCAUAGUUGAAUUAGGUUAUAAUUUUUUUAUCCAAUAAACAACAAAAAAAAUCAAUCGAUCAAGUUUGCAUUGUGUAUUCUUGAAUUUUAUUAAUAAAUUUGAUCCCCCUUUUUGAAGCGAUUACACCAAACCAAGUAAAUAUUUUAUAUACUUCAUUUGCUUUAUUUUUUCUAUUAAGUUUAGGUGUUGCAAUUUUCAAGAGUCAUGGUGAGAAGAUUGUGGGAAAAAUUAUUUUAAGGAUGGAGUCGAACAUAAAAUAUGAAAUUGAGUCCUUUGAUGGAAAUAAUAAUUUUAAUAUUUGAUAGAGUAUUAUUAAAGAUGUUUUGAUACAACAAAGACUUCUCAAAGCAUUACAAGGCAAAAAAACUAGAGAGCAUGACAAAUAAAGAAAUGAAAGAAUUAGAAGCAAGAGUUGUAAGUACUAUUUGUUUAAGUCUUAAAAAUGAAAUACAUUGUUUUGAAUGAAAAAAAUAUUCUUUUAGGGGUGUCAAUUGCUCUUUUAGAGACCAAAAAUAUUAAGCAGUCAAGUAGUUCAUCUCAUAUUGGACAAACUGUUAUGAUGAAUUCUAAACCACAUCAUCAUAGGAGUAAAUCGAAAGAAAGUAUCUGAUAGGAGGAUGAUCAUUCCAUUCACACUUAUGGAGGAAUAUGAAGUAUUAUUACUGUGAAAAAAAAAACAUAUCAGGAGAUAUUGUAAAGAAUUGAUGAAGUACCUAGAAGAAAUGAAAAUUUUUAAAUCCCAAGAGACUUCAAAUUUUACUAAUAUUGUUGAUGAAAAUUUUGAAAUAUUGUAGUAAAUUAAAAGUUACAUUAUGGGACUUUUAGUGAGUGUUUUAUGUUGAAGAAAGGCUAAUUAAAGUAAACAUGCAUCUAAAACUAUAAUUUAGAUGUUGUACUCAAAUAGUUGCUCUCCUCGAUUAUAUCAUAAAAUUUGGUUUGAAGUCUAAGUCAUCUAAUAAUUUUCUAAUUCAAAUUGCAUGCAUCAAACAUGUGUGUUAGGAAGUGUUGCAAAUUACUAAUUAAUAUAGAUUCUUUUUUUUUUUAAAGAAUAUUGUAUUGAAUAUUUCUAGGUUGAUAUAUUAUUGUAAUAUUAGACUUUCUUAUAGAAUAAGGAAGGUUGUUGAAAAUAUCCCUAUAAAUAUUCUAGUUCAUAAGGGGAAAAAGUUAUGAGAUGAAGAUGGACCCAUAAAGACUAUACAAGGUGGAUAGAGACGUGAAGAAAAACGAGAGGUACCCGGUGGAGCGAGAGGGCUCGUGGUAGGGUAUAGGUACAAAGAGUGAGAAAACAUGGGAUGUUUUGGGAACCCAAUAAUUGUAUCUGGUUAUGUCCUCUAUAAGUUCUAGUCCUGUCAUCUGCAUUGUUCUCUAUUUUAUAGUGGAAUGAUUCUCUUUUAUCUGUGGACGUGGGCAUGGUUUUCGAACCAUGUUAAAACCUUGUGUACCGUUUGUGUUGAUUUUUUUUUUUAUCUUUAUUUUAUUGAUUAAUGAAGUUUGCAUCAAAGCUUCUGUCAACGUAACAAACUUGUAUCAAAGCUUGGGUUAAAGAUUUCUAGAAGAGUAAAAGAUCAUAGAGCACACAAGAUGAAAACAAAAGGAAUUUUUAGUGAAAAUGGAGUCAAUUGCUCUCUCAUGGUGAUAUGAUAUAAAAAGUUUGUGUCAUGGAAAGUUUGAAGAUUUACUUCAUGGAAUCUGGUCCAAAAUGGAGAUUGUUAAUAAGUAUCCCAAAUUCCUAAUUAGUUUAGAUUUUUUUUUUUUGUAAAGAAUAUUGUAUAGAAUAUUUCUAGGUUAAUAUAUUAUUGUAAUAUUAGACUUCCUUAUAGAAUAAGGAAGGUUGUUGAAAAUAUCUUUAUAAAUAUUCUAGGUCAUGAGGGAAAAAAGUUAUGAGAUGAAAUGGGCCUGUAAAAACUAUAUGAGGUGGAUAGAGAUGUGAGGAAGAACAAGAGGUACUCAAUGGAAUGAAAGGGCUCGUGGUAGGGUAUGGAUACAAAGAGUGGGGAAAUAUGGGAUGUUUUGGGAACCUAAUAGUUGUAUCUGGUUCUGUCAUCUAUAAUGUUCUAGUUAUGUCCUCUAUAAUUGAUUCGUUCCCAAUUGGUGUCUCAGCUGAUUCAUGUCCUCUCCAUGGUCCCUGAUAGUGGUGCCAUUUGAUUCAUGUCCAGCUGGUGUCCCUUGAUUUUGGUCUUCAGGGAGUAAUCAACAAAAUUUAUAACCUAUUACACCAUGUACUAGGAUAGCCUUAGCUAGCAUAGCAUAGUGGCUCUAGGGUCGUUCACUGGGAUGGGUUUUCACUUCACAAUUGAUAUUAAUUCAAAGAUGAAUUGGUGCUUUUUCAUUUCAAGGUUAGCUUUAAAAGAAAACAUAAAGAUGUUUGAAUGAAAAAGGUUUUGUUUUAAACUAACCAAAAAUAAUAACUGAUUUUACUUACAAAGAAAAGUGUUUCUUGGAGUUUAGAUCACUGGGCUCAGAUUCCUUGUACAAAAAGGGAGUUCCGGUCACUUGUUUCUUUUCCUCGCAUUAGAGAAUUAACAUAUAGUUAAUUCUCUAACCGGUGUGGUACAGAUGCUUCCCCUUAAUGGGUUCAAACACUAAAUCCCUCUCACUGAUGCAACUUGCAAUGGCUCGUGCCUCUCACCUAGCAUUUGCCAUUCAAGGUGAUCUUUAACCUUGGAUUACCCUUCACAAGCUCGCAAGAGAUAACUAAUGGAUGUCUCCUUAGAGUCCAAAAGCUUACCAAGUGUUGGCAAUUCUAGAAAAUCAUACCUUCAAACCACCUCCCAAAAGCUCGCAAGAGGUAAACCAGUGCAUCUCCAUUGACGGAGAUCACUUGCCUAACCAAGUGUUGGCUCAAGUGAAUUGAAGGUGUUUUAAGUUAACUAAAAAGAUAAAAACCAUUAACGGGUCACACUUUCUCUUCAUUAAAAACUAAAACAACAAAACUUCCAAUUUAUGCAUGAGGAAACUUACCCGGCUUUCUUUCACUCCAAGAGACGAAGAGCCUAGCCUCUCAUCCUCUGAGAAAAAAUCCUCAGAGUUUGAUUGGCUAGAAAGAAAACUAACGAGAAAACAAAAAUAUAUAUAAGAAGCAGAGCAAAAGCUCUGUUCGUUGAUUACAUAUAUGAUAUAUGAUAUAUGAUGGAUCCUCUUCUUUACAUUGGUUCAAAGAUAUAUAUAGAGAAGAUAUUUUCUAAGAAAUAUCCCAAUAAUAUCUUUGACUAAUUACAAGGAGAAAAUAGAAAUUUACACAAAAUAUCUUGAGAGAAAAAAUCUAACUUAGUCGGUGGCAAAUAUCAGGAAGCUUCAGGAGAAUAUCGCGUCACUGUGCAAAAAUCCGGGUAAUCUGAAAUGCCGGCCGCGGAUGCUCUCCGGGUUAGCGCUAUUAGAAGAUCCGGACAUGCCUGUCUGGGGAGGUUGAAAUGCCUCUUCUUCCAUCCGGCGUCAGGCGUCGGAUUUGAAAUAUCUGAUCAGAGGAUCCUGACAUGUCUGACCGAACAGAAUUUCAGAUGUGAGAUAUCCGGACGUCGCAAGGGGGACCGUUUGCGUGUACAAGGUGUAGAGACCCUUCCCCCUGAUGACACGGAGCACGCAUCGCUAUCCAGAGCAACUCCAUCCGGAUUUCCCAAGAGGACACGCACCGCCAUGCUAUCCGGCACUCGUGAACAUCACACUCCGGAUGAUAGCAUAUCCUAUCCGGAUAUGUUGUCUGGAUCAUUGACUAAAGUGAGCAAGCCUUACUACAGCCCACGUUCCGCCGCUCUUCCAAUGGUGUGUCCGGACGCCCUGUCUGGACAUCUUUUUCCAUGGAUUCCAAAGAACUCUCCUCAAUCUCGGAUUGCUUUGGUGAUAAAAAAGCUAUCAAAACACCAAAACUUAACACAAUUUGAUUAGAAUUGAUUGCAAGGGUCCUUAAUAUGUUAAUUGGGUUAAAAAGUGAUAACUACUACUCAAAAGUGUUUAAAAGAGUUAAUUACAAGCUAUGAAAUAACACUUUUUGAGUAGUAAUCAAUAAUGUUCUCUAUUGUAUAGUGGAAUGAUUCUCUUUCAUUCGUGGAUGUAGGCAUGGUUGUCGAACCACAUUAAAACCUCGUGUACUGUUUGUGUUUUUUUUUUAAAAAAAAUUAAUCUUUGUUUCUUGAUUAAUGAUGUGUGCAUCAAAGCUUCCAUCUACGUAACAAACUGGUAUCAGAGCUUGGGUUGAAGAUUUUUGGAAUAGUAAAAGAUCACAAAGCACACAAGAUGAAAACAAAAGGAAUUUUUAGUGAAUGUGGAGUCAAUUGUUCUCUCAUGGUGAUAUGAUACAAAAAGUUUGUGUCAUGGAGGGUUUAAUGAUUGACUCCAUGGAAUUUGGUCCAAGGUAGAGAUUGUUAGGAAGUGUCCCAAAUUCCUAAUUAGUAUAGAUUUUUUUUUUAUAAAGAAUCUUGUAUAGAAUAUUUCUAGGUUGAUAUAUUAUUGUAAUAUUAGACUUCCUUAUAGAAUAAUGAAGGUUGUUGGAAAUAUUUUUAUAAAUAUUUUUAGUCAUGAGGGGAAAAAGUUAUGAGAUGAAGAUGAGCCUAUAAAGACCAUACGAGAUGGAUAGAGAUAUGAGGAAGAAUCGAAGGUACCCAGUGGAGCAAGAGGGCUCGUGGUAGGGUAUGAAUAUGAAGAGUGGGGAAACAUGGGAUGUUUUGGGAACCCAAUAGUUGUAUCUAGUUUUGUCAUCUAUAAUGUUCUGGUUCUGGCAUCUAUAAUGUUCUGGUUUUGUCCUAUGUAAUGUUCUUUAUUGUAUAGUGGAAUUAUUAUCUCUCAUCUGUGUAGACAAGUUGCUAAACCACGUUAAAACCUCGAAUACCAUUUGUGUUGAUUUUUUUUAUCUUUGCGUUCUUGAUUAACGAUGCUUGCAUCAAAGCUUCUACCAACGUAACAAUGUGCAACAUAUUUGAUAUAACUUAUAUUUUCUUAAGUAAUUGAACACUUUUUCUAUAAAUUUACUUGAUUAUCAAUGAAUACCUACAUAUACGGUAUUGACAUAGUUUGAUAAAUAUUUUAAAAUAGUAUUAGAAUGGCUUUUCUUUUUCCCAAUUAACAAAUUUAUCAAAUAUAUACAUACACACACACACACACACAUAAUACUCAUUAGUAUGUCUUUUAUGAAAAAACUAUAUUUGUUUAUUUGAAUUUAGUAGCCAUUCAACUCCUUAGUUACUCAUAAACUUUUUAUCACCUUCUUAAAGUCAAGUCAUUUACAAUUAUUUCUAUCUAGCCUUCUCCAUUAUAACAACUUUAUAAGAUAGUGAUUGAUUGGAAGAAUCUACAUGCCUUUGUUGAUAGGAUAAUUGUUUUUCUUUUUUUUUCGUAUUCAAAGAAUCUUGCUUCUGUUAUUGAAACUUUCAAAUCCUUUAUGUCAAGUUGUCUUAUAAUUCCCUAUUCAUUGGUCUUUCAUAUUACCAAUCAUUUUGAAAAUGAGUUAAUUUCAUUCACAUCCUCUGAGAUUUGAUGUAAAUUCGCUUAGUUACCAAUGAUUUCAAAUUUCAUUAAUUAGUACCCCUAUAGAUGUAAUUUGUGUACAAAAUUUAUUUUUUAAAAGAGUUUAGGUAAAAAUAUUUUAGGUAUAUGUCUUUAACAAUUCUCUAAAAUAAAUUUUACUUGCUAAAAAAUAACUUAUAUAGAUAGAAUACAUCUACAGGAGUUCUAACUAACGAAAUUUAAAACUAAUGGUGGUUUAGUGUAUUUAAACUAAACAUUAGGAAGGGUGACUGAAAUUAACCCUCUAGGUAUAUAUGUUUAACAAAAUUUUUAUUGUUUAUUUUUCAUUUAAUGUUUGCAUUUUUCAAUAAACAUUGAAAAGGAAUUGUUUUUCCAUAUGUUAACAAAAAGAAAUUUGAACACCUAUAAAAAUAAAAUCUUGUAGCAAAAUUGGAGUUACAUUAUCAGACUUUUAAUGAGUGUUUAUGUUUAGAAAGACCAAUUAAAGCAAGCAUGCAUCUAGAAAUUGUAACUUAGAUGCAUCAAACAUGAGCAACAUAUUUGAUAUAACCAAUAGUUUCUUAAGUAACUAAACACUUCUUUUUCUAUAAAUUUACUUGAUUAUCGAUGAAUACUUACAUAUAUUUACAUAGUUUGAUAAAUAUUUUAAAAUAAUAUUAGAAUAACUUUGUUUUUUCUCAAUUAUAUUAGAAAAUAAUAUAAAGUUACUUAUAAACUUUAUAUCAUUUUCUCAAAGUCAAGUCAUUUACAAUUAUUUCUAUCUAGCCUUCUCCAUUAUGACAACUUUUAUAUGAUAGCCGUUGAUUGGAAGAAUCUACAUGUCUUUUUUGAUAGGAUAGUUGUUUUUAUUUUUUUAUUUUUUUUAUUCCAAAAAUUUGCUUCUAUCAUUGAAACUUUCAAAUCUUUUAUGUAUAUUACCAAUCAUUUUACAAGUGAGUUAAUUUCACUUAGGGUAGAUAUACUUAGCCACACCCCUAUAGAUGUAAUUUGUGUUUAAAUUUUAUUUUUUAUUUAGGUAAAAAUAUCUUAGGUAUAUGUGUUCAACAAUUCUCUAAAAAAUAAAUUUUCUUAUCUAAAAGUUUAUAUAGACAAAAUACAUCUAUAGAAGUCCUAAUUAAUGAAAUUUAAAAUUAAUGGUUGUUUAGUGUAUUUACAUUAAACCUUAUGGGGUAUGAUUGAAAUUAACUCUUUUACAAGCACUUGUAGCUAAUAUGUUUGUAGUUGUAGUGUUGGAAAUUGAUCAUUUUCUUGAAGGCCUCUAAGAUAUUGAAAAUAUUGCCAUAGUUUUAGACUUUUUUUUAUUACACCUAAUAAAAAAUAUUAUUAAUUUAACAUAUAUAUUCUUGACUUAAAAGUAAAGUCUCUCCAUAUUGUAUAAGCCCUUAGGUGGCAAUAUUAGGUGAAGUUUUUCUUUCGUUUAUUACAAAAUAUAAAUAAUUUAUUAUUGUAUGAUAAAAUUUUAUGUAAUAUAUUUUUAUAGAUGUAAAAUUAUUAAUUGGGUUUUUUUUUUACUAAAUUGUCAUUUCAAUAUAUAAAACUUAUUUGUAAAAAGACAAUUAUAAACUAUAUGAAAUUGAAAAACAUUUAGUUUUUUUAUUUAAUUUAGAAUUUUAUUUGGAUUAAUAAUUGAUAUUUGUAAGAUUUUUUAAUAUUAAAAAAAGUUAGCAUACUUAAGAAAGAUAUUCAAGAUCGGGAGUGUUUGAUAUUGGAUUAAUUUCCUUAUUUUCUCUAUUUUAAUAAAUUUUCACGUCCAUUACAAAAUUUUUGUUGUUUAUUUUUCACUUCAAUAUUUUUAUUUUGUAAUAGACAUUUGAAAAGAUUUUUUCCUACAUGUUAAAAAAAAAAAUAUUUGAACACUCCUAAAAAAGAAUAUUGCUAUAAAAUUAAAGUUUACAUUGUAGGACUAUUAGCAAAUGCUAUAUACUUAAAAUAGACCAAUUAAAGUAGAAAUACUUCUAAAAUUGUAAUUUAGGUAACAAUAAUAUAAAAAGAUAAUAUUUUUGAAACAAUAGUUCUCUUGGAGUUUUGGGUACGAUGGACUAGACUUUAUGUACAAUAGAUAUACAAACUUUCCAUUAACAUCUUGAGAGACAUGAUGAGGAGCAAAGUCAUCCAAGAAGGUACCAUAGAGGUACCUUAGCUCCAUUCAUCUAGACUACAUAAUGUUUAAAGAUCAAAUUCAAUGACUAGAUUUCAAAAAUCAAUAUAAGCUUUCUCAUAUUCUACUCUAUAUAAGACAAUGGUAUGAUACCUCUCUUGUGUCGUAGAAUGCACCAUGAAAACCUUAUCAUUUUAACAUCAGUUUGAAACUUAAAAGUCACUUAGCACAUUCUAGUUAUUAAUCUAAGAGCAUUAAAAGAAAAUAUAAAAAAAGUUACUUUAUCCUUGUGAUUUUGAUUUAGGACUUUUAAUGAUAUUAAAAAAAAAAAACAAAACAGAAAAAUAAAUGGAAAUAAAAUCAACAAAUUAAACAAUUGAAUUAAGUUAGUUUAAUUCUUGCAUCGUUAAAUGGGUAAAUAAAGACUCUUAGAUUUGAUAUUAAUAUGAACAUCAUGACUUCAGUGAAUCUUACAAGAAAAUUUUAGUUUGAAAGACUUCAUUCAUUAAACGUGUGGCACAUAUUAAAGUAAAACUAAGUCUUCUCUAUAAUUUGUACCUAUCAUAGUUUCUUUCCUUAUAAAUAGCCUUUUUUGAAUAUAAUAUAGACUUCAACAUGCAUGGUGGGGCCAAUCAAACUACUAGUCAAGACAACUCAUGGGCAACAACGAUGUACCAACUACAUUUAAAUACUCUUCAUCUAUUUACAUAUCAAGAGUAAUUUAGUAGUGUCUUAUUUAUGUACCUCAUAUCUAGACUUUCAAUGGAGAGUUCUUCAUCUAAAAAUUUGACUUGGGUUUUCAUACUAGUUUUGGUUUAGACAUGUGGAUGCAAAGGUUGCAUCAAAGAAGAGAAGUAGGCUAAAUCAUCUUACAAAUUUUAUAGUUCAAAUUAGAUGCACCAAACAUAUGCAACAUAUUUGAUAUAACUAAUAUUUUCUUAAGUAAUUGAAUACAAUUUUUUUUUUAAAUUUACUUGAUUAUUAAUGAAUAACUACAUGUAUGGUAUUGACACAACAUGAUAAAUCUUUUAAAAUAGUAUUAGAAUAACUUUGCUAAAAAAAAGUAAAAAUAAAAAUAAAAAUACAUCUAUAUAUAAAAUUAAAUUAAAUUAAAAAUUAAAAAAGAAUAUAUAUUCUCUGUGUGUGUGUGUGUGCAUGGUCCCACAACUCAUUAGCUACUCAUAAGCUUUAUAUCACUUUCUCAAAGUCAAGUCAUUUUGUAAUUAUUUCUAUCUAGCCUUCUCCAUUACGACAACUGUAUAGGAUAUUGAUUGGUUGGAAAAAUCUUCAUGUCUUUUUUUAUAAGAUAGUUUUUUUAUUAUUAUUAUUAUUCAAAGAAUUUGCUUUUAUUAUUGAAACUUUCAAAUCCUUUAUGUCUAGUGGUCCUACAAUUCCCUAUUCAUUGGUAUUUCAUAUUACCAAUCAUUUUACAAAUAAGUUUAUUUCACCCGGUAAAUAUACUUAACUACUAAUGGUUUCAAAUUUAAUUGAUUAACACACUUAUAGAUGUAAUUUGUUUUUAAAUUUUAUUUUUUUAGAAGAAUUGUAGGUAAAAAUGUUUUAGGAAUAUGUGUUCAAUAAUUCUCUAAAAACAAUUUAUAUAGAUGGAAUACAUUCAUGUAAGUUCCAACUAAUGAAAUUUAAAACUAAUGACAAUUUAAUGUAUUUGCACUAAAUCUUAGGGGAGGUGUACUAAAACUAGCCCUUUUACAAAUAUUUGAUAUGAAAUUAAUUAAUUAAUUUUUUCUAUUUAAAUAAAUUUUUGCAUCCAUUAAUAAAAUUUUAUUGUUUAUUUUUCACUUCAAUAUUUUUAUUUUGUAAAAUAAAUAGAAAUAAAAUCAACAAAUUAAAAAAUUGAAUUAAGUUAGUUUAAUUUUGCCACCUUUAAAUUGGUAAAUGAAGACUCUUAUAUUUGAUAUUAACAUGAACAUCAUGACUUUAUUGAAUCUCACAAGAAAAUUUUAGUUUGAAAGAUUUUAUCCUUUAAACAUGUGACACAUAUUAAAGUGAGACCAAGUCUUCCCUAUAAUUUGUAUCUAUCACAAUUUCUUUCCUAAUGAAUAGCCUUUUUGAAUAGAAUAUAGACUUUAGCAUGCAUGGUGGGGCCUAGCUAUCAAACUACUAGUCAAAACAACUCAUGGGCAAGAAUGAUGUACCAACUAGAUUAAGUAUUCUCCAUCUAUUUGCAUAUCAAGAGUAAUUUAGUAGUAUCUUUCUUGUGUACCUCAUUUCUAGACUUUCAAUGGAGAGUUUUUUAUCUUAAAAUUUGACGUGGGUUUUCAUACUAGUCUUGGUUCAGAUAUGUGAAUGCAAAGGUUGCAUCAAAGAAGAGAAGUAGGCUAAGUCAUCUUACAAAUUUUCAAGUUCAAAUUAGAUGCAUCGAACAUGUGCAACAUAUUUGAUAUAACUAAUAUUUUACCAAGCAACUAAAUACUUUAUAUAUAUAUAUAAAUUUAUUGAUGAUCAAUGAAUACCUACAUGUAUGGUAUUGACACAGUUUGAUAAAUCUUUUAAAAUAGUAUUAGAAUAACUUUGCUAAAAAAAGUAAAAAUAAAAUAAAAUAAAAUAUAUAUAUAUAUAUAUAUAUAAAUAAACAAAAUAAAAAAUUUAAAAAGAAUAUAUAUAUUAGUGGUCCCACAACUCAUUAGCUACUCAUAAGCUUUAUAUCAUUUUCUUAAAGUCAAGUCAUUUACAAUUAUUUCUAUAUAGCCUUCUCCAUUGCGACAACUGUACAAUAUAUUAAUUGAUUGAAAAAAUCAUCAUGUCUUUUUUGAUAGGAUAGUUUUUUUUUUAUUCAAAGAACUUUCAAAUUCUUUAUGUCUAGUGGUCCUACAAUUCCCUAUUCAUUGGUAUUUCAUAUUACCAACCAUUUUACAAAUAAGUUAAUUUCACUCGAUAAAUAUACUUAACCACCAAUGGUUUCCAAUUUGUAGCAUUCUUAUAGAUGUAGUUUGUUUUUAAAUUUUAUUUUUUAGAAGAAUUGUAGGUAAAAAUAUUUUAGCUAUAUAUGUUCAACAAUUCUCUAAAAACAAUUUAUAUAGAUGGAAUACGUUCAUGGAAGUUCCAACUAAUGAAAUUUAAAACCAAUGAUGAUUUAAUGUAUUUGUACUAAAUCUUAGGGAGUGUGGACUAAAAUUAGCCCUUUUACAAAUAUUUAUAACUAGUAUAUUUGUAGUUGUGGUAUUGGAAGUUGAUCAUUUUCUUAAAAGGUUUACCAUUGAAGUUAGUUGAAUAUAAAGUUAGGUGAACUUUACCAUUGUUAAAUUGGUAAAUGAAGACUCUUAGAUUUGAUACUAACAUGUACAUCAUGACUUCAUUGAAUCUCUCACAAGGAAAUUUUAGUUUGAAAGACUUCAUCUUUUAAACAUGUGGCACAUAUUAAAGUGAGACCAAGUCUUCCCUAUAAUUUGUAUCUAUCACAAUUUCUUUCCUCAUAAAUAGCCUUUUUGAAUAGAAUUAAUAUAGACUUUAGCAUGCAUGAUGGGCCCUAUCAAACUAUUAGUCAAGAUAAUUUGUAGGUAAGAACGAUGGACCAACUAUAUUAAAUACUCUUCAUCUAUUUGCAUAUCAAGAGCAACUUAAUAUUGUCUUUCUUUUGUACUUCAUGUUUGAACUUUCAAUGGAGAGUUUGUCAUCUAAAUAUUUGAUGUGGGUUUUUAUACUACUCUUGGUUCAAAUAUGUGGAUGCAAAGGUUGCAUCGAAGAAGAGAAGAUGGGUUUGCUUGAAUUCAAGGCUUUUCUUAAAUUGAAUAAUGAGCAUGCAGAUUUUCUUCUCCCUUCAUGGAUAGAUAACAACACUAGUGAAUGUUGUAAUUGGGAGCGGGUUAUUUGCAAUCCCACCACAGGUCGAGUUAAGAAGCUUUUCUUCAAUGAUAUAACGCGACAACACUUGGAAGACAAUUGGUACUAUUACGAAAAUGUCAAAUUCUGGUUACUAAAUGUCUCCUUAUUCCUUCCUUUUGAAGAACUUCACCAUCUAAACUUGUCUGCAAACUCAUUUGAUGGGUUUAUUGAGAAUGAAGGUAUGUUACCUCUCACCUUUAAAUUUUCUUUUCACUUAUACUCCAAACAUUCUAAAGGAACUACUAGCAUAUGUUCUUAAAAGUGUUCAGGUGGAGAACAAAUGGUCACUAGUAACUAUUGAAUUUAAUAUAAGAACAAUUACUAAUUAUUAAAAUUUAUAAUGUAAAUUAACAUUUAAACAGAACAAUAAAAAAAUUAUUAUUUUAGAAAACUAUAGAUUACAUUAGCCUUAUAUAUAUAAGCAUACUUGUUAUUUAUGUCAUCAUUUCACACUCAACCCAAUAAGUGGGAUUCAACUAAGAGUGAGCAAUUUCACAAUUAUUAAUUAACAGGAACACUUAGGCUCCCAUAUCCUUAUCAUUUUUGCUGAAUUGUCUUUCCUUAUCUUCCAUUCCUAAAAAGCUUGAUUUCUAUAUUCCAAAUUGAUAGAGAUUGGUUAAAGAAAGGUGAUCACAAAAUUUGACUAUUGCUUUCAAAUGAGGAAUCACCAUCUUCAAAAUUUCACAUUUACAAAAAAAAUAAAUAAAAUAAAUAAAUAAAUAAAACUAGCCUCGGGUAAGGUCCAAGCCUUAUUGUUUUAAGCUGAUGUCAGAUUGGUUUAAUAAUGAACAGAGUAAAUCCUAACCCAUGACCAUCUACGCAUUUCCAAAUUCCACCCAUCCACAACCCAUUAAUAUGACAUUUUCAGGGACAAAAUUUAAUCAAUUAAACCUAUUAGAUGGAUUCUCCAUACAAUGUUAAAAUGAAUAUAAAAACUUUAAUUCAAAAAAUAAUUUCCUUUAUUUAGUUAGGAUUCAAAUUAUAGGGGCACAAAACAUGAAAAUUUUCAUGUUUAAAAUUCACAAAGAUCACAAAAGCUCUUUGAAGCUCUAUGGACUUUUUUAUUUCUAACAUUUAAACACAAAAAUCACCAAAUUUAAUUAGAGAUUUGGAUGCAUAUUCUUAUAUUAAAGACAUGUAAGCUUACAUAUUUAAAUAUGAAGAUCUCAACUUGUAAUUACAUGCUUCUAAUUAAAGUUAUAUUACUCUAUUUUACAGGAUUUAAAGGGUUAUCAAGUUUAAAGAAAUUGGAGAUCUUGGACAUAAGUGGUAAUGAGUUUGACAAAAGUGCCUUAAAAUCUUUGGGCACAAUAACAUCACUCAAGACAUUGGCUAUUUGCAGCAUGGGACUGAAUGGAUCUUUUUCCAUUCGAGGCAUGUUAUAUGUCCACAUUGUUUCUUUGAAAUUAAGUAAAAUAUAUUUCUAACUUUUAAUGUUCCUUAGUUAAUCUCUCUUUUGAUUCAUGUUUGUUGCAGACUUAGCUAGUUUGAGAAAUUUGGAAGUGUUGGAUCUAAGCUAUAAUCAUUUGGAAAGCUUUCAACUAUUGCAAGGUACUUCAUUAACUUGCUAAAAAAACUUACGAUAUUUUGUUAUUAAAUUAAAGGUAAGAUUAACAAACAAUUUCUUCUCAUUAGUUACUUUUCUUUGUAAUAUCAUUAAAUUUGAUAUAAUGUAGUCUAAAUCAUCCUUUCAAUUUAUAAGUUUUAAUUAAAACGCAUCAAGCAUGCACAAGAUGUUUAAUAUAACUAAUAUUUUCAUAAGUAAUUGAAUUUUUUUUAUGAAUUAAUUAACUUGAUUAUCAAUAAAUGCUUACAUGUAUAAGAUUAAUAUAGUUUCAUAAGUAUUUUAAAAUUGUCUUACAACACACACACACACACACAAGGAAAAUGAAAGGUAUGUGAUACCUUUAUGCUAUGUUUGGUUCUCAAAAAAAAUUGAGGGAAAAUGAAAGGAGAAAAAAAUAGAGAGGAAAAGUAAAAGAAAAGAAAAGAAAAAAAGUGAAGAAAAAUAUAAAAUUGAUUAAAGUAAAUACAUUAUUUUUAUAUGUUACUUUAACUUGUUUCACUUAUUUUAAUUCUUCAAUGUAAAGAUGAAAGAUUUGAAAAUGCAUAAGUUUCUAAUUAUUUUUUUAUUUUAUUUUAUAGUUUUUACAAUACAACCAAACAUAAUAAAAUCAUUUUCUUUAAUUUUUUUUCUUUUCUUAAUACUUUUCACGAACCCUUAAGUUAUGUUUGGUUUGCAGAAAAUAUGAGGAACAGAAAAUAGAAAAGAAAAUUAAAAGGAAAGAAAAAGUGAAGUAAAAUAAAAAUAAAUUUAAAUUUAAUAAAUUAUUUUUAUAUGCUACUUUAAACUUAUUUCACUUAUUUUAAAUUAUUUAAACUCAUUUCUAAUAAAUAAUAAUGGAAAUUGUAGAGAAGUUUGUGUUAUUCAAGCUUUGCAAUGACUUUUCAAGGUGAAGGAAAAUAUUCUUGCUGAAAUUGAAGAAGGAAAUACCUUCUUAAAUAGCCUAUUGACCGAAAACACAUUACCCUAACAUAUACACACACCUUUAUUAUUUAUACAAUCAUUUAAUACUUAAUCCCGUUAGUGGGAUUCUAGUGGUUGUUUCUAUCUUGGUUUCCAAUAUUUCUGAUUGAUAGUGUUGGAUUAAUGAAAUAUCAUAAAUUUUGACCCCAAUAAGGACCAAUCCCUAUUAAAUGUAAUUGGGUUGACCUAAGACUAAAUGUUAGACCCAACUAAUAAAAACCCAUCUGUUUGUUGGAGUCUAAAUAACCCAGCCUUAGGUAGGGCCCAUGCCUUAUUAUUUUAAGAUGUAGUCCAACUGGUUUGACACUGGAUUGAGUAAAGCCCAACUUAUGAGCAUCUGUGCAUUUCCAUCCAUCCACAACCUACUGGCAUGGACAAACUUUGGUCAAUUAAACCUAUUAUAAAUGUAUACAAAAUUUUAAGUUCAAAAGAUAAUUUUUCUUAUUUAGUUAGGAUUCAUAUUAAAAAGGCACAAAGCACGAAUUUUCAUGUUUAAAUUCACAAAUAUCACGAAAGCUCCUUCAAGCUCUAUGGACCAUUUUAUUUGUAACAUUAUAUUACUCUUAAUUAUCAAAUUAACCAACAAAUUCUUCUCAUUAGUUAUUUUUCUUUUGUAGUGUCAUAAAAUUUGAUGUAAAGUAAUAUUGGUCAUCAUUUCAACUUUCAUGUUCCAAUUAGAUGCAUCAAGCAUGUGCAACAUAUUUGAUAUAACUAAUAUUUUUAUAAGUAAUUGAAUUUUUUUUUCUAUAAAUCAAUUAACUUGAUUAUCAAUGAAUACUUUCAUACAUGAUAUUGAUGUAGUUUCAUAAAUAUUUUUAAAUAGUCAUAGAAGUCUUUUAUCUGAUUCACUAGAAAGAAAAAUAAACUAUUCUAAUGAAAAUACUUGAUGAUUUGAAGUGAUUGCUUUUGAUUUUAUUUGAUUGCUACCAUUAUUAAUUGUUAGAAAUUGGCAACAAAUACCCAUUUUGCAUCACUUCUAUAUGCAUCGAGGGAAUGAAUUAUAUUUCAUAGAGCUAACAGGGCAAAACUCAUACUUUUGGAAUUAUGGAAAAGGUUGCUAGAAAGCUAAUUAACAAUUUAUAUUAUGAUUAAGACUAGUUGGGUUAGAAAUAAUUCAUAUGGAGAUUAAAAAAAACUAUGUAAUUUAGUUUAGUAGCUUGGGUGCUAUUGUAAUGAUUAAUGAUCUGCAACUUGAACACAUCUACUAGUGCUUUCUACUUGUAUAGCUAAAUUUAUGUUACCACUUUGAACUACAGUACUUACAUGAGAAGAAAGCUUUUCCUUAGUGAUAAUGCAAAAGAAAUUAAGUAUCAAUUUUUGUUAAACUAACAAGUGAUAGUUUAGAUAUGUUUUGAAUACACUUCCUUUCUUCUAUUUUUUUAUUUUGAAAAAAAAAACUCUUUAAUGAAAUAUAAGAAAUCUUAUAUGUAUAAAAAGUAAAGACUUAAACAAAAAAAUUCUUCAAAUUUUAAAAAUUUCGAGAAGUAUUUUUAAGAAUUUGUAUUUUUAGUAUAAUAAUUCCUAUAUUUUGUAUAAAAGCUUUUGUUCAAAAAAAUAGAAGUGUAUCCAAAUUAAAAAUUAAUGGUUAAAUUAAGAAUGUUUCUCAGAUCAAGGGAUAAUGAAAGUUGUAGAGAGUUUGCAUUACUCAACCUUUGCAACUACUUUUUGAAGGUAAAAGAAAAUACCUUCUUACAUAACAUACAAUGGCAAGUUCUGGUUUGUAAGAAACUAAUAAAUGAUUAAGAAUAUGAAUAAGACUUCCUUAAUAAUAGAUAUGUAGAGAAGAAUAGUGGAUGAUAGGAGGUGAAAAUCUUGUAAUAAAAUAUCAAUAUCGGUUAUAAGAUAAUCAACAUUUUCUUGUACCUAUGUGAUUAAGAAUCUUGUAGCUCCCUUAUUGAAAUAUAAUAUAAAAAUAUAAAUAAACUAUUUAGAAGUGCAUGUAGUUUUCAACAUGAGGAAGUUCAAAAGCAAGUUAAUUAUGAUAAUUUUCUAUAGUCUAUAUUGAACACAAAUUAUUUUUUCUAAAGGUUCAAUCGUUCUAUGAAGGUUAAAAGUUUGAAUUGUUUACAUAUGCAAAUGUGAAAUUUGAAAUUUUAUAAUGUUUUAUAAUUUUCUUGUAGAUUCAAAAAACUUGUCCAUAUUCAAAAAGCUCGAGACCUUGAACCUCAAUCACAACAAGUUCAAAAACACUAGCCUACAACAAUUGAAUAUAUUUACAUCCCUUAAAAAUCUUUCUCUAAGACGGAACUAUGAUGGAGGAUUUUUUCCGAUCCAAGGUAUGUGUAAUUAUUAUUAUUAUUUUUAAUGAUAAAAUAUUAGAAUUGUCAACAUCUUUUAUCUUUUUUCCCCUCAAUGGUGUUGCAGAAUUAUGCACUCUAGAAAACUUGGUGAUGUUGGACCUAAGUGGGAAUUUCUUUAUUGGCAUGCAAGGUAAAUACAAAGUGAAGUUUUGGUUAUAUAUAUAUAUCAUGUAAGAACAUAACUAAAAUCAACAUUCUUUGCCUAUCAAUUUGUGCAUGACUAUUAUUUAGUUAUUCUUCGUAACAUAAUUGAAAGAAUGUUUAGGUGUAUAACAUUUAAGAAUUUUACAUGGCACAAUGAAAAACAUGGUAAUCAAUGUAUGCAAUAAAAUUCUAAUAGUUGAAAAAGAAUUUUCUUGUAAUUUUAUGUUCGUGUAUAGUAAUCAAAGAGAAAAUCAUGAAAAUGUAUAUUAGUUAGACUUUAUAUAUCAAUAGACAAAAAAGAAAGAAAAAAGAUUAGUUCCUUAACUUAUCCUAAAAUUUUCUAGAUAACAAGGAGUUUUUUUAUUUUGGGCUAUAAGAUUUACAACCUGAAAAGUGAAGAUGAUUAAUAUUAGUAAUAUAAUUUUGAAAUAUAAAAAUUAAUGAAAUAAUGUUCUCUAUAACUAUAACUGCAACUGCAACUAUUAAUAAAAGAUAAUAAAAGUACUUUAGACUUUGAAUCCAUGGUUAGGUUUGCAAUUUUUUGAUGAUCAAUAAAGCUACAACUUAUGCUGCAAAAGGCUAUACAAAAUGUAUUAGGAGCAUUGCUAAGCUCAUUUAUCAAUAAAAGAAAUCCAGUAAUACUUUGAUUGGAAAAAACCUAGAAUCAUGUUUGAUAUAUAUAAUAGGAGAAGAAACAAAAUAACAAUUCCAUGGUAUUAGUUAGUUUGAUAUCCCUUUUGUUAUAUGGAAUAACUAUUCCAUUUUAAAAUAAUUAUUUCAUCUUAUCGCUAGAACAAAAAAUUUCAAGCAAUUAUAUGCGCUUUUGGGUUUCUUAAGAAUUUAAGCAUUUAUGGGUCACCCAUAUAUACAUAUAUAUAUAUAUAUAUAUAUAUAUAUAUGUAGGAAGAAUAAAAAAAAAUAUUAUACGGAGACAAGGGUAGACACCCAUAUAUAUAUAUAUAUAUAUAUAUAUAUAUAUAUAUGUAGGAAGAAUAUAAAAAAAUAUUAUAUGGAGACAAGGGUAGACACCCAUAAAUGUACAUAUAAUUAUUUAAAUAAAAAAUCAAUAAGAAACAAUAUACAACAAAAUAGAAAAUUUUAAUCUUCUUAAAUUUUAAAAAUAAAAACUAAAUGAAAAAAAAUUAAGAAGUAAAAAUAAUAAUAAAAAGGUCAAGAAUACAAAUAGAGAAGUAAACAAAAAAAAUACAUAAAUUAAAAUUAAAAUUUAAAAGAAAAAAUACAUAGAUUAAUAUGAACACUAAAUGAGGUUUUUUGAGAUAGACUUAGUUAGACCUGAACCAGAUGGAUAUUAAAAAAAAUAAAAAAAAAUUGAAAGAAAUAAAAACUAAUUAGAUGCUAAAUAUUGGAUUAAAAUAACCAAAUGAAUAAAGAGUAAUUAUUAAUUUUUAACAUUUUUUAUUCCCUAGAAUUAUUAUUUUGUGUAUUAAAUGUAUUCUGAGUGUAGUGGUAUAAAAAAUGUAGUUAAGAAUACUAUGAAGAAUAAUAAUGGUGAUGAUAAUGGUGACGACACUUAAUACCUUUUAUUGUACGUUUAGAAAAAAUGAGGUUCUUGAUCUUUAUGGAGAUUAUCAUUACUCAUCCGCAAGCAUGUUGAUAGUUGAAACUACUCAAUUAUCAAAAAUUGAAUUUCUAACCUUCAAUUUUUCUCUCUCAAAUGUAUAUGUGGGUGAGAAAGCACUAGGAAGAUUAUAAGGUCUCACAUGUAUAUGAGUCAUAGGAUAAAAAAUAUAGAGACAAUACUAGCAUUUAUUUGAUCUAGUGGCAAAUAGAGAAAUAUAAAAUAACCAUAACCAUAAUGUUCUAACCUUAUAUAUACCAGAACCAUGUUUCCUUCAUUCAAUGUUGCAACUUUUUCUUUUCAAAUUAGAAUGUAACUUGUAGGAUCCAUUGCCCAUCAAAAUUUUGAAUCGAAUAUUAUAAGAUAUUUCACAUUUCUACCUACUAAAGCAUGAGCUUCAAUGUUCUCAUGCACUUUUGGCUACUAAGUUAAAGAACCCUUUGAGGAUUAAUGGAGUUUCUAUGAGUAGCAAAGCAUUAUAAUCAGAAAGUCUUAUCAGUGAUAUGCAAUUUGACCAAGAACUUAUUCCCAACUAUUUUAUGAAUUUUAUGACUUUUCUUGGCUACUUGUAGGCAAGCUAAAGAAAUUUUCUGGUUUGUUCAAGUCUAAAAAGUGGUUUCAAGUUUAGGGCCAAGCUUGGGCUGCACCUAGGUCCUUGGGCCUUGUUCAGCUCCACGUUUAAACCAACCUUGAGUCCAUCUUUGUAAUUUUUCUCCCAAUUCAUUGAUUAAUAUUAGGAUUUUAUAGAGCCUAUAAAUUGACCAACUAAAUAAAGUAGGUUCAUAAACUUUUAGGUGAAAAUUUUCUCUUUAAUAAAUGUUAAUUCAAGAGUCUCCGUAAUCUUUUUAUAUUCAUAUUAAUUGGUAUUUAAACCGACCUUACUAUAUUAAAGUCAAAUACCAAAUAGUGAACACUAUAUCUACUACUACCACUAUGAUGGUCACAAACAUAGAAUGCUCCAUUUUUUAGAGUCAAUUGAUGCUUAUAAACAACUUUGUUUGAAAAUAAAACACAUCGAGUGAUUGCAUCAAGAGAUUGAUGUAAUAAUUGCAUACUUGAUCUAGAUAAUGUUAAUAUGAGUUGACUAAAUAAAUGAGUAUUUACUUAUAAGGUAGCCCAUAGAACAUUAUUUGUGGAAAUAUUCAUGCACCUCUACAUAUGUUCAUGAUAACUUAGGUUGAUAAAUUUAAGAAGAACAAAUUCAUAACCUUGGGCAUAGUUAGUAAGAAAUUUCACCAAUAGAGUUUGGUAUCAUGAUUCUAAUUGUUCAAAUUGUUUUAAAGGAGUAUUUUAAAUUGCAUGUUAAUUUGCUUCUAAUAAAUGGAGAGAAACCAAUUCAAGAAGAGAAUUGUACUCAAGCUAUGUAUAGCAUUCAUGAAGAUGUAGAAAAUAUUGAUGAACUUACUUUUGAGCAAGUUGAAAUCAUAAUUAAAUAAAAUAACAAACCCAAGGGUUAAGAUUGUCAAGUAAAACUUUAAUUAAAAUUUAUUGAUUUUUUAAAUGCCUAUUAGAGGAGCAAUAGAAGUUCUAGAUAGAAAGUAAGAACUUUUCUAAGGAAUCACUUGUUAGAUUUUAAGUGAUCAAUAAAUAUAAUGUCCAAUUUAAAACUUUUAUAAAAGCAAUGGUUCUAAAGAAUAACUUGAUUUGAAUUUAAAGUUAUUAUUGAUAUUUAUUUAUAAUGGAUGUAGUUAAUCAAUUGAACAUAGUAAAAAACACAUAAUUUUUUCAAAAUACCUUCUAAUUGUUGGGUAUAUUUAAGUAGUUAUUCAUAUCUCAUUAUCUUUUUACUCACAUACUAAUCUCCUUAUUGAGUAUUUACCAAUUACAAGUAGGUUGAAAGUUACUUGAAUUUAAGUCACUAAUCAAUGUUAACUUGAUGACAAAUAAGUCUCCCUUUGAAACUUGUUUUAUAACAUAGCGAAAUGUAGUCGAUCAAUCAUCAAAACAAUGUUUAAGCAUUGGGAUUUAGUUGUUAAUUUUUAUUUUUUAUUUUUUGUGCUUAAACAAAGACAAAAAUUAUAAAAACUCCUGAAAAGUACAUAUUAAUUGAAUUUAAUUUAUACAUCAAACAAGAACAAACUAGUCUUGGAUUUAAAAUUCAAUAGGUUUUGUAAUUAUAAUUCCUAAAAAUUUGUAAGACAACAAAAUUAUUGGACACUAGGCUAUUGGGUGUGUAUGACUAAGAGGUGAAGGAGGGUUCAUCUUAUACAAAGGAUGAUUUGAUUAAUUUUAAAGAUUGAAUAAACAAUAAUUGCAUAUUCAAGUAAAAAUAACAUUGCUAAAAAGGAAAAUAAGUAUUUUAGUCCUCAAACCUAAAAUGGCUAAAAAAUUUAAUUAAUACAAUUACAACUUCACCUACAAAAAAAAAAAAAAAAAAAUACCCAAAACUUUUCAAUAGCACAACUAAGUCCAUUUAUCAAAAGCUCUAUGAACAACAACAACUAUCAAAUCACAUAAAUCAUGUUGUUUACAAAGUGCCCUUGAUGUUUUAAAACAUAAGAUAUUACAUAAAAAUCAACCAAUAGUGUAUGACAUUAUAAAAAACAUAUCCAAAUCCAUUGUCGAACUUAAACUAAAUUCAACUUUAUAUACAUAGUCGCAAGUGGGUCUUUUUGUCUUUCAAUUUGGGUCAAAUUCAGAUGUUAGUUUUUUACACAACAAGGGAUUAUCAAGGUGAUAAUUCAUGCAUAUAAAUAGUAUUACUUAUAUAAAAAAAAUGGUAAAUGCAAUUUUUUUGUAUUCACUCACCAUUUGGCAUAUCAAUAAGAAAAAAAUAUAUACAAUAGGUGCUAUCAAUAAUAUUAUGCAUCACUAGAAAUUAUAAUUUUUCAUUUGUUAUCACUACUUGUGCACUUUGGAAAGCUUGCUAGGUACAACAAAUUAGCUCAGUGAAGAAAUUGAUCAAUUCCUUCAUUUCUAAAUAAAUUUGCAUAUACACUAGAAUAAAAACAACUUUUUAACUUAACAAGUUGACUGAGUCUCAGAACUUAGUAGGUUGAAGGCAUAGACUUCCAUCCAAGCUCAUUUACUGGCACCACAUGUUGGAAAAAUAAAGAAAAAUCAAAACACUUGAGUAUAGUUGCAAACCAAUCUAAAUAUAGAGUGAGAUCUACCUUUCUUUGAAAGUUUAGAACAAAUUUUUAUUUUUAUGAUAAGACUAUGCAGUACUUAUCCCUCUCUAACAAGUCUAUAAUCAGUCCAAAGCAUGGGAUAUUGCAUAUUUCUUGAACUCAAUUAGCCUUUAAUCCAUGCAUUUCAAGUAAAUUUAAAACCUGGUGUACUUGUUCUUGAUUCACAUCCUUGUCACUAUUAUCAUUACUUGUUCUUGAAUAUAGAACCUUAUUGUCCAUUAACAAGCGGGCCUAUGUUCCUCCAUGAUUCAAGAGUAUUAUGUUUUGUUCAUCAUCAGUUGGUCUUGCUCUAAAGCUUCUUUUUUAUGACUAUCAAUAACCAGACUUAGAUACCAAAAUUUAUGCAAGAGAGCAUGUACUUUAUACAGUCAAGAACUUGUGAGUCUAGACUUUGUUAUCUAGGUAAAAGAAUAAAUUGGUUUGUUAAAAUAGCUAGCAUUAGGUAUCUAUUCAAUUCCUAUCUUAGACAAUAAAGAUACAAAUGAUCAAAUACAUUCUUAUUAAGAAACAUUUGAUACCAAAAGUGAUGUAAGACAACACAGUUCCUCUAUUCAAUCAAGUUUAAGGCUUAGAUGAACCUAUGAAUUUAUAUUAAUUAAUUGGGAAAGAGAAUAAAUAGGCUAAGUAGAAGUGAUAGGAUUGUAAUAGCAUUAAGUUAAUGAUCUUGUUUAGGUCUUCUACUAAAUUAGAGAAGAAACAAACAAAAGUAAUCAAACGUGUUAGUGAUAAUUAUAUCUACUUAACAUUGAGACAAUAGUUGUACUAAUGGUAAUUAUAUUAUUUCUUGAGAGUUUAAACAAUAUAUAUUGAAAAUAUUUUUAAAGGUUUAGCAACUACCAAGGUUAUAAUCAACUACGAGCUUUUUAUUUUUAAAAAUAUGAAAUAUUAAUAUCUUUACUUUCUUUGAUCUUCUUGUAGGUUUUAAAAGUUUGUCUAAGCUGAAAAAGCUGGAAAUCUUAAACCUUCGUGAUAAUCAGUUCAACAAGACCAUUAUAAAACAGUUGAGUGGACUCACAUCCCUUAAAACACUAGUUGUAAGCUACAACUAUAUUGAGGGACUUUUUCCUUCCCAAGGUAUUGCUUAUUCUUUUAAUAUCCUUAGUAACCACUCUACCAUGAUUUUUUUUUUUUUCAAUUUUAUUUUCUUUCUUGAACCAUACAGAAUUAUCUAUUUUUGGAAACUUGAUGACACUGGAUUUAAGAGAUAAUAGACUCAAUGGCUCCCUAUCAAUCCAAGGUAAAUUCUAAUCAGAAUUAUCAUUAUAUUUAGGGCAUAUAAUAAAUUAAUUAAAUUAUUUUAUCUAUUAUCAUUACUUGGUUAUUUGGAUUUUCUUGAUAUUGUUUAGCAUUUUACAUAGGAAAAUGAAAUGGAAAAAUCAACCCAUGCUUAGUGUUUAAGCACUGGGCUAGAAGUAUAUUUGUCUUCCCAAUUUAAUCAAAGAGAAAAGUCAUAAAUAACAUAAUUUAACUUAUACCUUAUAUUGAUUGAAGAGGUUAGACUACUUUUGGAUUUAAUGGUCAAUAUUUGUUGAAGAUAGGGUUUCCUAAAUUUGAUAAAAAGAACUUCAAUUUAAAUUACCAUAACUACAUAAAGGUGUGACUAGCAUAAUUAAACUCUUUUAUUAAUAGAUGUUCAUAGACUAGUAUUAUAAUCCCACAUGCACAAAUAAUCAAAUUUUGAAAUUAGACUUCAAAUAACUAUGCAAUAUACGAAACUACAAAAUGAAUGGUAGGUCAUAAUUAAUUAAAUUCGUACUAUAUUCAAUGUUGGUCAACACGUGUCAAGUAAAAGUUUUGGCCUAAGUGUAAGGGCUCACUUGCUCCAAUAUAUAUGUUAUUCACUUUGGGUCAAGGCCUACUUUAAAAUAUCUAUACAUUUAUGAGAUAUUUUAAAAUGUAAAAUGAUAGGUUUUGAUCAUUUUUAAAGGUAGCAAACAUUUUAUUUUAUUUGUAUUUAAGAACAACGUCUUUUCUUAUACAAUGUUUAUUUAAUUUUCUUUUGAUAGAUUUUGCAAGCUUAAGCAAUUUGGAGAUAUUGGAUUUGAGUUAUAAUUCCUUCAAUGGAAUUGUUUCAUCAUCUAUAAGAUUAAAGUCUUCUCUCAAGUCUUUAUCCUUGGCUGGAAAUAGACUCAAUGGUUCUUUACAAUGUCAAGGUAGGAAACAUUUAAUUUUAUUUGUAUUUAAGAACAAUGUCUUUUCUUAUAUAAUGUUUUUUUAAUUUUCUUUUGAUAGAUUUUGCAAGCUUAAGAAAUUUGGAGAUAUUGGAUUUGAGUUAUAAUUCCUUCAAUGGAAUUGUUUCAUCAUCUAUAAGAUUAAAGUCUUCUCUCAAGUCUUUAUCCUUGGCUGAAAAUAGACUCAAUGGUUCUUUUCAAUAUCAAGGUACAUAUGUUAUGCUUUCUUUGUUUCAUAAAGAUUAGACAAGAUAAACAUUGUGAAAAAAAGGUUGUCAUAGUUAAUGUAAAAUGAUAGGUUUUUGAUCAUUUUUAAAGGUGGCAAACAUUUUAUUUUAUUUGUAUUUAAGAACAAUGUCUUUUCUUAUACAAUGUUAUUUUAAUUUUCUUUUGACAGAUUUUGCAAGCUUAAACAAUUUGGAGAUAUUGGAUUUGAGUGGUAAUUUCUUCAAUGGAAUUGUUUCAUCAUCUAUAAGAUUAAAGUCUUCUCUCAAGUCUUUAUCCUUGGCUAGUAAUAGACUCAAUGGUUCUUUUCAAUAUCAAGGUACAUAUGUUAUGAUUUCUUUGUUUCAUAAAGAUUAGACAAGAUAAACAUUGUGAAAAAAAGGUUGUCAUAGUUAAUGUAAAAUGAUAUGUUUUGAUCAUUUUUAAAGGUGGCAAACAUUUUAUUUUAUUUGUAUUUAAGAACAAUGUCUUUUCUUAUACAAUGUUAUUUUAAUUUUCUUUUGACAGAUUUUGCAAGCUUAAACAAUUUGGAGAUAUUGGAUUUGAGUGGUAAUUUCUUCAAUGGAAUUUUUUCAUCAUCUAUAAGAUUUAAGUCUUCUCUCAAGUCUUUAUCCUUGGCUGUAAAUGGACUCAGUGGUUCUUUACAAUAUCAAGGUACAUAUGUUAUGCUUUCUUCGUUUCAUAGAGAUUAGAGAGGAUAAACAUUGUAAAAAAAAAAAAGUUGUCAUAGUUAAUGCAAGCUAAAACUAAAAAACUUGCUUUUUCAAUUAUGUAAGCAUGUUUUGUUCUUGAUGAAUCUUUACAACAUUCAAAGUUACUAAUAUUUAUAAUUCAUAGAGACCUCAUUAACAACCACUAACAACUAAUUGUAAGUAACUAUGAAAAAAGUAAGGACAAAAAUGAGGGAAAAGCAAGGAAAGUGACAAAUUUUUUCAUCCCCAUAAAAAAUGCUAAGGAAGAAAAAGGUGAAGAAAAUUUAAAGAAAGUAUAUUUUUCAAAAAUUAAAUUUUCUUUCCCUUAAAGUUGGUAUGGACAACCAAACAAGAAAAUGAUUUUGAAAUUCUUUUUUGACUUUUUUCUUUCAUUUUUUUUCCUACUCUAUUUUCUUUCCCUCAAACUUUCUAGGUAGUAAACAUUACCUAAGACAAAUAGGGAAGAAAAUAUUUUAUCAUUUAUUUAUUUAGCAUUUUUCUUACAUUUUUUGUAUUUUAUCCAAAUAUAAGAAAACUAUUUUUCUUUAUUUUUUCUUUUCCUUGUUGCGUUUCAAGAAUCAAGCAUACUUUAAACUCUAAUUAAGAGUUACAUAGAUUUACGAAGAAACGAUGCAACUGGUAACAAAAAAUUAAGGAAAUUUAAUUUUUGAGAGUAAGUAUAAUGAGAUUGGUUUGUUUGAUACAAAAUUUGAAUAAAAAUUCUUUUAAUGAAAAUUCAAGGAAAGGAAAAAAAAAACAACUUUAUCUCUAGACUAUAAUACUAAAUCAAUUAAAAAAAAUCUCCUAACAUCGUUUAUGUUCAUCUUUCUUUUUAUGGAUUUGAAAAACUCAAUAAUUUGGAGAAAACUGAUUUAAGGAAGAAUAUUUUUUAGAGUAAAAGAUUAUUAUUUAAGAAUAUCAUAAAUAUUAUAGUCAUUGUUGAAUAUGAUAAAUGAUAAAUAAAAAAUAAAAAAUAAAUAAAAAGUCGUUGGAAAUUUAGAUACUUUUAUGGAAAGAUAGACAAAGUGCUCUAGUUUAUAAUACUAAUGCACUUUUCUAAUUUGAUAUGAAAAAAGGUAAAACGAUAGGUUUUGAUCAUUUUUAAAGGUAGUUUGUUUAAAUCAUUUUAAUUUAUUUUGAUUUAUGAACAAUAACUUUUAUUACACUAGUUAUUUUGAUUUUCUUUUGAUAGAUUUUGCAAGCUUAAGCAAUUUGAAGGUAUUGGAUUUGAGUUAUAAUUCAUUUAGUGGGAUCGUUCCAUCAUCUAUAAGAUUGAUGUCUUCUCUCAAGUCUUUAUCUCUGGCUGGAAAUGACCUCAAUGGUUCCUUACCAAAUCAAGGUACAUAUAUUGAGAUUACAGGUUUUUCUGUUUUCUUUUUUAAUAUCUUGUUUGUUCUUUAUGCCAAUGAAGUCAUGCAUGUCUAUUAAUUUUUGGUAUUUAAUGAAAAACUUUAUUCUUAAUUCAUAAAGACCUCAUCAACUGUGAGUAACAGCUAGUUGUAAGUUUGGGGGCAUUGACAAGACGAGGAGAUGAUUGGUUACAUGUCUUAUUCUCUUUUGUAGGCUUUUUCCAAUUGAAUAAGCUUCAAGAGUUGGAUCUUAAUUACAACUUAUUCCAAGGGAUCCUUCCUCAAUGUUUGAAUAAUUUGACAUCUCUAAGGUUAUUAGAUCUCUCUUCCAACCUAUUCUCCGAAAAUCUUUCUUCCACUCUGUUACCUAAUCUCACAUCCCUGGAGUACAUUGAUCUCAGUUACAAUCAAUUUGAGGGUUCAUUCUCUUUCAGCUCUUUUGCUAAUCACUCCAAGCUUCAAGUGGUCAUACUUGGAAGUUAUAACAACAAAUUUGAGGUAGUUGGAAGGGAUAACAACAAAUUUGAGGUAGAAACUAAAUAUCCAGUUGGUUGGGUUCCCCUGUUUCAGUUGAAACCUCACCGGUGACCUUCCUGGUUUUCUUCAAUACCAAUUUAGAUUAACGGCAGUUGAUCUCUCCCAUAAUAACUUGACAGGAAGUUUCCCCAAUUGGCUGCUUGAAAACAAUACGAGAUUGGAAUUUCUGCUCCUGAGGAAUAACUCUUUAAAGGGUCAACUACUUCUCCUAGGACCUAAUACCCUGAUCAGUUCGUUGGAUAUCUCACACAAUCAGUUGGAUGGACAACUUCAAGAAAAUGUGGCCCAUAUGAUUCCAAAUAUUUGGAAGUAUUCCCAAUUCAAUCUCUAGACUUCUAGAGCUAAGGAUUCUUUUGCUAAGAGGAAACCUUUUAAGUGGUUUCAUUCCAUAUCGACUUUGUCAUUUGACUAAAAUAAGCUUGAUGGAUCUUUCAAACAACAAUUUUUCUGGGUUAAUUCCUGGAUGCUUUGGUCAUAUCGGAUUUGGAGAUUUCAAAACUGAGCACAAUGUGUAUAUACCGAUGUUGGAUUCAUAUUCAGAAAGCAAUCCUUCUAUAUAUACGGGUUACUUAAUAAAAUAUUUAUUUUUCUCUAGUGAACUCCCUGAUAAAGUAGAUGAAGUUAAGUUUGUUACCAAGAAUAGGUAUAGCUCCCACAUAGUAGAUAAAAAUAUUUGUUCGGAAUUUAGAUAUUUUUAUAGAAAAGUAGACAAGUAUUCUAAUUUAUAAAAACAAUGCAUUUCUUUAGUUUGGUAUAAAAAAAUGAAAUGAUAGGUAUUGGUAAUUUUUUUUAAAGUAGCAAACGUUUUAUUUUAUUUGUAUUUAAGAAAGAUGUCUUUUCUUAUACUAGUUAUUUUAAUUUUCUUUUGACAGUUUUUGCAAGCUUAAGCAAUUUGGAGAUACUAGAUUUGAGUUCUAAUUCCUUAAGUGGGAUUAUUCCAUCAUCUAUAAGAUUGAUGUCUCAUCUCAAGUUUUUAUCGCUGGUCGGAAAUCACCUCAAUGGUUCUUUACAAAAUCAAGGUACAUAUGUUAUGAUUUGUUUGUUUCAUAUAGAUUAGAGAAGAUAAAUAUUGUAAAAAAAAAAAGUUGUAGUUAAUGUAAGUUAGAAAAAAGUAUCUUGCCUUAUAAAUUAUAUAAGCACGUGUUUGUUCUUAAUGAAUCUUUACAACAUUUAGAGUUACCAAUCUUUAUAAUUCAUAAAGACCUCAUAAACACUGAGUAACAACUAAUUGUAAGUAAUUGUGGAAAAGUAAGGAAAACAAAUUGCUUCAUUUGAUACAAAAUUCGAAUAAAAAUUCUUUUAAUGAAAACUCAAGGAAAGGAAAAAACAUUUUUAUCUCUAGAUUAUAAUACUAAAUCAUGUAAAAAAUCUCGUAACAUCAUUUAUAUUCAUAUUUCUUUUUAUAGAUAUGAAAAAUUCAACAAUUUGGAAUAAACUUAUUCAAUGAAGAAUAAUUUUUAGAUUUAAAGAUUAUUAUUUAAGAAGAUCGUAAAUAUUACCAUCAUUGUUGAUGUCUAAGAAGAUCAUAUUCAACAAUUUUUUUAAUAUGUUGUUUUCUAUGGUAAUUAAUUGAUGUCUUGUAAUUUUUAAUAUUUAAUGAAAAACAUUAUUUUAAUUCAUCUAGAGCUCUUAAUUCAUGAAGACCUCAUUAACGGUGAGUAAUAGUUGGCUGUAAGUUUGGAGUCAAAGACAUUUCAAGGAGAUGAUUAGUUACAUGUCUUGUUCUCUUUUGUAGGUUUCUGCCAAUUGAAUAAGCUUCAAGAGUUAGAUCUUUCUUACAACUUAUUCCAAGGGACCCUUCCUCCAUGUUUGAAUAAUUUGACAUCUCUGAGGUUAUUGGAUCUCUCUUCCAACCAUUUAUCCGGAAAUCUUUCUUCGCCUCUGUUACCUAAUCUCACAUCCCUGGAGUAUAUCGAUCUCAGUUACAAUCAUUUUGAGGGUUCAUUCUCUUUCAGCUCUUUUGCUAAUCACUCCAAGCUUCAAGUGGUCAUACUUGGAAGUGAUAACAACAAAUUUGAGGUAGAAACUGAAUAUCCAGUUGGUUGGGUUCCCCUGUUUCAAUUGAAGGCUCUUUUCCUAUCCAACUGCAAGCUCACCGGUGACAUUCCUGAUUUUCUUCAAUACCAAUUCAAAUUAGAGGUGGUUGAUCUAUCCCAUAAUAACUUGACAGGAAGGUUCACCAAUUGGUUGCUUGAAAACAACACGAGACUAGAAUUUCUAGUCCUAAGGAAUAACUCUUUAAUGGGUCAACUACUUCCCCUGAGACCUAAUACCCGUAUCCUUUCAUUGGAUAUCUCACACAAUCAGUUGGAUGGACGACUUCAAGAAAAUGUGGGCCAUAUGAUUCCAAAUAUUGUGUUUCUAAAUUUAUCCAACAAUGGUUUUGAAGGUCUUCUCCCAUCCUCAAUAGCUGAAAUGAGUUCCUUAAGGGUGUUGGAUUUGUCUGCCAAUAAUUUCUCAGGAGAAGUACCAAAGCAGUUGCUUGCAACAAAAGAUUUGGUGAUUCUAAAAUUAUCAUAUAAUAAAUUUCAUGGUGAAAUAUUUUCAAGGGACUUUAACAUGACUGGGUUGGAUAUUUUGUAUUUAGACAAUAAUCAGUUCAUGGGAACUCUGUCAAAUGUAAUCUCCGGAAGCUCUCAGUUAAUGGUGUUGGAUGUGAGCAACAACUACAUGUCAGGUGAAAUUCCAAGCGGGAUAGGUAACAUGACAGAAUUGAGAACAUUGGUCAUGGGCAACAAUAAUUUUAGAGGCAAAUUACCACCUGAGAUUUCUCAAUUGCAACAGAUGAAGUUUCUUGACGUUUCUCAAAAUGCUCUUUCAGGAUCUCUUCCUUCUUUGAAGAGCAUGGAGUAUUUAGAGCAUCUACAUUUGCAAGGGAACAUGUUUACAGGAUUAAUACCGAGAGAUUUUCUCAAUUCCUCAGAUCUAUUGACUUUGGAUAUGCGAGAUAACAGGUUAUUUGGAAGUAUUCCCAAUUCAAUCUCUGCACUUUUGGAGCUAAGGAUUCUUUUGCUAAGAGGAAACCUUUUCAGUGGUUUCAUUCCAAAUCAUCUUUGUCAUUUAACUAAAAUAAGCUUGAUGGAUCUUUCAAAUAACUCUUUUUCAGGGCCAAUUCCCAAAUGCUUUGGCGAUAUCCGAUUUGGGGAGAUGAAAAAGGAGAAUGACGUGUUUAGACAGUUCAUUGAUUUUGGGUAUGGAGGGGAUUCUCGUAAUUUAUAUGUUGGAUUCACGGUGAAAAAAUGGGAGUUCGAUAGUGAUGUAUAUGAUGAAAAAAAUGAAGUUGAGUUUGUCACCAAGAACAGGCAUGACUCCUACAGUGGUGACAUCCUUAAUUUCAUGUUUGGAUUGGACUUGUCAUGUAAUAACUUAACCGGUGAAAUCCCUCACAAACUUGGAAAGCUAAGUUGGAUUCAUGCAUUGAACUUGUCUCACAAUCAAUUGAAGGACUCCAUUCCAAAGAGUUUCUCCAAUCUUUCUCAAAUAGAGAGCUUGGACCUUUCUUAUAAUAAAUUAAGUGGAGAAAUUCCUCUAGAGCUAGUUGAACUCAAUUUUCUAGAGGUGUUCAGUGUGGCUUACAACAACAUCUCUGGUAGAGUUCCAGAUACAAAAGCACAAUUUGGGACAUUUGAUGAAAGAAGCUAUGAAGGUAAUCCUUUUCUCUGUGGGACAUUGUUAAAGAGAAAAUGCAACACAAGUAUCGAGCCACCAUGCGCACCAUCACAAUCUUUUGAAAGUGAGGCAAAAUGGUAUGAUAUCAAUCAUGUUGUUUUCUUUGCAAGUUUUACUACUUCAUAUAUCAUGAUCUUGUUAGGAUUUGUUACCAUCCUUUACAUCAAUCCUUAUUGGCGUCAUAGAUGGUUCAAUUUUAUCGAGGAAUGUAUAUAUUCCUGUUAUUAUUUUGUUUUUGAUAAUCUUUCCAAGUUAUCAGCAUAUUUGUAUAAUUAGAUACUUUUAAUUGGAUGAUGUUUGCAUAAUUAACUACUAUUUGUUUCCACUAGAUAGAAAGAAAUGGGAUGUAUAAUUGCUACAAGUUGAAACUUACAUACUUUGCUCAAAUUUUGACAUCUUUUGAUUUUAUUUUCAAGUUCCGUUAUUUUUUAUGUAUUGUUUAAUUCAAGAUUUAACCAUAUUUUGUUACUCUUAUAAAAACAAAUUCAAAUUUUUAGGAAGUUUUAGCAUUAAAAUAAUUUCAUAGUCAUAUUUUAAAAAAUAAAGAAGAAAGAAAAUAAUAAAUAAUUGGAAAAACAAUUCAAGGGAGUAUUAAAUUAUCAUCUUAGAAUUGUUUGGCAUAGUAUGGGAAUUCAAAAAUAAUCUUUCAAUUUGUUAGAAGCGUUUAUUUAUUUAUUAUAGCAAUGAUUGAAAUAUCAAUCACAAAGCAAUGUUUUCUUUUCUUUUGUAGGGCACUAACACUUUUUCUUUGAUCGUAAUAAUUGAUAAAUAUAUUACACAAUUAUUUGUUUUUAAAAAGGGAGGGAUGACAAAUAUAAUAACAUGUGAAAUAUUUCUAAAUGAUGGGAAAUAAGCCAAUCUAAUUAGGGUGCAAUAUUAUUCAUUUUAAUUUAUAUGAAUUUACUUAUUUUUAUUUGUAUCAUAUUUUGAACCAUUUUAUGAAAUUAAGGGAGAUUAAAACAUCGAGUUUCUUAUUUUAAUUUAUAUUUUUAAUAAUAAAGCAUGAAAUAUUUUUUUUUUUAAAAUCAUGAAUUUCUUUAAUUCCUUAGGAAACCAAUAUAUAAAAAAAUUGAAUAUAUUAUGAUUUUAUGUCCUAAAUCUCUAAAUUUGUUCAUCACGUAUUUAUUUUUAUAUUAAAUUUAUUAUUAUUAAUUAUUUAUUAUAUAUUAUUAUUUUAUGUUUAAAAAUGUCCAUAAAUAAUUAAAAUUAAUAAAUAAAAAAAAUGAAAUAUUAAAAAAAUUAAAUUAAAAAGAUUUCAUCAAACUAACAUAUUUAAAAAAAAAAAAAAGCAAAAAGAAGAUGGGGAUAUUAUAGAUGAGGGGAAAAAGAUAAAAAAUAAAUAAAAAUUAUGCGGUAUGAUAAUUGCCUCGUGUUAAAGUUAUUUUCUUUUAAAAAUAAUAAUUGUAAUGAUGAACUCAUUUGUCUUAUUAAAGUAAACAAAAAUGAAGAAAAAAAAAAAGUUGUAGUUGGCUAGAGGUGAGAGAGAGAGAGGAGGGUUUGAGUGUAAGUUUGAAAUAUUAAUUAUUUUCACUAAGUAGAUAUUUUGAAGGUUAUUUUCCCCAAAACACAUAUUCUUUUAAUAAAAAAUCAAAAUUUUAGAUUAUUUGUUCCUUUAAACUUUAGUUUGAAUAAAAUUAGUUUUAAUUAUUUUCUUUUUGGAAUUAUAUUUAACACAUUAUUAAAAAUAUAAAAAAAUAUUAUUAGGUUUUUAUGUGCUGAUUGGGUUUUUUAAAUACCCAAUAUGCCCUCCAAUCUACCACUUAAGCAUCCGAUAUGGCUAAAAAUAAAUUAAAAAAAAAAAAAAGGAAAAAAAACAAAAGUGUAUGAUCCUCUUUCUCGAGUCUUCACAUUUUCAGACACUGAACCCAAAUCAAAAUUAAUCCUCCAAAUUAAUUUUCACCUCGAACCCAAACCCUAACUGCUGCCCCGUUUUCUCCUCAAACAUAGCUAUCCGAAAAACCCUAACCUCUGCCUCGUCUUCCUCUUAUCCCGGAAACCUAAAUCCCGUGACCCUAACCCCUUCUCUUUCCGAAAACCCUCCGGAAUAGGAAGAUUCAUAAUUCUUCAGAAUUAAUUUUCACCUCGAAGCCAGACCCUAACUGCCUCAUCUUCCUCUCAUUCAUAUCCUAAAAGUAGCUUCAACAGUCAGGCCUGUAGCCAUGAAAGCCGUAAUGAUCGCCACUUCCGGUGAUCCCCAAGUUCUCCAAGUGCAAGAAGUCGAAAACCCUAAAAUUGGAGAU